ACAUUCAUGUGCAUCAAAAUUAACGAUUAUCUACCAUACUCACCAAGCACGUCACCAGGGUAGAAGGUCUUGUUCCUCUCCCAGCCAUGAACACCAAAGGUCCAUCCCUUUUGACCUCCGACUAUCCACUCCGUCUUGCUAAAACCACUGGUUGCGAAGCACAGGGUUAGCACCAACCCAAGAGCAACGGCGCCAGUGCUGCUCAUGCUUCUACCUAGUGCCAUUGCCGCUUUUUCACUACUAAGGGCGUGUUCGGUAGCCCUCUGGCUACUCAACUCCUCGACUCCAGCCUUGGAGUCGUGCCGAACGGUUCAACUCCUGGUUAUUUGACUGAGAAGCUGGCUCAAUGCUACGUGCAAAAUCAACGGAGUCGCGGAGCUGGAAAUACCUGGCUCCAUGGAAACUGGGAAGCUGGAUUCAGCAACAAUUACGGGCGUAUGCCACCGCCAAGUGAUCGAUGGACUGCACCAAUCGUUCCCUCAAGGCCACUCCACCACACCCACGGCUCCUUUUCCCCUUCCGCCAACCCUAGCCGCCGCUCUGCACCGACAGCGCCGGCGCCCGCGCUCUCCACUGCCACUUCGCACCUUCAGCGCCGGCGGCCGCUCUCCACCGUCGGUCGUCCGCCGCCGUCGCAAACCGUCUCCUUCGUCCCCCACCACCCAUCCCCGCCCUGCUCACCCUCAUCUGCUGCUCUGCAUCGACAGCGCCGGCGGCCGCGCUCUCCACCGCCGGUCUGCACCCUCAGCGCCGGCAGCCGCGCUCUCCAUCGCCGGUCGUUCACCGCCGUUGCGAACCAUCUCCUCCGUCCCCGACCACCCAUCCCCGAGCAAACACUUUCUGGCCUGCUUACCUCGUCAAUCGCUCGCAACGAGAAGCUGCAGCACCGAAAGGGUCGCUCACUCCUGGAGUUUAGGUGGGAAGCUGGCUGCUAGAUCUGGGCGACGGAGUUGAGGAUUUUGCAGCUGUGGUGAACUACCGAACACGCCCUAAAGCUCACAAAAGUGAAUUUGAUUUGCGUUGGUGGGGAAGGGAAACCCACUAUUUAAAGGCUCCUGAUCAAGGUUCAGUCACUCAUGCAAUAUUUGAAAUUAACUGUACUAAUUAAGAAGUAAAGACAUUUACUUUUGAUUUGUUCCAAGAUACAAGAGCUAUAUAUCUAGGAAAAAUCUGCAUUUAAUUUGCCGCGCAUUUAAUUUUAUAUUUCAAGAUCAUAUAAAGACAUAUAAAGUAAAUGUAAGAGAUUUUAUUAUUUCUACUAAUGUGUGCGACUAAAUUUCAUAUUCAACCACACCUCUGCUUUUGUGAGGUCCAUUUACAAUAUAAGAUAUGUUAUAAUUUUCUUUAGUAUUUUUAAAUUGCUUUCUUUUAUUGCAUUAGAUAUACGGAAAUAUUAACGCCCACACGUGUGGCAUGUUUGCACUUCGCCCACAUGCGUUGAUACACGUUGAUUCUGUUUUGCACGAAUCCUAAAGAAAUCUGUUAGAUUUUCAGUGCCAUGUGGGCAUCAUCAUGUGUGUGGGCGUUGAAGAGUUCACCCACACGAUCCACAACACGCGGUUGCCAGCUGCGCCGUGUGGGUGAACCAGUUUCUGCCCACACAGUCACCAUGUAGUCCACGCGCGUGUCGGCGAAUUGCUCUUCGCCCACACGACGCUCGUACGUUGUUAGAUGGCAACUGUAGUUGAGCGUAUGUGGCAACUAGGUAAACACACAUGGCAACUAUGAUUCGUUGCUAGAUGGCAACUGCAGUUGUGCGUAUGUGGCAACUUGGUAAACACACAUGGCAAUUGUGAUUAACCAUACAUGGCAACUAUGAUUGGACCACAUGUGGCAACUAGUUAAUCACACAUGGCAACUAUUGUUUGAUCACGUAGGGCAAGUAGUUUAUCAUACAUGGCAACUAUGGUUUGAAUACACGCGGCAACUACUGUUACUUAGACAUGGCAACUACCGUUACUUAGACAUGGCAACUACAUUUGCCAUUCCGGGUGACUAAAGUUGCCAUCCCCCGGGGUAACUAAAGUGCCAUCCCACGGGCGUGCCAGGAUGUGUGGGCAGAUUUGCUUCAUGCCACACACGCGGGGUGAGGAUGAAUAGUAGUUUCUUGGGUGUGUGGCACGAAGUGGCUACACCCACACGUGUGAGUAGCUCUAAUGUUCGCCCACACAUGACCCUUGUGGGCUACCUCCUGCUGACGCCACAUGAUAUGUGGGCGGAUGUCUAAUAUGCCACACGUGUGGACGUGAGUAAUUCCAAGGAUGGAAACAUUAGACUCUACACCUUCAAAGAUAAAUUUAAUCCUUUUAACAAGCUACGUUAGAAAUAGGCUCGUAUUGUAGUUUGCAACUGUGGUCAAAAGGAAGAUGAAGGUCGCCUCUCGUUUUCCACCCCUAACCCUAGGCGGCUAGGGCAAACUCUCCCCAUCAUGUUUCACCGGCGACCCCGUUCAUUCGUCUCCCUUCUGUCUGCCACUCCGAUGGCCGGUGGUGGGAGGGAAAUCCCGAUGCCUCUGCUCCGGAUAGUAGUUUAGGUUAGGUUUUUUUUAGUCCCCGCACAUGUGGCGCUCGGACGAAUGGCCACGCUUCUUCUUUGAGUUUGUCUUCCAGGCUUCGAUCCUCCUCGAGUUCGUCCAGCUAGAUGUAUAGUUGAUGGAGCUCCCAUGUAAAUUCCUACCAUCUCCUUGGGACAAUAGGGUCAGGGUUUCUCGUCAUGUGACGAGAUUUGGUGUCAGGUGCUUCGGAUGUAUGCAAGGGUACAACAGCGAUGACUAUGGCUCCAAGACCCUGGUCCUUAGGGGUACGUGUAGGGAGACUUCCCACUGUUAUCGAUAAGGUCAAGCUGGCUCCGGUAGGGGAGCGACGACAACAUCGUGUCAACUACUUGUUUAGGUUGCAGUAGUGGUCGUUCGUUGGUCUCGGAAUCUCGAUGUAACCUCACAAAAAAAAGAUGAUGAAACCUAACAACUAUAUCUCGCAUUCAGCGAGACGGUAGGAUGUCUCGCUGAAGGGUUACAGUAAUUGGGCCGGCACAUUGGCGCAUAGUUAAAGAAAAAAGGGAAGGGAGAGGAGAGCAUGAGGGAUCAAUCCNNNNNNNNNNNNNNNNNNNNNNNNNNNNNNNNNNNNNNNNNNNNNNNNNNNNNNNNNNNNNNNNNNNNNNNNNNNNNNNNNNNNNNNNNNNNNNNNNNNNUAGUGGUCGUUCGUUGGUCUCGGAAUCUCGAUGUAACCUCACAAAAAAAAGAUGAUGAAACCUAACAACUAUAUCUCGCAUUCAGCGAGACGGUAGGAUGUCUCGCUGAAGGGUUACAGUAAUUGGGCCGGCACAUUGGCGCAUAGUUAAAGAAAAAAGGGAAGGGAGAGGAGAGCAUGAGGGAUCAAUCCCUGGAGGUCCAGGAAGGUAGCGAGCGUGGCUUAGCCACCGCGCCCACCUACUAUUCUUGUUAAGUAACAGGGGCGCCACCUACUUGAAGCGAGUAGAGCCUAUUUUAUUGUUUUUAACGUUUUCUUUUUUUUCUUUCUUUUUUUCUUUUCCAGGUUUUUAGUUUUUUAAUUCUAUUUUCAUUUGUUUUCCGUUUUUUAUUUUUUAUUUGGUUUUCAUUUUUUUCAUUUUCUUUGUUUCUUUUGGUUUUCAUUCUACAUUUUUUGUAUAUGUCAACAACAUUUUUCUAAUGCAUGUUUAACACUUUUGCAAGACAAAUUUAAUUUUCUUAAUACAUGAUCUACAUUUAUAUACACAUUUUCAAUAUUUUUUUAAAUGCUGGAGUAACAUUUUUCAAAUACAUGAUUAGUUUCUUUAAUAUUUGGUCAACAUUAUUCCUAUACAUAGUUUUUAAAAACUUCAAAUGCUUAAUUAACAUUUUUAAAAUACAACAUUAACGUUUUCUAAUACAUGGUCAAUAUUUUUUUCUAUGCAUGUUUAACUUUUUCAAAUGCUUGAUUAACACUUUUUAAGUGCAAUAUUAACAUUUUUUUACGCACAUGGUCAACAUUUUUUCUCAACACAUUUGAAAAUUUUCAAAUUCUUAAUUAAGAUUUUUCACAUACUUGUUCAACACUUUUUCAAAUGCUUGAUUAACAUUUUUAUAUACAUGAUCAAAAAAACAUCAUUUUUUNNNNNNNNNNNNNNNNNNNNNNNNNNNNNNNNNNNNNNNNNNNNNNNNNNNNNNNNNNNNNNNNNNNNNNNNNNNNNNNNNNNNNNNNNNNNNNNNNNNNNNNNNNNNNNNNNNNNNNNNNNNNNNNNNNNNNNNNNNNNNNNNNNNNNNNNNNNNNNNNNNNNNNNNNNNNNNNNNNNNNNNNNNNNNNNNNNNNNNNNNNNNUUUUUUAAUACAAGAUAAACAUUUUUUCCAUACACAUUUAGCAUUUUCCAGAGGGGCUUGAUUAACAUUUUUUACACACAUGAUCAAAAAAAAUAUCAUUUUCUUAAUAAAUGGUAAAACAUUUUUUUCUAUAUAGAUUAAUCAUUUUUCAAAUGCUUGAUUGACAGUUUUCAAAUACUUGUUUAACAGUUUUUUUUUCAAAUGCUUGAAUAACAUUUUUAUAUACAUGAUCAGAAAAAAUCAUCAAUCUUUAAAUACAUGGUCAACAUUUUUUUCUGUACACGUUUAACAUUUUUUCAAAUGCUUGAUUAACAUUUUUCAAAUGCAUGUUUAACACCUUUUCAAAUUCUCGGUUAAGAUGUUAAAAAAUACAAGAUUAAUUAUUUUCAUACAGGUUUUUAACAUUUUUCGNNNNNNNNNNNNNNNNNNNNNNNNNNNNNNNNNNNNNNNNNNNNNNNNNNNNNNNNNNNNNNNNNNNNNNNNNNNNNNNNNNNNNNNNNNNNNNNNNNNNNNNNNNNNNNNNNNNNNNNNNNNNNNNNNNNNNNNNNNNNNNNNNNNNNNNNNNNNNNNNNNNNNNNNNNNNNNNNNNNNNNNNNNNNNNNNNNNNNNNNNNNNNNNNNNNNNNNNNNNNNNNNNNNNNNNNNNNNNNNNNNNNNNNNNNNNNNNNNNNNNNNNNNNNNNNNNNNNNNNNNNNNNNNNNNNNNNNNNNNNNNNNNNNNNNNNNNNNNNNNNNNNNNNNNNNNNNNNNNNNNNNNNNNNNNNNNNNNNNNNNNNNNNNNNNNNNNNNNNNNNNNNNNNNNNNNNNNNNNNNNNNNNNNNNNNNNNNNNNNNNNNNNNNNNNNNNNNNNNNNNNNNNNNNNNNNNNNNNNNNNNNNNNNNNNNNNNNNNNNNNNNNNNNNNNNNNNNNNNNNNNNNNNNNNNNNNNNNNNNNNNNNCAAUGGUAGUUACCCCCUAGCCGUCUGUCCUCCACGUGUCACUUCUUAUCCUAAGCCAAACGGGUUGGUGGAUGAGAAAGAAUCCAAUAGCCGCCAGCUAACAAACAUCUAAUUAAAUAAUUAAAUAAAUGAUGAGAGUUUGUUCAACAACCUGCUACUUCCUUGGCCGGCCGAACGAAACACCAUGAACAGAUAAGAUCUUUUUAUAAGUUGAACGUGCUGGCCCAAACAUCUCUUGUAUUUUUCUUUUUUGAGGAAUCACUUGUAUACUUCUGGCUCGAGUAAGUAGAACUACAUGGUUUGGAAAAUACUAGUAUAUAGUAUAUUGUUUGGAAAAACAGCAUGUAGUAUAUUGUUUCGAAAAUAGUAUAUCAUGGAGUUUGAAAAAAAGUAUAUUUGGGAGCUAUGAAUAUAUAGUUUGUAGCAUCGAGUAUAUGCACGGUGUGAAGUUAAAAGGAGUAUACAGUAUGGUAGUAUGUAGUAUGGAGUACACAGUGAAAUUGAAAGGGGUAUAUACAGUAUGGUAGUAUGUAGUAUGGAGUACAUAGUGUGGAAUUGAAAGGAGUAUAUCGUAUGUGCGGACGAGUAUAUAUAGUUGAAAAACGUGUAUUUUGGUGUAUNNNNNNNNNNNNNNNNNNNNNNNNNNNNNNNNNNNNNNNNNNNNNNNNNNNNNNNNNNNNNNNNNNNNNNNNNNNNNNNNNNNNNNNNNNNNNNNNNNNNNNNNNNNNNNNNNNNNNNNNNNNNNNNNNNNNNNNNNNNNNNNNNNNNNNNNNNNNNNNNNNNNNNNNNNNNNNNNNNNNNNNNNNNNNNNNNNNNNNNNNNNNNNNNNNNNNNNNNNNNNNNNNNNNNNNNNNNNNNNNNNNNNNNNNNNNNNNNNNNNNNNNNNNNNNNNNNNNNNNNNNNNNNNNNNNNNNNNNNNNNNNNNNNNNNNNNNNNNNNNNNNNNNNNNNNNNNNNNNNNNNNNNNNNNNNNNNNNNNNNNNNNNNNNNNNNNNNNNNNNNNNNNNNNNNNNNNNNNNNNNNNNNNNNNNNNNNNNNNNNNNNNNNNNNNNNNNNNNNNNNNNNNNNNNNNNNNNNNNNNNNNNNNNNNNNNNNNNNNNNNNNNNNNNNNNNNNNNNNNNNNNNNNNNNNNNNNNNNNNNNNNNNNNNNNNNNNNNNNNNNNNNNNNNNNNNNNNNNNNNNNNNNNNNNNNNNNNNNNNNNNNNNNNNNNNNNNNNNNNNNNNNNNNNNNNNNNNNNNNNNNNNNNNNNNNNNNNNNNNNNNNNNNNNNNNNNNNNNNNNNNNNNNNNNNNNNNNNNNNNNNNNNNNNNNNNNNNNNNNNNNNNNNNNNNNNNNNNNNNNNNNNNNNNNNNNNNNNNNNNNNNNNNNNNNNNNNNNNNNNNNNNNNNNNNNNNNNNNNNNNNNNNNNNNNNNNNNNNNNNNNNNNNNNNNNNNNNNNNNNNNNNNNNNNNNNNNNNNNNNNNNNNNNNNNNNNNNNNNNNNNNNNNNNNNNNNNNNNNNNNNNNNNNNNNNNNNNNNNNNNNNNNNNNNNNNNNNNNNNNNNNNNNNNNNNNNNNNNNNNNNNNNNNNNNNNNNNNNNNNNNNNNNNNNNNNNNNNNNNNNNNNNNNNNNNNNNNNNNNNNNNNNNNNNNNNNNNNNNNNNNNNNNNNNNNNNNNNNNNNNNNNNNNNNNNNNNNNNNNNNNNNNNNNNNNNNNNNNNNNNNNNNNNNNNNNNNNNNNNNNNNNNNNNNNNNNNNNNNNNNNNNNNNNNNNNNNNNNNNNNNNNNNNNNNNNNNNNNNNNNNNNNNNNNNNNNNNNNNNNNNNNNNNNNNNNNNNNNNNNNNNNNNNNNNNNNNNNNNNNNNNNNNNNNNNNNNNNNNNNNNNNNNNNNNNNNNNNNNNNNNNNNNNNNNNNNNNNNNNNNNNNNNNNNNNNNNNNNNNNNNNNNNNNNNNNNNNNNNNNNNNNNNNNNNNNNNNNNNNNNNNNNNNNNNNNNNNNNNNNNNNNNNNNNNNNNNNNNNNNNNNNNNNNNNNNNNNNNNNNNNNNNNNNNNNNNNNNNNNNNNNNNNNNNNNNNNNNNNNNNNNNNNNNNNNNNNNNNNNNNNNNNNNNNNNNNNNNNNNNNNNNNNNNNNNNNNNNNNNNNNNNNNNNNNNNNNNNNNNNNNNNNNNNNNNNNNNNNNNNNNNNNNNNNNNNNNNNNNNNNNNNNNNNNNNNNNNNNNNNNNNNNNNNNNNNNNNNNNACUAUGUGGUAAUAUAUAUACUACUUUAUCAUUUUUAGUAUGUUCAUAUACUAUAUUUAAGAUACUCCAAACCGAGUUAUGUGAAAAAAUUGCAUGUGAGCCCAUGUUUUUAUCAUAUUUGUGAAAAUAGGUACAUAUUUGUAUGUAAAAAGAAGUAUGCUAAAAAUAUACUAUGUACUACUUAAAAAAUAGUACAUAUACUACCUAAAUAUUCUUACAUACUACAUACUACACAUACAUACACUGCGGUAUGGUAGAUACUACCUAAAACGUACAAAAUAAAAAUGGGUGUAACUACACCCGGUAGUAGGAAAAAUUCGUCGUAUAUAUAUAUAUAUAGGGAAAAUCCAUCCUACCACCCGGUGGUAGUUACCCCAUAUGUCUCAUAUACUACCAUAUGGUACUAAACUUGAAAAAAACACUCUAGUUUUGAUAUACAUAUAUCACAAAAAAUAUAUUAUGUUUCACUCAAAAUAUAUUCCUCGGCUUGUUUUGAUGAUGUGAGGGAGGGAUGUGGUUGGUUUCAAGAUACUAAGGGGUUUUCUGCAAAUUGGAGUAGAAAAGUGGCCUAUUGUUGCAAAAAGGCCAGAACUUACCUCACAGUCGUUAGAUGCAGAUCUAAUGGUCAGAAAUGACAGAUGACAGACACACCGUCACCACCAACUGAGUCUUCUAUAGGUGUAAAGAUUAUAUAACAAAAGUAAAAAAUAAAGAAAAAACGAACACAAAAAACGUAAAAAAAAAACGAGGCUGUGGCCUCUCGCGUGCCUGGGCCAGCCCAAUCCGCCCUUGCCUUCAGCGAGGGUUCCUUGAGAUAUAGGGGCGCCCAUGAUGAAGGACGUCGGUGGAUGAGUUUAUGUUUGGCAGAUGUGUGCAUUGUGUGGGUUGUGUUGGGCCAAGGAGUGGGUGAGGCCUUCAUGCCUGUGGAUGGCGUUCAAAAUUGUCGUCCACAUAUACGGUAAAGGUUUCCCUAAAAAAAUGUGGUAAAGGUAGCCUGUUCUUAGAAAAAAGUGUGGUAAAGAUAACUUGUUCUUAAAUUGUAAAAUGGGGGUGAGGCGUUCAUGCCUGUGGAUGGGGUACAAAAUUGUUGUCCACAUAUGUGGUAAAGGUUCUCCUAAAUAACUUAUGAUAAAGGUAGCAUGUUCUUAAAAGAAAUGUGUUGUAAAGGUCACUUGUUCUUAAAUUGAAAAAUGGUAAAGGUAGCCACCAACUCCAUUCUCUUUGCAUGUCCCGUUUCCCGGAACGAGAGGAUGGGUACCAAUAGACGCCGGUGCGCCGGCCGAAUCGUUCGGCCGGUCCAACCAGGAUCGUACGACCCCAGGAAUCUAGUCGUCCGAUAUGCCUUUUACCGUUCGUCCUUCUUCUCCAUGGCCUUCCUCAAGAAAUUGCAGCACCGCAUAGACGAAGAGACAGGAGGCUACGACCAGCACCGUCGACCCCCGCCGUAAUUCGCCGCCUCGCCGCAGCUUCGCUGCCGGUCGUCGCCCUCGCCGGUGGUCGCCGCCCUCGCCGGUGGUCGCCGCCCUCGCCGGCGGUCGACGUCUCCCAUGUGUCUCUCAUCGGGCGCCACAACCCCCACCCUCCCCACGCACGUUUUGCUGCGUCGCGGGAGAUCACCGGCGUUGGCGACGGUGACCAACACGCUGUAAAACCACCAUCGCGCCGCCAAUGCUUCCCGGCCAUGGAUUUUUCUCGAACCGUCGAUGUGAAUGCUGGAAACAUAUUUGGAAAAUGCUGGAACCGGCUAUUAGAUAUGUUGCAUCCGAUGAUGUUUUUUGAUGGAACCAGAGCUGUACCCAGAAACGCGGUCGUCAUCGUUUGUUACAACCGUACCCGAUAAAGGCUACAUCCACGUUCAUACAAAGCUGCAACCUUUUCACACCAAAAACUACAUCCAACGACGACAUAUGUUGACAAAUGUUACAACUGUACAUUGAAAAAGCUUCGUCCAUGUUCACGAAAGCUGCAACCGGCGAGCGUGGUGACCGCGCACGGUGAUUUUGUUUUUGCUACAACCAAUUUCGUUUUCUUUGCUACUACCAGCUUCGUUUUUUGAUACAGCCAUGGCUGGUGAGCGUGGUGACCGCGGGCGGCGAGGAUGGGCAGCCCUGCUCCAAGCAACAUUCGCGCGAGGACGGCCUCGUGGAUUUAUGCUAUAUGCUACAACCGGCAUUGAAAAUUGCUACCACCACGUGCCGUAUAGCUACAACCGCAAUCGUGAUUUGCUGCAUCGCACGACAAUGCGUUUUUUGCUGGAAGCGAUGCUCAUAUUUGCUGGAACGGGGUGAGCGAGAUGUUGCAACGGCGAGGGAUCUAUGCGACAAGCAGCGACUCACGGACAUGAGCGGCGGCAAGCCCGCCGGUGAGCUGCAGCUCCACCGGAGCUACGACCGUCGCGUCGAGAGCUGCAAAACAGCAGGUUGUGUGGGUGCAUGAACGACAACGAGGAUGGCCAGCGAUGGCGGCGAACAGCGACGAGGACGGCCGGCAUGGGCGGCGACCGGCGACUUGGACAGCCGGCGUGGGUGAGGACUGGAGAUGCGGCCGGCCAGCCCGCGAGAUGAGAGAGAGAGAUGAAGCAGUGCAGCCGCACAGGGCGUUGAUGGCGAGCAGUUGGUUUGAUGGCGAGCAGUUGGUGGACCCGGUCACCACGCAUCUCACCACGCGAGAAGCCUGCCGUAUGAUAAAAGUAGAUCGCACUGGUCGUGCGCGACCGGCCAAAUGUUCGGCCGACGCGCCGUUCUGAAACGUUUCCCUAUUUCCUAGCGGGAGACUUGCGGGUCAAGGUCGGCAACGGGAUGUGUUAAAUUGAGAGGGGUUUUACGGUGCAAAUUACUAGUCACGGGAGAGACUAGUAUUUGAACAGAUCCACCGUUGAUUUGAAGGGUAAUUUAGGCACUUUAUAUUAGAUUUUUUUCUCUUAGCCCAAGGGCAGUUUAGUCCGAUAAAAAGUUUAAUAAUCAACUAAAAGUCCCGACUGAGUCGGCCCCUACACCUGCAUUCUCGUCACCCAAGCCCGAAUUGCCGCUCUCUCGCCGCCGCCCGCCCCUGCCGCGCCGUCCGCCUCGGGAUCCUUCCUGCCCGUCUGUUCCGGCCACCACAGCCCACUCGUCGCUUUCGCCACCAUUUGUCGCUGCCGCGCCGUCCGCCUCCUAUCCUUCUUGCCCGUCCAUUUCGUCCGCCGCAGCCGACCCGUGGCUCUCGCCGCCGCUUGCGGCUGCCGUGCCUUCCACGUCCGGAACCUUCCCGCCCGUCCGUUCCGUCUGCCUCUAAUAGGAGCUGUGGCCGCCACUUGCCGUUGCACCACCGCCCGCUAAUCAGCUGUCACCGUUGGCCCCGCCUGUCCGUCCGUCUCUACCACUGCUGGUCGGCCUGCAGAAAGGUAAUGCUUGAACAUGACCAACUCUCAAUCAAAAACUUAGUAGCCACAUAUUACUGAAUUUGCUUGGCGGAAUCACAAAGUUUAUAUUGUUUGCCUACAGUACAGGGAAAGUUAAUUCACAUCUUUAGGAUACAUGCAAUUAGGGUUCACAUUUUUGUGUUGGUUGUCAUGUAGAAGAAGUGAUUUACAUUUUUUAUGAUGUAGUUUGGCACUGGAGAUGCCUAAAUAACAUUAUUCAGUUUUUUUGUGGAUGGCAGUUACACAACAUGGAUGCUCACCACGUCAGCAUAGAGGAAAUUGAAGAAUAUUACAUGGUGGUUAGUCAAAAAUUCACAAGCGAGAAACAAGGUUUCGAGUUCUAUAACAGAUAUGCUAAAGCCAAUGGGUUUAGCGUGAGGAAGGCCAAUGUGAAAAACAAGGGAGGCAUAAGAAUCCAAAGGUUGUACAUGUGCAGCAAAGGAGGAUAUAGGUCCUUGAAAAACUUUGAAAGGUCCAACCGGAAAAGGAAACAAGGGCACUCUCUUGUUGUGGAUGUGACGCUCGACUGCAAAUCGAGCUCAAUAUGGAAACCCGUGAAUGGUUUGUCAAGGACUUUGUGGACCAGCAUAACCAUGAAUUCACUAAGCCUGACCAGACACCUUUCUUAUGGUCUCAUCGUGGACUUAAUGAUCCUCAAAAGGCUGAUGCAUUGAGUAUGGUAUUGGUGGUCUACGCACACAUCAGAUAAUGGACGUAAUGGAGAAGCAGCAUGGUGGGUAUGACAAAGUCGGCUGUGUGUCUCGGGACCUAUAUAAUUUUGUUGCUGAGUACAAGAAGCAAAGGAUCGAAGGUUUUGAUGCCCAAUACAUGCUGAACUAUAUGGCGGCGCAGGAAGAGAGAGAUUCUGAAUUCUGUUACAGGUACAUCAAAGACAGCGAAGGCCAUCUGCAGAACCUUUUUUGGUCAGACGCGCAGUCCCGGUUGGAAUAUGAUGCCUUUGGUGGUGUUGUUGUGUUUGACAGCACGUACCGUGUAAACAAAUAUAACUUGCCAUUUUUCCCAUUCAUUGGAUUGAACCACCAUUGCAGCACAGUUGUCUUUGGGGUCGGCAUUGUAUCAGACGAGACCGUGGCAUCAUAUAAGUGGUUGCUCCAUUCAUUUUUGGAGGCGAUGCACCAGAACCAUCUGAGGUCCGUGAUCACUGAUGGGGACCAUGCAAUACCACAGUUAAUAAUAUGAAACGUACCUGUAUUAGGGCUAGGUUGCCAGCUGGCCACCUUAAAUAUCUUCAUUACGCAUCUACGACAAGCAUAGGUCUUCAUUAAACUAUAUGUGGAGGAUCUGGAGUGGCACUAGGAGACUUCACCACCUCAAUUGAUUACAGUCAACGGUCGAAGCCACUAAUGCAGGACUGGACAGAGGAGAAGGCCAAGAAGGUACUACCUCCGUCCGGGUUCAUUGGUCCCCAUUGUAUUUCGUGCCAAAUUUUGACCAUAAUUAAACUAACAAAAUGUUCAUGCAUGUCACCAAACAUUAUAUUUUUGAAAACUAUGUUCAAAUAUGAAUCCAAUGAGAUAAUUUUUCUUGACAUGCAUUAACAUUUUCUUAGUUAAAUCUUUAGUCAAAAUUUGACAAAAACUACAAAGGAGACCUAUAAACCAGGACGGAGGUAGUAGCAGUGGUCAUCGAAAAACAUGGCUUCGGAGUUGGAGAGGUAACUUGAGCCAUGUUCUAAUUCAAACAUGUUUUUCAUUCAAUCAUUUCUAUUAUGAUUAAUUUUCAUGCAAUUGCAGGUUGUUGACGACCUGAAAGAGCCUUUCAAGUCCCAAAAAGAGCCAUCUUGCUCUGAAAGUCUACCUUCAGGUCUGAAGGAGCCCAACAAAGAAGUAUUGGUAUGUUCAUCUCUUGUGUACUAUUUCCUACUGCAGUUUAUCGUAAAGCAUCUAACCUUUUCCCUACUCUUUACUUUGUUAGGCCAUGUUUGGUACACUCAUUGGCCUGGUGAAGGAGCUUAAGCCAUUGCUACUAAAACACCAUGCUGAAACCUAUAUUCAGUUUGGCCAUGCAAAUCUGAACAUGCAGGACAUUAUGCAUCAACAGAGAUGUCUGGGUUUUCGUUUUGAGGACUUCAUCUCACCCUACAAUGUAAGUGUCUUCGGUGUUUAUACCUUCUACUAAAAUAUUGAAAAUGACACAUGAUCUUUUAUUUUUGCAGGACCAUCGUUAUGGAAUUUCUAACAAAACAAAACCCACACAUGCGUCAGCAUUUCAGAAUUCAGGGAAGGAGCAAAAGUCAACCUUCAGGAACCUUUCACCUGAAUUACAGGUAAGCACAUAUACAUCUUUAAUUAAUUUAUUAAUCUUUAGAAAGAGAGAAUCACAUCUGGUGACUUUUAGUAGUGGCCAACACUCUAGCCAGAUUGAUUUCAUCCUCUCGAGAAGAGAAGAUAGGCGUGCGUGCCUAGACUGUAAGGUGAUACCUGGGGAGAGUGUUGUACCCCAGCAUAAGCUGGUGGUUGCUGACUUCCGCUUUCGGAUUCGUGUCCAGCGGGAUAAGCGUGCCAAGGUCGCUAGAACGAAGUGGUGGAAGCUCAAGAGGGAGGUAGCUCAGGUGUUCAAGGAGAGGGUAAUUAAGGAGGGCCCUUGGGAGGAAGGAGGGGAUGCGGACAAUGUGUGGAUGAAGAUGGCGACUUGCAUUCGUAAGGUGGCCUCAGAGGAGUUUGGAGUGUCCAGGGGAAGGAGAAGCGAAGAUAAGGAUACCUGGUGGUGGAAUGAUGAUGUCCAGAAGGCGAUUAAAGAGAACAAAGAUUGCUUCAGACGCCUAUACCUGGAUAGGAGUGCAGACAACAUAGAGAAGUACAAGAUGGUGAAGAAGGCCGCAAAGCGAGCUGUUGGUGAAGCAAGGGGUCGGGCAUAUGAGGACCUCUACCAACGGUUAGGCACGAAGGAAGGUGAAAGGGACAUCUAUAAGAUGGAUAAGAUCCGAGAGAGGAAGACGAGGGAUAUUGGCCAAGUCAAAUGCAUCAAGGACGGAGUAGGCCAACUCUUGGUGAAGGACGGAGAGAUUAAGCAUAGAUGGCGGGAGUACUUCGACAAGCUGUUCAAUGGGGAGAAUGAGAGUUCUACCAUUGAACUGGACGACUCCUUUGAUGAGACCAGCAUGCGUUUUGUGCGGCGCAUCCAGGAGUCUGAGGUGAAGGAGGCUUUAAAAAGGAUGAAAGGAGGCAAGGCGAUGGGCCCUGAUUGUAUCCCCAUUGAGGUGUGGAAAGGUCUCGGGGACAUAGCGAUAGUAUGGCUAACCAAGCUUUUCAACCUCAUUUUUCAGGCAAACAAGAUGCCAGAAGAAUGGAGACGGAGUAUAUUAGUACCAAUCUUCAAGUACAAGGGGGAUGUUCAGAGUUGUACUAAUUACCAUGGAAUUAAGCUGAUGAGCCAUACAAUGAAGCUAUGGGAGAGAGUCAUUGAGCACCGCUUAAGAAGAAUGACAAGUGUGACCAAAAAUCAGUUUGGUUUCAUGCCUGGGAGGUCGACCAUGGAAGCCAUUUUCUUGGUACGACAACUUAUGGAGAGAUAUAGGGAGCAAAAGAAGGACUUGCAUAUUGUGUUCAUUGACUUGGAGAAGGCCUAUGAUAAGAUACCGCGGAAUGUCAUGUGGUGGGCCUUGGAGAAACACAAAGUCCCAGCAAAGUACAUUACCCUCAUCAAGGACAUGCACAAUAAUGUUGUGACAAGUAUUCGAACAAGUGAUGUCGACACCGAUGACUUCCCGAUUACGAUAGGACUGCAUCAGGGGUCAGCUUUGAGCCCUUAUCUUUUUGCAUUGGUGAUGGAUGAGGUCACAAGGGGUAUACAAGGAGAUAUCCCAUGGUGUAUGCUCUUUGCGGAUGAUGUGGUGCUAGUUGACGAUAGUCGGACGGGGGUAAAUAGGAAGUUAGAGUUAUGGAGACAAACCUUGGAAUCGAAAGGGUUUAGGCUUAGUAGAACUAAAACCGAGCACAUAAUGUAUGGUUUCAGUACUACUAGGUGUGAGGAGGAGGAGGUUAGCCUUGAUGGCCAGGUGGUACCUCGGAAGGACACCUUUCGAUAUUUGGGGUCAAUGUUGCAGGAGGAUGGGGGUAUUGAUGAAGAUGUGAACCAUCGAAUCAAAGCCGGAUGGAUGAAGUGGCGCCAAGCUUCUGGCAUUCUCUGUGACAAGAGAGUGCCACAAAAGCUAAAAGGCAAAGCUAAAAGGCAAGUUCUACAGGACGGCGGUUCGACCCGCAAUGUUGUAUGGCGUGGAGUGUUGGCCGACUAAAAGGCGACAUGUUCAACAGUUAGGUGUGGCGGAGAUGCGUAUGUUGAGAUGGAUGUGUGGCCAUACGAGGAAGAAUCGAAUCCGAAAUGAUGAUAUACGAGAUAGAGUUGGGGUAGCACCAAUUGAGGAGAAGCUUGUCCAACAUCGUUUGAGAUGCUUUGGGCAUAUUCAGCGCAGGCCUCCAGAAGCUCCAGUGCAUAGCGGACGGCUUAAGCGUGCGGAGAAUGUCAAGAGAGGGCGGGGUCGACCGAAUUUGACAUGGGAGGAGUCCGUUAAGAGAGACCUGAAGGAUUGGAGUAUCGACAAAGAGCUAGUAUGAACAGGGGUGCGUGGAAGCUUGCUAUCCAUGUGCCAGAGCCAUGAGUUGGUUGCGAGAUCUUAUGGGCUUCACCUCUAGUCUAUCCUAACUUGUUUGGGACUAAAGGCUUUGUUGUUGUUGUUGUUGUUGUUGUUGUUGUUGUUGUUGUGUAAAUCUAAGACCUCACCGCAUAUUGCAGAGUGCUGCUAAGAGCCCCAAGCAUGCAGACAAAAAGUUCACUACGAAAGGAGCUACCAGUAAAGAUGUAAAAGCGGCCGAGGAUGAAUCCCCAAACCUUUUCCACAAAUCUGAGGUAAGCUCACAUACGAAAUUAAUUAUUUGCAAGUCCAGUUGUUUUCUGUAAAUAUAAUACCUCUCUUGCAUGCUACAAAUCAAGUUCUCUGUCAAUAUAAUACCUCUCUUGCAUGUUACAGAGUGUUGCGAAGACCGCUGAUAAGAUGCCAGUCCGUAUGAACCAAGUAGCUAAAGAUGUAGCCGAGGAAGACUCAAUUGGGUACAGAAUCCGUAAAGAAGGAAGGAAGUCUACAUCUUUCAGAAAGAUGAUUUUCUGUAUUACGACGCACCGAAAACAAAAAAGACUAGGAAGACUAAAGUAAAAAAUGACAACUUUGUGUCUGAAGGCAACAAGGAUGAGCUUGAUGUUCACCAAAUCAGAGAUUAUAUAAAUGAAUCACCCAUUUUUGAUGAGCUUGUUCACAUUGAUGAGGUUUAUCUAGAGCAAAGGCUUUGAUCCGUAUGUGGUCGCUACUCACUUCGACGGAGGCCAGGGGGCGUUUGGCUACUGCGUCUACCCGAUGGGAGAUGGUAGCUCGGGUUAUUUUCAACCGGUUUGGAUGGCGGUCAUGUAAUAGGAUAGGCAUGUAGUGCUCCUAUUUUAUUUACCAGCCGGUUGUGGCUUUCGAUUUGGCUCUUGUGAGCGUUUUGUUUCAUUUUUUACUUCGAGACUUGGAGACUUUGUUGGCGGUUUCUUUUUAAUAAUAUGAGCCGUAUGCAUCUUUCUGGUGCAGAGGCUGGGGUAAAAACCCCUUUUCGAAAAAAAAUCUAGAGCAAAGGCAUCUAAGUGUCUUAACCAGCGACAAUGUUACCCGAGAAAGUGACAAGUGGUUGGGAGAACAGGUAUCUUUACUUUCUGAUUUGAAAGAAAAAAAUUCAUAUUGUUGGUUUAAAUUGAAAUCUUAAUUGUGUGUGUUUUUUCAAAUAAAAUAGCUACUUGAUGCUGGCAUCGAGUUGCUUAGGGCCAGCAAAGUUGAAGAUGUGAGGAAGGAUGAAAGGGUCUAUCUCGAAAGAUCAAUCAAGACCCAACUUCUGAAGCGUGAUGGGCUUCCUAACAUGCAGAAGGAGGUUCUGUCUGGAAAAUAUGGUACAGAACAAGGGGACAAUUACCUUGCUCAUGAGAUGGUAAGAACCACCCUACACAAAACAUAAACAUAUGAAAGCCGAAAACUAAUUGUAUUUUUUUUNNNNNNNNNNUGCCUGGGCCAGCCCAAUCCGCCCUUGCCUUCAGCGAGGGUUCCUUGAGAUAUAGGGGCGCCCAUGAUGAAGGACGUCGGUGGAUGAGUUUAUGUUUGGCAGAUGUGUGCAUUGUGUGGGUUGUGUUGGGCCAAGGAGUGGGUGAGGCCUUCAUGCCUGUGGAUGGCGUUCAAAAUUGUCGUCCACAUAUACGGUAAAGGUUUCCCUAAAAAAAUGUGGUAAAGGUAGCCUGUUCUUAGAAAAAAGUGUGGUAAAGAUAACUUGUUCUUAAAUUGUAAAAUGGGGGUGAGGCGUUCAUGCCUGUGGAUGGGGUACAAAAUUGUUGUCCACAUAUGUGGUAAAGGUUCUCCUAAAUAACUUAUGAUAAAGGUAGCAUGUUCUUAAAAGAAAUGUGUUGUAAAGGUCACUUGUUCUUAAAUUGAAAAAUGGUAAAGGUAGCCACCAACUCCAUUCUCUUUGCAUGUCCGGUUUCCCGGAACGAGAGGAUGGGUACCAAUAGACGCCGGUGCGCCGGCCGAAUCGUUCGGCCGGUCCAACCAGGAUCGUACGACCCCAGGAAUCUAGUCGUCCGAUAUGCCUUUUACCGUUCGUCCUUCUUCUCCAUGGCCUUCCUCAAGAAAUUGCAGCACCGCAUAGACGAAGAGACAGGAGGCUACGACCAGCACCGUCGACCCCCGCCGUAAUUCGCCGCCUCGCCGCAGCUUCGCUGCCGGUCGUCGCCCUCGCCGGUGGUCGCCGCCCUCGCCGGUGGUCGCCGCCCUCGCCGGCGGUCGACGUCUCCCAUGUGUCUCUCAUCGGGCGCCACAACCCCCACCCUCCCCACGCACGUUUUGCUGCAUCGCGGGAGAUCACCGGCGUUGGCGACGGUGACCAACACGCUGUAAAACCACCAUCGCGCCGCCGAUGCUUCCCGGCCAUGGAUUUUUCUCGAACCGUCGAUGUGAAUGCUGGAAACAUAUUUGGAAAAUGCUGGAACCGGCUAUUAGAGAUGUUGCAUCCGAUGAUGUUUUUUGUUGGAACCAGAGCUGUAGCCAGAAACGUGGUCGUCAUCGUUUGUUACAACCGUACCCGAUAAAGGCUACAUCCACGUUCAUACAAAGCUGCAACCUUUUCACACCAAAAACUACAUCCAACGACGACAUAUGUUGACAAAUGUUACAACUGUACAUUGAAAAAGCUUCGUCCAUGUUCACGAAAGCUGCAACCGGCGAGCGUGGUGACCGCGCACGGUGAUUUUGUUUUUGCUACAACCAAUUUCGUUUUCUUUGCUACUACCAGCUUCCUUUUUUGAUACAGCCAUGGCUGGUGAGCGUGGUGAUCGCGGGCGGCGAGGAUGGGCAGCCCUGCUCCAAGCAACAUUCGCGCGAGGACGGCCUCGUGGAUUUAUGCUAUAUGCUACAACCGGCAUUGAAAAUUGCUACCACCACGUGCCGUAUAGCUACAACCGCAAUCGUGAUUUGCUGCAUCGCACGACAAUGCGUUUUUUGCUGGAAGCGAUGCUCAUAUUUGCUGGAACGGGGUGAGCGAGAUGUUGCAACGGCGAGGGAUCUAUGCGACAAGCAGCGACUCACGGACAUGAGCGGCGGCAAGCCCGCCGGUGAGCUGCAGCUCCACCGGAGCUACGACCGUCGCGUCGAGAGCUGCAAAACAGCAGGUUGUGUGGGUGCAUGAACGACAACGAGGAUGGCCAGCGAUGGCGGCGAACAGCGACGAGGACGGCCGGCAUGGGCGGGGACCGGCGACUUGGACAGCCGGCGUGGGUGAGGACUGGAGAUGCGGCCGGCCAGCCCGCGAGAUGAGAGAGAGAGAUGAAGCAGUGCAGCCGCACAGGGCGUUGAUGACGAGCAGUUGGUUUGAUGGCGAGCAGUUGGUGGACCCGGUCACCACGCAUCUCACCACGCGAGAAGCCUGCCGUAUGAUAAAAGUAGAUCGCACUGGUCGUGCGCGACCGGCCAAAUGUUCGGCCGACGCGCCGUUCUGAAACGUUUCCCUAUUUCCUAGCGGGAGACUUGCGGGUCAAGGUCGGCAACGGGAUGUGUUAAAUUGAGAGGGGUUUUACGGUGCAAAUUACUAGUCACGGGAGAGACUAGUAUUUGAACAGAUCCACCGUUGAUUUGAAGGGUAAUUUAGGCACUUUAUAUUAGAUUUUUUUCUCUUAGCCCAAGGGCAGUUUAGUCCGAUAAAAAGUUUAAUAAUCAACUAAAAGUCCCGACUGAGUCGGCCCCUACACCUGCAUUCUCGUCACCCAAGCCCGAAUUGCCGCUCUCUCGCCGCCGCCCGCCCCUGCCGCGCCGUCCGCCUCGGGAUCCUUCCUGCCCGUCUGUUCCGGCCACCACAGCCCACUCGUCGCUUUCGCCACCAUUUGUCGCUGCCGCGCCGUCCGCCUCCUAUCCUUCUUGCCCGUCCAUUUCGUCCACCGCAGCCGACCCGUGGCUCUCGCCGCCGCUUGCGGCUGCCGUGCCUUCCACGUCCGGAACCUUCCUGCCCGUCCGUUCCGUCUGCCUCUAACAGGAGCUGUGGCCGCCACUUGCCGUUGCACCACCGCCCGCUAAUCAGCUGUCACCGUUGGCCCCGCCUGUCCGUCCGUCUCUACCACUGCUGGUCGGCCUGCAGAAAGGUAAUGCUUGAACAUGACCAACUCUCAAUCAAAAACUUAGUAGCCACAUAUUACUGAAUUUGCUUGGCGGAAUCACAAAGUUUAUAUUGUUUGCCUACAGUACAGGGAAAGUUAAUUCACAUCUUUAGGAUACAUGCAAUUAGGGUUCACAUUUUUGUGUUGGUUGUCAUGUAGAAGAAGUGAUUUACAUUUUUUAUGAUGUAGUUUGGCACUGGAGAUGCCUAAAUAACAUUAUUCAGUUUUUUUGUGGAUGGCAGUUACACAACAUGGAUGCUCACCACGUCAGCAUAGAGGAAAUUGAAGAAUAUUACAUGGUGGUUAGUCAAACAUUCACAAGCGAGAAACAAGGUUUCGAGUUCUAUAACAGAUAUGCUAAAGCCAAUGGGUUUAGCGUGAGGAAGGCCAAUGUGAAAAACAAGGGAGGCAUAAGAAUCCAAAGGUUGUACAUGUGCAGCAAAGAAGGAUAUAGGUCCUUGAAAAACUUUGAAAGGUCCAACCGGAAAAGGAAACAAGGGCACUCUCUUGUUGUGGAUGUGACGCUCGACUGCAAAUCGAGCUCAAUAUGGAAACCCGUGAAUGGUUUGUCAAGGACUUUGUGGACCAGCAUAACCAUGAAUUCACUAAGCCUGACCAGACACCUUUCUUAUGGUCUCAUCGUGGACUUAAUGAUCCUCAAAAGGCUGAUGCAUUGAGUAUGGUAUUGGUGGUCUACGCACACAUCAGAUAAUGGACGUAAUGGAGAAGCAGCAUGGUGGGUAUGACAAAGUCGGCUGUGUGUCUCGGGACCUAUAUAAUUUUGUUGCUGAGUACAAGAAGCAAAGGAUCGAAGGUUUUGAUGCCCAAUACAUGCUGAACUAUAUGGCGGCGCAGGAAGAGAGAGAUUCUGAAUUCUUUUACAGGUACAUCACAGACAGCGAAGGCCAUCCGCAGAACCUUUUUUGGUCAGACGCGCAGUCCCGGUUGGAAUAUGAUGCCUUUGGUGGUGUUGUUGUGUUUGACAGCACGUACCGUGUAAACAAAUAUAACUUCCCAUUUUUCCCAUUCAUUGGAUUGAACCACCAUUGCAGCACAGUUGUCUUUGGGGUCGGCAUUGUAUCAGACGAGACCGUGGCAUCAUAUAAGUGGUUGCUCCAUUCAUUUUUGGAGGCGAUGCACCAGAACCAUCUGAGGUCCGUGAUCACUGAUGGGGACCAUGCAAUACCACAGUUAAUAAUAUGAAACGUACCUGUAUUAGGGCUAGGUUGCUAGCUGGCCACCUUAAAUAUCUUCAUUACGCAUCUACGACAAGCAUAGGUCUUCAUUAAACUAUAUGUGGAGGAUCUGGAGUGGCACUAGGAGACUUCACCACCUCAAUUGAUUACAGUCAACGGUCGAAGCGACUAAUGCGGACUGGACAGAGGAGAAGGCCAAGAAGGUACUACCUCCGUCCGGGUUCAUUGGUCCCCAUUGUAUUUCGUGCCAAAUUUUGACCAUAAUUAAACUAACAAAAUGUUCAUGCAUGUCACCAAACAUUAUAUUUUUGAAAACUAUGUUCAAAUAUGAAUCCAAUUAGAUAAUUUUUCUUGACAUGCAUUAACAUUUUCUUAGUUAAAUCUUUAGUCAAAAUUUGACAAAAACUACAAAGGAGACCUAUAAACCAGGACGGAGGUAGUAGCAGUGGUCAUCGAAAAACAUGGCUUCGGAGUUGGAGAGGUAACUUGAGCCAUGUUCUAAUUCAAACAUGUUUUUCAUUCAAUCAUUUCUAUUAUGAUUAAUUUUCAUGCAAUUGCAGGUUGUUGACGACCUGAAAGAGCCUUUCAAGUCCCAAAAAGAGCCAUCUUGCUCUGAAAGUCUACCUUCAGGUCUGAAGGAGCCCAACAAAGAAGUAUUGGUAUGUUCAUCUCUUGUGUACUAUUUCCUACUGCAGUUUAUCGUAAAGCAUCUAACCUUUUCCCUACUCUUUACUUUGUUAGGCCAUGUUUGGUACACUCAUUGGCCUGGUGAAGGAGCUUAAGCCAUUGCUACUAAAACACCAUGCUGAAACCUAUAUUCAGUUUGGCCAUGCAAAUCUGAACAUGCAGGACAUUAUGCAUCAACAGAGAUGUCUGGGUUUUCGUUUUGAGGACUUCAUCUCACCCUACAAUGUAAGUGUCUUCGGUGUUUAUACCUUCUACUAAAAUAUUGAAAAUGACACAUGAUCUUUUAUUUUUGCAGGACCAUCGUUAUGGAAUUUCUAACAAAACAAAACCCACACAUGCGUCAGCAUUUCAGAAUUCAGGGAAGGAGCAAAAGUCAACCUUCAGGAACCUUUCACCUGAAUUACAGGUAAGCACAUAUACAUCUUUAAUUAAUUUAUUAAUCUUUAGAAAGAGAGAAUCACAUCUGGUGACUUUUAGUAGUGGCCAACACUCUAGCCAGAUUGAUUUCAUCCUCUCGAGAAGAGAAGAUAGGCGUGCGUGCCUAGACUGUAAGAUGAUACCUGGGGAGAGUGUUGUACCCCGGCAUAAGCUGGUGGUUGCUGACUUCCGCUUUCGGAUUCGUGUCCAGCGGGAUAAGCGUGCCAAGGUCGCUAGAACGAAGUGGUGGAAGCUCAAGAGGGAGGUAGCUCAGGUGUUCAAGGAGAGGGUAAUUAAGGAGGGCCCUUGGGAGGAAGGAGGGGAUGCGGACAAUGUGUGGAUGAAGAUGGCGACUUGCAUUCGUAAGGUGGCCUCAGACGAGUUUGGAGUGUCCAGGGGAAGGAGAAGCGAAGAUAAGGAUACCUGGUGGUGGAAUGAUGAUGUCCAGAAGGCGAUUAAAGAGAACAAAGAUUGCUUCAGACUCCUAUACCUGGAUAGGAGUGCAGACAACAUAGAGAAGUACAAUAUGGUGAAGAAGGCCGCAAAGCGAGCUGUUGGUGAAGCAAGGGGUCGGGCAUAUGAGGACCUCUACCAACGGUUAGGCACGAAGGAAGGUGAAAGGGACAUCUAUAAGAUGGAUAAGAUCCGAGAGAGGAAGACGAGGGAUAUUGGCCAAGUCAAAUGCAUCAAGGACGGAGCAGGCCAACUCUUGGUGAAGGACGGAGAGAUUAAGCAUAGAUGGCGGGAGUACUUCGACAAGCUGUUCAAUGGGGAGAAUGAGAGUUCUACCAUUGAACUGGACGACUCCUUUGAUGAGACCAGCAUGCAUUUUGUGCGGCGCAUCCAGGAGUCUGAGGUGAAGAAGGCUUUAAAAAGGAUGAAAGGAGGCAAGGCGAUGGGCCCUGAUUGUAUCCCCAUUGAGGUGUGGAAAGGUCUCGGGGACAUAGCGAUAGUAUGGCUAACCAAGCUUUUCAACCUCAUUUUUCAGGCAAACAAGAUGCCAGAAGAAUGAAGACGGAGUAUAUUAGUACCAAUCUUCAAGUACAAGGGGGAUGUUCAGAGUUGUACUAAUUACCGUGGAAUUAAGCUGAUGAGCCAUACAAUGAAGCUAUGGGAGAGAGUCAUUGAGCACCGCUUAAGAAGAAUGACAAGUGUGACCAAAAAUCAGUUUGGUUUCAUGCCUGGGAGGUCGACCAUGGAAGCCAUUUUCUUGGUACGACAACUUAUGGAGAGAUAUAGGGAGCAAAAGAAGGACUUGCAUAUGGUGUUCAUUGACUUGGAGAAGGCCUAUGAUAAGAUACCGCGGAAUGUCAUGUGGUGGGCCUUGGAGAAACACAAAGUCCCAGCAAAGUACAUUACCCUCAUCAAGGACAUGUACAAUAAUGUUGUGACAAGUAUUCGAACAAGUGAUGUCGACACCGAUGACUUCCCGAUUACGAUAGGACUGCAUCAGGGGUUAGCUUUGAGCCCUUAUCUUUUUGCAUUGGUGAUGGAUGAGGUCACAAGGGGUAUACAAGGAGAUAUCCCAUGGUGUAUGCUCUUUGCGGAUGAUGUGGUGCUAGUUGACGAUAGUCGGACGGGGGUAAAUAGGAAGUUAGAGUUAUGGAGACAAACCUUGGAAUCGAAAGGGUUUAGGCUUAGUAGAACUAAAACCGAGCACAUAAUGUAUGGUUUCAGUACUACUAGGUGUGAGGAGGAGGAGGUUAGCCUUGAUGGCCAGGUGGUACCUCGGAAGGACACCUUUCGAUAUUUGGGGUCAAUGUUGCAGGAGGAUGGGGGUAUUGAUGAAGAUGUGAACCAUCGAAUCAAAGCCGGAUGGAUGAAGUGGCGCCAAGCUUCUGGCAUUCUCUGUGACAAGAGAGUGCCACAAAAGCUAAAAGGCAAAGCUAAAAGGCAAGUUCUACAGGACGGCGGUUCGACCCGCAAUGUUGUAUGGCGUGGAGUGUUGGCCGACUAAAAGGCGACAUGUUCAACAGUUAGGUGUGGCGGAGAUGCGUAUGUUGAGAUGGAUGUGUGGCCAUACGAGGAAGAAUCGAAUCCGAAAUGAUGAUAUACGAGAUAGAGUUGGGGUAGCACCAAUUGAGGAGAAGCUUGUCCAACAUCGUUUGAGAUGCUUUGGGCAUAUUCAGCGCAGGCCUCCAGAAGCUCCAGUGCAUAGCGGACGGCUUAAGCGUGCGGAGAAUGUCAAGAGAGGGCGGGGUCGACCGAAUUUGACAUGGGAGGAGUCCGUUAAGAGAGGCCUGAAGGAUUGGAGUAUCGACAAAGAGCUAGUAUGAACAGGGGUGCGUGAAAGCUUGCUAUCCAUGUGCCAGAGCCAUGAGUUGGUUGCGAGAUCUUAUGGGCUUCACCUCUAGUCUAUCCUAACUUGUUUGGGACUAAAGGCUUUGUUGUUGUUGUUGUUGUUGUUGUUGUUGUUGUUGUUGUGUAAAUCUAAGACCUCACCGCAUAUUGCAGAGUGCUGCUAAGAGCCCCAAGCAUGCAGACAAAAAGUUCACUACGAAAGGAGCUACCAGUAAAGAUGUAAAAGCGGCCGAGGAUGAAUCCCCAAACCUUUUCCACAAAUCUGAGGUAAGCUCACAUACGAAAUUAAUUAUUUGCAAGUCCAGUUGUUUUCUGUAAAUAUAAUACCUCUCUUGCAUGCUACAAAUCAAGUUCUCUGUCAAUAUAAUACCUCUCUUGCAUGUUACAGAGUGUUGCGAAGACCGCUGAUAAGAUGCCAGUCCGUAUGAACCAAGUAGCUAAAGAUGUAGCCGAGGAAGACUCAAUUGGGUACAGAAUCCGUAAAGAAGGAAGGAAGUCUACAUCUUUCAGAAAGAUGAUUUUCUGUAUUACGACGCACCGAAAACAAAAAAUACUAGGAAGACUAAAGUAAAAAAUGACAACUUUGUGUCUGAAGGCAACAAGGAUGAGCUUGAUGUUCACCAAAUCAGAGAUUAUAUAAAUGAAUCACCCAUUUUUGAUGAGCUUGUUCACAUUGAUGAGGUUUAUCUAGAGCAAAGGCUUUGAUUCGUAUGUGGUCGCUACUCACUUCGACGGAGGCCAGGGGGCGUUUGGCUACUGCGUCUACCCGAUGGGAGAUGGUAGCUCGGGUUAUUUUCAACCGGUUUGGAUGACGGUCAUGUAAUAGGAUAGGCAUGUAGUGCUCCUAUUUUAUUUACCAGCCGGUUGUGGCUUUCGAUUUGGCUCUUGUGAGCGUUUUGUUUCAUUUUUUACUUCGAGACUUGGAGACUUUGUUGGCGGUUUCUUUUUAAUAAUAUGAGCCGUAUGCAUCUUUCUGGUGCAGAGGCUGGGGUAAAAACCCCUUUUCGAAAAAAAAUCUAGAGCAAAGGCAUCUAAGUGUCUUAACCAGCGACAAUGUUACCCGAGAAAGUGACAAGUGGUUGGGAGAACAGGUAUCUUUACUUUCUGAUUUGAAAGAAAAAAAUUCAUAUUGUUGGUUUAAAUUGAAAUCUUAAUUGUGUGUGUUUUUUCAAAUAAAAUAGCUACUUGAUGCUGGCAUCGAGUUGCUUAGGGCCAGCAAAGUUGAAGAUGUGAGGAAGGAUGAAAGGGUCUAUCUCGAAAGAUCAAUCAAGACCCAACUUCUGAAGCGUGAUGGGCUUCCUAACAUGCAGAAGGAGGUUCUGUCUGGAAAAUAUGGUACAGAACAAGGGGACAAUUACCUUGCUCAUGAGAUGGUAAGAACCACCCUACACAAAACAUAAACAUAUGAAAGCCGAAAACUAAUUGUAUUUUUUUUUAGAUAUUCCUGCCUAUGAAUUUGCAGAACCUGCACUGGUAUUUGGCCGUAGUGAACACGCACAAAAGGGCGAUCCAGAUCCUUGACUCCAUGCUCAAUCACGAAGACCGCCUAGAACUGCGCCAAACCGUGAGUUGCAAUAUGGAUAUUACUAAAUUGUUAUAUGAUUUAACUGUUAGACAAUGACAAAAUAUCAUAUUCGACACUCCGUUUUGCAGCUGCUAGGUAUGGAAGCACAUGUGAAUCUAUCUCUAAGAAUGAAGGGGGCCCAAAAUAGCAACUGGCCUGACUCACUACUGUCAAAAUGGCCAGUUUUUGUGAAGAAGACCCCACAACAGUCAGAUGGGUACAUACACACUUGUCAAAUUUUGUUUUCAAACUAAAUUAGUAGGACAGCGCACUAACAAUUAUCUUUAUUUGUUGCAGUUGUUCAUGUGGGCUAUUUGUUCUUAAAAACAUGGAAUCCUGGACAGGAGACGAGCACACUGACGAGUUCAAGCAGGUAAAAGCACACAACAUAUUUAUAUGCACUAGCAGUUUGACCAGAACUAACUUUUCCUCUUGCAUAGGUUCACACUGACAAAUUCGGAAGGGAACUACCUGCUAUGCUGGUCAGCUCGCCACUUAACAAGUUGAGGAAGCGCUACCUUGAAGCAACAGCCAAGAUGGACGAAGACUCCAAGAUGGACCAAGACUGAAGACAUACACACGUCCAGGAGUCCCUUUUGAGUCGUGCCAUCUAGUUUCAGUCCUUCUCCGCGUUAGCAAUUUCUAGGGAAUAAUAUCGCAUGAAGACAAUUCGUGUUUUGUGGUUUCAUUUUUGUGUGUUACCAAACUAUUUUUACCAUACUCUAUUUCUUAUGGAGUAAUUCGACAGAUUUCAAUAAAGUGUUAGCAAACUAUUUACUAUGAUGCAAUUGUAUGUGAGGAAUCUAUUUUCUUUGUGCAUAGCUUCAUGAUGGAGCAGCGAUGUUGUCUUUCUUCAAAUCAAGCAUAAUUCAAACUAAGGAGAUCACUGUAGGUUGUAAUAUUAUCUGACAAGGAUGAUAAACACAUCCCAAAGAUGCAUAGUUUAUACUAGUACAUGCUUCUACACUGAGAACACACAAAAAGGGAAAGCUUUCACUGUAGUUGCAGGAUCAGUUCUCUGAACUCUUUCUCUCAGAAGAACACGAGUGUUUGCGCUGCGUUCGGCCUCUGCAGCCUUUUCCCUUUUUCUUCUUAUUCAGUCAAGUGCUUCAGAACAGAAACUACAAGAUACCCGGUCCACGAGCGGGCUGAUCGGACGUGCCAUCCCACGUCCUCCCGAUCGCUAGGGUGUGGCCGUCACACGUUUACAAUCGUGCCAUCCCACGAUCCACCUGUGACGGCUCAGCUAAACAAACUAACUGAAAGUCUGAAACUACGCCAAGUCGGGAACAGAUUCCACGCUGCAUGGCCCUUUAUUUUAGCUAAGAAAAAACUAGAGGAUAACAAACAGCUCAACACGAUUAUUUGCUAACAAAUCACCCCCUUAAGCCUGUUGCACAGUCUUCACUUCAACGACACCGAGCAUCUUCCUCAUCUCAACAAAUCUGGUGCGCCCCAAUGCCUUGGUUAGAAGAUCAGCAAGUUGAUCAGUUGUUCCAAUGUGCUUCACGUCAGCUCUUCCUUCCUCGACGCACUCCCUGAUGAAGUGAUACUUAACAUCAAUAUGCUUGCUCCGGUCGUGAUGCACCGGAUUUUUGCUCAGUGCGAUAGCUGACUGGUUAUCAACCAUAAGGUCGAACAUGGCCGGAGCUUGCCCUGUCAUUUCCCCAAGCAAUCUGCUGAGCCAGACCCCUUGACAAGCGCCGCUUGCUGCUGCCACAUACUCCGCCUUGCAGGAUGAUGUGGUCACUAUCUUUUGUUUCUGCGAGCUCCAUGUCACAAUGUUCUUUCCAAGCAUGAACACAACUCCAGAAGUGCUCUUUCUGUCAUCUAUGUCCCCGGCAUGGUCACUGUCACUGUAACCUGUCAGCACCAAACCCUUUGCACCGGCCCUGUAGCAGCAUCCAUACCCCUUAGUACCUUGUACGUACCUAAGAAUUUGUUUCACUGCCGUCCAAUGCUGCUUGCUUGGUGCCUCCAUGUACCUGCUUACAAUGCCGACGGCACAUGCUAUAUCAGGCCUUGUAUUGACCAAGUAACGAAGACUGCCGAUCACACUCCUAUACAAAGUGGCAUCCACGGCUUCAGCUCCAUCCCUCUUGCCGAGCUUGAGGCGGUACUCCAUUGGAGUUGCACACGGUUUGCAUUGCUCCAUGCCUGCAACCUCCAAAAUCUUCUGAGCAUAGCUGCUUUGACAGAUCUUGAUCUCACCACUUCUCUGCUCAACUUCAAUACCCAAGUAGUAGGACAGUAGGCCGAGAUCACUCAUUUUGAACAGCCGUUGCAUCUCCUGCUUGAACUUGUCAAUAUCAUCCUGACUAGUCCCGGUAAUCACCAGAUCAUCCACAUAUACUCCCACCAACAGGAAGUUCUUGUGGUCACCACGCCUAUACACAGCAUGUUCCAGUCGGCUUCUUUUGAAACCCAAGGCUUGCAAUGAUUCAUCCAAUUUAGCAUUCCAGGCCCGUGGUGCUUGUCGCAGCCCGUACAGUGCCUUCUGCAACUUGUACACUUUGCAGCUCUCUCGAUCAUCGACAAACCCUGGCGGCUGCUGUACAUAGACCUCCUCUGCAAGAUCACCAUUCAGAAAAGCGGAUUUAACAUCCAUGUGGUGUACCUGCCAUCCACCGUGUGCGGCGAGAGCGAGGAGCAGCCGCACAGUCUCCAUGCGAGCCACUGGAGCGAAAACUUCUUCAAAGUCCACCCCCUGUCGCUGAGAGUACCCCUUUGCCACCAGUCGCGCUUUAUGCUUCAGGAUGUUGCCGGCAGGAUCUCUUUUCACCUUGAAAACCCACUUUAACCCGAUGGCGCGGUGCCCAGCGGGAAGAGAUGUGAGUUCCCAGGUUUGAUUGUCGACGAUCGAGCCCAUUUCCUCCUCCAUCGCCUUGCGCCAGGCGUGAUCAGAGAGUGCUGCCUCAACACUCGCCGGCUCCUCGGCGGCCAGAAAACAGAGGCCCACAUGCUGCUGCUGGUCGUCGUCGUCGAACAAGUCGCUGUAGUCGAUCGGCGCUGUGAUCUCCUUGGUGGUGUCGUAGACGUCGGACACACGCCGGUAUCGCGGGUGCCCGCUGUCCGUGUCCAGCGUGUCAUCAUGCGACGGCGGCGACACAAACUGUAUUGGUGGCGUCGACAGUUCGGGCGUGCACGGUGCCGUCUCCGCUGCUGCCGGACGAGGCGAACCGGAGCCACUGUCAGUCACCGUGACUCCCGGCUCAGCGGCAUAUACCACCGUGAACACACCUGAUGGUGUGCUUUCCUUUGCUGCUUCAGGUUUCCAGUUCCAUGGGCGUGUCUCCUGAAACACAACAUCGCGUGACACCAGCAGUUUCUCGGCGACGGGAUCAUAGAUACGAUAGGCCUUGGCACCUUCCUCAUAUCCCAUCAUGACGCCGGGUGUCGACCUGUCGGCCAGCUUGUUGAUCCCGGGUCCGAGCUUCUUCACGUGCGCGUGACACCCGAAGGUGCGCAGGUGAGCCACGCUCGGCUUCUUGCCAUGCCACAGCUCGUACGGAGUCACCCCGUCGAGGCUCCGCGUCGGCGAUCGGUUGAGGACAUAGACAGCCGCCUUGACGGCCUCUCCCCAGAAGACCGCGGGCACGCCCAUGCUCUUCAGCAUGCACCUCGCCAUCUCCACCACCGUUUGAUUACGGCGCUCGACAACACCGUUUUGUUGCGGCGUGUACGGGGCGGUCGUGAAGUGCUUGAUGCCGAGCUCGUUGCAGUACUCGACGAACGCCGUGGAGUUGAACUCCCCGCCGCGAUCCGAGCGGAAUGCGAGCAGCUUGCAGCCGCUCCUGGUCUCUGCUGCCGCUUUCACUUUUUUGAAGAAAGCAAAAGCCUCGCUCUUUGUCCUGAGUACCUCAAUCCACAUGUACCGAGAGUAAUCAUCCACAAUUAACAAGAAAUAAUUUCUACCUCCCGGUGUUGGCGGAGAGAUCGGACCGCACAAAUCCGAGUGUACGAGCUCCAGGGACGCCUUUGCACGAUAUGUUGCAGCCUGCGGGAAGGGUAGUCGGUGUUGUUUCCCGAGCAUGCAGCCAUCACAAUACUCCCCAACGUGAUCCACAUCAGGAAUCCCACGCACCAUCUUCUUCCUUGCCAUGGCACACAAUGCGCGGAAGUGGAGGUGCCCAAAACGUGCAUGCCACAGCCAGGCCAGGUCGCAUCCUUUGGACAGCAGGCACACCGGCUCAGCACACUGUAGGUUCAGCUUGUACAGACGGUUUGCUGAGUGCUUGACACGCGCCAGCAGCUGUCCCUCUUGGUCGAAGAUCGCGAGGACACUGCGCUUGAUGACGAUCUCGCAGCCCUUCUCAUCUAGCUGUCCGAGCGAAACAAUGUUACUCCGAAGACGGGGAAUGUAAUAUACCUCCGAGAGUACACGCUGAUCGCCGGUGAGGCACUCAAACAACACAGUUCCUUUGCCGCAUAUCUCGACGACUGAUCCAUCUCCGAAGCGGAUAGUGCCGCGCACCGUCUCGUCCAACGUGGCAAAUAACUCCUUGCGGCCAGUCAUAUGGCUGCUGGCCCCUGUGUCCGCGUACCAAGAGCCGUCGCCGACAUCCUUGGGCACCACUUUUUCCUCGUUGAGGAAGACGGCUUGCGGAGCUGCGAUUGUCAUCUCCUCCGGCGCAUCGAGCACCGCCAUGAGCAGCCCCGGCUCCUCGACCUCUUCGACUUGCGCCACGUUUGCCUCCUCGCGGCACUCCUGCUUGGGCUUGCCGUAGCACUCGCGUGCCCAGUGGCCCCACUUGCCGCACUUGCGGCAGUUCCCCUUGCGUUUAGGAGCACCGCCGUUAGGUUGUCCUCCGCCGGCGCCGGUGGGAGGCUUCGGCUUGGGUUUCCCCUUGCCGCCUUUGUAUCCACCGCCGGACGAGCCUCCGCCUGAUUGCCGUCGCCUUUCCCGCUCGUGCCACUCCUCCUCUGUGAGGAGCAGCUUGCCGCCGGAGCCGCCGGUGUCGGGGUCGAGGCGCUCCUCGAUGGCAAGAAAACGGCCGGCCACCUCCUCAAUUGUCAGUGUUUUGAGAUCAACAAGAGUCUCAAUGGAGAUGGCUACCUGGGCGUAGCGAGGCGGCACCACCCGCAGAAACUUCCUCACAGCCUUGAUCUCGUCGACGUCGUCGCCAAGUUCCUGAAGAUCGCUGAUCAGGCCAGUGAGGCGAAGUGCAAAGUCCUCCACUGUCUCUCCCUCCUUGAAGGAGAGAUUUUCGAAAUCACGGCGCAGCACCUGAGCCCGUGACUCGCGCACGCGCUCGACGCCCAUGCGAAGCGUCUUGACGGUGUCCCACGCCUCCUUGGCAGAGUCCUUCGCCGCCAGCGUCCGCAGCAUCUCCGGCGGGACGCCACAGAGGAUGAUGCCCAGUGCAGCACGAUCAUCAGGGUGAUCGGCGUCGCCCAUCUCGACGGCUUCCCACAGCCGUGCAGCCUGAAGAUGUACCUUCAUGAGGAUUGACCACUCGACGUAGUUCGUCCGAGUCAGCAUCGGGAUCGCGCCCGCGCCGCCAUCUCUGACCACCCGCUCGUGGAUGACCAGCUCUCUCCCAUCGCGCCGUGUCGGGCUUCGUCCCCGACGAGCCGGCGAUGGGGUGUUCCUCCGGCGCGAGCCGGAGCGCUGCGGCGUGCGUGAUCCACCAUGUCCCGACAUGAUCACCACAAGGCUCUGAUGCCAAUUGUAGUUGCAGGAUCAGUUCUCUGAACUCUUUCUCUCACGAAGAACACGAGUGUUUGCGCUGCGUUCGGCCUCUGCAGCCUUUUCCCUUUUUCUUCUUAUUCAGUCAAGUGCUUCAGAACAGAAACUACAAGAUACCCGGUCCACGAGCGGGCUGAUCGGACGUGCCAUCCCACGUCCUCCCGGUCGCUAGGGUGUGGCCGUCACACGUUUACAAUCGUGCCAUCCCACGAUCCACCUGUGACGGCUCAGCUAAACAAACUAACUGAAAGUCUGAAACUACGCCAAGUCGGGAACAGAUUCCACGCUGCAUGGCCCUUUAUUUUAGCUAAGAAAAAACUAGAGGAUAACAAACAGCUCAACAAGAUUAUUUGCUAACAUUCACUGUAUUUAUCUAACAGAGACGCUGAUUUCAGUACAUGUCAUUCACAUGUUUGCUAUCUAAGUGUUAGAAAUCUAUUUUCCAAUAUUUAUGUUUUCUUUAGUGCGUGCCUAUCAAUCAUCAACAUCAAUCUGACAUUGAAUUUCUUCACUUUAUUUAAGGCCUUGCAGCACGAUGCGCUUCUUGGCAACAGAUUGCCGCUGAAUUCACCUCUGCCAUGAGAGGCCGGGCUAAAAUGGAAGCAGGAUUCUAUGGUUACCAGUGAACUGCAUACUUUUCUCUUCUUUCAUGCUGAAUUUGAUCAAGCGAAUUUAAACAAUUACUACCCUUUAUUUGCUACAUCCAAGUAAGAAAGUUUACUACAGAGAAACUUUUACAACGACCAGCUGUAGCAAAGUUAUUCCUUUUAUAAUCUGCAUUUCCAAAUUCAUGCAAGGAACAGAGCUGAACAACAGAAGGACUGUUAAGAUAAACUAAUACCGUUGCAACAGCCUUUUGCUAAGCAAUCAGUUAUUCAAUUGUAUGAAUUAUUAUUUCAUACAAGAAGUAUGGAAAAAAAUUAUUAACGGAAGGAUUGGUUCUGUUAUAGAAAAACUGAGAAGUGGUGAUCUAGCAAUAGUUUUCCUCUCAUACGAUAACACAUGUUAAUUUAUAAAUGCAUUAUUUACAUUGCAAUCUUGCUAUUACGCCACAAUAGCUUUCCUAAUGUUCACUGCCACAUCCCUAAGCCACCUUUUCUGUCUGUAACAAAGACUUGCUUGCAAUUUCCCAGUCUCCUUCAAACAUCUAGUUUCCACUUAGUAUUUCCCUAUUUCAAAUCUUUUUUUCUUUUGAUUAGAAGAGAGCUAACAGAAUUUAAUUCAACAAUUUCAAGUAUCUUGUUAUAGAGUUGACAGAAACUUGAGAUUCAAAAGAUCAAAUUUCACUUCCAACUGCAAUUUCUCAUCAUGCUGGUGUGCUCCACUUUCUAUGAACAGAAGAGAGGAGAGAGACAUACGUCUUCGGUGGGUGAUGAUCCUCGUCGACGGCCAGCAGCUGGAGUGCACGCACAUGGGGGAACACCUUUUUUCAUCCACUCUUGAAGCGACGCCAGGUGCUUGCCGUACCUGCCUUCCACCAGAGCCGACGCCGCAAUUGCUCCCAGAUGCUUCUCCUCUGCUGAUACGGCAGGAGGCAACCAGGCGGCCGCACCUUGCUCCCCCCGCCACCGCUUGCCUAUCAGGCCCUAGUCGAUCUAUAGAUUCGUGGACGCAAGAAUAACAAGGGAAUUUGGCUAAUCUCGCUAGAUCUGACGUAUAUUAUGGGUGUACGGAAGCACAAGUGUUUAGGGUUCUAGCCCAUUAUCAGAACUGGGAAAGCAGAAUGAUCCGUUCAGCCAAAGCCCGGCUGGUUAUAAGGCUCGCAGUGACAGCUGUUGAGUAUGUGUUUUGUAUUGCACGUGUAAUGGAGUUGUGGCCUACCUCCUAGUCUUGUAUAAUUGAGGUAGAGGCCUUCCCUUGUAUUAUAUAUACGUGCAUCAGCACCCCAUCAAUACAACGAUUAUUGUAUUGCAAACCAUCUCUCCACAUGGUAUCCGUUUUUAGGUUUUAAUCCUCGCCUUCCGCUGCCACCGNNNNNNNNNNNNNNNNNNNNNNNNNNNNNNNNNNNNNNNNNNNNNNNNNNNNNNNNNNNNNNNNNNNNNNNNNNNNNNNNNNNNNNNNNNNNNNNNNNNNNNNNNNNNNNNNNNNNNNNNNNNNNNNNNNNNNNNNNNNNNNNNNNNNNNNNNNNNNNNNNNNNNNNNNNNNNNNNNNNNNNNNNNNNNNNNNNNNNNNNNNNNNNNNNNNNNNNNNNNNNNNNNNNNNNNNNNNNNNNNNNNNNNNNNNNNNNNNNNNNNNNNNNNNNNNNNNNNNNNNNNNNNNNNNNNNNNNNNNNNNNNNNGACUCCUUCGCGCCGCCGCCGAUGGCGUUCACCGGUCUGUCCGCCGCCACCGCAGCCGCGCGACUCCUCCGCGCCGCCGCCGAUGGCGUUCACCGGUCUGUCCGCCGCCACCUCUGCCGUCCCGCCACCAGCGCCCUCCGGUGCGGCCACGACGCCAUACGGCGCGGUCGCCGCCUACGGCGCAUCCGGCGUCACCCACAUGCAGCCGUCCCGCCCAUGGCCGGCGGCCCUGCUUCGGCCGCCCCGUCAAUGGCGGGCAUCGGGUGGGCCCCGCACUACCCGCAGGCUCUCCCCGCGGGCCACCGGGGGUUCAUCGGCGCGCCUUACCAGUCGACCGGCACCGGCUACGGCACCCUCCUUGUGCCGCCGCCCCUCGGUGGUUAUGGCCCGCCCGCUUCGGCGCCGCCCUACGGGGACCUCUCGCCGCCGCCGGUUCCUACGUCAUGGGACCCCGCCCUCCUCGCCGCCCAGCACUCCGCGCCAUCGCCGAGUAGCUCUAUCGGCGGAGGCGACUAGUACAUGGACUCAGGUGCUACCGCGCACAUGACAGCUCAUCCCGGUAACCUAACCUCCUUCCACUCCCGUUCACACAUCCACUCGUAUCACCGUCGGCAACGGCUCCUCCUUACCUAUCACUCAUAUCGGUAGCACUAGUUUUCCCUCCACUUCCACACCCAUCAAUAUGUCCAAUGUUCUUGUUUCACCAGACUUAGUCACGAACCUAGUUUCUGUUCGUCGUCUUACUCGUGAGAACCCACUUACUGUUGAAUUUGACGACGUUGGCUUUUCUGUGAAAGACGCCCAUACUCGGAUGGUCCUUCACCGUUGUGACAGUCCCGAUGAGCUCUACCCCGUGCACGCCGGCGCCUCCACCUCCACAUUUGUCGCCCUUGCCACCGGCGUUGACCUUUGGCACGCUCGCUUGGGUCACCCCAACCACACCAUGUUACGUCAAAUUCUUAGGAGUUUCUCUUUCUCAUGUAAUAAGCUCGACGAGCACUCUUGUGAGGCAUGUCGCUUAGGCAAGCAUGUUCGUCUUUCUUUUAGUGCGUCCUCCUCAGUUUCCACUUUUCCAUUUCAAUUACUUCAUAGUGAUGUUUGGACAUCUCCCGUUGCGAGUAACACGGGCUAUCUCUACUACUUGGUGAUUUUAGAUGAUUAUUCUCAUUAUGAGUGGACUUUUCCUCUUCGUCGUAAAUCCGAUGUCUUAGCCACACUCACCGCCUUUUAUUCCUAUGUCACCACCCAGUUCGGUCGCCCCAUACUAUCACUCCAAACUGAUAACAGAAAAGAGUUUGACAACGUCGGUCUUCGCACACUUCUGGCCUCUCACAGGACCAUCUUCCGUCUGACUUGCCCCUGCACUUCACAGCAGAACGGCCGCGCCGAGCACAUUCUCCGCACUCUUAAUGACUGCGUUCGCACGUUACUCUUUCACUCAAACGUGCCAGCUCGGUUUUGUCCUGAUGCCCUCGCCACUGCCACCCACUUAGUUAACAUUCGUCCGUGUCGUCCUCGGUGGAACUACGCUCCUCACCACCUUCUCUUCGGUACACUACCAUCCUAUGAUGGUCUCAGCAUCUUUGGGUGUCUCUGUUAUCCCAGCAUCGCGUCCACCACGCCACACAAGCUCGCACCCCGAUCCGUCCCAUGCAUCUUCCUUGGCUACCCUCCCAACACCAAAGGUUACCGGUGCUAUGAUCCUGUCACUCAUCGUGUGUACACCUCGCGGCACAUGUACUUUGUCGAGACGGUGUUCCCUUUUUUUCAGGUCCAUCCGGCUGCGGAUUCUUCGGCGCCGGCCCCCGCGCCCCUACCUGGAGCGAUGCGCGGCGGCACCCCCGGCGCCCCCCUCCCCGGCCCGGCGCCUUCUGCCUCCACCUCCCGGGUUCUCGACUCCCUCUUACGAGGUCGAGUCGGUGGGCACCCCGCCCGCCACCCCGGCUGGCGCCGCCACCCCUGCGACGGGCUCGACCUCGACCUCGCCCGUCGCUCCCAUCGCCACGGGAUCGGCCGACGCUGCUGCCGCCGCGGCCCCCGCCGCCGCACUAGGUGCCCCACCACCGCGCCCCAGCCGCCAAACUGGGUGUCGCUGCACCAGGUGCCACCGCCGCCGUGGCCCCUGCCGCCGCGGCACCCGCCGGCCCUGCUGCCCUGUCACUUGGCGUGACUACCUGUGCCCGAGCAGGAGUGCUUCGGCCCAGUACACGCUACUCCGUCGACGAGUAUGUGUGCACCGCCACGACGUCGACGCCCUCACCUGUCCCCACCUCCGCUCGUGCUGCCCUUCGGGAUCCCCACUGGCUAGCUGCGAUGCAGGAGGAGUUCGACGCCUUACAGCGCAACCGCACGUGGUAGCUUGUUCCACGACCCCCUCGUGCCAACAUCAUCUCUCGCAAGUGGGUGUUUCGCCACAAGAAUCGCCCAGACGGUUCUCUCGAGCGCUACAAGGCUCGAUGGGUGGUUCAUGGUUUUCGUCAGCACGCGGGCGUGGACUUCACCGACACUUUUGCCCCGGUUGUGAAACCGGACACGAUCCGCGCCAUCCUUCAGCUGGCUGUCUCGCGCGCCUGGCCUGUGCAUCAGUUGGAUGUUUCCAACGCCUUCUUGCACGGUCAUCUCACCGAGCAGGUGUUCUGUGAGCAACCUACUGGUUUCGUCGACGCCGAGCACCCCGACUUCGUGUGCUUGCUCUCCCGCUCUCUGUACGGGUUGAAGCAAGCGCCUCGGGCUUGGUACCAGCGUAUCGCCGCCUUCUUGCAGUCUCUGGGCUUUCGGUCCACUCGCUCCGAUGCCUCACUUUUUGUGUAUCAUCAGGGAGCUGACACUGCAUAUCUGCUGCUCUACGUCGACGACAUCAUCCUCACGGCGUCCACCCCCAGUCUCCUUCAGUGACUGACUGCUCGUCUUCGUGAUGAGUUUGCCCUCAAGGACUUGGGGCCCCUGCACUACUUUCUCGGCAUCGAGGUGAUCCGCCAGGCUGACGGGUUCUUUCUGCAUCAGCAGAAGUAUGCCCAUGAGCUCCUUGAGCGUGCCGGUAUGCUUAACUGCAAGCCGGCGCUCACUCCCGUUGAUACGAAGGCGAAGGUCUCUCCUCUGGAGGGGUCUCUCGCGUCCGAUGGAGCAUUUUAUCGCUCUAUUGUUGGUGCUUUACAGUACUUGACGCUGACUCGCCCCGACCUGUAGUACGCUGUUCAGCAGGUGUGCCUCCAUAUGCACGCCCCGCGUGACACUCACUGGACUCUGGUGAAGCGUAUUCUCCGUUACAUACGCGACACCAUGUCCUUGGGACUCACCCUGAUGGCUUCCGCCUCCACCGACCUCGUAGCCUACUCGGAUGCUGACUGGGCUGGCUGCCCCGACACGCGACGCUCUACGUCAGGCUACUACGUGUACCUUGGCCCCUCGUUGAUCUCUUGGUCAUCGAAGCCGCAGCCCACGGUCUCCCGCUCCAGCGCCGAGGCGGAGUAUCGCGCCGUGGCCAACACCGUGGCCGAGUGCUCUUGGAUACGUCAGCUGCUCUAGGAGUUGCUUUGUGAUGUUCACAAGGCCACUCUUGUCUACUGCGAUAACGUCAGCACGGUCUACCUCUCUUCCAACCCGGUGCACCAUCGACGGACAAAGCAUAUUGAACUCGACAUUCACUUCGUGCGCGAGCAGGUUGCCAUUGGCCGUAUUCGAGUUCCCCACGUGCCGACAUCGCAACAGUUUGCUGAUGUGAUGACUAAGGGAUUGCCUACUCCCGUCUUCGAGGAGUUUCGGUCCAGUCUCUGUGUCUCCGGCGAUGCUUCGACUGCGGGGGGUGUUGAGUAUGUGUUUUGUAUUACACGUGUAUUGGAGUUGUGGCCCACCUCCUAGUCUUGUAUAGUUGAGGUAGAGGCCUUCCCUUUUAUUAUAUAUACAUGCACCAACACCCCAUCAAUACAACGAUUAUUGUAUUGCAAAUCAUCUCUCCACAACAGCUAGCGUACUGGUAAAAACGGGAAACACUACUGUACAACGGUAAGUAGAUCCUAUGGUGUAAAUCUUCUGAAGCCAUCAUACCCGUCCGUUGUCUGAAGCGUUAAGUUGCCGGAAACGCUACAGCUAACUGAAUCUUCAACACUGCUAACUGAACAUGCCUGACAUUGCCCUCUCCUUGAGAAACGACGUGUCCUCACAUCGUUUGCUAAUUUGCACGCCAUGCUUGCGUAGUGGUCUUGAAAAAGUCAGGAAAUGUGUACUUGAUGAAGUCCGCAUCCUCCCAUGUCGCUUCUUCUGGAGAUAUGUUUUCCCACUGUAUAAACCACUGCACCACUGGGAGAUUAUGCAUGGGAAUUUGCCUCACCUGCAACACUGCCUCGGGUCCUGUUUUAAUAGUGCCAUCAGCUGCUACCAUUGUUAGAUUGGGGCUUGGAAUGGAUUUACUACCAAUAUGCUUUUUCAACUGGCUGACAUGAAAAACAGGGUGAAUUUGCACAUGAGGAGGAAACUGCAACUUGUAUGCUAACUUGCCCACUUUUUGGAUAACUAAAAAUGGUCCAUAAUACUUGUUCUAUAACUACAAGGCUCCUCUGAAUCCAAAAGCUGCUAAUCUGUAUGGAGCCAUUUUCAAAUAUACCAUAUCUCCUACUUCAAACACCCUUUCACUUCUCUUGAGGUCUGCAUACCUUUUCAUUCUGUUUUGAGCUUGUUGUAAACUUUCCUUCAGUUGCUCCAUCAUUUGUUGUUUAGCAGCUAGGAAAUUGUGUGCUUCUUCCUCAUCAGGUCCUGGUAUUGCUAGCUCAGAAAUCAAAGGAGGAGGAAACCCAUACAAAGCUUGGAAAGGAGACAUUUUCAAGGCAGUAUGGUAAGUGGUAUUGUACCAAAAUUCUGCUAGAGGUAGCCAGGAACACCACUUGUUUGGGUGAGAAGUGGUCAUGCACCUGAGAUAGGUUUCCACACAUUGGUUUACUCUUUCUGUUUGACCAUCAGUUUGUGGGUGAUAAGCUGUGCUAUAUCUUAACUCACUUUUCAUCCCUGCAAAGAUAUCCUUCCACAACUUGCUUGUAAAGAUUUUGUCCCUGUCUGAUAUAAUGACUUUAGGAGGGCCAUGCAGUCUGAUAAUGUUGUCCAGAAAAGCCUGGGCUACAGACAUCACAUUAUAUUGAUGUGACAGGGGUAUGAAAUGAGCAUAUUUUGUAAACCUGUCCACAACAACCAGUAUGACUUCCUUGCCUUGAGAGUUGGGCAAUCCCUCUAUAAAAUCCAUAGAGACAUGCCGCCAAGCCAUGUCAGCUAUUGGUAGGGGCACUAGAAGGCCAGGUUGCAAGCAGUUCUCAUGUUUAGCUCUUUGGCAUAUUGGACAAGCUGUAAUAAAUGAUUCUACAGCAGCUUUAAGGCCAGGCCAAUAGAAUAUAUUCUUGAUUCUUUGAUAUGUAGCCCUUGUAGCAGAGUGACCACCAAUUGGGGAACUGUGCAAAGCAGUAAGCAGUCUCUGCCUUAAAUUGGAAAAUUCUCCGACUAGAAUUUUUCCUUUAUAUCUUAUAAUGCCAGCUUUUAGACUGUAGUCAGACAGAGUAUGGUUUGGUUGCAAUAGUAGCUUCUCUAGAAUUUCCUUAGAGAUUGGGUCCUUCUGAUAUCCUUCCACCAGUUCUUGUGCCCAAACUGGAGUGGCCACAGAUAUAGCAAAACAAGAGGGCAUGACUCUUGACAAAGCAUCAGCCACCUUGUUUGCUAUUCCUUUCUUGUAUUGUAUCUGAAAGUUGAACUCCAGUAGUUUCAUCAGCAGUUUGUGCUGGACUCCUUCAGUGAUCUUCUGGUCAGUUAUGAAUUUUAGGGAUUGUUGAUCUGUUUUGAUGAUCAACUCAUGUCCAAUGAGAUAAUGCCUCCAUCUUUUCAAAGCUUCCAAAAUAGCCAGAGCUUCUUUCUCAUAAGUGGACAAUGUUGCAUUUCUGGGGCACAAGGAAGAACUAUAAUAUGCCAAGGUUUUACUUGUUGCAUGAGUACUGCUCCUAUGCCAUUCCCCUGAAGCAUCAGUCUCUAAUACAAAAGGCAAUGAAAAAUUGGGCAGAGCAAGAACUGGGGCAGUAAUAAGUGCUUGUUAUAACUGAGAAAAUGUUGCAUCAUGUGCACUUGUCCAUUUGAACUGCCUUUUUUAAGUAAAUCAUGCAGAUGUCUGCAAAUGACUCCAUAGCCCUUGAUAAAUCUUCUAUAGUAUCCAGAUAACCCCAAGAAACUUCUCAAUUUAGUGACAUUGUCAGGGAUUGACCACUCUGCAAUAGCUUUGAUUUUCUGUGCAUCAGUAGCUACCCCCUCAGCAGAUAUGACAUGACCCAGGUACUCCACUUGUGGAACUGCAAACACACAUUUAGAGAGUUUUGCACAUAACUGAUUUUCAUUCAGUAUUUUAAAAACAGCCUCUAUAUGCUCCAUGUGCUCUUCCAGUGUCUUGCUAUAGAUGAGUAUAUUAUCAAAGAACACUAGCACAAAUUUUCUCAAAUGAGGCCCAAAGAUCUUGUUCAUUAGGGCUUGAAAAGUACCAGGAGCAUUGGAUAAGCCAAAAGGCAUCACUAAGUACUCAAAGUGGCCCAAAAAUGUUCUGAGUGCAGUUUUGUGUAUAUCAUCUGGGUGCAUCCUGAUCCGAUGGUAGCCUGCUCUCAAAUCUAAUUUGGAGAAAUACUUUGUCCCUUGUAACUCAUCAAGCAAAUCCUUUAUAACAGGAAUAGGAAAUUUGUUCUUGAUUGUCACAGAGUUUAAUUUCCUGAAAUCAGUACACGGCCUCAUUGAGUUGUCUUUCUUCUUGACUAAGAUUACAUGAGCAGCAUAAGGACUUUGACUGUGUAUGAUAAAGUGAGUUGCCAAUAAUUUCUUGAUUUGCUCUUCCAUUUCUUUCUUCUGGUGUGGAGGAUCUUUGUAAGGCCUGGCAUGAGGAGGUUCAGUACCAGGUUUUAAAGGAAUUGUGUGGUCACAAUCUCUAUUUGGGGGUAAGGUAUUGGGUUCCUCAAACAGAUCUGCAUAAUCCAUUAACAUUUUCUGUAAUUGGGGAGGAGUUUUGAAACCAGCAGGUGCUUGCAGAAUUAUAUUGUGCACUUGUAACAGAAAAGCCUCAGCUCCUUUCUCCAACAACUUGCCCAUUUGUUCAGCUUGCACUUCUUUAACAUUCUCUGGUGUAUUGAAGAUAGCAGCAGUAACUGUUGUUUUACCUUGCAAUGUGAAACUGAAAGUAUUUUUUGGAAUAUUGAAAGCUACUGGGAUCAUUUGAGUGAACUAGUCAUAACCCAGUAUAACAUCGUAUCCAGGCAGGGGCAAAACUCUGAAAGUGUAUUGCAAUGAUUGCUUGGCCAAUUGAAAGUCACAGUUAGGACUACUGCCUUGGAUAUUAAUUUACCACCUCCUGCAACUGCAAUCAUUCGAGGUUUCACUGGUAGUAAAUGACAGUUUGCCUUUACUGCAAACUCUUGGCUCAUAAAGGAGGAACUAUUGCCAUAAUCUAACAAGGCUGUUGCUCUUUUCCCAUUGAUGUGAUUUUUCACAGUUGGUGUUGGCACUGCAAUUUGUUGACCUAUUGCAUGAGCAGUUAUAAACAUUGCUUGUUCUCCUUCCUCUACAAUUUCCUCCUGUUCUUGCUCAAUACCUUCUUCUACCAUAGUAUCUUGCUCAACUUCUUGUUGCAUUAAGUGCACAUUAGGUACUAAUUUUCACUUGUGCCUUGGUACCCGCUUAUCUCCACAUCUCCAGCACUCUCCUACUUUUCUCAUCUUCUGAAAUGUGUUGUUGUUGGUCUCUGUUUGCUUGGCUGGGGUAUUUUGCUGUGUAGUAUGUAAGGCAGGAUUGUUUUUGUUUUGAACACCUCCAGUGUUUUUCUGAUAGUAAUUCACAAAAGGAAUACUUGUUUUCUUUGGCACUGCACUGAUGUGUGGAUAAUUGGGCUCCACUUCUUUUGCUAAGAAGUAAGCAUGAGUUAGAGUUUCUGGUCUCAAUGGUCUAAGAUGGAAUUUGAUGCCUUCUCUAAGACCAUUCACAUAACAUCUAACAAACCAUGCUUCUCCUAGUUCAAGACUUUCUUCCAUGAUUUCUGCCAUUAAAUCUUCAAACUGUUUUGUAUAAACAGCAACUGUGUUGCUAGCUUGUUUCAGUGAAUUGAAUUUUUCAGUAAGGUCAUAAGAUCCUUGUUCAGAAAAUCUUUUCACCACCUCUGCUCCAAAUUGUUUCCAAGUUAAUUGUUUCUUUAACAGUCCUGAUCUUCUUCACCAGAUAUCUGCCUCACCAAUGAUGUACAUAUGGGCUAAUGAAACUUUAUAUUCCUCAGGAGCAGCAACCAUUUGAAAGUAUUUAUUACAUUGCCUGAUCCAUCCCACUGGGUCUUCACCAAAAUUUUUGGGAAAAUCCAUUUCGGGGCCUUUUGUUAAUGAUCUCAUGAACUGUGCUUGCAUGUCCUGUUCAUAAGUCUUGUGAUAUCCUUGCCGUAGUUGCCUAUCCCUAUUUUGCUGAUAAAACUGGUUAAAAGCAGGUGUAUGAGCAUUUUGUCUUGCUGUCACAGGAGUACCUACAUUGCUAUAAGUUUUCUGUCUUCCUUGGGACACAAAACCAGGAGGUCCAUUUGUUCUGUUGGUUCUCAUUGGUGGAAGAUUCUGCAAUUGAAUUUCCUCCAACUGCUUGGAUUUCUCCUUUUCUGCUGCCAAUUGCUUUCUCGGCUGUUCUACUCUCGCUUCUUGUUACUGAGCUUGCCCUUGAUUCAGUGUAGGUGACACGGGUACUUCCUGAGAACUGGAAGGACGAUCAUCAUGUUGCACUGUUUGUGUUGUUUUCACCAAGGUUUGCAAAACAGUACAGAUUGCAGAUAAUUGUUUGGCCAGAUCCAACACUACACGCUCUACUUCUCCAACAGUAACAGAGAUUUCCCCUUGCUUGGAGCCAAUUGAUUUCACUUCCUCCUGAAGUUUUGAUACCCGUUUCUGCAUCUGAUUGCUAUCUUUCUGCAGAAUCCCGAAAUCCUCACGCAUCGCCAGAAUUUCCUGGAGGUUAGUGUCAUCGACAACCUUGGAGUGUCCCAUCACCUCGAUCUGAAGUAUGGGUACGGAAUUUUACCACUGAAAACUCAGCUCCCUAAUCUUCAGAUCCUGCCACCGCCAACAAAUUUGCCCCUCUGGCACACGGAUCGACGCCUAGAACACGAAAAUGUACCGAUCGAACAGGUGUGUUCGAACAACCGCUUCUGCUCGGCCGAUCUGUGCCCGAAUGUCACCGCCGCCUGCGCCGCCACACCGGACCCCGUCGCCAGCGCCGCCAAACUUCGCCCUUACCCGGAGCUCAAGAAGAAAGGUGGGAGAAAGGGUGGGAUUCGCCGAUCGAAAAAAAAAUUGCACUACCGGAGCGCGUUUCUGCCGAAGAACGAUGGCUCAUGAUACCAAUUUGUCAGGCCCUAGUCGAUCUAUAGAUUCGUGGACGCAAGAAUAACAAGGGAAUUUGGCUAAUCUCGCUGGAUCUGACGUAUAUUAUGGGUGUACGGAAGCACAAGUGUUUAGGGUUCAAGCCCAUCAUCAGAAUUGGGAAGGCAGAAUGAUCCGUCCAGCCACAGCCCGGCUAGUUAUAAGGCACGCAGUGACAGCUAGCGUACUGGUAAAAACGGGAAACACUAUAGUACAACGCUAAGUAGAUCCUAUGAUGUAAAUCUUCUGAAGCCAUCGUAGCCAUACGUUGUCUGAAGCAUUAAGUUGCCGGAAACGCUACAACUAACUGAAUCUUCAACACUGCUAACUGAACAUGCCUGACAUUGCCGCCGCCAACCGUACUAGUCCAAGGAGCGCCACAGAAGGGCCGGGGUCCGCCCUCCAUAGCCUCCAUCUUGGCGCCCGGCCUCGCUGGCCGGCGGCGCUACUAGCGAUCUGGUCGUAGACGCCGCCAUUUGGCGGACUCCAGUGUCGACGUACCGGCUGCUGGCGGCGGCCUGGAAUAGCGCGCAGCCGAGGAGGAGCUCAGUUGGCUACCGGCGGCGGCCUGGAAUAGCGCGCAGCCGAGGAGGAGCCCAGUCGUCGAGUGAGUGGAUCUGGUGUGGAGAUGUACUGGGUAGGUGCGCCGCCGAGCGACUGGUGCUGUGUGCGGGAGAUAUUUUUUCUUUUAGCGAAUCUGCGGGAGAAAAUUAGAUGGAUAGGGGCUGAACCCUAGCCGGGGUGGGCAAAUUUCCAUCUCCCCAAAAUACCCUUUCUGUGUGCGGGAUUUUUUUUAUUUUAAUCUCGUGCGAGAGGCGUUUUUUCCCUCUGCCCAUUUUGCCAAUCGGAGAAAAAAGGAAAAAGUCUAAAAUAAACCUUGAACUCGUACACGAAAGCUAAAUGGAACCUGAACUUCCAAUUCCUGAAAUCAGCAAACCAAACUCUUCGAUCCCGGUCUAUUUUGAACCUUGAAAGUGUUUCCAAAUAGGGAUUGUCGACAUGGCGGGUUGAAUCCCGGGAUUGUUGACAGUGCACGCGACUGGGCCGGCCCAAUAGGCACGAAGCCAGAUUUUUUAUUUCUUUUUUGUUCAGUCUAUUUUUUAUUUCUUUUUUUAAUAUGAGACGUGUAAUAAAAUACCAAAAAAUAGUCAACUGUUGAUUGCACAGGAGGCGGCCAACCACGUGUUUUUUUUCAAAAAAAGAGGAACGGCCAUCCACGUGUGAAGCGAUUUUUUUGUCUUUUAUUUAUCAUAACAUGUGACGUAUAAAAAUACGUAUGGAAAAUAAACAGUAGGGAUAGAGUCAAACAUACGACGUGGAGCUGCUGAACUCGUCACGCAAGCCACGAGAAUAAAUUGCUGCUAGUCACUUUACGAGAUGAUCGAAAUAUUUAAUCACACACCGCAAAGUAUACAGAUUAGGAAUAAACUUUUUUAUGGGCAAAAAAAUAUGGAAAACGUAAACCAUUUGUGAAACGGAACAACUUUUCGAAAACGAAACCAAUUUUGAACAAGUUAACACUUUUUUAAACAUAAUGUUUUCUGAAAAACUGGGAACAAAUUUUGAAACCUGAACUAAAUAAAAAAUGCAAACACUUUCGGAAAAUUUUAAAAAUUGACUUUUGUAACCUGAAAACUGUGCGAGAAAAAUGUUUAAUACUCCUUCGAUAAAUAAAUAUAGUGAUCUAAAUGCUUUUAUAUUUCUAUACAGAGGGGGUACUUUAAAAAAGAUGAACAACAUUGAAAAAAUGGGAACACUUUUUGAAACAUAAACAUGUUUGAAAAAAUAGGGACUAACUUUAAAACCUGAACAAAUUUUAAAGUCUGGACAUUUUUAUGUAUUUUCUUAAAAAAUGGGAGAGACUUUGUAAAUAAUGUAUAAACUGUUUGUAUAGUUUUAUAAAAUGUUUUUGCCAUCUCAAAAAUGUUAAACGUGUAUUUGGCAAACUUUUACUGUAUAUUAAAAAAAUGUUGGAAACAUGUAUUUUAAAAAAUGUACAUAAUGUAUUUGAAAAAUGUCGAAUGUGCAUAAAAAAUGUUUCAUGUGCGUGUUAAUGUAUAUAAUAUAUUUGAAAAAUGUUGAAAUCAUAACAAUGGCAAAGCGUAACAAUGUACAUAACGUAUUUGGAAAAAAAUAUAACAAAAGGAAAAAAGCCGAAGAAAACCAAUGAAAAUAAAGAAAACCGGAAGGAAAGGGAUAAAAGAAAAUGAAAAAAAAUGAAAACCAUAGCAGAGCGGGCACACAAGCGACUACUCUAAUGGGCCGACCCAGCUUAACUUGCCAUGUCAGCGAAUACCAGCGAAAUACUCUCAAGGUUUAAAAUAGACCGGGAUCGAAGAGUUUGGUGUGCUGAUUUCAGGGAUUGGAAGUUCGGGGUUCGAUUUAGCUUUCGCUUACAAGUUCAGGGUUUAUUUUUGACUUUUUCCGAGAAAAAAUACUACUCCUUGGGUGGACAAGUACUGAUCACGUUGGACCAUCAGAUCUACUGAUUGGAUGGCUGAUAUUUCUUCGUCCUUACCGUAAAAGGCAUCUAAAUUGAAUGUCGAUGCAGGUGCGUGUGGUGCAAUCCUACGCGACUUGUUAGGAAGCUUCAUAGCUGCAGUUGUGAAAUUUAAACAUCAUGCACUGGACGGCUCAUACGAUAGAGGCGUUAGCGGUGUUAUUGGGGCUACGACUAGCAAAAAAGCUUGGUAUCCUCUGUACUACAAUUGAGAGCGAUUCUAUGGAGAUUUUCCAAGCUAUUCAAAAUCCUUUUGAGCAUCAGGCAUCAAUAGUAGUGAUCACUGAUGAUUGUCGAAAGUUGAUAAGUUCUUCCCACAAGGUGAACAUAGAUUAUUGUCUGCGAGAAGCUAAUGGGUAUGCCCAUGAUCUUGCACGGUUUAGUUUUGAGAGACAGGAAUCAAUGGUGUGGUAUGAUAAACCCCUGGAUUUCCUGACCUCUUCUAUUGUAAAGGAUAUAGUUAUUAAUUAAACAAAAUCACCAAAUUAAAAAAGAAAUCUCCUCUUCCCUUGCUCUUCCCAGUCCCAAUACUCUCCGGUUGUUCUCUCCCCCCAAAAAAAAAUCUCCAAUCGUACCGCGAAUUCGUGAUUGAAUCGCUUGGUUAUCUAUACAAGAACUACGUGAGUUAGUCUACACAGUCCACAGUAGGGAUCAAACGAUACAUAGUAAUCAUCGUGUGCACAUUUCUCUCGAAAAAAAGAAUCUCCAAAUGUGGCCCUGCUUGCGAGACAAAGUUGAAGACUUAUACAAAACCCAAACAGCCUAUGUGCAAGAGUCAUCAAGUCCAAGUAUUAUCCUAAUGGAGACAUCCUCAACACUGUCUUCCCCUCAGAUGUCUCGCCGGUUUGGAGAGGAAUCGAGCAGGGUUUGGAGCUGUUAAAAAAAGGACUCAUUUGGAGAGUUGGAAACGGCAAGAGCAUCCAAAUUCAAAGGGACCAGUGGAUACCGAGAGUGGAUGGUUUGAAAACAGCUCAGUUCAUUAGGAGAUCGAGACUCCGUUGGGUUAACCAAUUGAUCAACAAGGAGACAAAAGAUUGGGACAGAGAUCUGAUCGGAAGGAUUUUUUACCCCUUUGAUGCGGAGGAGAUUUAUAAAAUAAAAAUCCCCUUGACAGAGAUGGAAGAUUGCAUCGCGUGGCACUAUGAGAAAAACGGGAAGUUCACAGUACGGAGUGCUUACAAACUAGCGGCAAGUUUGAACAGCAACACAAAUGGGGGACCCUCAAGCUCGACUACCAGUGCAGGUAAUAGGAGUAUUUGGGACGUCAUUUGGAAAAUGAACAUCCCGGAGAGGAUGAAAAUUUUCGGAUGGCGAGUCGCGACUAACACUCUGGAAACUAAAAGAAAUAAAUGCAGACGUACUAUAGUUCAUGAUAGUGUCUGCGGGAUCUGCGGUAAUGGAGAGGAAGAUGAAUUACAUGCUGUUAUAUCAUGCACAAAAAGUACUGCACUUAGAUUCGCAAUGAGAAAAGAGUGGCGACUCCCGGAUGAGCAAGAGUUUUGGUAUACUGGGAAAGACUGGCUGCAAAUUCUUUUGGACAAACAAGAUUCAGAGAUGAGGGUAAAAAUCAUGCUGCUGCUGUGGAGAGCCUGGUUUCUGAGAGAGAACUGUGUACAUAAUGAUGGGAAAGAAACUGUCUCACGCUCCGUGCUCUUCCUGCUGCAGUACGAGGAAGAAAUCAGGAAUCUAUCACAGCCUAUGGUCGGAUAAAAAGAAGUGUUGCUGGUCUCUGUCUGCUACUCGUCCUGCGUGGAAUGGAAUGACAGGAAACGGUCGGGCAUCGGGCCAGUGGGAAGCUCCGCCCCCGGGAGUGCUGAAACUGAACACUGAUGCAGCAUUCCUAGCUGACACGGGUCGAAGCUGGGCUGGAAUAGUGGCACGAAAUGAUAAGGGACUUGUGUACUACUCUGCAUGUAAGGCGAUGAACCCCAGCAAAACAGUUGAAGAGGCCGAGGGUCAGGCUAUUCUGCUCGGCCUAACGGCACUGGCGAGGCUGUACAAUGGACCGAUCAUGAUUGAGACUGACAAUACACUAAUAGCAACUGAACUGAGAAGCAACGGAACCUGCCGCUCUGAAUGCUUUUGGAUUGUCAAUGAAAUAAAAAAUGCAUGGCAUACUUUCAGUUCAAUCCAAAUCAGGACAGUCAAGAGGGAGCAGAACCGGCUAGCACAUGAGCUAGCGGCCAGAGCUAGGCGGUAUGAAGACUGCCUGAUGAUUGCGGACGUGCCGGGAGAGCUCCGUCCGCUGAUGCUAUCUGAAUGCACCGAGUAGUUUCUUUGGCUGUAUUUUGGGUAGUUUUCCUCAAAAAAGAAGAAAAAAAAAGAAAUGAAAACCAAAGGUAACAUCACAGGCAAGCUAUCACCGGCCUUAUUAGUCAGCGAAGAGCAGACAAUUACACGUGUACUAUAUUACAAUCACCGGACAGGACAGAGUAAAUUGCACAAAACCACCACUUUGAAGGUGAGGUUUGUGAAAAACACUACGCUACACUUUUGUUGCAAACAACACCACGUCUUCUGUAAUCAUUUUGCAAAAACCACUGAUCGGCAGUUUUGUCUCGGUUAAGCGUGUUUAUGACAGAUGGGCCCGCCAUUCAGGCUGACGUGGCACUGCUUAACACCUCGCAGGUAACGGCGACGGUUCGUAACGUUGUGAUCUUGACUGGAGCCAUGUGGGGUCCACCUGUCAUUGAAAGAAGAAAAAAUCCUGCCUUUAAGUUUUGCUUGCCUUAUCUUCAUUGUACUGACACAGAGCUGAGGUGCACCUUCUUCGGUGCCAGCGAGCUCCACAUGCCACCGGUGAUGUCGCUCGAGAGCAUCAGGAGGUAGAGCACGGCGUCCUUCUGCUCCUACUCGAACGCGCCCAGCAUCGGCUGUGGCGGCACGGGGGCCGGCCCCGCCACGCGGAUCGGACUACGCCUCCGCUUGGGCGGCGCGACCAUCACAGCAACCGACGACCGCCUCCAUCUCCUCGUGGGCCUCCGGCAGCGCCUUGCCGAGCGAGAGGCCGCACAAGAAACCACAGAGCUGCCUGGAGGAGGAUCUGAGGCGGCGGGCGCGACCAUUGGGGAUCUGGGGGAGAGAUGAAGGAGUAGAGGAGAGGCGGGCUCGACCUCCGGGCAGCACGACAAUGGCGGCCCCUGCCUCUGCCAGGGCAGGACGGGUUCCGUGCGGCAACGGCUAUGGCGGCCUCUGCCCCAGCCGAGGGCGGGACAGGCGGGGGGCCUCUGCCCGGCCUGGUCUGAUGGUGAAGAUAAGGCAAGGAAAAAUGUGUUUUUCUUUUUUCUUUCAAUGAUAGGUGGACCCCACAUGGCUCCACACAAGAUCACAACUUUACGAACUGUCGCCGUUACCUGCGAGGUGUUAAGAGGUGCCACGUCAGCCUGAAUGGCGGCCCCAUCUGUCAUAAACAUGCUUAACCGAGACAAAACUGUCGAUCAGUGUUUUUUGUAAAAUGAUUAUAGAAGACAUGGUGUUGUUUGCAACAAAAGUGUAGCGUAGUGUUUUCCGCAACCUCGCCUUCAAAGUGGUGGUCUUGUGCAAUUUACUCGAUAGGACAUCAUGGGACCAUGGCCAGCUAUAUUACUAUACUGUAUUGUACUACCUUGCCCGCUUGCCAAAUAAGCAACAACUCAUCUCUCAGCUCACGAGCUUGUAUCAGCGCACCAGAGUUCGCACUUCACAGCCCGCACUUCUACCAUCGUCGCAACAGCAACAGCGAAAAUCUGCAUUCCCCCAUGGCGAGGGAUCAGGUGUUGGUGUUGCUGCGACGGUGGUAGUGCGGGGUUGCGGGCUGCGAGGUCUGUUGUUGGUGCAAGCUCGCGGGUUGAGAGUCCGGGUGUUGCCGCCUCAAACUCCGGCGCUGCCGCGGCGAUCGUACCGCGAACUGCGAGUUCUAUUGCUGCUGCGACGGCUGACUCUCCCGACUGGAGCCUUCGCUGCUGCUGCUGCGAUGGUGACAACCGUAAGCUCGGGCGUAGCAACAAGUUUUGGUGCUGCUAUAACGGUGGUGUCAUCGGCAGUGAGCUCCGUUGCUGCUGGGACGAUGACUCCCUGGGCUGGAAGCUCUGGUUCUGCUGCGACGAUGCCAGCAGUAAGCUCAGGUGUUGCGGAAAGCUUUGGCGCUCCUGCAACAACGACGUCGCGGACUUCAAACUCUGGUGCUGCUGUAACGGCGGUGGCGUUGACUGUGGGCUUCGUCGUUGCUGCAACGGCGACUCCUUGGACUGCAAGCUCUGGUUCUGCUGCAACGAUGCCAGCCGUAAGCUCGGGCGUUGCGGCAAGAUCUCGUGCUGAUGGAACGGCAACGUCGUGGACUGUGAGCUCUGGUGCUGCUGUGAAGAUGCCAACAGUAAGCUCGGGCGUUGCGGCAAGCUUUGCGCUCCUGCAACAGCGACGUCGCGGACUUCAAACCCUGGUGCUGCUGUAACGGNNNNNNNNNNNNNNNNNNNNNNNNNNNNNNNNNNNNNNNNNNNNNNNNNNNNNNNNNNNNNNNNNNNNNNNNNNNNNNNNNNNNNNNNNNNNNNNNNNNNNNNNNNNNNNNNNNNNNNNNNNNNNNNNNNNNNNNNNNNNNNNNNNNNNNNNNNNNNNNNNNNNNNNNNNNNNNNNNNNNNNNNNNNNNNNNNNNNNNNNNNNNNNNNNNNNNNNNNNNNNNNNNNNNNNNNNNNNNNNNNNNNNNNNNNNNNNNNNNNNNNNNNNNNNNNNNNNNNNNNNNNNNNNNNNNNNNNNNNNNNNNNNNNNNNNNNNNNNNNNNNNNNNNNNNNNNNNNNNNNNNNNNNNNNNNNNNNNNNNNNNNNNNNNNNNNNNNNNNNNNNNNNNNNNNNNNNNNNNNNNNNNNNNNNNNNNNNNNNNNNNNNNNNNNNNNNNNNNNNNNNNNNNNNNNNNNNNNNNNNNNNNNNNNNNNNNNNNNNNNNUGCUGCUGGGACGAUGACUCCUCUAACCGGAAUCUCUGGUUCUGCUGCGAUGGUAGCAGCCGUAAGCUUGGGCGUUGCCGCAAGCUCUCAUGCUGAUGGAACGGCAACGUCGUGGCCUGUGAGCUCUGGUGCUGCUGUGCCGAUGCCAACAGUAACUUCGGGCGUUGCGGCAAGCUUUGGCGCUCCUGCAAUAGCGACGUCGCGGACUUCAAACUCUGGUGCUGCUGUAACGGCGGCGGCGUUGACUGUGGGCUUCGUUACUGCUGGGACGAUGACUCCUCUAACUGGAAGCUCUGGUUCUGCUGCGAUGGUAGCUGAUGACCCGCAAGUAUACGGGAUAGUUGUAGCCUCUUUCGAUAAGUAAGAGUGUCGAACCCAAUGAGGAGCUAAAGGUAGAACAAAUACUCUCUCAAGUCCUAUCUGCCACUGAUACGACUCUACGCACGCUUGACGUUCGCUUUACCUAGAACAAGUAUGAACCUAGAAGUACUUUGUAGGUGUGAUAUGAUAGUUUUGCAAGAAAGUAAAGAGCACGUAAACAUAAACUAGGGGCUGUUUAGAUAAAGAAGCAAUAAAGUAAAUAUAGCGAGUGUGCAAAAGUGGUGGUAGGAGUUGUGAAAUUGUCCCUAAGCAAUUGACUAUGUUACUAGACCGAUAAUCACUAUUGCAAUUCUAUUUGAGGGAGAGGCAUAAGCUAACAUACUUUCUCUUCUUGGAUCAUAUGCACUUAUGAUUGGAACUCUAGCAAGCAUCCGCAAAUACUAAAGAUUCAUUAAGGUAAAACCCAACCAUAGCAUUAAAGUAUCAAGUCCUCUUUAUCCCAUACGCAACAACCUACUUACUCGGGUUUGUGUUUCAGUCACUCACGCAACCCACUAUAAGCAAAUCAUGGACGUAUUGCAACACCCUACAGCGGGAAUCCCUCACGCUUGCGCGACACGGAGGGCACCAUAAGACAGCACCAAUAAUAAAACAUGCAACUCAAGCCAAUCAUAGCAAUUCAUCAAUCACCAAUAGGACAACGAAAAUCUACUCAUACAUCAUACGAUGGCAACACAUCAUUGGAAAAUAAUAUGAAGCAUAAAGCACCAUGUUCAAGUAGAGGGUACAGCGGGAUGCGGGAGAGUGGUCCGCGGAAUAUAGAAGGGGGAAGGUGAUGGAGAUGUUGGUGAAGAUGACGGCGGUGUUGGUGAAGAUCGCGGUGAUGAUGAUGGCCCCCGACAGCGCUCCGGCGCCACCGGAAGCAAGCGGGAGAGAGCCCCCCUUCUUCUUCCUCCUCUUCCUUGACCUUCUCCCUAGAUGUGAGAAGGAUUUCCCCUCUGGUCCUUGGCUCCCAUGGCGUGGGAGGGGCGAGAGCCCCUCCCAGAUUGGAUCUAUAUCUCUGUUUCUGCAUUCUCUGGUUCUGCCCCUUCACCGUUUUCUUUAUAUCUGGAGAUCUGUAACUCCGAUUGGGGUGAAUCUUUCGGCCAGAUUUUUCUCAUAAAAUUAGAUUUCUUGCGGCAAAAGUAGAGCCUCAACUGCCUUAUGGGUGGCCCACGAGAGCCCAGGGCGCGCCCAGGGGGAGGGGGCGCGCCCCCCUGUCUCGUGGCCACCCCGGACACCGUUUCGCGUUGAUUCUUCCUUCGGAAAAUCCCAAAUAUUCCAAAAUAAUUCUCCGUCCGUUUUUAUCCCGUUUGGAUUCUGUUUGAUAUUGGUUUUCUGCGAAACAUAAAACAUGCAACAGACAGGAACUGGCACUGGGCACUGGAUCAAUAUGUUAGUCCCAAAAAUAGUAUAAAAAAUUGCCAAAAGUAUAUGAAAGUUGAAGAAUAUUGGCAUGGAACAAUCAAAAAUUAUAGAUACGACAGAGACAUAUCAACAUCCCCAAGCUUAAUUCCUGCUCGUCCUCGAGUAGGUAAAUGAUAAAAAAGAUAAUUUUUUGAUGUGGAAUGCUACCUAGCAUAAUCUUGAUCAUAUGUCUAAUCAUGGCAUGAAUAUUAAGACACGAGUGAUUCAAAGCAAUAGUCUAUCAUUUGACAUAAAAAACGAUAAUACUUCGAGCGUACCAAUAAAGCAACCAUGUCUUUUCAAAACAACAAGGCCAAAGCAAGCUUAUCCCUACAAAAUCAUAUAGUUUGGCCAUGCUUUUUAAUGUGCUUCAGCUUUUUCAACCCUCACGCAAUACAUGAGCACAAGCCAUGGAUAUAACACCAUAGGUGGAAUAGAAUAUAAUGAUGGAGGUUAUAUGGAGAAGAAAAAAAGGGAGAAAGUCUCACAUCGACGCGGCUAAUCAACGGGCUAUGGAGAUGCCCAUCAAUUGAUGUCAAUGCGAGGAGUAGGGAUUGCCAUGCAACGGAUGCACUAAGAGCUAUAAGUGUAUGAAAGCUCAAACUGAAAACUAAGUGGGUGUGCAUCCAACUUGCUUGCUCAUGAAGACCUAGGGCAUUUGAGGAAGCCCAUCGUUGGAAUAUACAAGCCAAGUUCUAUAAUGAAAAUGCCCACUAGUAUAUGAAAGUAACAACAUAAGAGACAAUCUAUAUGACGAACAUGGUGCUACUUUGAAGCACAAGUGUGGAAAAAGGAUAGUAACAUUGCCCCUUUUUUUUCUUUUUCUUUUUUUUCUUUUUUCUUUUUUCGGUGGGCUUCUUUGGACCCCUUUUUAUUUAGGCUUCUUUGGCCUUUCCUUUUUUUCUUUUUUUCUUUUUCUUUUUUAUGGGGCAAUGUUCUAUAAUGAUGAUCAUCACACUUUUAUUUACUUACAAAUCGAUAUUACAACUCGAUACUAGAACAUAGAUAUGACUCUAUAUGAAUGCUUCCGGCGGUGUAUCGGGAUGUGCAACGAUCUAGCAUAGCAAUGACAUCAAACAUCAUGCUAGCUAUCUUACGAUCAUGCAAAGAGAUAUGACAAUAAAUUCUCAAGUCAUGAAUAUGAUGAUGAUGGAAGUUGCAUGGCAAUAUAUCUCGGAAUGGCUAUGGAAAUGCCAUGAUAGAUAGGUAUGAUGGCUGUUUUGAGGAAGAUAUAAUGAGGCUUAUAUGUGAUAGAGUGUAUUGUAUCACGGGGUUUGGAUGCACCGGCAAAGUUUGCACCAACUCUCGAGGUGAGAAAGGGCAAUGCACGGUACCGAAGAGGCUAGCAAUGAUGGAAAGGUAAAAGUGCUUAUAAUCCAUGGACUCACAUUAGUCAUAAAGAACUCAUAUACUUAUUGCAAAAGUUUAUUAGCCCUCGAAGCAAAGUACUACUACGCAUGCCCCUAGGGGGAUAGAUUGGUAGGAAAAGACCAUCGCUCGUCCCCGACUGCCACUCAUAAGGAAGACAAUCAAAGAAACACCCCAUGCUUCAAAUCUGUCACACAACGGUUACCAUACGUGCAUGCUACGGGACUUGCAAACCUCAACACAAGUGUCUCUACAAUCCACAACCACCCACUAGCAUGACUCUAAUAUCACCACCUUUAUAUCGCAAAACUAUUGCAAGGAAUCAAACAUAUCAUAUUCAGUGAUCUACAAGUUUUAUGUAGGAUUUUAUGACUAACCAUGUGAAUGACCAAUUCCUGUCAUCUCUCUAAAUAGAUAUAAGUGAAGCAAGAGAGUUUAAUUCUUUCUAAAAAAGAUAUGCCCACGCUCUAACAAUUAUAAGUGAAGCAAGAAAACAUUCUACAAAUGGCGGUUUUCUAUGUGAAGAGAAACAUGCAAUCCAAACUUUAAAUGAUAUAAGUGAAGCACGUGAAGCAUUCUAUAAAGCCAUACUCAAAAGACUUAAGUGAAGUGCAAUGAGCAUUCUAUAAAUCAACCAAGGACUAUCUCAUACCAGCAUGGUGCAUAAAAGAAAAGUGAAAACUAAAUGCAAAAGACGCUCCAAAACUUGCACAUAAUGCAUGAACGAAACGAAUACAAAAACAUACCGAUACUUGCUGAAGAAAGAGGGGAUGCCUUCCAGGGCAUCCCCAAGCUUAGAUACUUGAGUCACCUUGAAUAUUUACUUGGGGCGCCUCGGGCAUCCCCAAGCUUGAUCUCUUGCCUCUCUUCCUUUUCCUCAUAUCGAGACAUCCUCGAUUAGACACUACAUCCACACAAAACUUCAACAGAAAACUCGGUAAGAUCCGUUAGUAUAAUAAAGCAAAUCACUACUCUAAGUACUGUAGGAAACCAAUUCAUAUUUUGUUUUUGCAUUGUGUCUACUGUAAUAUAGCUUCUCCAUGUCUUAAUACACUAAUAUAAAUUGAUAGAUUCAUCAAAACAAGCAAACUAUGUAUCAAAAACAGAAUCUGUCAAAAACAGAACAGUCUGUAGCAAUCUGAACAUCCACCAUACUUAUGUUACCACAAAAAUUCUACCAAAAUUAGGAAAAAUAAACAAGUUGUAUAGAAAGACAGUUCAAAAGGAAUCAGAACCGUUUGACGUUCCAGUUAAAAAUGUAAAAUCGCUCACUACAGCCAAAGUUUCUGUCCUGCACCGUACAAACCAACAAGCAUUGUAAACAUCUUAAAGGAAAAACCUUAGCACAUUAUUUUUAUAAUACAAUGGAAUUGUACAAGGGUAUAAUUAUUUUUGAUGAAAAGUUUCUGUAAUCAAGAUUCACAAAGUUUCCGUGAGCAUGAACAAAGUUCAAGGAGCUCUCCCACUUCAACAAUGCUUGUCUUUCUCACUUUCACUUUCCUUUUUGAAAAGUUUUUAGGUUCUCCUCUUUAUUUUUUUGUUUUUAAAAUAUAUAAAAACACUCAAUAGAAAUAAAUGACUCUCUAAAACUUCUAGGUUGUCUCCCUGGCAGCGCUUUCUUUAAAGCCAUUAAGCUAGGCAUUUAGUGCUCAAGUAAUGAAUCCACCUGGAUCCCAAGGUAUAUCAAAGCUAAUUUUAAUUAAUAAUGAUUUGUAAUUUAGUAGUGAGCACAAAGUAACAUAUGUCAUGCAACAACGAAGUCUAACUCUCUUCCUAUGCAUCGGCAUGUCAUAAAAGAACAAUUCAUGCACACAUAGUAAAGGCCAAUGCAUAGUAUAAACAGUUUCUUGAAUUUUAUCGUAUUGGAAACAUAAAGAGGCGGAGAUGUAGUUCCUCUCUCAUAAUAAUUGCAAGUAGGAGCAGCAAGCACAUGCAUAUUAUAUCUAUCAAAAUCAUCAUGCGAAGUAAUAAAACGCAGCCCAUCAAUAUAAUCCUUAAUAAGCACAAACUUCUCCGACAUAGCGUAGUCGGGAGAAUUCAAAAAGAUAAUAGGACUAUCAUGCGUGGGUGCAAUAGCAACAAUCUCAUGUUUAACAUAAGGAACUAUAGCAAGUUCAUCUCUAUAAGCAUAAUUCAUAUUGGCAUCUCGGCCACAAGCAUAGCAAACACCAUCAAAAGGGGAUAUUUCAAGAGAAUCAAUGGGAUCAUAACAAUCAUCAUAGCAAUCAUCAUAGCAAUCAUCAUAGUAAUCAUCAUAGCAAUCAUCCUUCGGUAAGCACGAAGGGAAAUUAAACAAUGUAUGAGUUGAAGAGUUACUCUCAUUAGAAGGUGGGCACGCGUAGCUAAUCCGCUCUUCCUCCUUUUGUUUUUCGCUCUCCUCAUCAUCUUUUUCAUCCAAUGAGCUCACUGUUUUAUCAAUUUCUUCUUCCAUAGCUUCCUGCAAAAUACUAGUCUCUUCUUGGGCAGCGGAGACUUUCUUCAUAAAAGCAUUAAUAUAAUAAUUGUAUUCAUAAUUUUCAUAGCAAUAUCUAAGUAUAGCAAGAUUUUCAGGCCUAUAACCAUCAUCAUCAAAAGCUUCAUACUUUUCAAACAAAGCUUCAAUUUCAUAAGCAGCCUUAAAAGUAACAAAUUCUUCUAUUUGUUCCACAUCAUAGUAAUCAUAUAUACCAUUAGCAUAAGAAGCUAAGGUUUCAUUAUCAUUAAAUUUGCAUGAAAAGGGAAGGUGUGGAGCCUCUAUCCUAGAGCAACAAGUAAUAUCAUAUCUCAAGCAUAGAUUCCAGGCAUACCAACGCAACAUAAUAAAUUGAUCCCAUAAUAGUUUCCAUUUUUGCGUCGAGCGAUAAUCCCUAAAGUAUUCACAUUGAUCCAACGUGUCUCCCAUUAUAAAGUUGAAUGGGGUUUUCUCAGGAUUAUCGAAGUAGUACACAAUAUCUUUCGCAUAAUGAGAAUCGAGGGUUUUAGGAGUUACCCCAUCCUCAUGAGUAGCAAGUACAACUAGUUUUUUUUGGUAUUUUGCGUUCCAUAUCCAUAACUAAAGAUAGAGAACAACUAAGAACAGCAAAUAAAAAUUACUUAGUGAUAAAGCAAAGAAGCACACAUGAGAAUAUUCACCCCACGCUAUGACUCCCCGGCAACGGUGCCAGAAAAAGGUCUUGAUGACCCGCAAGUAUACGGGAUAGUUGUAGCCUCUUUCGAUAAGUAAGAGUGUCGAACCCAACGAGGAGCUAAAGGUAGAACAAAUACUCUCUCAAGUCCUAUAUGCCACUGAUACGACUCUACGCACGCUUGACAUUCGCUUUACCUAGAACAAGUAUGAACCUAGAAGUAUUUUGUAGGUGUGAUAGGAUAGUUUUGCAAGAAAGUAAAGAGCACGUAAACAUAAACUAGGGGCUGUUUAGAUAAAGAAGCAAUAAAGUAAAUAUAGCGAGUGUGGAAAAGUGGUGGUAGGAGUUGUGAAAUUGUCCCUAAGCAAUUGACUAUGUUACUAGACCGAUAAUCACUAUUGCAAUUCUAUUUGAGGGAGAGGCAUAAACUAACAUACUUUCUCUUCUUGGAUCAUAUGCACUUAUGAUUGGAACUCUAGCAAGCAUCCGCAAAUACUAAAGAUUCAUUAAGGUAAAACCCAACCAUAACAUUAAAGUAUCAAGUCCUCUUUAUCCCAUACGCAACAACCUACUUACUCGGGUUUGUGUUUCAGUCACUCACGCAACCCACUAUAAGCAAAUCAUGAACGUAUUGCAACACUCUACAGCGGGAAUCCCUCACGCUUGCGCGACACGGAGGGCACCAUAGGACAGCACCAAUAAUAAAACAUGCAACUCAAACCAAUCAUAGCAAUUCAUCAAUCAUCGAUAUGACAACGAAAAUCUACUCAGACAUCAUAGGAUGGCAACACAUCAUUGGAAAAUAAUAUGAAGCAUAAAGCACCAUGUUCAAGUAGAGGGUACAGCGGGAUGCGGGAGAGUGGACCGCUGAAUAUAGAAGGGGGAAGGUGAUGGAGAUGUUGGUAAAGAUGACGACGGUGUUGGUGAAGAUCGCGGUGAUGAUGAUGGCCCCCGGCAGCGCUCCGGCGCCACCGAAAGCAAGGGGGAGAGAGCCCCCCUUCUUCUUCUUCUUCUUCAUUGACCUUCUCCCUAGAUGGGAGAAGGGUUUCCCCUCUGGUCCUUGGCUCCCAUGGCGUGGGAGGCGCGAGAGCCCCUCCGAGAUUGGAUCUAUCUCUCUGUUUCUGCGUUCUCUAAUUCUGCCCCUUCACCAUUUCCUUUAUAUCUGGAGAUCCGUAACUCCGAUUGGGGUGAAUCUUUCGCCCAGAUUUUUCUCAUAAAAUUAGCUUUCUUGCGGCAAAAAUAGAGUCUCAACUGCCUUACGGGUGGCCCACGAGAGCCCAAGGCGCACCCAGGGGGAGGGGGCGCGCCCCCCUGUCUCGUGGCCACCCCGGACACCAUUUCACGUUGAUUCUUCCUCCGAAAAAUCCUAAAUAUUCCAAAAUAAUUCUUCGUCCGUUUUUAUCCCGUUUGGAUUCCGUUUGAUAUUGAUUUUCUGUGAAACAUAAAACAUGCAACAGACAGGAACUGACACUGGGCACUGGAUCAAUAUGUUAGUCCUAAAAAUAGUAUAAAAAGUUGCCAAAAGUAUAUGAAAGUUGAAGAAUAUUUGCAUGGAACAAUAAAAAAUUAUAGGUACGACGGAGAUGUAUCAGUAGCAGCCGUAAGCUCGGGCGUUGCCGCAAGUCGUGCUGCUGCAACGACAACGUCGUGGACUGCGAGCUCUGGUGCUGCUGUGACGACCCCAGCGAGGACGGGAAGCUCUCCAGGUGCUGCGAUAGUGAUGUCGCGGACUGGAAACUCCGGUGCUGUUGCGACGACGGCGUCGCAAACUGCAAGCUCUGGUGGUGAUGCUCCGGGGCAAGGGAGGGUGCCGAGCCGGUCCCUGUGUUCGCGCGGCGGGCACGAUAGCCAACGGCGAACUGCUCCGCCAAGCCGACGACGUCGACCCAGGCGGCGAUCUUGUCCUCGACCUUCUGGAACCUGGCGGCCGUCUUGUCGCUGGUCACCAGCUUCACGACCUUCUGCUGCUCGUGCUCGCCGUGGAGGAGUCGAGGAGGAGGAUGUCGCCGAUGGCGCUUGCGCGGACGGCGAGGUCACGGCACCUCUUAGGCUGGUCAUAGUGGGGAGUAACUUAGACUAGUAACAUGCAUAUGUUACUAGUCUAUGUUACUACCUUUAUAGUAUAUAGUAUCAUAGAUUAGUAUCAUAGAUCGUCUCAUUUAUUGCCAUGCAAGACACAUAGUAGCAUCACAUUUAUUAUGUUACGGUAUCUACCUAUGUUAUUAUAACCAUCUUUCUCUUCUUUAAUUGCCUGCCACAUUAGCAUGUUUGCGAGUUCCAAGUGCAUGAUAAUACUUAUGUUACUCCCACUAUGGCCAGUCUUACUGUUCUCCCGGGCCGUCGCGGCCGCCUUCAGUAUCGCCUGCACCACCUUGGCAAUCGCGCUCACCACCACCAUGGUCGAUCUCCAUCGAGUGUCCAUCGACGUUGCCUGUGAGUUUUCGAUGAGUGAAGAGGUGAAAGGAGGACCGCUUACCUACUGGACGAAGGCUUGGGUCGACUUCGGCGGUUUAUAAAAGCUCGCGAUAACUUUGUUAAUGAUCAACUUGCGUUAAAGAGGAACCAAGGAAAGCUCGCGUGCUCUUCUCUUCCCUAGGCUACGAACGCGUAUACAUCACCAUUGUUUGUCGUUAAUGCAGACUUUAGGAAAACGCGGUUGCGAGACAUGAGUCGCAGCGAACAAGAUAGGUACCUGGGUCAAGCAAAGCAAGCACGCCGUUGCAUGGUAUUGGCGAGACCGUGAGAGUGCCCUUCACGCCGUCCGUUUUUCAGUGUUUUGUCGCGGGGCCUUUUGACACUCUUUGCGUGCCCUUCACGCCGUCCAUUUUUUUAGUGUUGUGUCAGACGAAAAAGCAUAGCAGAGGCCGAGCUUCACAGAGCUCUUAUAUUUUUUUUCCAGCAAACAUACUAUUUCCAUAGAUUGAAAAAAUCUAAAAAAGCUAUAUACAUAGAUGCUUAUUUGUAGUAUGCACGUAUAAAAUUUCAUGACCAUAUAUGUUAACAUGUAAUGUAUACAAAAAAGAUAAAUACACAAAUUAAAAUGGGCUUUAUCUUUGUUGUUUUUGGGCCGCCAGAUAUUUAUCUUUUUUAUGUAGCAUGCAAAUAAUUGAAUUACCUGAUGGAAUUUUUUUGAAACUUGAGGAACAGUCAUAUGUAUUUGUAUAAAAAAAUUAUAUUUUUUGAAACUAUUAAGUAUAUUCUGAUAUUUUUGUUUUGGUAAAACGGCCUCCAUGGAGCCCGGCCUCUGAGACGCCUCACUCUGUGUCGCGCGCCCGAAGGCGCACCCGGGCGACACGCCUCGGGGUCCAAGACAAGUGGACCUGCCUCGGGGGUCCACGACAAGUGGAGUGCGGGUGUUGUCAGGGCCACCGUCAUGUGGGGAUUUCGGACAUGCCCGUGUGCGCCCUCCCGUGCGUUGGGCCGCGCCUGCAUCCGCCGUCCAUGUCUGUCGUUGGUUCUGCCCGUUCAUGAAGGGGGUUACCAGCCCGAACACGGCAGGGCUUAGCCUGCCCAGACCCUUCCCGUCGCAGGGCCUGUAAGGAUGACGUGGGAUAAGAAGUGUAAAAACUGUUGCCCUGCCCGGUGCAUACGGCCAAGGACCGGCUAGCCAGCGCCCUAGCUAGCACAUCCGAAAUCGGCCCAGAGGGCUACUCGGUCCUUUUCUUCAGGCAGUUGUGAUUUGCUAGAAGUCGAGCUUGUUUAUCCGUUUUUCUUCUUAUUUUAGUUUUUUUCUUCUCCGGGUUUUUUUCAUUCUUUUUUCAUUUUCUUUUUUCUUGGUUUAAUUUAUUUCUUUUUUGGUUUUCUUUGCUUCUUUUAGUUUGCAUUCUACAUUUUUUUAUAUGUCUACAACAUUUUUCUAAUACACGUUUAACAUUUUUGCAAGACAAUUUUAAUUUUUUAAUACAUGAUCAAUAUUUUUAUAAACAUUUUUAAAAUGCUUGAGUAACAUUUUUUUGAAUAUAGGAUUAGCUUUUUUCAAUACAUGGUCAACAUUUUUCCUAUACACACUUUUCAAAAAUUUCAAACGCUUGAUUAACAUUUUAAAAUAUAAGAUUACAUUUUCUAAUACAUGGUCAACAUUUUUUAUAUGCACAUUUAAUAAUUUUCAAAUACUUGAUUAAUAUUUUUUCAAUGCAAUAUAAACAUUUUUUACACCCAUGGUCACCAUUUUUUCUAAACACAUUUCACAUUUUUCGAAUGGUUGAUUAACAUUUUUCAAGUACUUAUUCAACUUUUUUUUCAAAUGCUUGGUUAACAUUUAUAUAUAUAUGGUCAAAUUGUUUCAUCAUUUAUUUUAAUACAUGAUAAAAAUUAUUCUAUACACAUUCAACAUUUUCCGAAGGUGCUUGAUUAACAUUUUUUAUAUACAUGAUCAAAAAAAGUUAUCAUUUUCUUAAUACAUGGUAAACAUUUUUUCUAUACACAUUACGAAUUUUUCAAAUGCUUGAUUAACAUUUUUCAAAUACUUGUUCAACAUUUUUUUCAAAUGCCUGAUUAACAUUUUUCAAAUACAUGUUCAACUAUUUUUCAAAUUCUUGGUUAAUAUUUUUCUAAAAUAUAUAUAAGAUCAAUUUUUUCCAUAAACAUUGUUUUUUGUACAUUUUUUGUAUACGUGAUAAAUAUUUUCUAUAUACACAUUAAACAUUUUUCAAAUGCUUGGUCAAUAUUUUUGUAGAUAAUAUAUAAUAUAGAUAAACACUAUUCUGAUCACGGGAUCAGAAUAAUAUUCUGAUCACAACCUGACCUGCCCCGCUAGUAGUACUUUGAACUUUCCUGUGAACUAGGUUGAACUUCCGCCAACAUUGCCGAAAUGGGACUUGUGAUAUACCGUUGGAAAGUUAUGGACACCAAUAUCAUGACCCAACUUAAAUUUUUUGCAAAAUAUAAGCGGUUUAAGAGCAGUUUUUAAAACUGUUUUUUCUUCGCAUAAAAAACGUGAAUCGUAUUUUCGAUCGAAUUUCUAAACCGUUUAUCGAAAUGAGGCAUAUAAUAUGGUGUUGGAAAGGUGCUGCAAAGCCGCUCCUUCCACAUGUUGAAAGUUUUUCUAAUUCUCUAUGGUUAAAGAGUAAUUUGAAAAAACGUAAAAUUUUGUAAACCGAACAAUUAAGUUCAUUUUUUCGAUGUCAUUUCUAAACGGCUAAUCCAAUGGAGGCAUAUGAUAUGGCGUUGGAAAGCUUAUGAAAAUGCGCUACUUUUUCAUCUUGAAAGUUUUUUUCUAAUUUUGAAUGGUUUAAGAGUAAUUUAGAAAAUGGUUCAAGUCCUACCGAGUUUGUAUUUUCGAGCUAAUUUUUUAACCGUGCAUUCGAAUGCAGCAAAUGAUAUGGCGUUGGAAAGCUUGAACAAAUGCAAAACUUUUUGGUAUGUAUUGUUUCUCCCAAUUCUUUACGGUUUCAAGUCACUUUCGAAAAUGGCAAAAAACGUAUUUUCGCCGUAAUUUCUACAAACUUUAUUGGAAUUGGGCAAAUAAUAAACCAUUGAAAAGAUACAGAAAAUGCGAAACUUUUUCAUGUUAAUGGUUUUCUCUGAUUCUUAGUCGUUUUCAAGUAAUUUUGAAAACGGCGGGAUCAUUCGUUCUGCCUCUAUCGCAAAACAGAUUCUUCGAAAAUGCACCGCGUGAAGAACCUUAACUUCUCAGCAUAUCUACCUGAACUUCACUCUAUUUUCGACGUGCUUUUUUUUGCUCGCAGAUCUCCAUCUAGUACUCGUAGUUCUCCAUCCACUCCCCGGAAUUCAACGAGUGAUAUACCGGUGGAAAGCCGCUGUAAACACACAACUUUCCCGUGUUGAUUAUUUUCUCAUACUUGUGAUGGUUUUAGAAGUUUUUCAUCUGAAAUUCAUUCAGUAUAGUAGUUGAACUUCCUGCUGUUUUCACGUUGAACUUCUAUGAUGUAUUUUCUUUUGUAAUUUUCUCAUCCAUUCGUCAGUGUUACACAAAUGAUAUUCUUUUUGUACAAACCUCUCUCACAAUAUUUUUUUAAUUUUUUCCGACCGAGGACUUGAACUUACAGAAAUGAUAUUCCUACCGUUUUGAAGUAAAUUAGAAAAUGACGAGAUCAUGAUUUCUGCCUUCAUCGCGAACGGAAACGCACUGCAUGAAGUAGUUGAACUUCUCGAGCAUCUUUGUUUGAACCUCACUCUAUUUUUGACGUGCUGUUUUUUGCAGUGCGUGAAGUAGUUGAACUUCUCAGGCAUGUCUGUUUGAACCUCAAUCUGUUUUUGAACGUGCUGUUUUUUGCACUAUGUGAAGUAGUUGAACGUCUGGGGCAUGCCUGUUUGAACUUCACUCUGUUAGAAUUUAUUUGUAUUUUUCUUAUAUGAAAUACACACCAUGUAGUACGUGAACUUCUGGUUGUUAUCACUCUGAACUUCUCUCUGGUUUGAGAGAAUUAUUUCAAAACACAAAAGACAACAUUUUUUAAUGUAUUUUGGACAUCUAAAUACACGGUGAACCUCUCUCACUCUGUUUUCGACGUGCUUUUUUGCUUGUACUCUCCAUCCACUGAUCGGAAUUGAGCAAGUGAUAUACCGAUGGAAAGCUAUUGUAAACACGCAACUUUCCCGUGUUGAUCAUUUUCUCAUACCCGCGACGGUUUUAAAAGUUUUUCAUCUGAAAUUCAUUCAGUGGUGUAGUUGAACUUCCUGCUGUUUUCACGCUGAACUUCUGUGACGUAUUUUCCUUUGUAAUUUUCUCAUUCAUUCGUCAGUGUUAAACAAAUGAUAUUCUUUUUGUACAAACCAGUCUCAUAAUAAUUUUUUUAACUUUCUCCGAUAGAGUACUUGGACUUACAACAAUAACAAAAUUGGACUUUUCCUUUUAAUUCAUUUUUCUCAUAUUAAACACACACCAUGUAGUACAUGAACUUUUUUCAUUUUUAUAAUUUGAUUUUUUUUUGAAAUGAAACUGCUCCCAAAUAAUAAUUGAACUUCUUUGUUGAUUGAGAGAAUUAUUUUAAAAUGCAAAAAACAAUUUCUUUGUUGUGUUUUUGAACAUGGAAAUACAAGGUGAACCUCUCUCGCAUGAAAUUUUGAACUUGUUCGGACAAAGCACUUGAACUUCUGUCAGUAAACCUUUUAAUUUUUUAUUUUUCAUUGUUUUCUAAUACAAAAUGCACACCGUGUAGUAUGUGAAAUUCUAGCAAUCAUCAACCUGAACUUCUGAGAUUAUGCGUUCUACGUUCAUCAUGAAAACAGAGUCUAUGAAAAUGCAAUGCGUGAAGAGUUGAACUUCUGGAACAUGUGUGUUUGAAAACUUUACUCUAUUUUUGACGUAUUGUUUUUGGCUUGUAACUCUCAAACCGCUCACCGGAAUUGAGUUAAUGACGUAUUACUCUAUUAACUUUUUCUUAUCAUUUUUGGUUUCUAAUUUGAUAUGGAAUGAGAGAAUUUUUUCAUUAUUUUAGUUUGAACUUCUACUUAAAAAAAGGGAAAUCUAUUUUAAACUUUUUUAGUUGUUGCUUUAUUUUAAUUAGAACUUCUUCAUUUGAACUUCGACCUUUCCUGUUAUUUUAAUUUGAACUUCUUAUUUUAUUCUUUGAAAAAAUAUGGUUUUUUAAAUAAGCAUGAAACAAUUUUAAAAAAAUUGGACUUCAUACUUUUAUUUUUCCGACAAAGGGAAAGAAAUUGAGUUUUCUGUAUACAUCGAACUACUUCGUUAUUUUAAUUCGAACUUCUCAAUUUUAUUUCUUAUUAGCAAGGAAAAUAUGAGUUUGUAAAUUCUAACUUCUUGGUUUUUGUAAUGUGAACUUCUCGGGUGUUUUUGAGAUGGUGAAAAUCAAAUGCUACAUUACUUCUAGGUUUUUAUUUAUUUUGAAAUGAUAAUUUCAUUUUUUUAACUUCGGACUAUUACCUUUAUUUAAUUUAAAAUAUAUGUUUUUUAGAAACGAGAACAAAUCUUGGUUUUUUGUAUGCGCGUAUAUAUGAGCACUUCGUUUGUACUGUAUUACAAAACAUUGAUUUUUUGUAUUAUAAUAUCUUCUAUUACAAUUAACAUACUUGACCUUCUCUAACAUUACAUUUUGACCAUUCCACAAACAUACUUGACGUUCUAUUAAUAUUAUCUUAUAGGCAUUAACACAAGCACCUUCGUGCGCAAGUAACGGCCACAACAUGGAGCCCCUGUAGGUUCAGUUCAGCUAUAUCAAUGAGUGAAGAAUGCAGAACAAAAAUUAAUAAAUUUAGAAACUAGUAACGACCACAACAUGGAGACCCCUAAGGUUCAGUUCGUUUUUAUCAACGAGUGAGGAAUGCAGGACAAUAAGUCAGAAUUUAGAAACAACAAGAGAUGGGACUGCCAGACAUUGCUUUCUACUUUGGGAGAUAAAUACAAACAUCUUCUAGCCACACAUACCACUUCUUUUUCAGCUACGUGAGCUACACUAACUUUUCUUCACACAUAGUACUAUGGAGUUGGACGAUGGUUGGAGCAAAAGUGAAUAGAAAAAUAGAAAAAUGUAGGCUCACUCAUCACUCCCGUAGCACCUCUGUAUGUCCCCUGCUAACUACAAUUCUGUGCACAACGAGGAGGAGCAGCGUUAGAGUGGCCUAGCUGCCAAUCGGGAGGAUGGAGCAGGAGGGAAGUUGGCUGGGUUGGAGCGGCAUAGGAGUUCGCAAGCUGCUACAUGGGGUUGGUCAAGCCGGCGCUAAGGUGCAGCGCAAGAUGGCGCUAGCUAACUGAAGAUGGGGCGUGGCGCGUGGGGCAUUGACCACUUUCUUUUGAGAGAUGAGAGCAGCUGCUGCAGUUUACACGCACGCAAGGUAGCACUGAAAGUAACGCAUGGUGGAGGGCCAUGUCGGCUGCAUACCGCGAAGACGUAGGGCUGCGGCGGCCGUCGCGGUGGACUUACCCACGAGCUUGGGUUGAACUGACGUGUAGUACAGAGGCCAGAGACAGCCAGGCCACUCUGAACAUUGCUCUAGGAUGAAGAAGCACGGGGAGAGGAACUCGGACGGACACGGGUGGGGCACUUGGACUGCUGAAGCAGUGGCUAGAGCAACAUCCUGUGGCGGCCAGCGACAGGAGCUGGACUACGACGCACAGGGGAUGGCGCCACCGGACGUGCUUGGGAGUUGGGACGGCAAGCGGUGGUAGGUGGGGUUUGGCCAGGUGCUCGCGCUGCAGGUAGCCUGGCCACAGACAAGCAUGGCGGAGUGCAAGGACCGGCGGCGCUUGCUCGAUCCCGACGACGGGGAAGAACGCAGGAUCAAGGGGAGAUGAAAUCGGGGAGGGGGUGGGAGGGGGCCACCGGGAUUCGAGGCAUGGCAGCAGGAUUCGACUCGCAGAGAUGAGAUCCAUCUCGAGGUGGCGCGCGGGAGUUGCCGGAGGCGGUGCCGCCUGGAGUUGCCGGCGGCGGCGACUUCGUGGUUGCCUGGGCCGGCGGCGCGCGGGAUGGGUGAGGUGCGCGGGGGCGCUGGGUGGGCCGGCGGGAAUCGUGGGGGUCGAGGGAUGGGAAGUCCAGGCGGUUUUCAGAGUUCGGGAACAUCUCUUCGCUGCCUAUAUAGGGCCGUGUGAUCCAAAUAACUAUUCUGAUCCCAGGAUCAAAAUAGUGCUACCCUAUAUAUAUGAGUAGUGGGAAAUGUCAAAUGGGAAGCUCUAUGGAGGCACACAUCGUGUCGUUCAUCAUCGAAAUGGGACUGACUCGCUCGGGAACAGGCACAGGAUUGAGGAACUUUCUGGCGUAACACACCCGUAAUGGGGCAAUCUGACUAGCUGGUCAAAACCCUUUCCGCAGUGUUUAAGUGGUGCUGGAAGGAAUCAAGAGGGGAGGAGGAAAGCUGUACCAGGUGGAAGGAGAAGAGCUGAUUGCUACUAAAUCAGAACAAGCUUAGUUCUGCAUGAUGGCUCAAUGGUGCAUGGUCAACUCAGUAAACCUAACAUCUCUGAUCUCUGAUCCAAUUUCAACCCUACUGAACUCUUAAGAGUAGGUGUUUCAAGAACCUAAGUCCUUACAAAAAAAAAGAAUCCAUGAUCACUAUAGACCCCCGAAGGUACUGAGCCCAAACAUCUGAAGCCAUACGGAUACUCACAUCUGCAAAAGGCUGAGAUUGAGAAUUGAGGAAUUGCUGAAGAAUUCACUGAUACAAUCCUCUACUAGCCCCUUUGCUUCACCUGUGCUGUUAGUGAAGAAGAAGGAUGGGACAUGGAGGAUGUGCAUUGAAACCAGGCAGCUGAAUGCCAGUACAGUAAAGAAGAAAUACCCAAUUCCGGCACAUAGAUGCCCUAUUGGAUGAGUGGUGCUAAAUAUUACAGCAAGAUUGACUUAAGAUCUGGCUAUCAUCAGAUCAGGAUGAGAGAGGAAGACAAGCCCAAAACUUCAUUCAGAACCCUGUAACUAUGAAUUCAAUGUGAUGCAGGCUUACAAAUGCUCCUGCAACGUUUCAAGCACUCAUGAAUGAUGUGUUCAAGCCCAGAAGAUUUGUGUUGGUUUUAUGAUAUACUUCUUGACAGUAAAACACUGAAGGAGCAUCAACAGCACUUGCAGCUAACACUUUUUCUGCGGAAUCAGCUACAUGCUAAGAUGAGCAAGUGUGAGUUUUGACUUUCAAAGGCGGAAUAUUAGGGGUAAAAUGGAAAAUAAGGUGGCAGAUGCAUUUAAUAGGAGAAAGGCCGGAACAUCUGUCCAGCUGGUCCAAGGUGUGCAAACCGCUUUGUGAAGGCCGACUGAGAAUGAGGGACCUAGUAGUGUAUUUCGAAGCCUUCUAGGCAAAGCUGCUUUGGCGUGCACUGAAAGGGCGUCUUCCUUUCCUAUAUUAUACCAGAGGUGAGUGCAUAAUCUGGUGUAGAACGGAGGGGAUAUCCUAAGUUGAUGUGCACAAGUGCUUCCUCUGAUUGAAGUCGAUUGCCUCAACCAAUUUCUUAGUACAUCAACACAAGAAGUGGCGAAUUGGGGAUGGUGCUACCUCAGUGAAACUGUGGGAAGAUGGGUAGGUGGGGCCUCUCAACCAAGACAUCGCGGUUGGCGAGUGGGGACUCUACUGAAUUCUAGCAUGGGUGUGGUAGAUUACUGACGUGAAGCCGGACCUCUAUGAGUGCUCUACAUGGCCGGAUCAAAGCUAUUCUAAAAACUAGAUCCAUUGGAGUGGGAAGUACUCAAGAUGUAGAAGAGGACUCAAGCAGGUUUGGUCCUCUUUCUCUGAUGUGUUCUUAGAACCCACUACCCUCCCUCCUAAAAGACCAUGUGACCAUCGGAUUCACCUCACGAUAGUCAACCAGUGAAUCAAAGGCCUUAUAGGUAUUCACACCACCGGAUGAAAUUGAAGCCAUAAUCAAGGAGUUACUCUAGAAUGGUACUCUACAACCUAGUUCAUGCCUCACCGGCUCUUCUUUACAAGAAGAAAGAAGGUUCGUGGCGCCUAUGGAUUAUAGGCAACUCAAUGCGCAAACCGUAAAAAAGAAAUACCCGAUACCGGUCAUUGAUGAUCUUCUGGAUGAGCUACACGGUUAUACUGUGUACUCAACAAUCGUUUUAUCUAUUCCCACAUCGAUUCACCAAUCCUGGAACUCGUUAUGGAUAGAAGGUCCGUAGAAGUGAAAGUAGGACGACGGGAGAAAAGAGUAAGGAGUACCGGAAAAAGAAGAUUUUGGACUUUCUGCCCACGAAGAAAUAGUAGCAUUUGAAACUGGAAAGAUUUACUUUGGAUAGUAAAUCACCAAGGAAGGGCUAUAAUCCAAACAAAGGAGGAGCUAGCGGACAGUUCGAAUUUCAACGAUUAGGGAGGGGAAUGAAACACUUGUCUUUCACAAUCAAUUCUUUCUUUUUUUUAUGUUUAGGACACGCGAAGCGAGAGCGAAACUCGCUAUGAGGAGAAGACUCGGCAAGAGAGGUUUGAACAAGAGGAACUGCCGUCUAGUUGAGUUUGAUCAUUCUCUCUUUCUAUCUCUCUUUCUUUCAAGAGCUGAAUAAGGGCAUAUCCACAAAGGAGAGAGAAAUCGGACUUUCUUCUUUACCCCCCUCAUUAUUCAAGACGUGAAUAUAAAGUGUAUUGUACUCCCUUGGAUCUUUUCCGGGAUCUUUACUCGUCGUUGAUCAAGGAAGCUAGAAGGAAGAUGGGUGGUAGGGUGAAUGGAUAUUCGUAUCCUCUCCGACUCGUCGGUUAGGAGAGUAGCGACCAAAAAGAAAUCAUUAUACAGGAUAACUGCUGUAGAGAUAAAAUGUAGGAAGGAGAAAGUUGGUUUCAAUGAGUCAUGUGAAUUGUAGAAGAAAUAGGUAAACAAGGCGGGUUAAUAUAUAUAUACGUUGAAAAGCAAGGGGAUAAAUUGAACGAAAUGAAGAGCAAUCCAGAAUCCUAUUUUGUAUACUAUAAGAAAAAGGCACUGAAAACUUGGAAACGGAAGAUGUUGUAACUGAUAUGGGUAGUCACACAUUAGGCAAAAUGGUGUAGUGGUUGGGCCAGGUAGCUUCUUCUUUUGAACAGCAUUUCAUUCUGUUUUGGAUGCUUUCUACUAUGUUUCAAGUGAUCAAAGAAGAGUUUAUUUCCCACUACUCAUAUCACAUCUUAUGUGUUGAUGCAAGCUGACUAAAUCAAUAAACAAAGGUAAAAAAUAAAGAAAAAUAAACUGGGAAAACUAAAAAAAAACGAGGGUGUGGCCUCUUGCAUGCCUGGGCCAGCUCAGUUCUGAAUGCGAGAUAUAGGGACGUCCAUGAUGAAGGACAUUAGUGGAUGAGUUUAUGUUUGGUAGAGGUGUGCAUGUGUGUAGGUUGUGUUGGGCCAUGGAGUGGGUGAGGCGUUCAUGCUUGUGGAGGGGGUUCAAAAUUGUCGUCAACUAGAUGAUACCCCGCGCGUUGCUGCGGGAUAAUAUAGUUCAUUUGAUAUGUGAAAAAAGAAGCUUCAAUGCAACAUUAUUAAAUAAAACUAACUAAUUGCCAAUGGGAAGAAAUAAGGUAGUAUAAUUUUAAAUGAGGCCAUAAGGAAGAAACCAAAGAUCCAACUUUCUUGUAUUGAUGUGUAACAAAGGAAGGAUGGAAGCAAUGUAUGUAAGCAUCAUCAGUUUUAUUUGUAACAUUUCGGUAAACAAUACACACCUUGAAGGUUCGCAAAUAAAACGAUUUCGCUUUGAAGACAUGCCAACACUGGACAUAAAUGAUAAAACAUAAGCUCCAUUGUUUUUCCAAACACGCAAACACAAAAGAGGUGUGUGAAAGCACAAUCUUUUUAUUACUGGAAAAUAUUAGAAAAAAACUUGAUCAUCCGGAAGGACCGAAAUGCCGGCUUCAUUGUCCACGGUGGCGCAAUUGCAAAGUUAGUGAGGGACCCUUUGUGUGAGAACCAAGGUUGUAGCCUUACACCUAGAGGACUUACCGCCAUGCUAGAAGCACGUCCUUCAAAAUACUGAAAAGAGUAUAAGAUUCGAAAGGAAGUGAAGCUCCUACUUCAAAAUUUAACAAACGAAUAUAAUCAAUUCAUCCCUGGGGAAUCAAAGGCAUAUUUUACAGUUAACAGAGGGGAAGAUAGCUUGUCAGACAACUAAAGAAAAUGCAGUGGUUGUCAAUCCCGUAAGUGACACACAAUUAAAUUUCCGCAAAGCAAACUAAGAAAAUGACUCUGUACAAUAAAGUGUUAGGUUCAAACCAAACAUGGAAACCGUACCUGCUUCAUUGUUUAAUUAUUUGGUAACACUUGUGGUCUUCAUCAUUGUACAAUUUUCAGCGGUUCCCAGUAGUGUUGAAGGAACAUGACCUGAAAAUUACCUUUGAACAAAUAAUUACUUCAUGAAGAGUAAGUACAGGCAUUAGAAGUAAUGUCAGUAUACACAUAUGAUAUCCAUACAUUUCGAUAGAGCUCCCAUUAGAUAGGCAUUUGAAAGUUUUUUUUUUGUGCAUAUUCAGAAAGCACCAAUUACUUGAAACAAAAGCAACCGAAUCAUAAUAGAACUUCAUUGUUCGUGUGUUUACAACUUUUGCGUGAUUUAACUAUUGGUUACAAAAUAAAAUAUUCUCAUACAAAUAAUGUCAAACAAAGAAUUGAGGGUUGAAUAUUCAGUUAUUAUUCAGCAAGGCGGGAUCGCAAUAUGAUCGAUCUGGAAGGUUUAACAAUAGUUCACCUUGGUGCCCAUGUAAAUCAUAAUGAUACACGAAAAAACAUAAAAUUAAGAGAGAGAAAAACGCUAUGCUUUUGUAGCACGACGAAUAUGAGCAAUACAUGAACCAUCACUGUAAAAGGGGAUUGCAAAAUAAUUGUAGCUUCCGCAAGACAUAAAUUGAUUUAAUAAAUAUAAUCAGUUUUAAAUGUAGGGAAAUAAUGAAUAUCCAUGCUAGUUUUUUUCAUCUGAUCCUUUUUCCUUUUCUUUUCAUCUGAUUUUUUUUCUCUGGUCAAAUGAAUGAACGGCUGGCAUUUUUCUCAAAAAUCUAAGAAAUAACUGAAUGUUUAUAUCCGUCGUAUGGACCGAUGCAAAAAUCUCCUGCAUCAAAAGGGUGAGAUCGAAAACAUGGAAGAAUAGCGUUACUCCCGUCCAUUGCCCGUCAGGCCGCUGGUAAACAUGCCGCGGCCACAUCGCACGUGUCGCCGUUAUAUAUAGCUGCAACGCAGGAAUACAUGCAUAUAGAUCGGCUUGCCGAUGGAUCAAAGUUGGAUGAAACUAAUAGUACUGUAAGAACAAUAUAUACCUGUAGAUUAAGGUCGAGUUUGCCUGUUGGACCGGACAGGCGAGAUUGAUCGAUCGAGAAGACGUUGUCUUAUCGAUUAGCCUACUUUGAUCCCCGUUGGUGCGACCUCCUUCCAAAUCGAUUGUCUUGCGAUCCUAAAUACUCCCAAGCAGUGGGAGGGUCAGUGCUAGAUACCGUUGCUUGUGGCGUACAACAUCAAAAGCUGCAGUCUGAAUCUGAAUUUAAUAAUGAAACAUACAUACUUUCUCUAACUUGGGAACUGCUAAUCCCAGACUUAAUCAACAACAUCAAUUUACAUGCGUGGGACAGGAUGAGAUCAUGGAGCAUAACCUUUGGUGAGAAGAAUAAUUUCAUGGUGCGGGGACAGGGCCACCAUGAUCUAAGACAAUAACGCCAUGGGACUUUCGUUGCUGGCCAAUCACUCAGAAUCCAAGGUAGCCCUGGAUGGCAUCGGUAGGUGAAGAAGACACGCCGACCUUGAGAGGAACCCAAGGUGAGGAAGAGGAUGCCCAAGGCGAGGAGUAAAAGCGAGGGAGGGUUGGGGAUGCGGGGCGGAUGUUACUGAUGGAGGGAGGGGGAGAGGCGGGGGUGGAGAAGCGGAAGGAGUUAUUGUUUCUCGAUAUCACGAAGGGAGGAGCCAGACUGACGAUUCGUUGGAAAAAUUAAGAAAAAUAAUUACUUAGUUGGCAGAUGUUAUGACGUGGAGUCUGCAUGUUAGAUGUGAUAGGUUGCUGAUGUGGAUAGCUUGCAUGUUAAGAGAAAUAGGAUAGUGGGGAUGAACUAUUUAGGUAUUAUAGAUUAUGUGGCAGAAGUUCCCCUAAAAAAAUCUGUUGCAAAGGUAGCCUGUUCUUAAAAGAAAUGUGUGGUAAAGAUAACUUGUUCAUAAAUUGAAAAAUGAUAAAGGUAGCCACCAACCCCAUUCUCUUGCCUAUGAGCCUAUCCUCAACGAGCUUAUAUGUUCAAAUCUGCCCCAAUGCGUUCCUGUUCUUGGAGAGAAUGCGAUGGAGUUGGUGAUGGUAGCGUGCUGGUAUAUAUUGUAGAGAAUGAUUUGGUGCAUCGAUAAUUGAUUGAUCGUGUACUCGGCACAUAUAUAUAUAGGUACAAGGGGUGCGACCGGUAUCUUGUCUCCUAAGAUACACGUACAUACAGAGGAAGAUAGACACUACAUGUACUGCAUACAAAACCCAGACCUACGUACAUGUACACAUGUUCAACACCCCCCCACAGUCGAAGCGUCGCCGGUGACGCAAAGACUGGACCGAAAGCCCUCGAAGGUCGAGGUGGAUAGUCCCUUCGUCAUCACAUCGGCGAACUGCUGAUCGGUGCGCACAUGUAGAACACGAACACGACCAAGUGCGACGUGCUCCCGGACGAAGUGGAUGUCGAGCUUAAUGUGCUUCGUCCGUCGGUGAUGGACAGGGUUGGCAGCAAGGUACACCGCGGAGACAUUAUCACAGUAGACGAGCGUCGCCUUGGUAAACUCACAUAGCAACUCCUGAAGUAGCUGUCGUAGCCAAGAGCACUCCGUGACGGCGUUGGCCACGGCCCGAUACUCAACCUCGGCGCUCGAUCGUGAGACCGUGGGUUGUCGUUUAGACGACCACGAAAUCUGAGAGGGCCCAAGGUAGACGCAGUAGACGGAAGUGGAGCGUCGAGUGUCGGGAUACCCAGCCCAGUCAGCGUCGAAGUAGGCGACAAGGCUGGUGUCAGGUGAUGCCGUCAGGGUGAGACCCAUGGCUGUGGUGCCACGUAUGUACCGAAGUAUCCGUUUCACGAGAGCCCAAUGGGUGUCACGAGGAGCAUGCAUAUGAAGGCACACCUGCUGGACAGCGUACUGAAUGUCCGAACGCGUCAGUGUGAGGUACUGAAGCGCACCGAUGAUGGAGCGGUAGAAGGGAGCGUCGGACAUCGGAGAGCCCUCGACGGCGGAUACCUUAGCCUUCGUGUCGACAGGCGUGGAAGUAGGCUUGCAGUUAAGCAUGGCCGCUCGCUCCAGAAGCUCGUAGGCGUACUUCUGCUGGUGCAGGAAGAAGCCAGUAGCUCGACGCACGACCUCGAUGCCGAGGAAGUAGUGGAGAGCCCCCAAGUCCUUGAGGGCGAACUCAGUGCCGAGGCGAGUUGUGAUCUGCUGAAGUAGCGCUGGCGAGGAUGCAGUCAGGAUGAUGUCGUCGACAUACAGUAGGAGGUACGCGGUGGCGGGGCCCUGGUGAUAGACAAACACGGAGGCAUCGGACCGUGUGGACCAAAACCCUUGCUGCUGAAGGAAGGCCGCGAUCCACUGGUACCAGGCCCGAGGUGCCUGCUUCAACCCCUAGAGAGAACGGGAGAGUAAGCACACAUGGUCCGGAUAGUCGGUUUCGACCAAACCAGUAGGCUGCUGACCGAACACCUGCUCGUCGAAAUGGCCAUGCAAGAAAGCAUUAGACACAUCGAGCUGGUGGACUGGCCAGGCACGAGAAACAACAAGCUGGAGAACAGCGCGAAUCGUGCCCGGUUUGACAACCGGGGUGAAGGUGUUGGUGAAGUCCACGCCGGCACGCUGGCGGAAGCCGCGCACCACCCAACGCGCCUUGUAGCGCUCGAGAGAACCGUCAGGGCGAGUCUUGUGGCGAAAGACCCACUAGCCAGUAAUGACAUUGGCAUGGGGAGGCCGCGGAACAAGCUGCCACGUACGGUUGCGCUGCAGGGCGUCAAACUCCUCACACAUCGCAGCUAGCCAGUUCGGAUCACGAAGGGCUACGCGAGCGGGGGUGGGGAGCGGGGAUGCGCCGAGGUAGAUGCCGCACACGCGUACUCAUCCGACGGGUAGCACGUGCUGAGACAUAGUGUCCCAGUCCGAGCUCGAGUGACCACACCGGUAAGGGGUGCGGCCGCGGCGACGAGGGGCGCGGCGGGGGCGGCCGAGGUCACCGUGGCGAGAGGGGCCACGGCGGGGGCCAUCGGUGGGGCCGCGGUGACAGGGGUUGCGGCGACGGGGGGCGCAACAGGGGCUGUGGCAGGGGCUGCCGGCGCGGGGAGCGCGGGCAGGGCCGACUCCGGGGCGCGGUUGGGGCGGUCCGCCAGAGGUGGAGGUAGGGGCGAACCGCGCCGCGGGAGACGCCGAAAGUGACUGUACCUGCUGAAACGGGAACACCAGCUCAUCAAAGUACACAUGCCGCGAAGUGAAAAUGCGGUGGGAUACUGGAUCAUAGCACCGGUAACCUUUGGUGUUGGGAGGAUUGUUGGGUAACGUAGUAAUUUAAAAAAAUUUCCUACGCACACACAAGAUCGUGGUGAUGCAUAGCAGCAGGAAGGGAGAGUGUUGUCCUCGUACCCUCUUAGACCGAAAGCGGAAGUGUUAGCACAACACGGUUGAUGUAAUCGUACGUCUUCACGGCCCGACCGAUCAAGCACCGAAAGCACGGCAACUCGGAGUUCUUGCACACGUUCAGCUCGAUGACGUCCCUCGAACUCCGAUCUAGCCGAGUGUCAAGGGAGAGUUCCGUCAGCACGACGGCGUGGUGACGAUGAUGAUGUUCUACCGACGCAGGGCUUCGCCUAAGCAUGCCACGAUAUUAUCGAGGAGGACUAUGGUGGAGGGGGGCACCAUACACGGCUAAGAGAUCAAUGAUUAAUUGUUGUGUCUAUGGGAUGCCCCCCUCCCCCGUAUAUAAAAGAGUGGAAGAGGGGGCCGGCCAAGGGGAGGAGGCGCGCCCAAGGGGGGAGUCCUACUCCCACCGGGAGUAGGACUCCUCCUUUUCCUAUUUGGAGAGGGAGAGGGAAGGAAGAGGAAGGAGGGAGGAAGGAAAGGGGGGCCGGCCCCCCUCCCAAUUCGGAUUGGGCUUGGGGGGCCCGCGCCCCCUCCCUUGCUCCUUUCCCCUCAUUUCCACUAAAGCCCAUUAAGGCCCAUAUACCUCCCGGGGGGUUCCGAUAACCUCCCGGAGCUCCAGUAUUGUCCCAAUCUCACCCGGAACCUUUCCGAUGUCCAAAUAUAGUCGUCCAAUGUAUCGAUCUUCAUGUCUUGACCAUUUCGAGACUCCUCGUCAUGUCCGUGAUCACAUCCGGGACUCCGAACAACCUUCGGUACAUCAAAACACAUAAACUCAUAAUAUAACUGUCAUAUAACUUUAAGCAUGCGGACCCUAAGGGUUCGAGAACUAUGUAGACAUGACCGAGACAUGUCUCCGGUCAAUAACCAAUAGCAGAACCUGGAUGCUCAUAUUGGCUCCUACAUAUUCUACGAAGAUCUUUAUCGGUCAAACCGCAUAACAACAUACAUUGUUCCCUUUGUCAUCGGUAUGUUACUUGCCUGAGAUUCGAUCAUCGGUAUCUCAAUACCUAGUUCAAUCUCGUUACUGGCAAGUCUCUUUACUCGUUACUUAAUGCAUCAUCCCGUAACUAACUCAUUAGCUACAUUGCUUGCAAGGCUUAUAGUGAUGUGCAUUACCGAGAGGGCCCAGAGAUACCUCUCCUACAAUCGGAGUGACAAAUCCUAAUCUCAAAAUACGUCAACUCAACAAGUACCUUUGGAGACACCUGUAGAUCGCCUUUAUAAUCACCCAGUUACGUUGUGAUGUUUGGUAGCACACAAAGUGUUCCUCCGGUAAGCGGGAGUUACAUAAUCUCAUAGUCAUAGGAACAUGUAUAAGUCAUGAAGAAAGCAAUAACAACAUACUAAACAAUCAAGUGCUAAGCUAACGGAAUGGGUCAAGUCAAUCACAUCAUUCUACUAAUGAUGUGAUCCCGUUAAAUCAAAUGACAACUCAUGUCUAUGGUUAGGAAACUUAACCAUCUUUGAUUCAUGAGCUAGUCAAGUAGAGGCAUACUAGUGACACUAUGUUUGUCUAUAUAUUCACACAUGUAUUAUGUUUCCGGGUAAUACAAUUCUAGCAUGAAUAAUAAACAUUUAUCAUGAUAUGAGGAAAUAAAUAAUAACUUUAUUAUUGCCUCUAGGGCAUAUUUCCUUCAGUCUCCCACUUACACUAGAGUCAAUAAUCUAGAUUACACAGUAAUGAUUCUAACACCCAUGGAGCCUUGGUGCUGAUCAUGUUUUGCUCGUGGAAGAGGCUUAGUCAACGGGUCUGCAACAUUCAGAUCCGUAUGUAUCUUGCAAAUCUCUAUGUCUCCCACCUGGACUUGGUCCCGGAUGGAAUUGAAGCGUGUCUUGAUGUGCUUGGUUCUCUUGUGAAAUCUGGAUUCCUUUGCCAAGGCAAUUGCACCAGUAUUGUCACAAAAGAUUUUCAUUGGACCCGAUGCACUAGGUAUGACACCUAGAUCGGAUAUGAAAUCCUUCAUCCAGACUCCUUCAUUUGCUGCUUCUGAAGCAGCUAUGUACUCCGCUUCACAUGUAGAUCCCGCCACGACGCUUUGUUUAGAACUGCACCAACUAACAACUCCACCGUUCAAUAUAAACACGUAUCUGGUUUGCGAUUUAGAAUCGUCCGGAUCAGUGUCAAAGCUUGCAUCGACAUAACCAUUUACGACUAGCUCUUUGUCACCUCCAUAAACGAGAAACAUAUCCUUAGUCCUUUUCAGGCAUUUCAAGAUUUUCUUGACCACUUUCUAGUGAUCCACUCCUGGAUUACUUUGGUACCUCCCUGCUAAACUAAUAGCAAGGCACACAUCAGGUCUGAUACACAGCAUUGCAUACAUGAUAGAGCCUAUGGCUGAAGCAUAGGGAACUUCUUUCAUUUUCUCUCUAUCUUCUGCAGUGGUCGGGCAUUGAGUCUGACUCAAUUUCACACCUUGUAUUACAGGCAAGAACCCUUUCUUUGCUUGAUCAAUUUUGAACUUUUUCAAAACUUUAUCAAGGUAUGUACUUUGUGAAAGUCCAAUUAAGCGUCUUGAUCUAUCUCUAUAGAUCUUGAUGCCCAAUAUGUAAGCAGCUUCACCGAGGUCUUUCAUCGAAAAACUUUUAUUCAAUUAUCCUUUUAUGCUAUCCAGAAAUUCUAUAUCAUUUCCAAUCAAUAAUAUGUCGUCCACAUAUAAUAUUAGAAAUUCUGCAGAGCUCCCACUCACUUUCUUGUAAAUACAGAAUUCUCCAAAAGUCUGUAUAAAACCAUAUGCUUUGACCACACUAUGAAAGCGUUUAUUCCAACUCUGAGAGGCUUGCACCAGUCCACAAAUGGAUCGCUGGAGCUUGCACACUUUGUUAUCAUCCUUUGGAUCAACAAAACCUUCUGGUUGCAUCAUAUACAACUCUUCUUCCAGAAAUUCAUUCAGGAAUGCAGUUUUGACAUCCAUUUGCCAAAUUUCAUAAUCAUAAAAUGCGGCAAUUGCUAACAUGAUUCGGACAGACUUAAGCAUCGCUACGGGUGAGAAAGUCUCAUCAUAGUCAACCCCUUGAACUUGUCGAAAACCUUUCGCAACAAGUCGAGCUUUGUAGACAGUAACAUUACCAUCAGCGUCAGUCUUAUUCUUGAAGAUCCAUUUAUUCUCGAUGGCUUGCCGAUCAUCGGGCAAGUCAACCAAAGUCCACACUUUGUUCUCAUACAUGGAUCCCAUCUCAGAUUUCAUGGCCUCUAGCCAUUUUGCGGAAUCUGGGCUCAUCAUUGCUUCCUCAUAGUUCGUAGGUUUACCAUGGUCAAGUAACAUGACCUCCAAAAUAGGAUUACCGUACCACUCUGGUGCGGAUCUUACUCUGCUUGACCUACGAGGUUUAGUAGUAACUUGAUCUGAAGUUUAAUGAUCAACAUCAUUAGCUUCCUCACUUAUUGGUGUAGUCGUCACAGGAACCAGUUUCUGUGAUGAACUAUUUUCCAAUAAAGGAGCAGGUACAGUUACCUCAUCAAGUUCUACUUUCCUCCCACUCACUUCUUUCGAGAGAAACUCCUUCUCUAGAAAGGAUCCAUUCUAGGCAACAAAUGUCUUGCCUUCGGAUCUGUGAUAGAAGGUGUACCCAACAGUUUUCUUUGGGCAUCCUAUGAAGACACAUUUCUCCGAUUUGGGUUCGAGCUUAUCAGCUUGAAGCUUUUUCACAUAAGCAUCGCAGCCUCAAACUUUAAGAAAUGACAACUUUGGUUUCUUGCCAAACCACAGUUCAUAAGGCGUCGUCUCUAAUGCAUAACCCCAAAAUGAUAGCGGUAAAUCAGUAAGAGACAUCAUAGAUCACACCGUAUCUAGUAAAGUACGAUUACGAUGUUCGGACACACCAUUACGCUGUGGUGUUCUGGGUGGCGUGAGUUGCGAAACUAUUCCGCAUUGCUUCAAAUGUAAACCAAACUCCUAUCUCAAAUAUUCUCCUCCACGAUCAUAUAGUAGAAACUUUAUUUUCUUGUUACGAUGAUUUUCAACUUCACUCUGAAAUUCUUUGAACUUUUCAAAUGUUUCAGACUUAUGUUUCAUUAAGUAGAUAUACCCAUAUCUGCUCAAAUCAUCUGUGAAGGUGAGAAAAUAACGAUACCCGCCGCGAGCCUCAACAUUCAUUGGACCACAUACAUCAGUAUGUACGAUUUCCAACAAAUCAGGUGCUUGCUCCAUCGUUCCGGAGAACGGCGUUUUAGUCAUCUUGCCCAUGAGGCAUGGUUCACAAGUACCAAGUGAUUCAUAAUCAAGUGAUUCCAAAAGUCCAUCAGUAUGGAGUUUCUUCAUGCGCUUUACACCAAUAUGACCUAAACGGCAGUGCCACAAAUAAGUUACACUAUCAUUAUCAACUCUGCAUCUUUUGGCUUCAACAUUAUGAAUAUGUGUAUCACUACUUCCGAGAUUCAUCAAAAAUAGACCACUCUUUAAGGGUGCAUGACCAUAAAAGAUAUUACUCAUAUAAAUAGAACAACCAUUAUUCUCAGAUUUAAAUGAAUAACCGUCUCGCAUCAAACAAGAUCCAGAUAUAAUGUUCAUGCUCAAUGCUGGCACCAAAUAACAACUAUUUAGGUCUAAAACUAAUCCCGAAGGUAGAUGUAGAGGUAGCGUGCCGACGGCGAUCACAUCGACUUUGGAACCAUUUCCCGCACGCAUCGUCACCUCGUCCUUAGCCAGUGUCCGCUUAAUCUGUAGUCCCUAUUUUGAGUUGCAAAUAUUAGCAACAGAACCAGUAUCAGAUACCCAGGUGCUACUGCGAGCUCUGGUAAGGUACACAUCAAUAACAUGUAUAUCACAUAUACCUUUGUUCACCUUGCCAUCCUUCUUAUCCGCCAAAUACUUGGGGCAGUUCCGCUUCCAGUGACCAGUCUGCUUGCAGUAGAAGCACUCAGUCUCAGGCUUAGGUCCAGACUUGGGUUUCUUCUCUUGAGCAGCAACUUGUUUGUUGUUCUUCUUGAAGUUCCCCUUCUUUUUCCCUUUUCCCUUUUUCUUGAAACUGGUGGUCUUAUUGACCAUCAACACUUGAUGCUCCUUCUUGAUUUCUACCUCCGCAGCCUUUAGCAUUGCGAAGAGCUUGGGAAUUAUCUUAUCCAUUCCUUGCAUAUUAUAGUUCAUCACGAAGCUCAUGUAGCUUGGUGGCAGUGAUUGAAGAAUUCUGUCAAUGACGCUAUCAUCCGGAAGAUUAACUCCCAGUUGAAUCAAGUGAUUGUUAUACCCAGACAUUCUGAGUAUAUGCUCACUGACAGAACUAUUCUCCCCCAUCUUGCAGCUGUAGAACUUAUUGGAGACUUCAUAUCUCUCAAUCCGGGCAUUUGCUUGAAGUAUUAACUUCAACUCCUGGAACAUCUCAUAUGCUCCAUGACAUUUAAAACGUCGUUGAAGUCCCGGUUCUAAGUCGUAAAGCAUGGCACACUGAACUAUCGAGUAGUCAUCAGCUUUGCUUUGCCAGACAUUCAUAACAUCUGGUGUUGCUCCUGCAGCAGGUUUGGCACCUAGUGGUGCUUCCAGGACAUAAUUCUUCUAUGCAGCAAUGAGGAUAAUCCUCAAGUUACGGACCCAGUCCGUGUAAUUGCUACCAUCAUCUUUCAACUUUGCUUUCUCAAGGAACACAUUAAAAUUCAACGGAACAACAACACGGGCCAUCUAUCUACAACAAACAUAGACAAGCAAAAUACUAUCAGGUACUAAGUUCAUGAUAAAUUUAAGUUCAAUUAAUCAUAUUACUUAAGAACUCCUAAUUAGAUAGACAUCCCUCUAAUCAUCUAAGUGAUCACCUGAUCCAAAUCAACUAAACCAUAACCGAUCAUCACGUGAAAUGGAGUAGUUUUCAAUGGUGAACAUCACUAUGUUAAUCAUAUCUACUAUAUGAUUCACGCUCAACCUUUCGGUCUCAGUGCUCUGAGGCCAUAUCUGCAUAUGCUAGGCUCGUCAAGUUUAACCUGAGUAUUCUGCGUGUGCAAAACUGGCUUGCACCCGUUGUAGAUGGACGUAGAGCUUAUCACACCCGAUCAUCACGUGGUGUCCGGGCACGACGAACUUUGGCAACGGUGCAUACUCAGGGAGAACACUUUUAUCUUGAAAUUUAGUGAGAGAUCAUCUUAUAAUGCUAUCGUUAAUCAAAGCAAGAUAAAAUGCAUAAAAGAUAAACAUCUCAUGCAAUCAAUAUAAGUGAUAUGAUAUGGCCAUCGUCAUCUUGUGCUUGUGAUCUCCAUCUCCGAAGCACCGUCAUGAUCACCAUCGUCACCGGCGCGACACCUUGAUCUUCAUCGUAGCAUCGUUCUCGUCUCGCCAACUAUUGCUUCUAUGACUAGCGCUACCGCUUAGUGAUAAAGUAAAGCAAUUAUAGGGCGAUUGCAUUGCAUACAAUAAAGCGACAACCAUAUGGCUCCUGCCAGUUGCCGAUAACUCGGUUACAAAACAUGAUCAUCUCAUAUAAUAAAAUAUAGCAUCACGUCUUGACCAUAUCACAUCACAACAUGCCCUGCAAAAACAAGUUAGACGUCCUCUACUUUGUUGUUGCAAGUUUUACGUGGCUGCUACGGGCUUAGCAAGAACCGUUCUUACCUACGCAUCAAAACCACAAGGAUAGUUCGUCAAGUUAGUGCUGUUUUAACCUUCUCAAGGACUGGGCGUAGCCACACUUGGUUCAACUAAAGUUGGAGGAACUGACACCCGCCAGCCACCUGUGUGCAAAGCACAUCAGUAGAACCAGUCUCGCGUAAGCGUACGCAUAAUGUCGGUCCGGGCCACUUCAUCCAACAAUACUGCCGAACCAAAGUAUGACAUGCUGGUAAGCAGUAUGACUUGUAUCGCCCACAACUCACUUGUGUUCUACUCGUGCAUAUAACAUCUACGCAUGAAACCUGGCUCUGAUGCCACUGUUGGGUAACGUAGUAAUUUCAAAAAAUUUCCUACGCACACACAAGAUCAUGGUGAUGCAUAGCAACGAGAGGGGAGAGUGUUAUCCAUGUACCCUCUUAGACUGAAAGCGGAAGCGUUAGCACAACGCGGUUGGUGUAGUCGUACGUUGAUAACCCACAAGUGUAGGGGAUCGCAAUAGCUUUCGAGGGUAAAGUAUUCAACCCAAAUUUAUUGAUUCAACACAAGGGGAGCCAAAGAAUAUUCUUGAGUAUUAGCAGUUGAGUUGUCAAUUCAACCACACCUGGAUAACUUAGUAUCUGCAGCAAAGUAUUUAGUAGCAAAAGUGGUAUGAUAAUAAAGGUAACGGUGGCAAAAGUAAAGAUAAAUGUUUUUGGGUUUUUGUAGUAGUUGUAACAGUAGCAACGGAAAAGUAAAUAUGCGAAGAACAAUAUAUGAAAAGCUCGUAGGCAAUGGAUCAGUGAUGGAUAAUUAUGCCGGAUGCGAUUCCUCAUGCAAUAGUUAUAACAUAGGGUGAUAUAGAACUAGCUCCGGUUCAUCAAUGUAAUGUAGGCAUGUAUUCCGUAAAUAGUCAUACGUGCUUAUAGAAAAGAACUUGCAUGACAUCUUUUGUCCUACCCUCCCAUGGCAGCGGGGUCCUAGCGGAAACUAAGGGAUAUUAAGGCCUCCUUUUAAUAGAGAACCGGAACAAAGCAUUAGCACAUAGUGAAUACAUGAACUCCUCAAACUACGGUCAUCACCGAGAAGUAUCCCGAUUAUUCUCACUUCGGGGUUGUCGGAUCAUAACACAUAAUAGGUGACUAUAGACUUGCAAGAUAGGAUCAAGAACACACAUAUAUUCAUGAAAACAUAAUAGGUUCAGAUCUGAAAUCAUGGCACUCGGGCCCUAGUGACAAGCAUUAAGCAUAGCAAAGUCAUAGCAACAUCAAUCUUAGAACAUAGUGGAUACUAGGGAUCAAACCCUAACAAAACUAACUUGAUUACAUGGUAAAUCUCAUCCAACCCAUCACCGUCCAGCAAGCCUACGAUGGAAUUACUCACGCACGGCGGUGAGCAUCAUGAAAUUGGUGAUGGAGGAUGGUUGAUGAUGACGACGACGAUGAAUCCCCCUCUCCGGAGCCCCGAACGGACUCCAGAUCAGCCCUCCCGAGAGAGAUUAGGGCUUGGCGGCGGCUCCAUGUCGUAAAACGCAAUGAAACUUUCUCUCUGAUUUUUUUCUCCCCGAACGUGAAUAUAUGGAGUUGGAGUUGACAUUGGUGGAGGUCCAGGGGGGCCACGAGAUAGGAGGCCGCGACCUAGGGGGGGCGUCCCCCUGUCUCGUGGACAGCCUGUGGGCCCCAUGGUACUGAUUCUUUCGCCAAAAAUUCUUAUUAAUUCCAAAAAGUGCCUCCGUGGAUUUCCAGGACAUUCCGAGAACUUCUCUUUUCUACACAUAAAACAACAUCAUGGCAGUUCUGCUGAAAACAACGUCAGUCCGGGUUAGUUUCAUUCAAAUCAUGCAAGUUAGAGUCCAAAACAACGGCAAAAGUGUUUGGAAAAGUAGAUACGUUGGAGACGUAUCAUACGUCUUCACGGCCCAACCAAUCAAGCACCGAAAGCACGGCACCUCCGAGUUCUUGCACACGUUCAGUUCGAUGACAUCCCUCGAACUCCGAUCCAGCAGAGUGUCGAGGGAGAGUUCCGUUAGCACGAUGGCGUGGUGAGGAUGAUGAUGUUCUACCAAUGCAGGGCUUCGCCGAAGCACCGCUAUGAUAAUAUGGAUGAGGACUAUGGUGGAGGGGGGCACCGUACACGGCUAAGAGAUCAAUGGUCAAUUGUUGUAUCUAUGGGGUGCCCCCCUCCCCCGUAUAUAAAGGAGUGGAGGAGGGGGCCGGCCAAGGGGAGGAGGCACGCCCAAGGGGGGGGGGAGUCCUACUCCCACCGGGAGUAGGACUCCUCCUUUUCCUAUUUGGAGAGGGAGAGGGAAGGAAGAGGAAGGAGGGAGGAAGGGAAGGGGGGGCCCUCCCAAUUCGGAUUGGGCUUGGGGGAGGGGCGUGCCCCCUCCCUUGCUCCUUCCCCUCCUUUCCACUAAAGCCCAUUAAGGCCCAUAUACCUCCCGGGGGGUUCCGAUAACCUCCCGGAGCUCUGGUAUUGUCCCAAUCUCACCCGGAACCUUUCCGGUGUCCAAAUAUAGUCGUCCAAUAUAUUGAUCUUCAUGUCUCGACCAUUUCGAGACUCCUCGUCAUGUCCGUGAUCACAUCCGGGAGUCCGAACAACCUUCGGUACAUCAAAACACAUAAACUCAUAAUAUAACUGUCAUAUAACUUUAAGCGUGCGAACCCUACGGGUUCGAGAACUAUGUAGACAUGACCGAGACACGUCUCCGGUCAAUAACCAAUAGCGGAACCUGGAUGCUCAUAUUGGCUCCUACAUAUUCUACGAAGAUCUUUAUCGGUCAAACCGCAUAACAACAUACGUCGUUCCCUUUAUCAUCGGUAUGUUACUUGCCCGAGAUUCGAUCGUCGGUAUCUCAAUACCUAGUUCAAUCUUGUUACCGGCAAGUCUCUUUACUCGUUACAUAAUGCAUCAUCCCGUAACUAACUCAUUAGCUACAUUUCUUGCAAGGCUUAUAGUGAUGUGCAUUACCGAGAGGGCCCAGAGAUACCUCUCCGACAAUCGGAGUGACAAAUCCUAAUCUCGAAAUAUGUCAACUCAACAAGUACCUUUGGAGACACCUGUAGAGCACCUUUAUAAUCACCCGGUUACGUUGUGACGUUUGGUAGCACACAAAGUGUUCCUCCGGUAAGCGGGAGUUACAUAAUGUCAUAGUCAUAGGAACAUGUAUAAGUCAUGAAGAAAGCAAUAGCAACAUACUAAACGAUCAAGUGCUAAGCUAACGGAAUGGGUCAAGUCAAUCACAUCAUUUUACUAAUGAUGUGAUCCCGUUAAUCAAAUGACAACUCAUGUCUAUGGUUAGGAAACUUAACCAUCUUUGAUUCACGAGCUAGUCAAGUAGACACUACUAGGGAAAAGGCUAGCAGCAAUGCGGGUUUUUAAGCUAUCAGCAGCGCGGACAGCCGCGCUACCAAUAAGGCGCUACAGCUAACUGUUACUAGUAGCGUGGGCUAAACCCGCGCUACUACUAAAUGAUUAGUAGUAGCGCGGGUGCACCCGCGCUACUACUAAGCUAACACCCACGCUACUACUAACCUAACUAGUAACCUAACUACUAGUAGCGCUCACUUUUAACCCACGCUACUACUAACAAUUUAGGAAUUAAAAAAAUAAAAGUUAGAUGUGGUAUUCAUGAAUGGUAAUAUGUCCAUUGCAAAGCAAACCAACGUCACAAAAGCAUCUCAGAAUUCCAUUUAACAUCAGACACACAACCAUCAUCGAAGUACCUCCGCUAGUGGUCCACCACCAACCUAAACAAAUCACUUCUCUAUAUAUAUCUACCAAGGCUUGGAGUUCAGACGCCAAUGUACCCGAAUCCUCCUUCCCCUGGACGAUGGCGUCGAGGACCUCCACCUCGAAGACCUCUGGUGUCAAAAUCACCUGGACGUUCAUCUAUUCGACGUGGCCACCAUGCUUCACAGCAAAGUCCGCCUCCAAGUGGUUGAAGAGCACAACGCCCACCGGGCCAUGCUAGUCACCGUCGAUCACCCCUAUGCCCACGUCGGGAAAGUGAAAACUAGUUAGUACGCAAAUUGCAUCAGUUAAACUAAAUAGUAUAUUACAAUUCACAAGACCCAUUAAGUUAACAUUCCUUAUCAUCUAGCAAUUUAAAGGGGCUCAUGCCGAAUAUAUAUGCUUAAUUCCUCACUUCUUAUUUAAACUAAAUAUAUAGAUUUGGCAAAUGCAUAGAAAAACAUAAAGCCCAAAAGAAACACAGAAAUGCAUAUGUGAACUAAAUUACUUUGUGUGUUAGCAGAUUUCUUGUUAGGUUAUUCACUAUAUAUAGUACCACAUCAGGAAGGGUGAUGUGUUUACUUCGCGCCGCAAUGUUUGGCACCAAGUUCAGUCUUGGAAGACAAAUACAUUGCUGGGCGGGACAAGGCAAAGAAAAAUACAGAAAUUUGUAGUUACUAAAUCAUUAGCAUUAAUCAGUGCCUUCUGUCGCGGGGGUCAUGUGUCAACUGAUUUCAAGUAUGUUCUUGCAAGCUACAAAGAUGUUAAGAAUUACUUGCAAUCUGGUUUUUGCAAGCCACAAAGUUGUUCAGAAUUACUACUUAUCUAGUAGUACAAAUGUUGAAAACAGAUUAUGAACUACUCCAGACUCUACAUACAUGUAUGUGGUGAGCAUUGAAGCAUUCACUCUCCCAGGCUGUUUAGGAUCAUCAACCUAGUGGAUGUCGUCCGGUAAUAGAGGAAGUGCAUCCUAUAUAAGGCACCAACAAAAAGCUAAGUGACGGCUACUGUUUUCUCAGGCAGGGUGUACAAAUUUAACAAAAUAAAAGUGCACUAGCACUAUAGAGUCCAGUAUAUCCAGUUGCUAGGGCAAGUACUAAGGUCUAAGACGAUAUGCUACUAAAUGAUUGAUUUUGCUGUUGCUCAUGGACAUAGACAUGAGCAAGCACAUGGCAGGGCCAUGAACCUAUGCAAAGCAUCAAUUGUUUUCAGCUCCUUGGCAACAUGUCCAGUGGAAAUCAAGAUACUACCCACUUGCACAACUGAAUCUACCAUGCGCAUGAGGGAGGCUACAGCUUACUCAAAAAACAAGUAAAGAAGAACAUCAUGGUUUCCUCACCCAAAUACAUUGACCCACUCGCCAUCUGCCUUCCCUUCGCUGGCCGGAGCCAUCGGCUCCGUCCUGGCAGCCUCCGUCGCUGGGGUCAUAGAGAAUAGAAUGGUCCAUGGCUCUGGAUGAACAUCGAACAUAUCUCUGAUAGAAUUACAUAUGAAGAAACCAUCACUCCUAUCAAUUUCAUCAAGAAAAGGGAAGUUAGCUAACUUAUAGGGGAAACAAAACAUCAAGAUUCUAACUGAACAAAAGGAAACCUAGUCCAAUUGCGCAUUUUUUUAGAACAGGAGGAUGACCCCCGUCCAACGGCGCACAUGCCUAGUGGAACUUUAUUCAAGGACCAGACAAGAGCAUCUUUCAGUUUACUACAAUAUGUAAUUUAAAUAGCACGAAGCAAACAACUAUAAAAUGACAAGUGAACUAUGAUCCAAUAUUGUGCAGAAUAUUAAAAUGAAGGUGGAUUUUUUCAUAUUCGAGUUUUUCUUAAUAGUAACUUAAAAAAUAAAUGAAUAUAUGCAUAAGGUGGAUUUUCACAUGCAACCUGUGGUAGUUUCAGUUUGUGCCGGCUUCAAUUGUCACUCCAAACCUCUAUUUCUCUUGUGGGCAACUCAAAAUUGUUUACAAUCCGUUAUCUGCAAAAAAUAAAAUGGACUGAACUGAGUUAAAAUAAACACAUUACAUGAAUAGGCCAGACAUAAACCUCUAUAUGCUAUGCCGAAUUAAGAUAAAAUAAACACAUUGCAUGAACUGAGUUAAAAUGGACUGAACUGAGUUAAAUCGGCCAUUUUCAUUUAUAAGUGAUCUAUAUGCUAUGGCAAGCAACAACUCAUUACAUGAACAGGCCGACAAGCCAUGCCGCGCAAUGAUCUGUGCAUCGCAGAGCGUAGAACCAUUCACAGGGCAACCAUUCAACAACAGAUAUAUAGAGAUUGAUCCAUCAUCCAACACAUUGAUCCGCUACGAAAUUACCACACGACAGUAUGAUGAUAUUCACAUGAACACAUUGAUCCUCUCCUGCCUCACCUCACCUCGCCUGCUGCCUCACGCAACAAGUCAGCAACACUACUGUGUGUGUGCGUCUAUGUCUGUGCAAACCAAAGCUGGCUGCGCAUGAGGGAGGGAAGGGAAGGAAAAAAGGAAAGGGAAAGGGAAGUAGAUUGAGAGAGUACCUUGGCGGCCAUGGCGUCGUCGGCCGAACGGAGCAGAAGCAGACGGACAGAUGGAGGUCCUGUCCAGGCGCGCGAGCUCGCGAUUGGGGAGAUGCGGCCAACGCCAUGGAGGUGGAGCUCCAGGUCCUAGCCGUCGGCCAUGGAUAUGGAUCUCCAGGUCCAAGCCCUUGGCGGAUCUCGGAUUGAGAGCCGCCGCCUGACCUAUUCUCUUCUCGUCGUCUUCUAGUGAGGGGAGGGGCGAGGGUGGCGGUGGCGGCGGUCAUGCGGAGGCCUAGCCGGCCGGCUGCAGCGCUCGGGGCUGCACACACUCGUGGAUUGGGAGAGGAGAGGAGGUGGAAGAAGGCCGGCGGUGGAGGGGAUUUGGAUCGAGGUUUGGGUGGAACUUUUUUUUGAUAAACUUGGGCGGGUGGACGGUGGAGUGGUUGGUGGGCUGGGAGCAGAUGCAGGUGGUAGCGUGGGGUUUAUAACCCGCGCUACUACUAUCGACUUAGUAGUAGCGUGGGUUUAUAACCCGCGCUACUACUAUGACUGGUCCCGGGAGGCACGGUGGAAAUCACUUAGUAGUAGCGAGGAGUAAAAACCCGCGCUACUACUACCGGGUUAUUAGUAGCGCGGUUUCCUCAAGCUCUGCUAAUUAGCAGUAGCGUUUGUUUUUAAACCACGCUGCUGCUAAGAUUCUGUGUAUAAGGUUUUCCCUAGUAGUGAGAGGCAUACUAGUGACACUAUGUUUGUCUAUGUAUUCACACAUGUAUUAUGUUUUCGGGUAAUACAAUUCUAGAAUGAAUAAUAAACAUUUAUCAUGAUAUGAGGAAAUAAAUAAUAACUUUAUUAUUGCCUCUAGGGCAUAUUUCCUUCAAGGAUAACCAAGGAAAAUGCAAGGAAGCGACCGGGGAGCGAGUUUGUGAGGAGCAGUGGACGCGGUGCUAGGAUAACAGAGACACCCAAAGAUGCGAAGACCAUCAUAAGAUGGAGCCGCACCGAAGAGGAGCUAGUGAGGAGUGUAGUUCCAGCGGGAACGCCAUGGGCGAAUGUUAAUAAGGAGGCUAGCGGUCGCGAGCGCGUCUGGCCAGAACCGAGGAGGCACGUAGGAGUGGAAGAGCAACCUGCGGACAUAGUCAUUAAGAGUGCGAAGGACGCGCUCGGCGCGACCAUUCUGCUGAGACGUGUAGGGGCAGCUGAGGCGAAAGAUGGUGCCGUGGGACGCAAGUAAAUUGCGGAUGGCGACGUUGUCAAACUCCUUGCCGUUGUCAGUUUGCAAGGCGAGAAUAGGAUGACCGAACUGUGUGGUGACAUAUGAAUAAAAGGCUGUGAGUGUGGCAAGAGCGCCAGACUUGUGACGGAGAGGGAAUGUCCACACAUAAUGAGAAAAAUCAUCUAAUAUCACCAGAUAGUAUAAAUAGCCUGUGUUGCUAGCAACCGGGGACGUCCAAACAUCACUAUGCAAUAACUGAAACGGAAAGGUGGAAAUGUUUGUAGACUCGCUAAAGGGAAGACGAACGUGCUUGCCAAGACGGCAAGCCUCACAAGUGUGAUCGUCGACCUUAUUACAUGAGAAAUAAAAACUCUGAAGAAUCUGACGCAUAAUGGUGGAGUUGGGAUGACCGAGACGGCCAUGCCAAAGAUCGACACUGGCGGCGAAGGCGACGGGAUGACGGGUGGUGGUUCCGCUGGAGGAAUGCACUAGGUAAAGCUCGUCCGGGCUGUCACAUCGGUGGAGUACCAUCCGUGUACGGGCGUCCUUCAAAUAAAAACCAAUAUCGUCAAAUUCAACAGUGAUAGGAUUCUCACGAGCAAGGCGAUGAACAGAAAUGAGAUUAGUGACUAAGUCAGGAGACACAAGAACAUUAGACAUAUUGAUAGGAGUAGAAGUAGAAGGAAAAGACAUAUGACUGACAUGUGUAAUGGGUAGGGAGAAACCUUUACCAACGGUGAUAGGGUGGGAGUAUGAACAUGAGUGGCAGACGUGAGGUUACCGGGAUGAGCAGUCAUGUGAGCGGUGGCGCCUGAGUCCAUGUACCAGUCACCACCGCCACCAUAGGAGCUCGAUGACGGGACAGAGUGCAGGGCAGCGAGUAGGGUCGGGUCCCACGGCGGCGGCAGCUGAGGAGGGUAAAACCCUCCGUAGGCCGGCACGGGAGCUGCACCAAUGGCCGAAGUGGUGGCAGCGCCGGAGGCGACGGGGGGGAGGGGGCACCGUAGCCGCUAUAGGGAGCGCUGUUCUGCGCGGUGAAGAGAGCCUGGUGACCCGUCGGGCGAGGCCCAAGGAUGCCUGGAGCAGGAGCCCGAGGGACCGGCAUCGAGUACGCGUGGACGACGCCGGUCCACGGGUUGGUGUCGUACAUCCAUGGAGGAGUCACCUGCUGCUGCUGCUGACGAGCCUCCCCCCCACCCUGCAGUGCCUGUUGCUGCUUGCGGCCGCCCCCGCAGCGGUUGCCGCGCCAUCUGCCACCCGGCUGCUGGGGGGCAGCAGGAGGGGCGGGAGGCGCAGGCGGGAGGGGAAGUACCCUGGAGGUGCGGGGGCGGUGGCUGCUGUCGCGGCCUGGGUGGGGCAGCCGAUGGAGGGGUGCCACGUGACGUGCCGGAGGCGAGGGCGUGAUGUUGCACAUGCUUCUUGACCCCCUUCAUCCGGCGCUCCUCCAACUGCAAGUAUGCCACAAACUUGGGGAAGGAGGGCUCCUGCAUCAAGGUGAGGUUGGAGGUGGCGUUGCUGAAGUCCUCGUUGAGGCCGGCGGUGAGCAUGCUGAGGAGGAGGUCGUCAUCCACCUUGGCUCCAAUGUCACAGAGCUCAUCCGGCAACGUCUUCAGGCGGCGCCGGCAGUCAUCAAUGGACUGUUCAUCCUGGUGACAGUCAAAAAAUUCCUGCUGCAAAAACGCGGCGCUGAAGGUUGUUGUCGGUGAAGAGGCCGUUCAGCUUGACCCACAUGGCGCGGGCGUCGUCGCCGGUGCUCAUGACUGUGUGGAACAAGUCCUUGGAGAUAGUGGUGAAGAACCACCGGAUGAUCGUGGCGUCGAUCGUGGUCCACUCGGCGUCGUCCACCAUGGCGCGAGAGUCCACGGUGCCAUCCACAUGAUCCAUGAGAUUGUUCUCGCGGAAGAGCAGCGAGAAGUACGUCUUCCACGCGAAGUACGUGGAGUUGGAGGCGUCGAGGACCACGGGGACGCGUGCGUGAACGUUGAUGUCGUGGAUCUCAGCAGGGUCGACGGCGAAGGGGUUGGAGUAGGUGGAGGCGUUGGACGACAUGGCUGCAAGGCCGUGGGGAGGGAGGCGGCGCGGCUUGUGGAGGAGCGGCGCGGCGGUGGAAGAUGGGCGGCGCGAUGUGGAGUAGAAGGCGUGCGUGGAGGAGAAGGCGCGCGGGAAGGAGGGGCGGUGGCGGCGGCGGCGGCGGCCCUAGGCGGCGGCUAGGGUUGGCGGAAGCGGGAGGAUCGACUUGCGAUAGAUACCAUGUAGAGAAUGAUUUGGUGCAUCGAUUAUUGAUUGAUAUAUAUAUAUAUAUAUAUAUAUAUAUAUAUAUAUAUAUAUAUAUAUAUAUAUAUAUAUAUAUAUAUAUAUAUAGGUAUAAGGGGUGCGACUGGUAUCUUGUCUCCUAAGAUACACGUACAUACAGAGGGAGACAGACACUAGAGGUACUGCAUACAAAACCCAGACCUACGUACAUGUACACAUGUUCAACGUAUAUGAUGGGAACGGUGUCCGCUUUCUGUCAAAGAGAGGAUUGCAUCGCCAGCUCGAACUAUUUGCAAGUCAGAAGUAUCAUUGCUAAUUGGGUAGCUGGAAAGAAGAUUGUUUCCCAGCGGGUGCCUUGGUGGUCAAGGCGAGAAAUAGGAUGUAUUAAAUUGAAUGUCGAUGCUUCAUACUACAUGGACUCAGGUGCAAAUGCAUGUGGUGCAAUCCUACACAACUCGUCAGAAAGCUUCAUAGCUGCAGCUGUGGAAUCUAAACAUCAUGCACAGGAUGCUCAUUUGAUUUUUCAAAAAAUGGCACAUUUAUUAACUCAAAAUGUAACAUCGAGUGGAUACAAUUUAUGAUGAGAACCACCUGACCUCCGCAUAGAUAUGACAAACAAAGCCAAACACAAGUAGUCUAAAAAAACAUAAAGAUAAAAAACGGACAUAUUGGCAUCAGUAGAGUCAAAUAUGACCGCCACUAUGCCUAUGUCAAGAGAGGUGAUGGACCAAUACGGAGGUUAUGCUGCACCCAUGUUGAAAAAAAACCCUCCAUAUCCACCUGCUACAGUCGCGCACACACCACCUUAAACAACAGUUAGUACUCCGUACGGUGAAGCAUAGACUACCUACAAAGCGUGUGCAUACAACGGAAAAUAAUAGAGUCAAUUACACCACAGGUGUCUGAACUUGGCAAGAAAAAUCAGUUUGGUGCUGCAACUUGUGGCAUAUAGAUAUGUGGUGACAAAACUUGGCUUCGUAGUGCAGAUACGGUGAAAUUCACGUUUGCAUACGAGAUGGGUGCUGACGAGGCCCGCCAGCAUGGCGCCGGACCCACUGUCAGUGGCUGGACCGUGCGGGCGAGGGCAUGUGGCCCGGAUUUUUGUGACCCCCUCCCCCGAAAUUUGUUUACUUCUCACAAAAAAGCGCCGGCCGUCGCACAUAACGUGAGCCCCUCGAUCCCGUUUCUGUGUGAGGCUAAAUCCUCGCCCGCGAUCCUGAUACGUUCAUUUUGCAUCAUCUUUUAUAAAUAUUUAUUGCAUUAUGGACUAUUAUUACACAUUAUAUCUCAAUACUUAUGGCUAUUCUCUCUUAUUUUACAAGGUUUACCAUGAAGAGGGGGAAUGCCGGCAGCUGGAAUUCUGGCUAGAAAAGGAGCAAACGUUGGAAACGUAUUCUGCACAGCUCCAAAAGUCCUGAAACUCCACGAAACAACCUUUUGGAAUUAAUAAGAAUUUCCGAGCGAAAGAAAUAUGCGAGGGGGACCACAACCUGUCCAGGAGACAGGGGGUGCCCCCCCUAUAAGGCGUGCCCCCUAUCUCCUGGGCCCCCUGGUGGGCCUCCGACGUCCAUCUUCUGCUAUAUCAUCGCUUUUACCCUGGAAAAAAUCAUGGGCAAGCUUACGGGACGAAACUCCGCCUCCACGAGGCGGAACCUUGGCGGAAUCAAUCUAGGGCUCCGACGGAGCUGUUCUGUCGGGGACACUUCCCUCCGGGAGGGGGAAAUCAUCACCAACGUCAUCACCAACGAUCCUCUCAUCGGGAGGGGGUCAAUCUCCAUCAACAUCUUUACCAGCACCAUCUCCUCUCAAAACCCUAGUUCAUCUCUUGUAUCCAAUCUUGUAUCAAAACUAUAAAUUAGUACCUGUGGGUUGCUAGUAGUGUUGAUUACUCCUUGUAGUUGAUGCUAUUUGGUUUACUUGGUGGAAGAUCAUAUGUUCAUAUCCUUUAUGCAUAUUAUUACUCCUCUGAUUAUGAACAUGAAUAUGCUUUGUGAGUAGUUACGUUUGUUCUUGAGGACAUGGGUGAAGUCUUGCUAUUAGUAGUCAUGUGAAUUUGGUAUUCGUUCGAUAUUUUGAUGAGAUGUAUGUUGUCUUUUCCUCUAGUGGUGUUAUGUGAACGUCGACUACAUGACACUUCACCAUUAUUUGGGCCUAGAGGAAGGCAUGGGGAAGUAAUAAGUAGAUGAUGGGUUGCUAGAGUGACAGAAGCUUAAACCCUAAUUUAUGAGUUGCUUCGUUAGGGGCUGAUAUGGAUCCAUAUGUUUAAUGAUGUGGUUAGGUUUACCUUAAUACUUCUUUUGUAGUUGCGGAUGCUUGCAAUAGGGGUUAAUCAUAAGUGGGAUGCUUGUCCAAGUUAGGGCAGUACCCAAGUACCCGUCCACCCACAUAUCAAAUUAUUAAAGUACCGAACGUGAAUCAUAUGAACGUGAUGAAAACUAGCUUGACGAUAAUUCUCAAUGUGUCCUCGGGAGCUCCUUUAUCAUUAUUAGAAAUUGUCCAGGCUUAUCCUUUGCUACAUAAACGAUUGGGCCAUCUUUCUGCACUUUAUUUACUUCAUUUACUUGUUACUCGUUACUAUUUAUCUUAUCACAAAACUAUCUAUCACCUACAAUUUCAGUGCUUGCAGAGAAAACCUUACUGAAAACUGCUUAUCAUUUCCUUCUGCUCCUCGUUGGGUUCGACACUCUUACUUAUCGAAAGGACUACGAUUGAUCCCCUACACUUGUGGGUCAUCAAGACUCUUUGCUGGCGCCGUUGCCGGGGAGUGUUGAGCUUUUGGUGAGUGGAACUUGGUAAGGAAACAUUUAUAUAGUGUGCUAAAAUUUUCUGUUACUUGUCACUAUGGAAACUAAUCCUUUGAGGGGCUUAUUUGGGGUAUCUUCACCCCAACCAGAAGAGCAAAGAGUUGCUCCUCAACCUACUAAACUUUAUGAAAAUAUUUACUUUGAGAUUCCUUCGGGUAUGAUAGAGAAACUGCUAGGUAAUCCAUUUGCAGGAGACGGAACAUUGCAUCCUGAUUUACACCUUAUCUUUGCGGAUGAAGUUUGUGGAUUAUUUAAGGUUGCAGGUAUUCCCGAUGAUUUUGUCAAAAGGAAGGUCUUCCCUUUAUCUUUGAAGGGAGAUGCAUUGACAUGGUAUAGGCUAUGUGAUGAUACGGGAUCUUGGAAUUAUAAGCGAUUGAAGUUGGAAUUUCACCAGAAGUUCUACCCUAUGCAUCUUGUUCAUCGUGAUCGUAAUUACAUAUAUAAUUUUUGGCCUCGCGAAGGAGAAGGCAUCGCUCAAGCUUUGGGGAGGCUUAAGUCAAUGUUAUAUUGAUGCCCCAAUCAUGAGCUCUCUCGGGAAAUGAUUAUUUAGAAUUUUUAUGCUCGGCUUUCUCUUGAUAAUCGCAACCUGCUCGAUACUUCCUGUGUUGGUUCUUAUAUGCUGAAAACUAUUGAUUUCAAAUGGGACUUGUUGGAAAGAAUUAAACGCAACUCUCAAGAUUGGGGUUCCGAUGAUGGUAAGGAGUCAGGUAUGACACCUAAGUUCGAUUGUGUUAAAUCUUUUAUGGAUACCGAUGCUUUUCGUGGAUUUAGCGCUAAGUAUGGACUUGGCUCUGAGAUAGUAGCUACUUUCUGUGAAUCUUUUGCUACUCACGUUGAUCUCCCUAAAGAGAAGUGGUUUAAAUAUAAUCCUCCUGUUGAAGUGAAAGUAGUUGCACCUAUUACAGUCGAAGAAAAGACUAUUACCUAUAGUGAUCCUAUUGUUCCUACUGCUUAUGUUGAAAAACCUCCUUUUCGUGUUAAGAUUAAGGAUCAUGCUAAAGCUUCAACUGUUGUUCAUAAGAGUAAUACUAGGACUUAUACACCUCCUGAGCAAAUUAAUGUUGAACCUAGUAUUGCUAUGGUUAAAGAUCUCUUGGAUGAGGAUUUAGAUGGGCAUGUUAUUUCUUUCUGUGGUGAGACUUCUAAUAUUGCUAGACCAGAUACCAAGACACGUAGACCUGUCGUAGGCAUGCGUGUUAUUUCUGUUAAAAUAGGAGAUCAUUGUUAUCAUGGCUUAUGUGAUAUGGGUGCUAGUGCUAGUGCGAUACCUUAUGAUCUAUAUAAAGAAAUUAUGCACGACAUUGCACCCAUUGAAUUAGAAGACAUUGAUGUUACUAUCAAGCUUGCUAAUAGAGAUACCAUUAAACCCUUUGGGAUUGUUAGAGAUGUUGAAGUUUUGUGUGGGAAGGUUAAAUACCCUGCUGAUUUUCUUGUUCUUGGUUCCCCACAAGAUGAUUUUUGUCCCAUUAUUUUUGGUAGACCCUUCUUGAAUACAGUUAGUGCUAAGAUUAAUUGUGAAAAUAAUAUUGUCACUGUUAGCAUAGAUGGUAUGUCUCAUGAGUUUAAUUUCGCUAAGUUUAGUAGACAACCUUGUGAAAGGGAACCACCCAGUAAGGAUGAGAUUAUUGGUCUUGCUUCCAUUGCUGUUCCUCCAACUGAUCCGUUAGAACAAUAUUUGCUAGACCAUGAAAACGAUAUGUUUAUGAAGGAAAAGGAGGAAAUAGAUGAAGAGUUCCUUAAACAGGAACCUGUGCUGAAACAUAACCUUCCCGUUGAAAUUCUUGGGGAUCCCCCUCCACCCAAGGGUGAUCCCGUGUUUGAAAUCAAACCAUUACCUGAUAAUCUUAAGUAUGCUUAUCUUGAUGAAAAAGAAAUAUAUCCUGUUAUUAUUAGUGCUAACCUUUCAGAGAAAGAAGAAGAAAGAUUAUUGAAAACUCUGAAGAAGCACCGAGCUGCUAUUGGAUAUACUCUGGAUGAUCUUAAGGGAGUUAGUCCCACGCUAUGUCAACACAAAAUUACAUUGGAAGACGAUGCCAAACCAGUUAGAGAUCCUCAAAGACGAUUUAAUCCCAAGAUGAAGGAAGUGGUAAGAAAGGAGAUACUAAAGCUCCUUGAGGCAGGUAUUAUUUAUCCCGUUGCUGAUAGUGAAUGGGUAAGCCUUGUCCAUUGUGUUCCUAAAAAGGGAGGUAUUACUGUUGUUCCUAAUGAUAAAGAUGAAUUGAUCCCGCAAAUAAUUAUUAUAGGUUAUAGGAUGGUAAUUGAUUUCCGUAAGUUAAAUAAAGCUACUAAGAAAGAUCAUUACCCCUAACCUUUUAUUGAUCAAAUGCUAGAAAUGCUAUCCAAACACACACAUUUUUGCUUUCUAGAUGGUUAUUCUGGUUUCUCUCAGAUACCUGUGUCAGCGAAGGAUCAAUCUAAAACUACUUUUACUUGCCCUUUGGUACUUUUGCUUAUAGACGUAUGCCUUUUGGUUUAUGUAAUGCACCUGCUACCUUUCAAAGAUGCAUGAUGGCUAUAUUCUCUGAUUUUUGUGAAAAGAUUUGUGAGGUAUUCAUGGAUGACUUUUCCGUUUAUGGAUCCUCUGUGACGCCCCCGAUUCAAUCGUACACUAAUAAUACAUGCAAACGUGUACGAUCAAGAUCAGGGACUCACGGGAAGAUAUCACAACACAACUCUAAAAAUAAAAUAAGUCAUACAAGCAUCAUAAUACAAGCCAGGGGGCUCGAGGGCUCGAAUACAAGUGCUCGAUCAUAGACGAGUCAGCGGAAGCAACAAUAUUUGAGUACAGACCUAAGUUAAACAAGUUUGCCUUAAGAAGGCUAGCACAAACUGGGAUACAGAUCGAAAGAGGCGUAGGCCUCCUGCCUGGGAUCCUCCUAAACUACUCCUGGUCGUCGUCAGCGGCCUGCAUGUAGUAGUAGGCACCUCCAGUGUAGUAGGAGUCAUCGACGACGGUGGCGUCUGGAUCAUGGGCUCCAGCAUCUGGUUGCGACAACCAGGUAGAAGGGAAAGGGGGGAAAGGGGGAGAAAAGCAACCGUGAGUACUCAUCCAAAGUACUCGCAAGCAAGGAUCUACACUACUUAUGCAUGGGUAUAUGUGUAAAGAGGCAAUAUCGAUGGACUGAACUGCAGAAUGCCAGAAUAAGAGGGGGAUAGCUAGUCCAAUCGAAGACUACGCUUCUGGUAGCCUCUGUCUUGCAGCAUGUAGAAGAGAGUAGAUUGAAGUCCUCCACGUAGCAUCGCAUAGCAUAAUCCUACCUGGCGGUCCUCCCCUCGUUGCCCUAUGGAAAUGCGAUCACCGGGUUGUCUGUGGAACUUGUCUGGGUGUGUUUUUAUUAAGUAUCCAGUUCUAGUUAUCAUAAGGUCAAGGUACAACUCCGGGUCGUCCUUUUACCGAGGGACACGACUAUUCGAAUAGAUAAACUUCCCUACAGGGGUGCACCACAUAACCCAACAUGCUCGAUCCCAUUUGGCCGGACACACUUUCUUGGGUCAUGCCCGGCCUCGGAAGAUCAACACGUCGCAGCCCCACCUAGGCACAACAGAGAGGUCAGCACGCCGGUCUAAAUCCUAUGCGCGCAGGGGUCUCGGCUCAUCGCCCAUUGCACACCUACACAUUGCGUGGGCGGCCGGAAGCACACCUAGCAACCUCCAUUACAAAAGAAGUUGCGUUAACGCAGUCCAACCCGGCGCGCGCCGCUCAUUCGCUGACGUCACGAAGGCUUCGGCUGAUACCACGACGUCGAGUGCCCAUAUCUUCCCCGCGUAGUUGGUUAGUGCGUAUAGGCCAGUGGCCAAACUCAGAUCAAAUACCAAGUUCUCGUUAAGCGUGUUAUUAUGAAGUAACUGCGGACGCCGACCAGGGCCAGGCCCACCUCUCGCCUAGGUGGUCUCAACCUGCCCUGUCGCUCCGCCACAAAGUAACAGUCGGGGGUCGUCGGGAACCCAGGCCAACCUCUACCGGGAUGGAGCCACCUGCCCCUUCAGCCCUCAUCUCCGAACAGUAUCAUAAGUAAUGUAAUAGUAUAAAGUAUAGCAUAUGCCCGUGAUCACCUCCCGAAGUGAUCACGGCCCAGUAGUAUAGCAUGGCAGACGGACAAGCGUGUAGGGCCACUGAUGGAAUACUAGCAUCCUAUACUAAGCAUUUAGGAUUGUAGGUAAGGGUAACAACUGUAGCAACAAUGACAUGCUACGCAACAUCAUAGGAUUAACCGAAAGCAGUAACAUGCUACACUACUCUAAUGCAAGCAGUAGAGAGAAGGAAUAGGCGAUAUCUUGUGAUCAAGGGGGGGGGGGCUUGCCUAGUUGCUCUGGCAAGAAGGAGGGGUCAUCUUCGGUGUAGUCGAACACACGGACAUCGGCACCGGUCUCAGAGUCUACCGGAAAGAAGUAACGGAGGGGGAAAACAAUAAAUAACAGAGCAAUCAAAUGUAACACAAAGCAAGAUGCGGCAAUAUGCGGUGCUAGGGGUGACCAAACAUAGUGGUAGGUGAUACCAGCGAAGGGGGGAAACAUCCGGGAAAGUAUUCCCGGUGUUUCGCGUUUUCAGGCAGAUGAACUGGAGGGGAAAAGUUGCAGGUUCACUAUGCUAGGGGCGUGUGGCGGACGAAUGGGCUGCGUAUUCGGAUUCGUCUCGUCGUUCUGAGUAACUUUCAUGUACAAAGUUUUUCCAUCCGAGCUACGGUUUAUUUUACAUGAUUUUCUAAAGUUUUACAUCAUUUUUAGAAAUAACAGAAGUAAUUUAAUUAGAAAAUGUUUAUUGCAUCAUCAUGACAUCAGCGGUCAGCAUUGACCGAAAAAACAGGGCAGUGGGGCCCGUCUGUCAUUGACUAUUUAUCUAAUUAGGCUAUUAAGGUUAAUUAACAGGACUAAGUAGAUUAACUAAUAGGAUUAAUUAAGUUAAUUAAUUGGUUAAUUAAUUAAUAUUUUUAAUUAAUAUUCUUUUUAUUCCUUUUUAAACGUUACAGGGGCGCGGGCCCCGUUUGUCAAUGGCCCAAAGGCCUUAGCGGGCACCGGGCGGUGCGGUUACGGGCGUGUGGGCGCAGGGGCGCUGGCGCCCAGCACGAACGGGCACCGAUGCGGGAGUGAGCACUGGCAGCGGGCACCGGGCGGCAGAGGAGCAGCGAGGCACCGACGGCCUCCGCGACGACAAGGGAAGGGGUCCGCGGGUGCGGAGGGGCGCCGAUGUAGCGCGGGCGCACGGACGCCAGGGAUGGCAGUGUCGAGGCCGCGCGGGGUAGUGAGCAGGGGCGGGCGAGGCGUGUGCAGGUGGCCGUGGAUGCAAGCAGCGGGCGGCGGUGGCGCGGUGACCGCUGGGCGACGGGCAUGGCCGGACGGCGCGGCGCAUGGCCAGGGCGCGGCCUAAGCGCGGUGAGUGCGAGGCCGGAGCGCGCGAGGCGUGGUCGCGGGGCGAGGGAGAGAGGAGGACCGGGGUCCUCACCAGGAUUCGUAGGAACAGGGCAGCGGGGGUCGGGGUGGUCGAUGGGGACGACAAUCCGGCAAGGCGGUGAGGGGCUCCGGUGGCGAGGUCCUCGGGCGAUGGGCGACGCGGUCGGGAGCGAUGCAUCCAGAUCUGGGUAAGGGGCGGUGAGGGUUGGUGGAGCCGAUGAGGAGCUGAGGGUGGAGCGUCGACAGCGUGUGUGACGGGGUUCCCCGGGCGGCGGCGGCGCGGUUGAACGCCACCCCGAUCCAGAUGGGAUCGAGAGGUGGUGGGGGAGAGGGGGGAGGCGAUGUGGGGAGAGUGGGGGUGGACCGGCUAGGGUUUCGGGUAGUGGGUGUAUAGGCGCAGCUGGUGGGCUAGCCUGGUGGUCUGGUGGCCUGCUGGGCCGUGGCCCAGUGGGCCAGGUUUUUUUUCUUAACUUCGUUUUAUUUCCUUUCUUUUUAUUUAUUGUUUCCUAUUUUAUUUUAGUUACAUUUUAUUUUAGCUUUAGUAAAAAUUAUCACUAACACCUAAAUUGGUACUUUUAAAUAAACUACUGCCACAUUAAUUCUUAUCGCAACUAAAAUAGUUUAAUAUUUUAAAAAAAUUCAAAAGGCAUUUAUUUUAUUAUUUAACCUAUAGUUUUAAUUAAUUUGAACACUUAAACAUGUUAUUAAAUUUAGGUUUCUCCGCCAUAAUUACCUAUGCAUUCAUUGGAUCACUCCGAACAUUUUAGUUUUAAUAUUUGAAAACUUUUAUUGUUUGAUUGAUUUUGAAUUUGAAUUUGAAUCGGUUUCGAUCUAUCGUGAGUUAGCAAUAGUAACUGGGGUGACGUGGCAUCGUUAAUGUGGGAUUACUGUAGCCUAAUUAUCCGGGCGUCACAAUUCUCCUCCACUACAAGAAAUCUCGUCCCGAGAUUUAAGCGGUGGAGUAAGGGGGAAAAGGUGCUGGUAGCGAAAAACCUAACGAGUCUUCUCGGUCUUGGCUGCCAUUUCGAAGAGGUUGAUCCCUUUCAUUCAUGUCUUCUUUUCUCUGCUUCAAGUCACCAUGAUCAAUUCGUCCUUUUCUUCGGGAACUCCAACGUACUUACGAAUAGGUAAGGGGCAGCUCGGCUACGACAGAAUGCUAUAAGGGUAAUAAUCUGGGAUUAUCCCAUGAAUGAGCAUAUGAGUACCUCUCGAGUUGAACAAUUAAAACACAUCGAGAGUAAAGUUCAAAGGUACAAUAAGAAGUUUCAAGCAGCCAGGCAAUAGUUCAGUGCCUAGUUAGAAGGUGAAAGGGUUUCAGGGCAACGUGAAUAAGUAUUGCGUCUGAUACCAGAAUAGAUCUGUAGGCGGGUGGCCCGUGAAUUAAAUACAAAGUCAAGCGCGAGUAUUAACUUUGACAACAUGGUGUACAGGAGAGUCAGGUUUCGAUCCUGUGGAACUAUGGGUUAUGGGCCCACCAUGUGGGUUAAAAGUAGGAAGGCGGUGACGAUUUGCACGAUCAAGUAAGCAAGGCAUGCCAGAGGAUAGCAUGUCAGUUAUGUCGGCAACAACAUCGGUACCAAGUGCGAGGGAUGAAGAGAACCAUUCUCCUGCUCGUUGAACGAGGCAGACCAAUAGGCAUUGUUCUCGUCCAUCGGUGGUUACCGGAAUGUCAUCAACAAUAGUAACAGGGUCUUACCGACACGAUUGUACACCUAGGUGUUUACAUAAGCAGAAGACUAUUACUGCUUAGAUCAUAUAGAUCACCAUAAAGGUUAACCAAAACAAUGGAAAGGAAAAUGUGAUUAUUAUGUCAAUCAAACCAAUGGGAAGGAAAGGUGUUUAUGCUCAAGUAUUAGAGUAUAUCCUUCCAAAGGUCAAGUAGAGAUUGAUAUUCACAACAAGAUAACAAGUAGAAACCAUUUGGGUAGAGGAGCGACGAAACUCGUGAUGUUACCCAUACAAUGGUGUUUGGAUAAUUGGUCAAGAAACAUUUAGCAUUGUGCUUCAAAUGCUCCUAUUGAAAGUCGGAGUACCACAAACAUGCUUCGAGAUAGCAUUGGCAAGGUCUUCAAGCAAAGGUCAGACUUUGAAUACACGAAGGAUUCAUCAGGAACAACUUGUAGAAUAAGUCUUACGGUUUCCCCAUGGAAGAAUGGUUAACCUUGCUGAAAAGGAAACUAUAACAAUAGGUCCUCCGACCAGGUGUGCUAGGCAUGACAUCACCUUACCGAGCCAUAUAAAGACCAAUGUUAUAACUCUUGGAAAUAUGUUCCAACCAUCAUAUCUGACCGAGGUCAGAUCCGAUUGGUGUCAGGAUACCACAGAUUCAUGAUGCCUGAGAAGGAAGGGGUGCAACACAAUUUGACGAGAUGGUGUUGCAAGAUUCCCGGGAAAUGAAAUAUGGCAGCACGUUCUGAAUCAUAGUUCAUCAUUAAACAAGGAGAGGAUGAGAAGGUGGCUGAUGAACUUAGCGACAAUUCAUUGAGAUUUCCAAAAGAUGGAUCCCCACAAUUAGGUGCACAAGGAGACAACAUUUGUUAGAUCAAAUGAUAUAAUGAUGUAUGCUUGAGGAAAACAUACACAAUUUAAACAUUGGUUGAAAGGUGCACCCGACAUAUGGGCUUAGGUAGCACGAUCAAUGUUAGAAUGGUGAUUCGAUAUCCAAUACACAAAGAAUGUAACUAUCGUUCAUUAACUUACACGCAAUAGGGUUGGUAGAAGUACAGAAUCCAAAAAACACCGUUCACUUGUUGGUAUCCCGGUUAGAAUCAACAUGGGGACCAAGAAAUGAACGAAGAUGGCGAGAAGUAUUUCUAUGUCAAGAAUUCUCAAGAGGUGGAACAAAUCUCAGAACAUUCUUGACAUAAAAGAUGGUAAUACUCCAAGGUAAAGAAGAACAAUUGCUGGAUAGCAAGGAACUCAAGGUAUAACACCAAACAUGAAGUGUUGGUGGGAAGGCAAUAAAGUGGUCGAUGAUAAUACAAUUCAUCGAGGGCAAGGAUGGUAUUUCUCAUCAUGAAUUCAAUUGAUAUCUUGGAAGAGCUCGAAAUGUUGAUGAUGAUCACGACACAAUUGUCAAGAGAUUUCACGAAGAAGCAAUCGAACAACAACGACAUCAAGAAAAAGCAUGAAGCGAAGGGUUAUUGGAACCACGGUUACGACACAAACUCAAAAUCAAGCUUGCAGUUCAACGAGAAAUGAUAUGAUGAGGAAAAUCGACGUAAGCUUAGCUCAUCAUCGAAAAUUGUGCUCCGGAAGGACAAGGUAGCACAGUUAAAAGUCUGCAUGAUAAUGAUAUAGCCGAUAAGGCUAGGAAUGACUUGAAGGAUUAUUAAACUUGUAAGCAACAAGAAUUACUUGAGUUAUUGAACCGGAGUGCGGAAUCGAUUCACUUAUCGGUGUUCUUGAGUGACUAAUAACUCAUAACCUGGGAGGAAUCUGAGAUCGGUGAGAAGCAAUACUAGAUGAAGACUCGUAGGAAGCAACACAGUUCUCGAGAUACCAGAGGUUAAUACUCGAGGAAGAUCAAAAUAGAGGUUGCGAAGAUGUAUCGAUCAACAGAAGACAAGUGCUUUAACUUGUCUGAGAAAUGGAAUCAAAGGAGAUCAAUCAUGGUCGGAACCACGAUUGCAAAGGAUCAAUUCACAGAUACCAGAUGAUAUUAUAUCAAGAAAUAGUUAUUAUUACAAGAAGCUUCCAUGAUAGGAUCUACAUCGUGUCCAUGGGCAUGAACACAAAGUCAAGGUCGACUCCCACUUCUUCAAUGUAUAAACUCUCAUUCACUUCUCGUUUUCGACGAGGUUGUAGUGUUGAAUUUUUAUCUGGCAUAACAUCAGUAGAUUAUGACCCUUAGUAGUUUCCGGGUUCACAAGAUUAGAAAUGGCACAGGUUCAACCCAUCAGGGCCUCUUCGGAACAUAUACCACAAACUUCAGAAGUAGAUAACCCAAGCUCGAACACACAACAUGUUCGACAAGGCAGAGGAUACAACUUACCAAAGGCAAUAUGUACCCAAGAAAAGACUCACAAAGUUAUUGGAUAUGAAGGACAUUGUCGGAUGAAAUCCAUAAAGGAUCUGGUGGUCCACAAGGGAUCUGAUGUGAGCAUCGGUACUCAACCAGAAGAAGAAAGAAUGCAAGGGGAUCAGAUUAUAGAAACAACUGACUAACUCAAAGUUCCAUUGCACAAGAAUUAUGAAUUCCCAGUCACGGGAUCAGAAGCAACGCUCUGAUUAGGGAUGGAUAAGUUGAAUAGUCUUAGGGGUAAAAUCGACGACAAUUUAAUCGGUUGAGAACCAACUCAUGUUCAAACUGACAUUGAGCCGGAAGGAUGAAUCCUAGGAUUCGACUGAGGAAUGCGGGCAUCCUCAACAUAUUGAAUCAACAGACUUAAAAUGAUAAAGUCAAGGGAUGCCAAUAGGAUUACGAGACUUAUGGGAUUAACCAUAAAAGCAAGCAAGAGUUUCAAGAGCAAUAGGCUGCUCAGGAUUUUCGGAAGAUCGAAUGGUAUUUAGAAGUCUUUUUCAAAACAAUUGAUCAGUGGGGUUGAGUGGAUACUCAGUAAGUGCGAGGAAUUAUCCAUAGGGGGUAUUCAUGUGGCAAGAACUGCAAGGUAGUAGGCAGAAAGUAUUCUCGGAACAAUAGAGAUAAUUUCGAGGUAUCUUGUAAUAACAAGAUCAACGGGAUUGAAAGGAAAAGUGCAUAUAGUUAUCCAUAAUGAUAUAAUAGUGGUAGGGAAUAGCAACAAGCGGUGAGCAUAAAGUCUUGAGAGAAUAUCGAAGAGUAUCUUCAGAAUCCUUCGGUGCACCAAGCAAUCAUCUGGAGUGAGGGGCUCUCCUGGAGGAAGUAAUUACGAGAACCUAGAGUUAGCAUUGGUAAAAUCAUUUAACCCGAAUAGAAGAGAGAUCAGAAUCCCGGAGUAUAGAUGAGGAAUAAAAGAUCCUAAUACCACCAAAUUGGCGACGUGGGCCCAUGGGCCGCACAGCCAAGUUAGUAAAACAAUUUUCAUCGAAUAGACUCAACUUCGGCCAAGGAUUUGGAAAGGGGGAUUCCUACAGGCAGUCGGCUCUGAUACCAACUUGUGACGCCCCCGAUUCAAUCGUACACUAAUCAUACACGCAAACAUGUACGAUCAAGAUCAGGGACUCACGGGAAGAUAUCACAACACAACUCUAAAAAUAAAAUAAGUCAUACAAGCAUCAUAAUAGAAGCCAGGGGCCUCGAGGGCUCGAAUACAAGUGCUCGAUCAUAGAUGAGUCAGCGGAAGCAACAAUAUUUGAGUACAUACAUAAGUUAAACAAGUUUGCCUUAAGAAGGCUAGCACAAACUGGGAUACAGAUCAAAAGAGGCGCAGGCCUCCUCCCUGGGAUCCUCCUAAACUACUCCUGGUCGUCGUCAGCGGCCUGCACGUAGUAGUAGGCACCUCCAGUGUAGUAGGAGUCGUCGUCGAUGGUGGCGUCUGGAUCCUGGGCUCCAGCAUCUGGUUGCGGCAACCAGGUAGAAGGGAAAGGGGGAAAAGAGGGAGAAAAGCAACCGUGAUUACUCAUCCAAGGUACUCACAAGCAAGGAUCUACACUACUUAUGCAUGGGUAUAUGUGUAAAGAGGCAAUAUCAGUGGACUGAACUGCAGAAUGCCAGAAUAAGAGGGGGAUAGCUAGUCCUAUCGAAGACUACGCUUCUGGCAGCGUCCGUCUUGCAGCAUGUAGAAGAGAGUAGAUUGAAGUCCUCCAAGUAGCAUCGCAUAGCAUAAUCCUACCCGGCGAUCCUCCCCUCGUCGCCCUGUGGAAAAGUGAUCACCGGGUUGUCUGUGGAACUUGUCUGGGUGUGUUUUAUUAAGUAUCCGGUUCUAGUUGUCAUAAGGUCAAGGUACAACUCCGGGUCGUCCUUUUACCGACGGACAUGGCUAUUCGAAUAGAUAAACUUCCCUGCAGGGGUGCACCACAUAACCCAACACGCUCGAUCCCAUUUGGCCAGACACACUUUCCUGGGUCAUGCCUGGCCUCGGAAGAUAAACACGUCACAGCCCCACCUAGGCACAACAGAGAGGUCAGCACGCCAGUCUAAAUCCUAUGCGCACAGGGGUCUGGGCACAUCGCCCAUUGCACACCUGCACGUUGCGUGGGUGGCCAGAAGCAGACCUAGCAACCUCCAUUACAAAGGAAGUUGGGUAUGCAGUCCAACCCGGCGCGCGCCGCUCAUUCGCUGACGUCACGAAGGCUUUGGCUGAUACCACGACAUCGAGUGCCCAUAUCUUUCCCGUGUAGUUGGUUAGUGCGUAUAGGCCAGUGGCCCAACUCGGAUCAAAUACCAAGAUCUCAUUAAGCGUGUUAUUAUGAAGUAACUGCGGACGCCGACCGGGCCAGGCCCACCUCUCGCCUAGGUGGUCUCAACCUGCCCUAUCGCUCCGCCACAAAGUAACAGUCGGGGGCCGUCGGGAACCCAGGCCCACCUCUACCGGGAUGGAGCCACCUGCCCCUUCAGCCCUCAUCUCCGAAUAGUAUCAUAAGUAAUGUAACAGUUUGAAGUAUAGCAUAUGCCCGUGAUCACCUCCCGAAGUGGUCACGACCCAGUAGUAUAGAAUGGCAGACGGACAAGAGUGUAGGGCCACUGAUGGAAUAUUAGCAUCCUAUACUAAGCAUUUAGGAUUGCAGGUAAGGGUAACAAGUGUAGCAAAAUGACAGGCUAUGCAGGAGAAUAGGAUUAACUGAAAGCAGUAACAUGCUACACUACUCUAGUGCAAGCACUAGAGAGAAGGAAUAGGUGAUAUCUGGUGAUCAAGGGGGGCUUGCCUAGUUGCUCUGGCAAGAAGGAGGGGUCAUCUUCGGUGUAGUCAAACACACGGACAUCGGCACCGGUCUUAGAGUCUACCAGAAAGAAGUAAAGGAAGGUGAACACAAUAAAUAACAGAGCAAUCAAAUGUAACACAAAGCAAGAUGCAGCGCUAGAGGUGACCUAACAUAGUUGUAGGUGAUACUGGCGAAGGGGGAAAACAUCCGGGAAAGUAUUCCCGGUGUUUCGCGUUUUUAGACAGAUGAACCGGAGGGGAAAAGUUGCAGGUUCACUUUGCUAGGGACGUGUGGCGGACGAACGGGCUGCAUAUUUCGAAUACGUCUCGUCGUUCUGAGUAACUUUCAUGUACAAAGUUUUUCCAUCAGAGCUACGGUUUAUUUUACAUGAUUUUCUAAAGUUUUAAAUCAUUUUUAGAAUUAACAGAAUUAAUUUAAUUAGAAAAUGUUAAUUGCAUCAUCAUGACGUCAGCGGUCAGCGUUGGCCGGUCAAACAGGGCAGUGGGGCCCGUCUAUCAUUGACUAUUUAUCUAAUUAGGUUAUUAAGGUUGAUUAACAUGGCUAAUUAGAUUAACUAACAGGAUUAAUUUAGUUAAUUAAUUGGUUAAUUAAUUAAUAUUUUUAAUUAAUAUUCUUUUUUUAUUCCUUUUUAAAUGUUUCAGGGGCGCGGGCCCCGUUUGUCAGUGGCCCAAAGGCCUUAGAGAGCACCGGGCGGUGCGGUUACGGGCGUGUGGGCGCAGGGGCGCUGGCGCCCAGCCCGAACGGGCACCGAUGCGGGAGUGAGCACCGGCAGCGGGCGCCGGGCGGCAGAGGAGCAACGAGGCGCCGACGGCCUCCGCGACGACAAGGGAAGGUGUCCGCGGCCGCGGAGGGGCGCCGAUGCAGCGCGGGCGCACGGACGCCGGAGAUGGCAGCGUCGAGGCCACGCAGGGUAGUGAGCAGGGGCGGGCGAGGCGUGUGCAGGUGGCCGUGGAUGCAAGGUGCGCAUGGCGGUGGUGCGGUGACCGCUGGGCGACGGGCACGACCGGACGGCGCGGCGCAUGGCCAGGGCGCGGCCCGACCGCGGUGAGCGCGAGGCCGGAGCGCACGAGGCGUGGUCGCGGGGCGAGGGAGAGAGGAGGACCGGGGUCCUCACCGGGAUUUGUAGGCACAGGGCAGCGGGGGUCGGGUUGGUCGACGGUGACGACGAUCCGGUGAGGCGGUGAGGGGCUCCGGUGGUCAAACAUCGCGAAUAUUUCAAGGAUAAUCAUAUCUAUCCCUAAUAUGUUAUAGUUCAUCACGAAGCUCUAGCAGCUUGGUGGCAAUGACUUUGGAGAAACAUCACUAUCUCAUCUGGAAGAUCAACUCCCACUCGAUUCAAGUGAUUGUUGUACUCAGACAAUUUGAGCACAAGCUCAACGAUUGAGCUUUUCUCCCUUAGUUUGCAGGCUAAGAAAAUUGUCGGAGGUCUUAUACCUCUUGACGUGGGCACGAGCCUGAAAUCCCAAUUUCAGCCCUCAAAAACAUCUCAUAUGUUCCGCGACAUUUCAAAAUCGUCUUUGGUGCCUCAAUUUUAAACCGUUUAAUAUUACUGAACUAUCACGUAGUUAUCAAAACGUGUAUGUCAAAUGUUCGCAACAUCCACAGACGACGUUCGAGGUUCAGCACACCGAGCGGUGCAUUAAGGACAUAAGCCUUCUGCGCAGCAAUGAGGACAAUCCUUAGUUUAUGGACCCAGUCCGCAUAAUUGCUACUAUCAACUUUCAACUAUAUUUUCUCUAGGAACAUAUCUAAAACAGUAGAACUAAAGCGCGAGCUACGACAUAAUUUUCAAAAACCUUUUGACUAUGUUCAGGAUAAUUAAGUUCAUCUAAUGAACUCCCACUCAGAUAGACAUCCCUCUAGUCAUCUAAGUAACACAUGAUCCGAGUCAACUAGGCCGUGUUCGAUCAUCACGUGAGACGGACUAGUCAUCAUCGGUGAACAUCUUCACGUUGAUCGUAUCUACCAUACGACUCAUGGUCGACCUUUCGGUCUCUUGUGUUCCGAGGCCAUGUCUGUACAUGCUAGGCUCCGUCAAUUCAACCUAAGUGUUUCGCGUGUGUAAAUCUGGCUUACACCCGUUGUAUGUGAACGUUAGAAUCUAUCACACCCGAUCGUCACGUGGUGCUUCGAAACAAUGAACUUUCGCAACGGUGCACAGUUAGGGGGAACACUUUCUUGAAAUUUUAAUGAGGGGUCAUCUUAUUUACUACCGUCGUUCUAAGCAAAUAGGAUGCAUAAACAUGAUAAACAUCACAUGCAAUCAAAAAAAUGACAUGAUAUGGCCAAUAUCAUUUUGCUCCUUUUGAUCUCCAUCUUCGGGGCUCCAUGAUCAUCAUCGUCACCGGCAUGACACCAUGAUCUCCAUCAUCGUGUCUCCAUGAAGUUGUCUCGCCAACUAUUACUUCUACUACUAUGGCUAACGGUUUAGGAAUAAAGUAAAGUAAUUACAUGGCGUUGUUCAAUGACACGCAGGUCAUUCAAUAAAUUAAGGCAACUCCUAUGGCUCCUGGCGGUUGUCAUACUCAUCGACAUGCAAGUCGUGAUUCCUAUUACAAGAACAUGAUCAAUCUCAUACAUCACAUAUCAUUCAUCACAUUCUUUUGGCCAUAUCACAUCACAUAGCAUACCCUGCAAAAACAAGUUAGACGUCAUCUAAUUGUUGUUUGCAUGUUUUACGUGGCUGCUAUGGGUUUCUAGCAAGAACGUUUCUUACCUACGCAAAAACCACAACGUGAUAUGCCAAUUGUUAUUUACCCUUCAUAAGGACCCUUUUCAUCGAAUCCGAUCCGACUAAAGUGGGAGAGACUGGCACCCUCUAGCCACCUUAUGCAACAAGUGCAUGUCAGUCGGUGGAACCCGUCUCACGUAAGUGUACGUGUAAGGUCGGUCCUGGCCGCUUCAUCCCACAAUACCGUCGAAACAAAAUUGGACUAGUAACGGUAAGCAUAUUGAAAAAAAUCAACGCCCACAACAACUUGUGUUCUACUCGUGCAUAGAAACUACGCAUAGACCUAGCUCAUGAUGCCACUGUUGGGGAACGUAGCAGAAAUUCAAAAUUUUUUACGCAUCACCAAGAUCAAUCUAUGGAUUAAUCUAGCAACGAGGGAAAGGGGAGUGCAUCUACAUAACCUUGUAGAUCGCUAAGUGGAAGUGUUGCAAGAACGCGGAUGAGGUAGUCGUACUCGUGGCGAUUCAGAUCGCGGUCGAUUCCGAUCUAAGCGCCAAACAACGGCGCCUCCGCUCAACACACGUGCAGCCCGGUGACGUCUCCCAUGCCUUGAUCCAUCAAGGAGAGAGGGAGAGGUUGGGGAAGAAUCCGUCCAGCAGCAGCACGACGGCGUGGUGGUGGUGGAGGAGCGCGGUACUCAAGCAGGGCUUCACCAAGCACUACGAGAGACGAGGAGGGAAGGGGAGAGAGGGCUGGCCCCCUCCAGAUCCCAUCUAGAGGGGAGGGGCGGUGGCCAGGAGGGGUGCCUUGCCCCCCAAGCAAGGUGGAGGCGCCCCCCUCCCCUAGGGUUUUCAACCCUAGGCGCCUUGGGCCCUGGUGGGGGGGCGCACCAGCCCACCUGGGGCUGGUCCCCUCCCACAGUUGGCCCACGCAGCUCUCUGGGGCUGGUGGACCCCCGGGACCCUCCCGGUGGUCCCAGUACAUUAUCAAUAGCACCCGAAACUUUUCCGGUGAUCAAAACAGGACUUCCCAUAUAUAAAUCUUUACCUCCGGACCAUUCCGGAACUCCUCGUGAUGUCCGGGAUCUCAUCCGGGACUCCUAAUAACAUUCAGUAACCACAUAUAUCUAUUCCCUAUAACCCUAGCGUCAUCGACCCUUAAGUGUGUAGACCCUACGGGUUGGGGAACCAUGCAGAUAUGACCGAGACAACUCUCCGUCCAAUAACCAACAGCGGGAUCUGGAUACCCAUGUUGGCUCCCACAUGUUCCACGAUGAUCUCAUAGGAUGAACCACGAUGUCAAGGAUUCAAUCAAUCCCGUAUACAAUUCCCUUUGUCUACCUAUAUAGUACUUGCCCGAGAUUCAAUCGUCGGUAUGCCGAUACCUUGUUCAAUCUCGUUACCGUCAAGUCUCUUUACUCGUUCCGUAACACAUCAUCCCAUGAUCAACUCCUUGAUCACAUUGUGCACAUUAUGAUGAUGUCCUACCGAGUGGGCCUAGAGAUACCUCUCCGUCACACGGAGUGACAAAUCCCAGUCUCGAUUCGUGCCAACCCAACAGACACUUUCGGAGAUACCCGUAGUGCACGUUUAUAGCCACCCAGUUACGUUUUGACGUUUGGUACACCCAAAGCAUUCCUACGGUAUCCGGGAGUUGCACAAUCUCAUGGUCUAAGGAAAAGAUACUUGAAAUUUAGAAAAGCUUUAGCAUACGAACUACACGAUCUUGUGCUAGGCUUAGGAUUGGGUCUUGUCCAUCACAUCAUUCUCCUAAUGAUGUGAUCCCAUUAUCAACGACAUCCAAUGUCCAUGGUCAGGAAACCGUAACCAUCUAUUGAUCAACGAGCUAGUCAACUAGAGGCUUACUAGGGACAUGGUGUUGUCUAUGUAUCCACACAAUCCUAAUCAAGGAAAUAUAAUACUAACCAUUUUAUUAUUGCCUCUAGGGCAUAUUUCCAACAGCUGGUGGGCUGGCCUGGUGGUCUGGUGGCCUGCUGGGCCGUGGCCCAAUGGGCCAGGGGGGUUUGUUUUUUUUAACUUCGUUUUAUUUCCUUUCUUUUUAUUUAUUCUUUCCUAUUUUAUUUUAGUUACAUUUUAUUUUAGCUUUAGUUAAAAUUAUCACUAAAACCUAAAUUGGUACUUUUAAAUAAACUACUGCCACAUUAAUUCUUAUCCCAACUAAAAUAGUUUAAUAUUUCAUAAAAUUCAAAAGGCAUUUAUUUUAUUAUUUAACCUACAGUUUUAAUUAUUUUGAACUCUUAAACAUUUUAUUAAAUUUAGGUUUCUCCACCAUAAUUACCUAUGCAUUCUUUGGAUCACUCCGAACAUUUUAGUUUUAAUAUACGAAAACAUUUAUUGUUUGAUUGAUUUUGAAUUUGAAUUUGAAUCGGUUUCGAUCUAUCGCGAGGUUAGCAAUAGUAACCGAGGUGACGUGGCAUCGUUAACGCGGUACUACUGUAGCCUAAUUAGCCGGGCGUCACAUCCUCUUUUGAUGAUUGUUUGAGCAACCUUGAUCGAGUUUUGCAGAGAUGCGAAGACACUAGUCUCGUCUUGAAUUGGGAAAAGUGUCACUUUAUGGUUAAUGAAGGCAUUGUCUUGGGGCAUAAGAACUUCGAGAGAGGUAUUGAAGUUGAUAAAGCCAAAGUUGAUGCUAUUGAAAAGAUGCCAUGUCCCAAGGACAUAAAAGGUAUAAGAAGUUUCCUUGGUCAUGCCGAUUUUUAUAGGAGGUUCAUUAAGGACUUUUCUAAAAUCUCUAGGCCUCUGACUAAUUUAUUGCAAGAAGAUAUUCCUUUUGUCUUUGAUGAUGAUUGUGUAGAAGCAUUUGAAACACUUAAGAAAGCUUUGAUCACUGCACCUAUUGUUCAGCCACCUGAUUGGAAUUUACCUUUUGAAAUUAUGUGUGAUGCUAGUGAUUAUGUUGUAGGUGCUGUUCUAGGGCAAAGAGUCGAUAAGAAAUUGAAUGUUAUCCAGUAUGCUAGUAAGACUCUUGAUACUGCCCAGAGAAAUUAUGCUACUACCGAAAAAGAGUUCUUAGCAGUUGUGUUUGCAUGUGAUAAGUUUAGACCUUAUAUUGUUGAUUCCAAAGUUACUAUUCACACUGAUCAUGCUGCUAUUAAAUAUCUUAUGGAAACGAAAGAUGCUAAGCCUAGACUCAUUAGAUGGGUUCUCUUGCUCCAAGAAUUUGAAUUGCAUAUUAUUGAUAGAAAGGGAGCUGAGAACCCCAUAGCAGACAACUUGUCUAGGUUAGAGAAUGUUCUUGAUGACCCACUGCCUAUUAAUGAUAGCUUUCCUGAUGAACAAUUAGCGGUUGUCAACGCUUCUCGUACUGCUCCUUGGUAUGCUGAUUAUGCUAAUUACAUUGUUGCUAAAUUUAUACUGCCUAGUUUCACAUACCAGCAAAAGAAAAAGUUCUUUUAUGAUUUAAGACAUUACUUCUGGGAUGACCCACACCUUUAUAAAGAAGGAGUAGAUGGUGUUAUUAGACAUUGUGUGCCCGAGCAUGAACAAGAACACAUUCUACGCAAGUGUCACUCUGAAUCUUAUGGAGGACACCACGUUGGAGAUAGAACUACACACAAGGUACUACAAUCUAGUUUUUAUUGGCCUACUCUCUUCAAAGAUGCUCGUAAGUUUGUCUUAUCUUGUGAUGAAUGUCAAAGAAUAGGUAACAUUAGUAGACGUCAAGAAAUGCCUAUGAAUUAUUCUCUUGUUAUUGAACAGUUUGAUGUUUGGGGCUUCGAUUAUAUGGGACCUUUUCCUGCCUCUAAUGGUUAUACACAUAUUUUAGUUGUUGUUGAUUACGUUACUAAGUGGGUAGAAGCUAUUCCAACUAGUAGUGCUGAUCAUAACACUUCUAUUAAAAUGCUUAAAGAAGUUAUCUUCCCGAGGUUUGGAGUCCCUAGAUAUCUUAUGACUGAUGGUGGUUCACAUUUUAUUCAUGGUGCUUUCCGUAAGAUGCUUGCUAAGUAUGAUGUCAAUCAUAGAAUCGCAUCUCCUUAUCAUCCGCAGUCUAGUGGUCAAGUAGAGUUGAGCAAUAGAGAGCUCAAAUUAAUUUUGCAAAAGACUGUGAAUAGAUCUAAAAAGAAUUGGUCCAAAAAACUUGAUGAUGCAUUAUGGGCCUAUAGAACUGCAUACAAAAAUCCUAUGGGUAUGUCCCCUUAUAAGAUGGUUUAUGGAAAAGCGUGUCAUUUACCUCUUGAACUUGAACAUAAGGCAUAUUGGGCUAUUAAAGAGAUCAACUAUGACUUCAAACUUGCCAGUGAGAAGAGGUUGUUUGAUAUUAGCUCACUUGAUGAAUGGAGAACCCAAGCGUAUGAGAAUGCCAAGCUUUUCAAAGAAAAAGUCAAACGCUGGCAUGAUAAGAGGAUACAAAAGCGUGAGUUUAACAUAGGAGAUUAUGUGUUAUUAUUCAACUCUCCAUUAAGAUUUUUUGUAGGAAAACUUCUCUCAAAAUGGGAAGGUCCCUACGUUAUCGAGGAGGUCUAUCGUUCUGGUGCUAUAAAAAUCAACAUCUUUGAAGGCACGAGUCCAAGGGUGGUAAACGGUCAAAGAAUUAAACAUUAUAUUUCAAGUAAUCCUAUCAAUGUUGAAACUAAUUGAGGGAGUCCUGGAUUAGGGGGUGUCCGGAUAGCCGAACUAUCACCGUCGGCCGGACUCCAAGACUAAGAAGAUACAAGAUUGAAGACUCCGUCCCGUGUCCGGAUGGGACUUUCAUUGGCGUGGAAGGCAAGCUUGGCGAUACGGAUAUGUAGAUCUCCUACCAUUUUAACCGAGUGUGUAACCCUAGCCCUCUCCGAUGUCUAUAUAAACCGGAGGGUUUUAGUCCGUAGGACGAACAACAAUCAUACCAUAGGCUAGCUUCUAGGGUUUAGCCUCUCUGAUCUCGUGGUAGAUCUACUCUUGUACUACCCAUAUCAUCAAUAUUAAUCAAGCAGGAGUAGGGUUUUACCUUCACCGAGAGGGCCCGAACCUGGGUAAAAACAUCGUGUCCCUUGUCUCCUGUUACCAUCCGCCUAGACGCACAGUUCGGGACCCCCUACCCGAGAUCCGCCGGUUUUGACACCGACAUUGGUGCUUUCAUUGAGAGUUCCUCUGUGUCGUCACCUCUAGGCCCGAUGGCUCCUUCGAUCAUCAACAACGACGCGGUCCAGGGUGAGACUUUUCUCCCCGGACAGAUCUUCGUAUUCGGUGGCUUUGCACUGCGGGCCAGUUCGCUUGGCCAUCUGGAGGAGAUCGAAAGCUACGCCCCUGGCCAUCCGGUCAGAUUUGGAAGUUUGAACUAUACAGCUGACAUCCGCGAGACUUGAUCUGCGACGGAUUCGAGCCAUAGCCGAGCGCGCCGCACUGUCACGAUGGGCAUGAUCUAGCUCUGCUGCCGUACAGUGCCCUGGAGGCCGCACAAGAGUCCGCUUCGACCCCCAGCUCGGAGCUGACGGCGCCGAUCGAGGAUGGAUGGCUGGAAACCGCCUCGAGGGCUGCUAUCUCUACGGCGAUAGAGCCGAAUACCGAUCCUAUCCCUUGUGAAGCUCGUGACUCCAAGGUGCCGGACUACUCUUCGGACCCCGAACCUUCCGCGCCCCUGCCAGUCGAAUCCGAUUGGGCGCCGAUCAUGGAGCUCACCGCCGCAGACAUCUUUCAGCACUUGCCUUUUGGCGACAUCCUGAAUUCGCUAAAGUGCCUCUCUUUAUCAGGAGAGCCCUGGCCAGAUUAUGGUCAGGGCGGUUGGGAUGUGGACGACGAAGAAAUUCAAAGCCCACCCACCACCCACUUCAUAGCCACUGUCGAUGACUUAACCGACAUGCUAGACUUCGACUCUGAAGACAUCGACGGUAUGGACGACGAUGCCGGAGACGACAAAGAACCAACGCCUACAGGGCACUGGAAGGCCACCUCGUCAUAUGACCUAUACAUGGUGGACAUCCCAAAGGAUGGGAAUGGCGAUGGAACAACCGAGGAUGACCCCUCCAAGAAACAGCCCAAGCGCCGGCGUCAGCAGCGCCGCUCUAAAUCCCGCCACAACAAAAAUGGAGAUGCCGGCACCGGAGACAAUAACGCCCCAGACAGUGCCGAAGACAACCCCCUCCAGCAAGAUUCAGCACAGGAGGAUGGAGAAACCAGCCCUCAGGAGAGAGCGGCAGACAGAGAGGUAGAGGACGAUAACUACAUGCCUCCCUCCGAAGACGAGGCAAGCCUCGAUGACGACGAAUUUGUCGUGCCUGAGGAUCCCGUCAAUCAAGAGCAUUUCAAACGCAGGCUUAUGGCCACGGCAAGCAGCCUCAUGAAAAAGCACCAACAACUUAGAGCUGACCAAGACUUGCUAGCCGAUAGAUGGACUGAAGUGCCUGCGGCCGAAGAGCAUGAACUCGAACGCCCCUCGAAAAGCUACCCAAAACGCAAGCUGCUACCCCGAUUAGAGGAGGAAGCACAUAAACCUACAUCACCAGUGUACAAUACGACUGACCGGCCACCUCGUGGCCGCGACAGAGAGGCCUCUAGGCCCUCCACUAAAGCCGCACCCCGGCGUCGCUCGAAAAGUACAAAGCUACGGGGGAAUGCGCCGGACUUAUGAGACAUAUUGGAGGAUAAGGCAAGACAAACAAGAUUGAUCUACGGAUCGCGUGGGCGCCCCAUGAUACGUGACGACAACCGUCGCGCCGGAUACAGCAAUGCCGGCCGGUCCGAACACAGUAGACAAAGCUCGUUUGAGCUGCGUCGUGAUAUAGCCCAAUACAAAGGCGCCGCACACCCACUAUGCUUCACAAACGAAGUAAUGGAUCAUCAAAUCCUUGAGGGUUUCAAACCCGUAAACAUUGAAUCAUACGACGGCACAACAGAUCCUACGGUUUGGAUCGAGGACUAUCUCCUUCACAUCCACAUGGCCCGCGGUGAUGAUCUACACGCCAUUAAAUACCUCCCACUCAAGCUCAAAGGACCAGCUCGGCAUUGGCUGAACAGCUUGCCAGCAGAAUCAAUUGGUUGUUGGGAAGACCUGGAAGCCGCAUUCCUUGAUAACUUCCAGGGCACAUAUGUGCGACCACCAGACGUCGAUGACCUAAGCCACAUAAUUCAGCAGCCAGACGAAUCAGCCAGACAAUUCUGGACACGGUUCUUAACCAAGAAAAAUCAAAUCGUUGACUGUCCGGAUGCAGAGGCCCUUGCAGCCUUCAAACAUAACAUCCGCGACGAGUGGCUUGCCCGGCACCUAGGACAGGAAAAGCCGAAAUCCAUGGCAGCCCUCACAUCACUCAUGACCCGCUUCUGUGCGGGAGAGGACAGCUGGCUAGCUCACAGUAACAACCUGACCAAAAACUCCGGUAGUUCGGAUACCAAGGACAUCAAUGGCAGGUCGCGUCACAACAAGCACAAGCACCGCAUUAACGGCGAUAAUGCUGAAGAUACGGCAGCCAAUGCCGGAUUCAGGGGCUCAAAACCCGGUCAGUGAAAAAAUCCAUUCAAAAGAAAUAUUCCGGGCCCGUCCAAUUUGGACCGAAUACUUGAUCGCUCGUGCCAGAUACACGGCACCCCCGAAAAGCUAGCCAAUCACACCAACAGGGAUUGUUGGGUGUUCAAGCAGGCAGGCAAGUUAACCGCCGAAAACAAUGACAAGGGGCUACAUAGCGAUGACAAGCAGGAGACCCAGCCGCCGAACAAUAGAGGACAGAAGGCUUUCCCCCCACAAGUGCGGACGGUGAACAUGAUAUACGCAACCCACAUACCCAAAAGGGAGCGGAAGCGUGCACUCAGGGACGUAUACGCGAUGGAGCCAGUCGCCCCAAAGUUCAAUCCGUGGUCCUCCUGCCCGAUCACUUUUGAUAGAAGGGACCACCCCACUAGCAUCCGCCAUGGCGGAUUCGCCGCAUUGGUUUUAGACCCAAUCAUCGACGGAUUUCACCUCACUAGAGUCCUGACGGACGGCAGCAGCAGCCUGAACCUGCUUUAUCAGGAUACAGUGCGCAAGAUGGGCAUAGACCCCUCAAGGAUUAAACCCACAAAGACGACCUUCAAAGGCGUCAUACCAGGUGUAGAGGCCAACUACACAGGCUUAGUUACACUAGAAGUGGUCUUCGGAUCCCCGGCUAACUUCCAAAGCGAGGAGUUAAUCUUCGACAUAGUCCCGUUCCGCAGCGGCUAUCAUGCACUGCUCGGACGAACCGCAUUUGCAAAGUUCAAUGCGGUGCCGCACUAUGCAUACCUCAAGCUCAAGAUGCCAAGCCCUCGAGGAGUCAUUACGGUUAACGGAAACACUGAACGCUCUCUCCGAACGGAGGAGCAUACAGCGGCUCUCGCGGUGGAAGUACAAAGCAGCCUCUUAAGGCAAUUCUCUAGUCCGGCUGUUAAGCGGCCGGACACCAUCAAGCGCGCCCGGAGUAACUUACAACAAGACCACCUGGCACGUUCCGAGCACGAGUAGCAAUGCGGCCCCAACCCCAGCCCUCGCGAAAUCGCGAAACCAGUACCACGCGUACAUAACUACGCUAUGGAGAUACCAUGGGCACGGGGGGAGGGGCACGACCACGGAAUGCCCAGAGUGCGGCUCAACCGCACCAGGGGCUCCCAAUUGUGUCAUUUUUUCUUCUUAUUAUUUUCAGGACUCCAUUUCCAGCAGCCCUGUCCGACAGUAGACUUGCCGAACUCACGAUGCAACAGCCAGGGAAUCAGAAAAUCUAUGGCGAGUAUCCAGGUGGUCUCCAUUACGAUCAUUAUACCUGUUUUGCAUACCAUUCCGCAGCCUACCCCUGGAAGGGGACAUGUUAAAUAGUCCCAUCCCUCGCUUAUCGCACUAUUUGUAUCGUCUUGCUUUCAUUGCAGUAUUUUUUGAAUAAACUAUGCAUCACUUUUUGCUUAUCAUUGCAUUCCUUUUUCUAUCUAUAUAUGUUCACUUAUGACAUAUCGCACCCGUACGCUUUGGUACGGCCAAAAUACACUAGGGGCUUAAGUUCCCCAAAAUAUGGUGUGAUAAGUCCGAACACUUUCACAAGUGCUGCACCCCGAACUUAUAGCAUUAUAUGCAUCGGCUCCGAAUCAUGUCUUCUGUCAAUAGUUGGGUUUGCCUGGCUCCCAUGUUUUGGUACCUUACAUUCCGCUAUAUCGGCUAAGGGUAGCGCUGGGAGAACCACUAUGAUUGUGCCCCAGUUGCGCUGGGCUGAGCACCUCAGUGGAGAAAGCUAAAACUGACCGUCAUGAUGGGGCGAGAGCCGGUCGCUGUUCGAGAGGUUUUUUCGAGUCCCUAAAGACUUAUGCCGCUUAGAGCGAGGAGCCGGCUUUGUCCGGCCCAGGCGUGGAUAGCGCCCCGAAUUCGGCCUUCCGAACACUAGGGGCUUCACCGAAAUUUAAAAUUAUAGAAUUCUAUGGCUAAGUGGGAGUGUUCAAGCAUUAUAAGUCCGGUUGCCUCGUUUGUUGUGUUGAGCGCCUCCCUCGAAGGACCCAAAAAUGGGAAAAAGAGCGCUCAAGUUUAUCCCGAACACCCCAGCACUCGUGGCAUGGGGGCUGAAGCCAAUGACUUGCCAUCUCUCAAAUUUGAUAAACGGCCGCACAUAAGGUAAUAUUUUAAAUUAACAAGCAUUGCUUAGCGCAUAUGAACAAAGUUUUCAGCGCACAGGAUAACAACAUGCGAGUCUACUCAAAACUUACAUCCUUGGAGCAUUCACCCGCUAUAAUGCGGGCACCCUUCAGGACGCCCUUAUAAUACAUCUCGGGCGUGCGAUACUCCUUGCCCGGCGGUGGCGGGUCUGUCACAAGCUUCUCAGUGUACAUCUUGCCCCACUGCACUUUAGCACGGGCAAGGGCCCGACGGGCACCCUCAGUGCAGGCGGAGUGCUUGAUGACUUCAAUCCAUGGACAGGCGUCCACCAGCUGCCGCACCAGACCGAAGUAGCUCCCAGGCAUGGCUUCCUUAGGCCACAGCCGAACUAUGAGGCCCUUCAUGGCCUUUCGGCCACCUUGUGGAGCUCGACCAGCUGCUUCAGCUGGUCGCUAAGGGGCACCGGAUGUCCGGCCUCAGCAUACUGAGACUAGAAUACCUUCUCCGUCGAGCUUCCUUCCUCGGCCCGGUAGAAUGCGACAGCAUUGGACACACUGCAAGGCAGAUCUGCGAAUGCUCCUGGAGAGCUCCGGAUUCGGGUAAGUAACAAGUAAUUCACUUUCACGUGCUUGCUUUGCAUGAAGAAGGCCUUACCCGCCGCUAUCUUCUUUAUCGCCUCAAUUUCCUGGAGGGCUUUUUGGGCUUCGGCCUUGGCAGCUCUGGCACUCUCAAGAGCCAAGGCGAGCUCGGACUCUCGAGUCUUCGAGUCACGCUCCAAACUCUCGUGUUUUUCGACGAGAGCCUGGAGCUUUUGCCGCACCUCCGCCACCCGCGCCUCCUGCCUCUCUCGCUCGGUGCGCUCCAAGGCCGCACUGCUUUCGGCCUUGGACACCACCUCCUUCAGGGUCGCCACCUCGUUCGUGGCCCCUGCAAUACCCAUGUUAUUCCUGUCAUUUUGUGCAACCAAAUCCUUUUCUAUAAGGUACUACUUUAAUAUGGUAUUACUUACCUUCCUUGUCCUCGAGCUGCUUCUUGGCAAGGCCAAGCUUGUUCUCGGACCGCUCGAGGCUCUGCUUCAAUGCAUUGACCUCCGCAGUCAGUGCGGCAGAGGUCAGCAACGCAGCCUGCAUUCCCAUAUUGACAUAUUUCUGUUAGACUCCUGUGUAUAUCUUUUUAGAUCCUCAGCUUGGCUUUUCUUUCUGAACACCAAACUGAGCAUCAGGGGCUACUUUCUAUGCGGUACUGUUUUUACAUAUCUUAAAUUACUUACCUCAAAGCCUGUUAGAAGGCUGGUACAGGCUUCAGUCAGCCCGCUCUUGGCAGACUGAACUUUCUGGAUCACUGCACUCAUAACAGUGCGGUGCUCCUCGUCGAUGGGGGCACCGUUAAGCGCCUCCAGCAAAUUAUCCGGCGCCUCCGGUUGGACGGAGGCCACCGGCGUCGCAGUCUCGCCCUUCUCACGAAGGGGCUGCCAGCCGGACUUCGGAACCACUGCAGGUUCCGGUACGAAGUCUGACACAGGGCCGGACUUGGAACCCUCGGGGGUUCCGCCCUCUUUUCGCCCAGAGUCCGGAAGGUCACCUUGCGACGCCUCCAGGACCACCUCCUCCUGGUUGGGCCCCUUCUGGGACCCCAUCUCGGUGUCGUCUGCAUCACAAGGGGAAGAGGUGGUCGGAAGUGAAGUGUUAUUCACAUCCGACGAACCUAGAGACCCGCUCGAUGAAGCGGGGAGAUCAUCCCUGGGCGGGCUACAGGGUUGUAUUCGGCGUUAGAAGACAUCAUGCGACAAAUAAAGAAAUCAUGAGGUAUUUCGGAAUCUGGACACUUACGAUCUCGCCAUGGGCUUGGCCCUCGAGGGCCACUCCUCUUCACCGUCGUAGGCGUUGGUAGGACAGUCUGGAGGAAGGGUCCUUCCCUUCUUGGACCCUCCGGCCUCCCCAAUUGGGGAGGCCUUCCUUUUCUUCUCUCCCCCCGUUGGGGGAGAAGCCUCUUUUUUCUCCUCCUCAUCUUCGUGGGAGGAGUCCGCCUCGGAGUCAUCGGACGAUGAGUCCGAUAACACCUGGCACCGGGAACUCCUCCGAGUUCCCGUGGCCUUCUUCUUGGCCUUCUUCUCCGGCACCACAUAAGGCGCCGGAACCUACAACCCCGUCAAUCGGGCGCCCGCUGGGUCUUCUAGUAAGGGAGCCGGACAGUUAACCUGCCCGGACUUCUUCAGCCAGUCCUGUCAAAGGUGAGGGGGUUGAGAUCCCGCAUAGUGUCAAACUAUGAAAAAGUGUCCUGUAAAAGGUAAAAUAGCUUACCUCGUCGGCUUUAUGCCGCGAGCUGAAUCCGCGAUCUUCAGUAGAGGAUGCGGGAGUCUCGGCGCCCUUGAACAGCACCCUCCAGGCAUCUUCGUACGUAUUGUCGAAGAGCCUGCUAAAGGUCUGGUGCUGUGCCGGAUCAAACUCCCACAAGUUGAAAGCCCGCUGUUGGCAUGGGAGGAUCCAGCGUAUGAGCAUGACCUAGACUACAUUGAAAAGCUUGAGAUUCUUGUUCACUAGCUUUUGGACGCAGGCUUGGAGUCCGGUCAGCUCCUCCGAAUCGCCCCAUGUCAGGCCCUUCUCUUUCCAGGAGGUGAGCCGUGUGGCGAUGCCAGAUCUGAAUUCGUGGGCUGCUGUCCAUUCAGGGUCAUGCGGCUCGGUGAUGUAGAACCACCCCGAUUGCCACCCUUUGAUGGUUUCCACGAACGCGCCUUCGAGCCAUGUGACGUUGGGCAUCUUGCCCACCAUGGCACCUCCGCACUCCGCUUGGCGGCCACCCACUACCUUCGGCUUGACAUUAAAAGUCUUCAGCCAUAAGCCGCAGUGGGGCUAGAUGCAGAGGAAGGCCUCGCACACGACGAUGAACGCCGAGAUGUUGAGGAUAAAAUUCGGGGCCAGAUCAUGGAAAUCCAGGCCGUAUAGAACAUGAGCCCCCGGACAAAGGGGUGGACUGGGAAGCCCAGUGCGCGGAGGAAAUGGGGAAGGAACACCACCCUCUCAUGGGGCCUGGGGGUGGGGACGAGCUGCCCCUCGUCUGGAAGCCGGUGCGCAAUGUCCUUGUGCAGGUAUCCGGCUUUCCGCAACCUUUUGAUGUGCCCCUCCGUGACGGAGGAGGCCAUCCACUUGCCUCCCACUCCGGACAUGGUUGGAGAAGGUCGAGGCGAGAUGCGCGGGCUUGGGCGCCGGAGCUCGAGUGCGCGGAGAUGGAUAGGCAAAGGAGGAAGAAGGCGUAGGUAACAAGGUGGAUACUUAUCCCCUUAUAUGGACGGACAAAACUACGCGUCCCUACCAGCCUGAUAAAACUCGCUUAUCUCCCAAGCGCCGUAAUCAAUUGCGCGGUUGGGUUACCCACGCCCGUAUUGAUGAGAAUCCUGGAAUAAGGGGACACGAUCUCUGCUUCGACAAGACGUGCCGAGGAAACCGCUUCACUAAACGCGCUGAGGUGGAACAAUAAAAACAAUUCGCAUAAAGGCUUGGCCGUGGUGUGACGUCAUGCCACGAAAUGCGUCAGCAGAUUAAAUUUGUGUAAAGAUUAUUCUCUCUACGGUGGUAUGUGGAACUUACUUUGCAGAGCCGGACACUAUCCUGGUGUUCAAAAUCUUCUAUGAAGUAUUCGGAGGAGGAACCCGCCUUGCAAUGCCGAAGACAAUAUGCACGCCGUACUCGUCGUCAUUGAAGCCUGGUUCAGGGGCUACUGAGGGAGUCCUGGAUUAGGGGGUGUCCGGAUAGCCGAACUAUCACCGUCGGCCGGACUCCAAGACUAAGAAGAUACAAGAUUGAAGACUCUGUCCCGUGUCCGGAUGGGACUUUCGUUGGCGUGGAAAGCAAGCUUGGCGAUACGGAUAUGUAGAUCUCCUACCAUUGUAACCGACUCUGUGUAACCCUAGCCCUCUCCGGUGUCUAUAUAAACCAAAGGGUUUUAGUCUGUAGGAUGAACGACAAUCAUACCAUAGGCUAGCUUCUAGGGUUUAGCCUCUCUGAUCUCGUGGUAGAUCUACUCUUGUACUACCCAUAUCAUCAAUGUUAAUCAAGCAGGAGUAGGGUUUUACCUCCGCCGAGAGGGCCCGAACCUGGGUAAAAACAUCGCGUCCCUUGUCUCCUGUUACCAUCCACCUAGACACACAGUUCGGGACCCCCUACCCGAGAUCCGCCGGUUUUGACACUAACACUAAUAUUAACCGUAACCCCUGAGGAAUACAUAAGGGACACUUUCGAGAACAUUCCAGACUCCGAAAAGGUAUAGGUAUGUGGUACGGUAAGUAAACCGACUCCAAAACAACUCCAAUGGCAAUUUUUAUCACUUUUGGAUUAUUUAAGAAUUUUAGGAAGAAAGAAGUAGUCCGAAAGGGACACGAGGCUCCCACGAGAGUGGAGGGCGCGCCCCCCUGUAGGGCACGCCCCCUGUCUCGUGGGCACCUCGUGUGCCUCCCAGACUCCAUUUUCUUGCACAUUACAUAUUUUGGUCGGUAAAAAUUCAUUAUAUAUACUCCUGAAGGUUUUGACCACCGUAUCACGCAAAUAUCCUCUGUUUUUGUUUCGAGCUGUUUCUGUUUUAAAUCUAAGAGCAUCAUGUCAUCUCCAAGUGCUCCCAAGGACAAGUUUUUUGAUAGGGUUAUCAACCCCUAUCUUGCGGAGGUGCUGCAACACCCUCAAUCCAUUGAGAUGCGUGAGGGGGUGCAAGACAUCCGCGAUGUGGAGGGACCAAGGCUUACCGGGAGCGUGGAGACAAAGCUCGAAGCCGUGGAGCAGCAAGUUUUCAAGUGUCAAGGGAUGGUGGAGCGUGGACUCAACGCCAACCAGAUGAUGAUCACGGAGUUCACCAACAACCACAAGCUGGAUGCCAAAGUCAUUGGGGAUACCAUCUUCAAGCUUUAAGAGAAAAUCGAGAACCUCCAAGCCCAGAUCUAUGACCUGCAAAACCAGAACUGUGAGUAUAAAUAUAGAUUCAAGAGGAUGAGUGAGGGAGUCCUGGACUAGGGGGUGUCCGGAUAGCCGGACUAUCAUCAUCGGCCGGACUCCAAGACUAUGAAGAUACAAGAUUGAAGACUUCGUCCCGUGUCCGGAUGGGACUUUCCUUGGCGUGGAAGGCAAGCUUGGCGAUACGGAUAUGUAGAUCUCCUACCAUUGUAACCGACUCUGUGUAACCCUAGCCCUCUCUGAUGUCUAUAUAAACCGGAGGGUUUUAGUCCGUAGGACAACAACCAUUACAACAAUCAUACCAUAGGCUAGCUUCUAGGGUUUAGCCUCCUUGAUCUCGUGGUAGAUCCACUCUUGUACUACCCACAUCAUCAAUAUUAAUCAAGCAGGACGUAGGGUUUUACCUCCAUCAAGAGGGCCCGAACCUGGGUAAAACAUCGUGUCCCUUGUCUCCUGUUACCAUCCGCCUAGACGCACAGUUCGGGACCCCCUACCCGAGAUCCGCCGGUUUUGACACCGACAUUGGUGCUUUCAUUGAGAGUUCCUCUGUGUCGUCACCGAUAGGCUUGAUGGCUUCUUCAAUCAAUAACAACGCAGUCCGGGGUGAGACUUUUCUCCCCAGACAGAUCUUCGUGUUCGGCGGCUUUGCACGGCGGGCCAAUUCGCUUGGCCAUCUGGAGCAGAUCGAAAGCUACGCCUCUGGCCGUCAGGUCAGGUUUGGAAGCCUAAACUUCACGACUGACAUCCGCGGAGACUUGAUCUUCGAUGGAUUCGAGCCACAACCAAGCGCGCCGCACUGUCGCGGUGGACAUGAUUUAGCUCUGCUACCGGAUAGUGCCCUAGAGGCCGCACACGAGUCCGCUCCGACCCAUAGUUUGGAGCCGACCGCGCAGAUCGAGGACAAGUGGCUGGACACCGCCUCGGGGGCUGCGAUCUCUACGGCGAUGGAGCCGAACACUGACCUUGUCCCUUGCAAAGCUCGUGACACCGAGGCGCCGGACUCCUUGCUGGACUCCAAAACUCCUGCGCCCCUGCCUAUCAAAUCCGAUUGGGCGCCGACCAUGGAGUUUACCGCUGCGGACAUCUUUCAGCACUCACCCUUUGGCGACAUCCUGAAUUCGCUAAAGUCUCUCUCUUUAUAAGGAGAGCCCUAGCCGGACCACGGUCAGGACGGUUGGGAGGCGGACGACGAAGAAAUUCAAAGCCCUCCCACCGCCCACUUUGUAGCCACUGUCGACGAUUUAACCGACAUACUAGACUACGACUCCAAAGACAUCGACGGUAUGGACGACGAUGCCGAAGACGACCAAGAACCAGCGCCUACCGGGCAAUGGAAAGCCACCUCAAUUCAUGAUAUAUACAUGGUGGACACCCCAAAAGGGGGCGAUAACGAGGAACAACGGGACGCGGCGAAGGAUAAUCCCCCCGAAAAACAACCAAAACGGCGGCGCAAGCGGCACCCCAAGUCCCGCCUCGAUAACAACAACACUCACAAUGACCCAGCCAUAGAGCAGGGCAAACCAGUGGGCGACGAACAUGCAACCAAGCAGCCAUCCGAACAGGAUGAAUCGGAUAACCAACUCAUCCUCGACAGAGACAACAGUCCGGACGAUCUCACACCGGACACACCACCGGAGCAUAAAAACCUCCGAAAAAGACUUGUCGCCACUGCAAGAAGUCUGAAGAAGGAGAAGCGGAAGCUCAAAACAGCGCAAGACAUACUCAGAAUGAGAUGUAGCAAAGUACUCAAGACCGCGGACAAAUAUGGCAAUAACCAACAAACAAAGAGCUACCCGAAGCGCAAGCUGCUGCCCAAAUUCAACGAGGAGGCCAUAGAGCCCCCACAAUUAAAAAGCAAAGAGGCCGCCCGGCCGGAUAGACGACCAGAAGGCAGGCCAAGAGCGGCAAGCGGCGCCACACACAAGCCAGCACAUGACACACAUAAAUAUCUUUGCAAAACGGAUGGCCCGGUCAGGUCCAUUUACGGGCCGAAGAAGAGGGCCCCAGGAAGUGACAUAACACGCUGAGUGUUCGAAGAUAACGGCACACCCAAGUACAGGGGCGCCACACACCCACUAUGUUUCACUAAUGAGGUGCUGGAUCACGAAUUUCCAGCGGGGUUCAAGCCCAUAAACAUAGAGGCAUACGACGGAACAACAGACCCCGGAGUCUGGAUUGAGGACUACAUCCUGCAUAUACAUAUGGCUAGAGGAGAUGAUCUCCACGCCAUAAAAUAUCUACCCCUCAAGCUCAAAGGGCCAGCCAGGCAUUGGCUCAAAAGCCUCCCAGAAAAUACCAUUGGAAGCUGGGAAGAGCUCGAGGACGCAUUUAGAGCAAAUUUUCAGGGGACUUACGUCCGCCCUCCGGAUGCAAACGAUUUAAGUCACAUAACCCAACAGCCCGGAGAAUCAGCGCGCAAAUUCUGGAAUAGGUUCCUCAUUAAAAAGAACCAAAUAGUCGACUGUCCGGACGCCGAAGCCUUAGCAGCUUUUAAACAUAAUGUCCGAGACGAAUGGCUCGCCAGACACCUCGGCCAAGAGAAGCCGAGAACAAUGGCCGCGCUAACAAGCCUCAUGACCCACUUCUGUGCGGGGGAAGACAGCUGGCUAGCAAGAUGAAGCACUAGCGACCUGAGUACAUCCGAGAUCAGAGAUGGAAACGGAAAAUCACGGCGCAGAAAGGACCAGUGCCAAAAUAAAGAAAAGAGCCCACAGAGCACGACGGUCAAUGCCGGAUUCAGAAGCUCGCGGCCGAACAUCAAAACACUGCCCCUUAAGGACAACAGUGAUGAGCUAUCCAACCUAAACAAAAUCUUGGAUCGGAUAUGUCAAAUCCACAGUACACCCAGGAGGCCUGCAAACCACACCCACCGAGAUUGUUGGGUCUUCAAACAGUCCGGCCGACUCAACGCCGAACACAAGGGGCUCAACGCGCCAACCGAGGAUGACGACGAACCCCACAAGCAGAGCGCGGGAAAACAAAAGACUUUCCCACAAGAAGUCAAAACAGUAAACCCACUUCAUGUGAUACCACGCGACACUCACUGAGGUACAUGCCGCACGGUCCACCCCGGCGGAACCCCGAAAUCGGAUGUCAAAGCCAAUGACUUUCGACAAACUGGACUACUCCAUAAGCGUCCGAAACGCAGGAUGGACUGCUCUAAUAUUGGAUCCUACAAUCGACGGACUACAAUUUACACAAGUCCUAAUGGAUGGAGGCAGCAACUUAAACCUGCUACAUCCGGACACAAUCCGCAAGUUGGGGGUAGACCGUACUAAAAUUCGACAUAGCCGCACUUCCUUUAAAGGAGUGACGCCAGGCCCUUACGCCAAGCGCACGGGCACCUUACCACUAGAAGUUGUGUUCGGGUCACCCGACAACUCCCGACGUGAAAAGCUAAUUUUUCAUGUCGCCCCAUUCAAAAGUAGCCAUCAAGCACUAUUGGGACGUGAAGCUUUUGUCCGCUUCAAUGAAAUACCACACUACGCGUCUCUCACACUUCAAAUGCCCGGUCCACGCGGCAUCAUCUCAUUAAAAGGUCGUUCAAGACCCCGGACACGGCUAGAACGAGUCCGGCAUAAAUAAGCUAGGGGCUCCCUAGCUACACACCCCUUUAUAAGGGGCUGUGCGUAUGAGCAACAAGGAGCCAAUAAAAGCUCAAUUUUUUCUUACUCAUGCUCUGUUUUAAAUACAUUUUUGACACGAUUUAUUUUUCAACCAAGUUCCUCUCUUUUACAGAUGAACAGCGUGUUACACCCGUCCAGGAUACAGCACAACGGAGACACAGGCGCAGAUGUGCAGUAGGGACCCGUUGCAAGGAUUCUCUUCAGAUUAAGACCCUGCGUAAACCUUUUUUACUGUCUCUUGUUGCUAUACAUCCCCUGGUUACUCAUCAUAGCCAGAGAGGAGGCUGGCAUUUUGGCAUCGGCCGCGUCAGAAGAUCUUGCAUGUACCUGGACACUAGGGUCUUAGGGCAUUGAUCUGCCCGUCAUCAUAAAGACCGAACAUCUCAGGGAGUGUUCGGCGUCUCGAGUUAGGCCUUAUAUGCAUCAGCUCCGAAUCAUGUCUUUGGUCAAAUAUUGGGUUUGCCCGGCUGCUGUGUUUUGCUGCCUUACGUUCCGCAUCGUCGGCUAACGCGGCACCAGGAGAACUACUGCGAUUGUGCCCCGGUUCCGCCGGGUGAGCGCCUCAGUAGAGAAAGCCGAAAACUGACUGUCAUGAUGUAGCGAGAGACUGGUCAACCACUCGAUCGACCUCAGGAAUGUUUAAAAUUCCUCCGCUUUGGCGAAGGACUGCUUCCCGGUCAGGCACACACGCGCCCCGAAUUCGGAGAGCGCGGUGCCCCUAGGGGCUAUAUCGUAGCCCCACCUUCGAAAUCCUAUGGCUAAGUGAAAGUGAUAAAGCAUUAUAGUCCGGUUGCCUCGUUUGCUACGCUAUCACCUCCCUAACAGGACCAAGACGUUGGAUUAAGUGUGAAAACAUGCUAUUUCGCAAACACCCCCGCACCAUGUGCGUGGGGGCUGAAGCCGAAGACUGCCAUCUUUCAGGUUAUACACAAGUAUACAUUAACGGCCGCAUAGGAGAAGUUUCAAUACUUGAACGCACAAGUACAAAAAGCGCUUAUAUUGUAAACCUUAUUUUUACAAAACCAUAAAGAUCAUUUGAACAUGACAUUUUUUGAGCACUGCGACUCUAUUACACGAGCACCGCGCAGAACUUCCCCAAAGUAGUGCUCGGUGGGUAACCGACUCUCGUCUGAACCCCGGGUCGCAACAGCGGUGGCAUCCAUUUCCGUCCAGUGUGUCUUCACACGGGCGAGGGCCAUCCGCGCACCCUCUAUGCAGGCCGACCGCUUCAUCACCUUUAUAUGUGGCACCGCCUCAAGGAAUUGCUGCAAUAAGCUGAAAUAACUCUUCGGCUUGGGCCUAUCCGGCCAGACAUGAGCCACAACAUCUGUCAUGGCAAGUCCGGACAAUCUAUUAAGCUCGGCCAGCUGAUCGGUCAGCGGAAGUGAACGCUCCAGACUAUGGAAUUGAGACCAAAAUAGCUCUUCCGUCUUGUGAUCCUUUUGACUUCGGAAGUGCACAACAGCAUCUGCUGCACUCGCCGCUAAAUCCAUAUAAGGAUCCUCCGGACCCCACAGCUGGCCAAGCUGAGCAUACUUCAGAUCUGUAAACCUCCUGCGCAGCAGAAAGGGCUUGCCAGCCACAAUAUAUCUGGCCUGGCGCAGCUCCUCCUUUAUAGCCCUCAUUGCAGAACGGGCAUCCUUGGCUUCGGCGGUGGCCUUUGCCUGUUCUUCUUGCUCCGCUCGGCGUUCUUUUUCAAGAACCUCAUAGCGGUCGGUAACAUCUUUCACUCUCACGGCCAUCUCGGUCAUCUCCUCCCUGCUUCGGCAGUGAACAGCCCUCUCAGCUUCUAGCUCUUCAGCCGCCCUCGAGGCAGCCGCAUCACUCCUUCUGGCCUGCUCGCUAGCUCGAGCAAGUUCUGCCCGAAGGCUCUCCACAGCAGCGACACCAUCUGCAUUGAGCACAAAUGUUGUAAGAAAUGAGCUUCUGCUCCCUUACUAGGUGACCAUGGAGAACAACCUUACCUUGUGACUCGUCAAGUCGCUCUUUGACCAGUGCGAUAUCCGCACCCGCAAGAUCAAGUUGCCGCUUUAGUUCAGCAACUCCAUCAGUCCGGCUGGCCACCGGAACAUCUGCCACCUGCAUAGGAGGGGCGAAAAUCAAUACCUACGAUUUUGAUCCUCGGCACGCUGUCGUUCUCGACAACCUACCGAGUCUCAGGGGCUACUAUCUAUACAGGGGCACUUUAGCUGUAAAACUGUCAAAAGGUAUGUCAUUUUUACGUACCUCAAACCCCGCCAGCAAACUCCUGACGGCAACAUACAACCCGCCUUCGGCGGACGAAAUCCUUCCAAUCACCAUACUCAUCAAUGUACGGUGACCUUCUGAGAUAGACGCCCUCUCAAGCAGAUCCUUCAGCUCCCCCGGCCGCACACCAGUUGGUGCCGAACUCGGGGAUACCCUCCGUGAUGACACCUCAGGUUUGUCCCCCCUAUCCGACGGUGCAGCAGAUGGAGGCGUCUCGCUCUCCAUCAUCUCCGAACGAAGGUCCCCCGAUGACGAGCUCAUCUGAGAAGGACGGAGAUCCGAACUACAAGAUAAAAACUUCGGUUAUCCUCAGGAGCGAAAAUAGGGAUGUUUCUUGUUACAGAACCCCCCUUUUUCUCUACUUACGGCUCGUUGGAGGGCUGAUUCCUUAAGGGAGAUGGUGCGGCCGGGGCCUCCCCGGACGCAGGACUCUCUGGUGAAGAUCUCUUCCCCCGCUUCGAGGCCUUGGCCUCCGGGUUUUUGGAAGUAGUCCUCUUCUCCCCUUGGAAGGGCGGAUUCUCGAUCCCCCCUUUCUCAAAAGCCUCCUUGGUAGAGGCGGCAGUGUCCCUGUUCUCCCCUUCGCCUUCUUCGGAAGCCACGACCUUCAGCAUCCUGACGAGCACGGAAUCCGGCGCGGUCUCCGGGAGGGGGGCCGGACACCGUCUCAGUUUCGCUUGCGCUAUCCACUCCUAUUCAAGAGACGAUGGGUUAAAAGGCAAAUUCAAGAAGGCGCAAACAAACGGUGUGUCCGGACGCAGGGCCGCUUACUUGAGCAUCUGGGCGAUUGCAGCUUAGGCCGGAAUCCUCAAUCAAUUCCGGACACAUCUCUUGUGAUCCGAAGAACAAUUUAUACAUCUCCAUGGGUGUCGCACCCAUGAAGUGCUGGAGAGCUCGUGGCCCCUCUGGAUUGAAUUCCCACAGGCGGAGGGGGCAGCGCUUGCAGGGCAGGAGACGCCGAAUCAGCAUAACCUGCAUCACUAUGACCAGAUUGAUCUCCCUCUCUUGGAGGUCUCGAAUCCGGCCCUGCAGUAGGGGUACGUCCUUUGAUGGCCCCCAGUUGAGCCCCUGGUUGACCCAUGACAUCAGCCGCUAUGGAGGGCCCGAACGAAAGAUGGGCGGCGGCUUCUGCCUGCUGCCCCUAGGAGCGGUGAUAUAGAACCACUCGUGUUGCCACAAGCCGAGCUCCUCUUGGAAAGAGGCCUCGGGCCAUGGAGCAUCGGCCCUUCUACUUAUAACCGCCCCGCCGCACUCUGCCUGACGCCCCUCGAUCAUAUUCGGCUUCACGUUGAAGGUCUUGAGCCACAAACCGAAGUGGGGGGUAGUGCGGAGGAAGGCUUCGCAGACAACGAUGAAUGAUGAGAUGUGGAGGAUGGACUCCGGAGCUAGGUCAUGGAAUUCCAGCCCGUAGUAAAACAUGAGCCCUCUCACAAAUGGAUCUAUCGGGAAGCCUAAACCCCGAUGGAGGUGGGACAUAAACACGACGCUUUCGCCGGGCUCUGGGGCGGGAAUGACUUGCCCUUCGACGGGCAAUCUAUGUGAGAUCUCGUAAGUCAGGUACUUGGCUUCUCUCAGCUUUCGCACGUCCUCCUCCGUGACGGAGGAGGGCAUCCACCGGCCCUGAAGGUCGGAGCCGGACAUUGUUGAAGGUCCGAAGCGCUCGAAUCUGGGGCUCUGGGUGUUGGAACUCGGGGCGAGCGGUAGAUUCGAUUGAGGAUUGAAGAAAAGAAACAGGCCUUGGUUUCAUUAUAAAGGAGGAGAAUACCAAGAGCCGUCCCCGUGACUGUUUGGGACUCACCUUCGAUAGAGGAGGCGUGGCAACGAGCACGGUUGGGUUACCCAUGUCCGUAUUGAUGGGAAUCCCGGAAUAAGGGGAACACGAUCUCUGCUUCGACAAGACGUGCCAAGGAAACCGCUUCACUAAUCGCGCUGAGGCGGUAUAAUAAUAACAAUUCAAGUAAAGGCUUGGUGGUGGUGUGACGUCAUGCCACAAAAUACGUCAGCAGAUUGAACUUGUGUGUGUAUUAUUCUCUCUACGAUGGAAUGUGGAAUUUAUUUUGCAGAGCCGGACACUAUCCAGGUGUUCACAAUCUUCUAUGGAUUAUUCGGAGAAGGAACCCGCCUUGCAAUGCCGAACAAUAUGCGUGCCGGACUCAUCGUCAUUGAAGCCUGGUUCAGGGGCUACUGAGGGAGUCCUGGACUAGGGGGUGUCCGGAUAGCCGGACUAUCAUCAUCGGCCGGACUCCAAGACUAUGAAGAUACAAGAUUGAAGACUUCGUCCCGUGUCCGGAUGGGACUUCCCUUGGCGUGGAAGUCAAGCUUGGCGAUAUGGAUAUGUAGAUCUCCUACCAUUGUAACCGACUUUGUGUAACCCUAGCCCUCUCCGAUGUCUAUAUAAACCGGAGGGUUUUAGUCCGUAGGACAACAACCAUUACAACAACCAUACCAUAGGCUAGCUUCUAGGGUUUAGCCUCCUUGAUCUCGUGGUAGAUCCACUCUUGUACUACCCACAUCAUCAAUAUUAAUCAAGCAGGACAUAGGGUUUUACCUCCAUCAAGAGGGCCCGAACCUGGGUAAAACAUCGUGUCCCUUGUCUCCUGUUACCAUCCGCCUAGAUGCACAGUUCGGGACCCCCUACCCGAGAUCCGCCGGUUUUGACACCGACAAUGAGUUUGGCUGCAGAUUUAAGGAUCCCGGAGACUCGAUCAUCCUUCUAUGAUGGAGGGCCUAUGCCUUGGAAGACGGACGACAAGCCUACAUCAUCAACAACUCCUACUGCACCACCUCCGAGGACAUAAACACAUUGGUAUGGGCACUCCCCUUGGCAACUGCCAAGCUUGGGGGAGGUGCCCUGGUAUCGUAUCACCAUCACACUCUUAUCUUUACAGUUUUAUCUAGUUCGAUCCUUUUAGUAGUAUCUUGAUCUAGUAGAUUGAAGUUUUGAUAUCAAGUAGUUUGAGUUUUGCUUUGUGAUAUCUUUUUGUAAUCGAGUCCGUGAGCUAUAUAUAAUAAAGAUUAGUGUUGAGUCAAGGGCUUUGCUAUGUUGCCAUGAUCUUGAGAAAGUAGAAAGAAUAAAAGGGUUCAUACUGAUCUUAUGAAUAGUGAUGACUUCACACAUAGAAAGUAUGAGACAUAAAAAUUGUUGAGAGUUGAUGAACGUAGCCUUGGUCAUCGUUGCAAUUAAUAGGAAGUGAUAAGGAAAGUGGGUUCACAUACAAAUAUAUUAUCUUGGACACCUUUUUAUAAUUGGGAGCACUCAUUAAGUAUGACAUGCUAAAAGAGUUGACGUUGGACAAGGAAGACAACGUAAUGGUUUAUGUUUCCGACAUCUCAGUUAAAGUAUAUUGUCAUUGACCUCACAAACAUGUUGAGCUUGCCUUUCCCCCUCAUGCUAGCCAAAUUCCUUACACCAAGUAGAGAUACUACUUGUGCUUCCAAAUACCCUUAAACCCAGUUUUGCCAUGAGAGUCCACCAUACCUACCUAUGGAUUGAGUAAGAUCCUUCAAGUAAGUUGUCAUGUUGCAAGCAAUAAAAAUUGCUAUCUAAAUAUGUAUGACUUAUUAGUGCAGAGAAAAUAAGCUUUGUAUGAACUUGUUGUGGAAGUAAUAAAAGCGACGGACUGCAUAAUAAAGGUCCACAUACAAGGGGCAAUAUAAAGUGACGUUCUUUUGCAUUAAGAUUUUGUGCGUCAACCCUAAACGCACAUGACAACCUCUGCUUCCCUCUGCGAAGGGCCUAUCUUUUACUUUAUGUUUUUACUUUAUGCUUGAGUCAAGCUGAUCCUCACCUUUCCCUUUUUCAUUUUAUCCUUUGGCAAGCUCCUCAUGUUUGAAAGAUCAUGAUAUAUAUAUCCAAUUGGAUGUAAGUUAGCAUGGGCUAUUAUUGUUGACAUCACCUAAAGGUGAAUACGUUGGGAGGCAACACAUUAAGCCCCUAUCUUUCUCAGUGUCCGGCUGAAACUCUAUAACCACAAGUACUGCGUGAGUGUUAGCAAUUGUAGAAGACUACGAGAUAGUUGAGUAUGUGAGCUUGCUGAAAAGCUCUAUUGUUGACUCUUUCUGAUGUUAUGAUAAAUUGCAAUUGCUUCAGUGACUGAGAUUAUAGUUUGUUAGUUCCCAGUGAAGUUUUUGAACCAUACUUGACAUUGUGAAUUGUUUGUUACUUAAGCAUAGGAAAUCAUAUGAUAAAUUCUAUAUAUGUUGUUGUUAUAAGAAUGAUCAUGAUGCCCUCAUGUUCGUAUUUUAUUUUUAUCGACACCUCUAUCUCUAAACAUGUGGACAUAUUUUUCGAUUUCGGCUUCUGCUUGAGGACAAGCGAGGUCUAAGCUUGGGGGAGUUGAUAUGUCCAUUUUGCAUCAUGCUUUUAUAUCAAUAUUUAUCGCAUUAUGGGCUAUUAUUACACAUUAUAUCUCAAUACUUAUGGCUAUUCUCUCUUAUUUUACAAGGUUUACCAUGAAGAGGGGGAAUGCUGGCAGCUGGAAUUUUGGCUGGAAAAGGAGCAAACAUUGGAAACAUAUUCUGCACAGCUCCAAAAGUCCUGAAACUCCACGAAACAACUUUUUGGAAUUAAUAAGAAUUUCUGAGCGAAAGAAAUAUGCCAGGGGGCCCACACCCUAUCCAGGAGACAGGGGGCGCCCCCCCUAUAGGGCGCGCCCCCUAUCUCCUGGGCCCCCCUGGUGGGCCUCCGGCGUCCAUCUUCUUCUAUAUCAUUGCUUUUACCCCGGAAAAAAUCAUGGGCAAGCUUAUGGGACGAAACUCCGCCGCCACGAGGUGGAACCUUGGCAGAAUCAAUCUAGGGCUCCGGCAGAGCUGUUCUACCGGGGAAACUUCCCCCCGGGAGGGGGAAAUCAUCACCAACGUCAUCACCAACGAUCCUCUCAUCGGGAGGGGGUCAAUCUCCAUCAACAUCUUCACCAGCACCAUCUCCUCUCAAAACCCUAGUUCAUCUCUUGUAUCCAAUCUUGUAUCGAAACCACAAAUUGUUACCUGUGGGUUGCUAGUAGUGUUGAUUACUCCUUGUAGUUGAUGCUAUUUGGUUUACUUGGUGGAAGAUCAUAUGUUCAGAUCCUUUAUGCCUAUUAUUACUCCUCUGAUUAUGAACAUGAAUAUGCUUUGUGAGUAGUUACGUUUGUUCCUGAGGACAUGGGUGAAGUCUUUCUAUUAGUAGUCAUGUGAAUUUGGUAUUCGUUCGAUAUUUUGAUGAGAUGUAUGUUGUCUUUUCCUCUAGUGGUGUUAUGUGAAUGUCGACUACAUGACACUUCAAUAUUAUUUGUGCCUAGAGGAAGUCAUGGGGAAGUAAUAAGUAGAUGAUGGGUUGCUAGAGUGACAGAAGCUUAAACCCUAGUUUAUGAGUUGCUUCGUUAGGGGCUGAUAUGGAUCCAUAUGUUUAAUGUUGUGGUUAGGUUUACAUUAAUACUUCUUUUGUAGUUGUGGAUGCUUGCAAUAGGGGUUAAUCAUAAGUGGGAUGCUUGUCCAAGUUAGGGAAGUACCCAAGUACCGGUCCACCCAUAUAUCAAAUUAUUAAAGUACCAAACGCGAAUCAUAUGAACAUGAUGAAAACUAGCUUGACGAUAAUUCCCAAUGUGUCCUCGGGAGCUCCUUUAUCAUUAUUAGAAAUUGUCCAGGCUUAUCAUUUGCUACAUAAAGUAUUGGGCCACCUUGCUGCACUUUAUUUACUUCAUUUACUUGUUACUCGUUACUAUUUAUCUUAUCACAAAACUAUCUAUCACCUACAAUUUCAGUGCUUGCAGAGAAAACCUUACUGAAAACCGCUUAUCAUUUCCUUCUGCUCCUCGUUGGGUUCGACACUCUUACUUAUCAAAAGGACUAUGAUUGAUCCCCUACACUUGUGGGUCAUCAGAUCCCCAAUUCAAGAACAGGGUGACGGCUUAGUUCAGCACGACGGCGACGGCGACACUCCCCUGGGUUCAGCAUGACAGCGGCGGCGGCGGUGCUCCCCUCGGCUGUGCACGACGGCGGCGGUGGCGCUCCCCUCGGCUGCGCACGAUGGCGGCGGCGGCAGCUCUGGCAGAAGGGAUCCCUGACUUCUGGUUAGCGCACGUAUUGCUUCUCUCUCAACUCUCUCUCUCUCACACACAUCUCUGGUAGUAUUACUCUCACAUGUCGCGCGCCUUCUGUCCCCCUGUUUCUAGAUGGAGGGUCCGGUGUACCUAGGAUGGUGGAUGGAGUGGCGAAGGUGGAGGAGGAGCACUUACCGUGGGCCAAAAUUACCUCCUUUGUGUAGUUCAGAAAGCAUCAGGUAAAUCAUCUCCCCUUUUCUCAGAAAAAUUUGUAGGAUGUUAGGUUCAAUUGGAGUUGAACUCAGGAAGAUGAGCUGAACAAGGGUAAGAUGUGCAGGCACUUUGAGUCAGCAGCUAUGCGGGUAUGCAAAGGAGUGGACACUGGAAGGAGAUUUUUGUCAUGCCAAUAUGAGGUUAAUUGCUUGCUACAAUUAGGCCUCUUUACUUUACAAACAGCAUUUUGUCAUCAGUUGGUAAUGUCAGUAUGUAUGUGCCUGAACAGGAGACGUGUGGUUAUGUCAAAUGGAUUGACAAGCCAUGGGAGGGGAGGUAAAGAAUUGUCAUUGGUGAAGUUUCUAAUAACAAAGAGGUGCUAGAGAAGAAGCUAAUGCAGAAAGAUAGUUAGAUAGAAGCUGAGGAGAAGCACGGACUUGAGAAGAAGAAGAUUGGAAGGAUGCACAAAGAUCGGUUACAAUCUAGAGAUAGGACGAUUAUGUUUGUUGUGUUCAUGUACUUUGGGUUAGUCGUAAUCAUGUUUGCUGUGGUUGACAAGAAGUAAUGUUGUCAUUGUCCAGUCUAGAAGGUCAUGUAUGUUGCUGAAAAUUUGUAUUUUGCUGAAUAAUCUUUGGUGAAGUACAAAGAAUGUGCCUUUUGGUAAAGAUGUUUUUUGUCAAUAUUUUACUGCUCUAGAAUUGAGACAGACUAUGCAUGUUUAGACAUCAACAAUUGAUUGGAUGGAUAACAAAUUGAAACUUCAUUUUUCAGAUAGAUAACAACAACCAUUUGAUCAUACACUGAUCACUUUAGUAGCUGAGAGCACACAUUAGUGAAGCACACACAUUCAGUAGCUAAGAACAUGCAUGCAUAUUGACGGAAAUGCAAACCACAUACACACAAACUGUAGAUUGAUAACUAAAGUGCAUGCACGCGAACUGAAGAAAUCUGCAAACUAAUGGACGAAGCCGAUGCUUUUCUUAAAUUCAGAGAAAAGCAUGAUAGGAAUAAGAGCAAUUUUUGCCAGCAUAAAUUCAGAGAAAAGCAUGACAGGAAUAAGAGCAGUUUUUGCCGGCAUAAAUUCAGAGAAAAGCAUAUGACAGGAAUGGGUAAUUUUUGCCAGCAUAAAUUCAGAGAAAAACAUGACAGAAAUAAGAGCAGUUUUUGCCGGCAUAAAUUCAGAGAAAAGCAUGACAGGAAUAAGGGUAAUAUUUGCAAGCAUACAUUCAUAGAAAAGCAUGACAUGGAACAACAUGAGAACUGCAUUUUAUGAGCAUAGCAACCUCGAAUCAAUGCAUACAGGUCUACUUAAAUAGCAGCAUAACACAUGUUCAGAUUCUCACAUUACAUCAUAAACAAAUGGGAAAUUAGUCUUAUGACUUGUCUGAUGAACAAAAGUUCAUAUAUGAACUUGCACUUCCAUCUAGUUCAGUUCACUCAUGAACUAAUUUGGUUGGCAUUGGGAUCUACAAGGUUUGGAAAUCAUCAAUCCACUCUUCAUUUGGUGCAUUUUGGGUCACUGGCUCCUCUUCUGCUUGCACGUAGGAACUCUCUGAAUUUGGUCCAAACAUAAGGUUCCAGAACCCAACACCUGGUCCAGUAUAUGCAUCCCCAACACCUGGUCUAGUAUAUGCUUCCCCUGCUCCUCUUCCAGCUGCUUGGUUGCUUGUCUGCUGUACAGAUCCUAUACCUCUUCUGCCAGCCGCUCCCCUAGCUCCCCUACCUCCCCUGCUAGAUGCUCCACUAGCUCCAAAACCUCUUCCUCCCCUACCAGCUGCUUCUCUAGAUCCUCUGCCUUCCCUGCGAGCUGCUGCUCCACCAGCUCCAGUGGAUCUUCUCUUUCUUCCUCUUGAAAUUCUAGCUUGGUUGCUUGACUAUGGUACAUCUUCUAGAAUGUCUUCAGUGACUCCUCUUCUUCUAACACUACCUCUUGACAUAGCAGUUGUAACCCUAGGAGGGGGUAUGUCAUUUCUUGCUUGUGCGGCAAAUGAUGAUUCUGGAAGGUCCAUGAUCCAUACUUGUUUGGUACACUCUCCUCUCCUAAGUGGAGAAAAAUGCACAAGAUUCAGACAUAAAUUCAGAAACAGAGAAAAUUCAGUAACCCAAAGAAAUAUCAAGACAAGGUUACCAUUUGCUGCAUGAGGAAAACCAUGGACCCUGGGGGUUUGACUUGGAUCCAUAUGUGGAUGGACUGUGUGUGGCAUUAUGUUCUAACAAAGCAUAAACAACAUGUUAGUGUAUGUUGGCACAUGUUGUUGGAAAUAUGCCCUAGAGGCAAUAAUAAAAUGGUUAUUAUUAUAUUUCUUUGUUCAUGAUAAUUGUCUGUUAUUCAUGCUAUAAUUGUGUUAUCCAGAAAUCGUAAUACACAUGUGAAUACAUAGACCACAACAUGUCCCUAGUAAGCCUCUAGUUGACUAGCUCGUUGAUCAACAGAUAGUCAUGGUUUCCUGACUAUGGGCAUUGGAUGUCAUUGAUAACGGGAUCACAUCAUUAGGAGAAUGAUGUGAUGGACAAGACCCAAUCCUAAGCAUAGCUCAAAGAUCGUCUAGUUCGUUUAGCUAGAGCUUUUCCAAAUGUCAAGUAUCAUUUCCUUAGACAAUGAGAUUGUGCAACUCCCGGAUACCGUAGGAGUGCUUUGGGUGUGCCAAAUGUCACAACGUAACUGGGUGACUAUAAAGGUGCACUACGGGUAUCUCCGAAAGUGUCUGUUGGGUUGGCACGAAUCGAGACUGGGAUUUGUCACUCCGUAUGACGGAGAGGUAUCUCUGGGCCCACUCGGUAAUGCAUCAUCAUAAUGAGCUCAAUGUGACCAAGUGUCUGGUCACGGGAUCAUGCAUUACGGUACGAGAUAAGUGACUUGCCGGUAACAAGAUUAAACGAGGUAUUGGGAUACCGACGAUCGAGUCUCGGGCAAGUAACGUACCGAUUGACAAAGGGAAUUGUAUACGGGGUUGAUUGAAUCCUCGACAUCGUGGUUCAUCCAAUGAGAUCAUCGAGGAGUAUGUGGGAGCCAACAUGGGUAUCCAGAUCCCGCUGUUGGUUAUUGACCGGAGAGGUGUCUCGGUCAUGUCUGCAUGUCUCCCAAACCCAUAGGGUCUACACACUUAAGGUUCGGUGAUGCUAGGGUUGUAGAGAUAUAAGUAUGCAGUAACCCGAAAGUUGUUCGGCGUCCCGGAUGAGAUCUCGGACAUCACGAGGAGUUCCGCAAUGGUCCGGAGGUGAAGAAUUAUAUAUAGGAAGUGCAGUUUCGGCCAUCGAGAAAGUUUUGGGGGUCACCAGUAUUGUACCGGGACCACCGGAAGGGCCCCGGGGGUCCACUGGGUGGGGCCACCUAUCCCGGAGGGCCCCAUGGGCUGAAGUGGGGAGGGGAACCAACCCCUGGUGGGCUGGUGCGCCCCCCCUUGGGCCCCCCUGCACCUAGGGUUUGAAACCCUAGGGUGGGGGGGCGCCUCCGCUUGCCUUGGGGGGCAAGCCACCCCCUUGGCCGUCGCCCCCCCCUUGGAGAUGGCAUCUCCUAGGGCCGGCGCCCCCCUAGGGGGCCUAUAUAAAGAGGGGGGAGGGAGGACAGCCGCACCCAUGCUCUUGGCGCCUCCCUUCCCCCUUGCUACACCUCUCCCUCUCGUAGAAGCUCGGUGAAGCUCUGCCGAGAUCACUGCUGCAUCCACCAGCACGCCAUCGUGCUGCUGGAUCUCCGUCAACCUCUCCUUCCCGCUUGCUAGAUCAAGAAGGAGGAGACGUCUUACUCAACCGUACGUGUGUUGAACGCGGAGGUGCUGUCCGUUCAGCACUAGGAUGAUCGGUGAUUUGGAUCACGACGAGUACGACUCCCUCAACCCCGUUCUCUUGAACGCUUCCGCUCGUGAUCUACAAGGGUAUGUAGAUGCAUUCCUUUCUAUCGUUGCUAGAUGAACUCAUAGAUUAAUCUUGGUGAAAGCGUAGGAAUUUUUUUAUUUUCUGCAACGUUCCCCAACAGUGGCAUCAUGAGCUAGGUCUAUGUGUAGUUCUCUUUGCACGAGUAGAACACAAAUUUGUUGUGGGCGUAGAUGUUGUCAACUUUCUUGCCACUACUAGUCUUAUUUUGCUUCAACGGUAUUGUGGGAUGAAGCGGCCCGGACCGACCUUACACGUACGCUUACAUGAGACAGGUUCCAUCGACUGACAUGCACUAGUUGCAUAAGGUGGCUAGCGGGUGUCUGUCUCUCCCACUUUAGUUGGAGCGGAUUCGAUGAAAAGGGUCCUUGUGAAGGGUAACUAGAAGUUGGAAAAUCACGUUAUGGCUUUUACGUAGGUAAGAAAACGUUCUUGCUAGAACCCUAUUGCAGCCACGUAAAACAUGCAACAACAAUUAGAGGACGUCUAACUUGUUUUUGCAGCAUAUGAUUUGUGAUGUGAUAUGGCCAAAAGUUGUGAUGAAUGAUGAAUGAUAUAUAUGUGAUGUAUGAGAUCAUGUUCUUGUAAUAGGAAUCACAACUUGCAUGUCGAUGAGUAUGACAACCGGCAGGAGCCAUAGGAGUUGUCUUUAUUUUUUGUAUGACCUGUGUGUCAUUGAGAAACGCCAUGUAAAUUACUUUACUUUAUUGCUAAAUGCGUUAGCCAUAGUAGUAGAAGUAAUAGUUGGCGAGCAACUUCAUGGAGACACGAUGAUGGAGAUCACGAUGAUGGAGAUCAUGGUGUCAUGCCGGUGACGAAGAUGAUCAUGGAGCCCCGAAGAUGGAGAUCAAAGGAGCUAUAUGAUAUUGGCCAUAUCAUGUCACUAUUUGAUUGCAUGUGUUGUUUAUCAUGUUUUUCAUCUUAUUUGCUUAGAACGACGGUAGCUUAAAUAAGAUGAUCCCUCGAAAUAAUUUCAAGAAAAGUGUUCCCCCUAACUGUGCACCGUUGCAAAGGUUCGUUGUUUCGAAGCACCAUGUGAUGAUCGGGUGUGAUAGAUCCUAACAUUUGAAUACAAUGGGUGUAAGCCAGAUUUACACACGCAAUACACUUAGGUUGACUUGACGAGCCUAGCAUGUACAGACAUGGCCUCGGAACACGGAGGACUGAAAGGUCGAGCAUGAGUCGUAUAGAAGAUACGAUCAACAUGGAGAUGUUCACCGAUGAUGACUAGUCCGUCUCACGUGAUGAUCGGACACGGGCUAGUCGAGUCGGAUCAUGUAUCACUUAGAUGACUAGAGGGAUGUCUAAUCUGAGUGGGAGUUCAUUAAAUAAUUUGAUUAGAUGAACUUAAUUAUCAUGAACUUAGUCUAAAAUCUUUACAAUAUGUGUUGUAGAUCAAAUGGCCCACGUUACCCUCAACUUCAACGCGUUCCUAGAGAAAACAAAGCUGAAAGAUGAUGGCAGCAACUAUACGGACUAGGUCCGGAACCUGAGGAUCAUCCUCAUAGCUGCGAAGAAAGAUUAUGUCCUAGAAGCGCCGCUAGGUGAAGCACCAAUCCCAGAGAACCAAGACGUUAUGAACGCUUGGCAGUCUCGUGCUGAUGAUUACUCCCUCGUUCAGUGCGGCAUGCUUUACAGCUUAGAACCGGGGCUCCAAAAGCAUUUUGAGCAACACUGAGCAUAUGAGAUGUUCGAAGAGCUGAAAAUGGUUUUCCAAGCUCAUGCCCGGGUCGAGAGAUAUGAAGUCUCCAAUAAGUUCUUCAGCUGUAAGAUGGAGGAAAAUAGUUCUGUCAGUGAGCACAUACUCAAGAUGUCUGGGUUGCACAACCGCUUAACUCAGCUGGGAGUUAAUCUCCCGGAUGACGCGGUCAUUGACAGAAUCCUUUAGUCGCUUCCACCGAGCUACAAGAGCUUUGUGAUGAACUUCAAUAUGCAGGGGAUGGAAAAGACCAUUCCUGAGGUAUAUUCAAUGCUGAAAUCAGCGGAGGUGGAGAUCAAAAAGGAACAUCAAGUGUUGAUGGUGAAUAAAACCACUAAGUUCAAGAAAGGCAAGGGUAAGAAGAACUUCAAGAAUGACGGCAAGGAAGUUGCUGCGCCCGGUAAGCCAGUUGCCGGGAAGAAGUCAAGCAAUGGACCCAAGCCUGAGACUGAGUGCUUUUAUUGCAAGGGAAGUGGUCACUGGAAGCGGAACUGCCCCAAGUACUUAGCGGACAAGAAGGCCGGCAAAACCAAAGAUAUAUGUGAUAUACAUGUAAUUAAUGUGUACCUUACCAGUACUCGUAGUAGCUCUUGGGUAUUUGAUACUGGUGUCGUUGCUCAUAUUUGUAACUCAAAACAGGAGCUACAGAAUAAGCGGAGACUGGCGAAGGACGAGGUGACGAUGCGCGUCAGGAAUGGUUCCAAGGUCGAUGUGAUCGCCGUCGGCAUGCUACCUCUACAUUUACCUAUGGGAUUAGUUUUAAACCUCAAUAAUUGCUAUUUAGUACCAGCUUUGAGCAUGAACAUUGUAUCAGGAUCUCGUUUAGUCCGAGAUGGCUACUCAUUUAAAUCCGAGAAUAAUGGUUGUUCUAUUUAUAUGAGAGAUAUGUUUUAUGGUCAUGCCCCGCUGGUGAAUGGUCUAUUCUUAAUGAAUCUCGAGCGUAAUGUUACACAUAUUCAUAGUGUGAAUACCAAAAGAUGUAAAGUUGAUAACGAUAGUCCCACAUACUUGUGGCACUGCCUCCUUGGUCACAUUGGUGUCAAGCGCAUGAAGAAGUUCCAUGAUGAUGCACUUUUAGAGUCUCUCGAUUAUGAAUCAUUUGACACAUGCGAACCAUGCCUCAUGGGCAAAAUGACCAAGACUCCGUUCUCCGGAACAAUGGAGCGAGCAACCAACUUAUUGGAAAUCAUACAUACCGAUGUGUGCGGUCCAAUGAGCGUUGAGGCUCGCGGAGGAUAUCGUUAUGUUCUCACUCUCACUGAGGACUUGAGUAGAUAUGGGUAUGUCUACUUGAUGAAACACAAGUCUGAGACCUUUGAAAAGUUCAAGGAAUUUCAGAAUGAGGUAGAGAAUCAACAUGACCGAAAGAUAAAGUUCUUACGAUCAGAUCAUGGGGGAGAAUAUUUAAGUCACGAAUUUGGUACGCACUUAAGGAAAUGUGGAAUCAUUUCACAACUCACGCCGCCUGGAACACCUCAGCGUAACGGUGUAUCCGAACGUCGUAAUUGCACUUUAUUGGAUAUGGUGAGAUCUAUGAUGUCUCUUACCGAUUUACCGCUAUCAUUUUGGGGAUACGCUCUAGAGACAGCUACAUCACUUUAAAUAGGGCACCGUCUAAAUCCGUUGAGACGACACCGUAUGAAUUAUGGUUUGGGAAGAAACCUAAGCUGUCGUUUCUAAAAGUUUGGGGAUGCGAUGCUUAUGUCAAGAAACUUCAACCUGAGAAGCUCGAACCCAAGUCGGAAAAAUGCGUCUUCAUAGGAUACCCUAAGGAAACCAUUGGGUAUACCUUCUACUUAAGAUCGGAGGGCAAGAUCUUUGUUGCCAAGAACGGGUCCUUUCUAGAGAAAGAGUUUCUCUCGAAAGAAUUAAGGGGGAGGAAAGUAGAGCUUGAUGAAGUACUACCUCUUGAAACGGUAAGUAGCGCAACUCAGGAAGAUGUUCUUGUGGUGCCUGCACCGAUAAGAGAGGAGGUUAAUGAUGAUGAUCAAGAUACUUCGGAUCAAGCUCCUACUAAAAUGCAAAGGUCCACAAGGACACGUUCCGCACAAGAGUGGUACGGCAACCCUGUCUUGGAAAUCAUGUUGUUAGACAAUGGUGAACCUUCGAACUAUGAAGGAGCAAUGGCGGGCCCAGAUUCCAACAAAUGGCUUGAAGCCAUGCAAUCCGAGAUAGGAUCCAUGUAUGAAAACAAAGUAUGGACUUUGACAGAAUUGCCCGAUGAUCGGCGAGCAAUAAAAACAAAUGGAUCUUUAAGAAGAAGACGGACGCGGAUGGUAAUGUUACCAUAUAUAAAGCUCGACUUGUCGCUAAGGGUUAUCGACAAGUUCAUGGGAUUGACUACGAUGAGACAUUCUCUCCCGUAGCGAAGCUGAAGUCCGUCCGAAUCAUGUUAGCAAUUGCCGCAUAAUAUGAUUAUGAGAUAUGGCAAAUGGACGUCAAAACGGCAUUCCUUAACGGCCAUCUUAAGGAAGAACUGUAUAUGAUGCAGCCGGAAGGUUUUGUCGACCCUGAGAAUGCUAACAAGGUAUGCAAGCUCCAGCGAUCCAUUUAUGGGCUGGUGCAAGCAUCUCGGAGUUGGAACAUUCACUUUGAUGAGAUGAUCAAAGCAUUUGGGUUUAUGCAGACUUAUGGAGAAGCCUGCGUUUACAAGAAAGUGAGUGGGAGCUCUGUAGCAUUUCUCAUAUUAUAUGUAGAUGACAUACUUUUGAUGGGAAAUGAUAUAGAACUUUUGGACAUCAUUAAGGCCUACUUGAAUAAGUGUUUUUCAAUGAAGGACCUUGGAGAAGCUGCUUACAUAUUAGGCAUCAAGAUCUAUAGGGAUAGAUCAAGACGCCUCAUAGGUCUUUCACAAAGCACAUACCUUGAUAAGAUAUUGAAGAAGUUCAAUAUGGAUCAGUCCAAGAAAGGAUUCUUACCUGUAUUGCAAGGUGUGAGAUUGAGCUCGACUCAAUGCCCGACCAUGGCAGAAGAUAAAGAAGAGAUGAGUGUCAUCCCCUAUGCCUCAGCCAUAGGGUCUAUCAUGUAUGCCAUGCUGUGUACCAGACCUGAUCUAAUCCUUGCCGUAAGUUUGGUAGGAAGGUACCAAAGUAAUCCCGGCAAGGAACACUAGACAGCGGUCAAGAACAUCCUGAAGUACCUGAAAAGGACUAAGGAUAUGUUUCUCAUUUAUGGAGGUGACUAAGAGCCCAUCGUAAAGCGUUACGUCGACGCUAGCUUCGACACAGAUCUGGAUGACUCUAAGUCACAGACCGGAUACGUGUUUAUUUUGAAUGGUGGGGCAGUAAGCUGGUGCAGUUGCAAGCAAAGUGUCGUGGCGGGAUCUACAUGUGAAGCAGAGUACAUGGCAGCCUCAGAGGCAGCGCAUGAAGCAAUCUGGGUGAAGGAGUUCAUCACCGACCUAGGAGUCAUACCCAAUGCAUUGGGGCUGAUCGCACUCUUCCGAGACAACACUGGAGCCAUUGCACUUGCCAAGGAGCCCAGGUUUCACAAGAAGACCAGGCACAUCAAGCGUCGCUUCAACUCCAUACGUGAAAAUGUUCAAGAUGGAGACAUAGAUAUUUGUAAAGUACAUACGGAUCUGAAUGUACCCUAGACCCUGGGGGUUUGACUUGGAUCCAUAUGUGGAUGGACUGUGUGUGGCAUUAUGUUCUAACAAAGCAUAAACAACAUGUUAGUGUAUGUUGGCACAUGUUGUUGGAAUUAUGCCCUAGAGGCAAUAAUAAAAUGGUUAUUAUUAUAUUUCUUUGUUCAUGAUAAUUGUCUGUUAUUCAUGCUAUAACUGUGUUAUCCGGAAAUUGUAAUACAUGUGUGAAUACAUAGACCACAACAUGUCCCUAGUAAGCCUCUAGUUGACUAGCUCGUUGCUCAACAGAUAGUCAUGGUUUCCUAACUAUGGGCAUUGGAUGUCAUUGAUAACGGGAUCACAUCAUUAGGAGAAUGAUGUGAUGGACAAGACCCAAUCCUAAGCAUAGCUCAAAGAUCGUGUAGUUCGUUUAGCUAGAGAUUUUCCAAAUGUCAAGUAUCAUUUCCUUAGACCAUGAGUUGUGCAACUCCCGGAUACCGUAGGAGUGCUUUGGGUGUGCCAAACGUCACAACGUAACUGGGUGACUAUAAAGGUGCACUACGGGUAUCUCCGAAAGUGUCUGUUGGGUUGGCACGAAUCAAGACUGGGAUUUGUCACUCCGUAUAACGGAGAGGUAUCUCUGGGCCCACUCGGUAAUGCAUCAUCAUAAUGAGCUCAAUGUGACCAAGUGUCUGGUCACGGGAUCAUGCAUUACUGUACGAGUAAAGUGACUUGCCGGUAACGAGAUUAAACGAGGUAUUGGGAUGCCGACGAUCGAGUCUCGGGCAAGUAACGUACCGAUUGACAAAGGGAAUUGUAUACGGGGUUGAUUGAAUCCUCGACAUCGUGGUUCAUCCGAUGAGAUCAGUAUGUGGGAGCCAACAUGGGUAUCCAGAUCCCGCUGUUGGUUAUUGACCGGACAGGCGUCUCGGUCAUGUCUGCAUGUCUCCCGAACCCGUAGGGUGUACACAUUUAAGGUUCGGUGACACUAGGGUUGUAGAGAUAUAAGUAUGCAGUAACCCGAAAGUUGUUCGGAGUCCCGGAUGAGAUCUCGGACGUCACGAGGAGUUCCUGAAUGGUCCGAAGGUGAAGAAUUAUAUAUAGGAAGUGUAGUUUUGACCAUCGGGAAAGUUUCGGGGGUCACCCGUAUUGUACCGGGACCACCGGAAGGGUCCCGGGGGUCCACCGAGUGGGGCCACCUAUCCCGGAGGGCCCCGUGGGCUGAAGUGGGGAGGGGAACCAGCCCGUGGUGGGCUGGUGCGCCCUCCCUUGGGCCCCCUGCGCCUAGGGUUGGAAACCCUAGGGUGGGGGGCGCCUCCACUUGCCUUGGGGGGCAAGCCACCCCCUUGGCCGCCCCCCCCCCCCUUGGAGAUGGCAUCUCCUAGGGCCGGCGCCCCCCCUAGGGGCCUAUAUAAAGAGAGGGGGAGGGAGGGCAGCCGCACCCAUGCUCUUGGCGCCUCCCUUCCCCCUUGCUACACCUCUCCCUCUCGUAGAAGCUCGACGAAGCUCUGCCGAGAUCACUGCUGCAUCCACCACCACGCCGUCGUGCUGCUGGAUCUCCGUCAACCUCUCCUUCCCCUUUUCUGGAUCAAGAAGGAGGAGACGUCUUCCUCAACCGUACGUGUGUUGAACGCGGAGGUGCUGUCCAUUCAGCACUAGGAUCAUCGGUGAUUUGGAUCACGACGAGUACGACUCCCUCAACCCCGUUCUCUUGAACGCUUCCGCUCGCGAUCUACAAGGGUAUGUAGAUGCACUCCUUUCUCUUGUUGCUAGAUGAACUCAUAGAUUGAUCUUGGUGAAAGCGUAGGAAAAAUUUUAUUUUCUGCAAUGUUCCCCAACACAUGUAAAAUAUAUCAGUACAUUGUGUGAUUAUGUUUCAUCUUACAGAAAUGAUUAUAGGAUCAUCAUACUCUUCUUCUUCAUCAUCUGCAACAUUUGUAGGUUGAGGAGCAUCUCUUGUGGUCUCCUCCCACUUCUUGUGGCCUUCCUUGUUGUGAUCUGCACUUCCACAAAGAGAGCAGUGCAUGGUUACACCAUGCUUAGUAAACUUUUCCCCUCCUUUCAUCAACUUCUCCUCUAGAUCUUUCUUUCUAUUCCUCCUUGGUCUCCCCAUUACCUUAAUGUACACUGGUGGACAUACAGCAAUGCCAUGCAUCUUAGUCCAAUGUUCCUGGUCCCUCAUGGGCGAGGAUUUAGCCUCGCACAGAAACGGGAUCGAGGGGCUCGCGUUAUGUGCGACGGCCGGGGCUUUUUUGCGAGAAGUAAACAAAUUCCCGGGGGGUUUCGUGAAAAUCUGGGCCACACGCCCUCGGCCGCAUAGUCCAGCCACUGAUAGUGGGUCCGGCGCCGCGCUGGCGGGCCUCAUCAGCACCCAUCUCGUAUCCAAACGUGAAUUUCACCGUAUCUGCACUACGAAGCCAAGUUUUGUCACCACAUAUCUAUAUGCCACAAGUUUCAACACCAAACUGAUUUUUCUUGCCAACUUCACACACCUGUGGUGUAAUUAACUCAAAAUAAUAAUGUGCAGACGAGAAGAGUUUUGGGGGCUACGACUGGCGGAAAAGCUUGAUAUCCUCUCUACUACAAUUGAGAGCGAUUCUAUGGAGAUUGUCCAAGAUAUUCAGAAUUUGUCUGAGUAUCGGGCGUCGAGAGCAGUGAUCACUUAUGAUUGUCGGAUGUUGAUGAAUUCUUUCCGCAAGGCGACUAUAAAUUAUUGUGUGCGAGAAGCUAAUGGGUGUGCCCCUGAUCUUGCACAGUUCACUUUUGAGAGACAUGAAAUCAGGGGUGUGGUAUGAUAAACCCCCGGAUUUCCUGACCUCUUCUAUUGUAAAGAAUAUAUUUUUUCUCGAAUACGCACAAGCAUGCGUAUCAUUCAUUAUAGAAGAGGGGGAAAGACUCCCCAAAAUGAUCAAUUGUAUAGAUAUUUAUAGUUAAGGCUUUGCCCAACUCCACCUGACUCACGCAGCUAACUACUCAGGAGCCACCCACGGUAAGCCCUCCGCCUCUCUGAUCAGGCCAGCCUUCACCCACCAGCCUCCCUCCUCUUUGAUUUGGUUGAUGCAGGUCGCCACAGACGGCGCUGCUCCAUUAAAUACGGCAUCGUUGCGGUGUUUCCAUAUCAUCCACAUGCCGAGCAAGCAUUUGGCACGCGUGGAUCUCUGGUGCUGUCGAUCUUGCUCCCGCCUGAUGCACCACUUCUCCAACGAUUCGUCUACCCUGGGGGCGAAGCCUUGUCUACCAGUACCCUCCACGAACCAAUGCCAUAUCUGCCGAGCGAAUACACAGUUGAUUAGUAGAUGUUCUAUGGUCUCCUCCUCUUGAUCGCAAAGUGGGCAUGCAUCUUGGUGUGGGAGCCCUCGUCGUGCAAGUCUAUCUGAUGUCCACCAACGAUUCUUGAAGGCAAGCCAAGCGUAGAAUCGGCUCUUGAGGGGGCUCACGAUUGCCAAGUGAAGGGCGCCGUCGGCGAGGCCUCCAGUCCCAUGAACCUUGCAGCAUAAGCGGAGCGUGCCGAGUACUGUCCAUGCUUCUCCCAAGCCCAGUGCACCGUGUCCUCAGAGUCCUCCGGGAGUUGGAAGGUAGAUAUCUUCUACCAUAGUCCUAGGAAUUCCUCGAUAUCUCCAGCUGUGAGGUCCGGUCCGACGUUCCUGGCCCAUGUAUAGUUAGUUAUCACUGCCAGAACAGUCUGUGUCUUUCGCAUAUGCCUCGAGAUCUUCUCAUAUACUGCCGGAGCUAGCUCACAUAUCCUCUGCCCAUUGAUCCAUCGUUCCUCCUAGAAUAAAGCGGUCCUUCUGUUUCCCACCAUGACAUGGGUUGCUGCGCGGAAAUAGGGCCAGGGACUCCUUCGAAAGCAGACGGCGGAACAACUUCAAAAGAUUGUGGACCAACUUGCAGGAUGUCUACCAAACUGGAAGGCGGCCAUCACUAGUAGAAAAAGGGUCAAAUGUGAGACACAUUAGUCCCGGUUUGUAACAGAACCGGCACUAAUGUGUCCAUUAGUGCCGGUUCCAAUGGCUAGGUGGGAGGAGCUCUUUAGUACCGGUUCGUGGCAAACCUUUAGCACCGGUUCGUGCCACAAACUGGUACUAAAGAAAGUGGUGGCAGGAUGUUGUCAGACUGGGGCCCUUCCAGCACCUUUAGUACCGGCUCGUGGCACGAACCGGUACUAAAGGUCAUCCUAUAUAAACCCUUCGUCCACCCGCACUCUGUUCUUCCCCCUUUCCCCUCUCCCUCUCCUCUGUUCUUCCCUUCUUCCUCUCGAGUUCAUCACAAAAUUUGCCCCAAAUUUGUCAAGAUUUGCAGCCCCCCAUCCAUUCAAAUGAUCACCAGGUUAGCAACUUUGUCCUUUCAUCUCUCAUUGCUAGAUUAGCUCUUGCAUUGGUUUAUAUAGUGAUUAAUUGUGGGUUUUAGUAAUUUGGGAGGAAUUAUAUGUGGUAGUAUUUGAUUUAUAUGCAAUUUGAGGUCAAAAUAACACUUAGUUUGCAUAUGUAGGUGUGGUUUACUUAGUGCCUUCUAAAUCUCCAUCGUAACCACCGUCGAUUGCCCGCACCGUCCUGUCGCCGGCACCAACUUGUGGUGAGCCUCUUGUUCAUGAAAUUUUAUAUAAAAAAUUGAUGUUUGUGUGAUUUGGAUAUAUAGUUACUCGUAUAAUUAUCUUACCCGUACGUUGUUUGUUAUACAUAGUGCCAUGGUUUUGCUAUCCGUCCCCGUCGGCCCUCGUCCUUGUUAUGAUUCGGAUGUGGUAUAUUCUCUUCUAAAACUAUUUGUUGCAUUUCGUGUUUAUGACAAAUUAUGCCCAUCAAGUUGACAUAGAUAUUUUUAUCUAGGAGGUAUGUGAACCGGAAAUUCCAACCGACCCUAUUGUCGAGAGGUUAAAUUUAGUUGAAAGAGAAAACGAGUACUUGAAAGAAAAAUUGAAAAGAAUUGAGGGGAGAAGAUGGAAUUGGAGUUGCAUGUUGCCGAUGUCGUCGAUGAUCACAAGAUCAAGAUGGAGAAAAUGCGCUUGAAGAUUAGAAAGAUUAGAAAAUAUGCCAUCGAUAGUGAGGCUUGGUAUCAUUAUGCUGUUGGAUCAAUUGUUACCUUACUUGCGAUCUUGAUCGCAUUUGUUGUUGCAUUUAAAUGCUUUAGCUAGAGAGUUAUUUGUUUGUUGCAUUUAAGUGUUGUAUGAACUUUAUGUAUGGACUUGUAUUAAUUUGGUAUAUUCGGUGUUGUGUAAUGAAGAUGAGCCGGUAAUGGAUGUACGAUGACCGAUGCUCUCCCCAGUUCGUUGAGGGCGUGCAUACUUUUCUGCUUGCGGCUGAGGCAAACAAGCGGGCGGAUGGUUUUAUGCCUUGUCCAUGUGCUGGCUGUAAGAAUGGUCGCAAUUACUCUAUGUCAAGAACCAUUCACGUCCACCUGUUUGAGUCCGUUUUCAUGCCCCACUAUAAUGUUUGGACCAAGCACGGAGAAAGAGGGGUUAUGAUGGAAGACAAUUGAAAGGGCAUGUAGGCCCUAAGUGUGGUUUUGGUAAUUAAAUGACAAUCUCUAUGGACUAAUGUUUUCAGUGAGAUAUAUUUGAAGGUUCUGUCCAUAGAUAGUGCCUCCAGGAUAUUGGACGAAAUCAAGGAUGAAGUCCAUAUAUAUGAAGAUAGUGCCUCAAGGAUAUUGGACGGAAUCAAGGAUGAAGUCCAUAUAUAUAUAUGAAGAUAUAUUUGCCCUAUGCUUUGGUACUAAAUGACAAUUCCUAUGGAGCAUCAAGUGCAUUGAAUCUUAUAUGAAGAUAUGUUCCAUAGUGAUGCUUGAAGUGCAUUGGGCUGUUUUGUGAAGUCUGCCAUCAAAGCAUCCGAAGAAGUCCUCGUGGUAUCCUUCUCUGGAUACCCCGUGCACACGGGCUUGUACCGUGCGCACGGGGUCGAGUGUCAACUCUCUGGAUACCCCAUGCUUACUUGUCCUAGGUGUUGGCUCUCGAGAUCCCAUAUCCAGUGAGGUUUCAAGUUGGUCUUGGGUACUUCUAUUGAAGCCAUCAAGAUUGGUUUCAAUGCCUAAUCUAAUUAUGUUCAUGAUGGAGUGCAUUGGAGGAUCACAAAGAUUGAUAUAUUUGGGCUUCUGAGGAUCAAGGCUUGAAGCAAGCAACUAGAGUGACGAAUUCAUUAUGCCUCUCAAGAGAUUGUGAUGGAGUUUUUAGAAAGGCAAGUGGUGACCAAGAUGAUAUUCAUAGUGGAACUUGAUAUGGUCAUGGAAGAGUCUUUGGUGAUAUAGUCUUGAAGCAAUGAAGGGAAAUGAAGAGUUCAUUGUGGCUUUCAAUAAACCAAGAUGGAGCUUCGAGUAAAGAUGUUGGUUGACCAAGAUGAAGCUCGAAGAUUAUAUCUAAGUGGUCAACUCUCAAAGCACAAACAUUGUACCACGUGAGAUCAUGUGAUCUAGUGGUAUGGUAAGUAUUGUGAAUUGUUCUUUGUUACCUAACCCAUGCUAUGUGUUUGGUAUGUCUAUGUGGGUUAGGUGUUUCUCAUGGGCUUGCAUCAAAAGGAAAGAUCUCAAGUAGCCUAUGUGUGGAUGACAUCAAGUGGUGAUGGUCAUCGGGUUCGAGGAGUCCAAGUGCAAGAUGAGAAGCCGGAGGUUAUAUGCUUUGAAGCUUGCAGGCCACAUCAUGAUAAUGCUCAUGUGAAUAUGGGCUUAAGUUAAGGCUUCCCUCAUUGCAAUAUGAGGAAUCCAUUCAAGCAUCUUCACCAAGUGGUUGUGGACAAGAAAGGGAUUCCAACUUGAGACAAGAAUUGGAGUCAUCACCAAGAUCAAGUUGAAUAUGCAAGGCAAAUGUAUACCUUAGCUAGGUUUUCCUAGUUUUGCCGGUCUAAUGGUGCUUGGAGGGAGACCGGAUUAUAGGUUUGAUAGCCGUACUAUCAAGAGGGACUCUCGGGCAAGUAGCUUGAUCAUGUCGCAUGUAGAGAGCUCAAACCUUUGCAUUACUUGCUUCAUUACUUAUUGUUGAUCUUCGUUGGUUCUCUAUGUGAGGACCUUGGGCUUUUCCAUAGCUUCAAAACGAGCCCAAGAUCAUUGAUUUCGGAGUCCGUAUGCCAAAGUUAUCACUGUUUUAGUGGGCUGCUGCAGGCUGUUCUGGGUACCCCGUGGACACGGGGUUUUUGACCCCCGUGGGCAUGGGGCCCCGUGCACAUGGGCAUGUACCAUGCGCACGGGACCCCGUGGGCACGGGGUGUCCAGGAAGUGUCCGUUGGAGCCCCAACGGCUAGUUUUGGAAGUUGGCUAUAAAAGAGCCCUUCCUCCCCACCGGUUUGGGGGCUAUUCAUUCACAUUCUAAACAUCAUUUUGAGCCUCUUACCACCUCUCCCAAACCCCUAUCUCCCUUCUAAGUGAAGGGUGAUUUGUGGAUGGAUCUUGGAGUCAUUUGUUGAUUUCCUCCAUUGCAUCCCCUCUCUUCAAUCUCCCACUUUCUUGAGUUGCAUCUUGUGAGAUUGAGAGAGUGAGUUGAGCAUUUGUUUCUUGACCUUGCAUUGCAUUUGUUGCAUUGGUUUGAGCUCCCCGCAUCGAUUUGUCCGAGUGAGAGCCUGUGAAUUUGUUAGUCUUGGAGGCUUCGCCUCCUAGACGGUUUGGUGAUACAUUGAGAAGAUUGUGAAGAGGCCUAUGUGGCCAAGGUUCGCCCGGAAGCUUCCUUUUGUGGUGUGCUCCGGGGAAGGGUGUUGAAGUGGCCUAGGUGGUCAAGUUCCUCCGGAAGCUUCCAUGGUUGUGGUGUGCUCCGGAGAGGUUUGUAAAGGUGUGGUUGUCGCCUUCAAGACCAACCCCUAGUGAAUCGAGGCUCAUCCGUUGGGGGUGACUCGAAAGAGAGAAUACGGUGAGUCACUUGGUGACACCCCGGAGCUUUGGCUACGGCACCGCUCUAAUGGAGAUUAGCACUCUCACGAGUGUGAACUUCGGGAUAAAUCCGCGUCCCCGACUCACUUGUGGUUUUCUCAUACCCACACCCUUUACUUUCCGCAAUUCAUACUUCCCCAUAUUGAUAUAUCUUGUGAUAGUUGAAUUGCUUAGUUGUUCCUUCAUUUCCAUAUCUUGUGAUAUAGUUUGUGCUUGCUAGUUUGCUUAAUUGCCUAUCUUGUUUAGCAUAGGUUGUUGGUGCACUUAGUUGAGCCUAGCAUAUUUAGGAUUUGUGCUUGAAAACUAUCCGUUAGUUUAAUUCCGCAUNNNNNNNNNNNNNNNNNNNNNNNNNNNNNNNNNNNNNNNNNNNNNNNNNNNNNNNNNNNNNNNNNNNNNNNNNNNNNNNNNNNNNNNNNNNNNNNNNNNNNNNNNNNNNNNNNNNNNNNNNNNNNNNNNNNNNNNNNNNNNNNNNNNNNNNNNNNNNNNNNNNNNNNNNNNNNNNNNNNNNNNNNNNNNNNNNNNNNNNNNNNNNNNNNNNNNNNNNNNNNNNNNNNNNNNNNNNNNNNNNNNNNNNNNNNNNNNNNNNNNNNNNNNNUCUAGAUCAUUUCAAUUGGUAUCAGAGCUUUGGUCUCUCCUUGGUAGGCUUCACCGCCUAGAGAGUAAAGAUGUCGACUAGUGGUAUAGUGCACGAUGACACCUUUUGUUUUAGUGGCACAAACUAUCACUUGUGGAAAAUUCGCAUGCUUUGUCAUUUUCGGACCAUGGGUCCAUGUUUUGUGCGAAUUGUUCUUGUAGGGGCUUCUCCGUGGAAGGACGACCUUUUUCCAACUAGUGAGGAAAAUGAUGAUAUGCUUUGUGGAUAUAGUGCUAAGAAUGCCAUAAUCCGGUUUAUAUCCCUCGAAGUAUUUGAGUCUAUCAUGACUUGUGUGACGGCUCAUGAUAUGUGGACCAAACUUGAAGAAAUAUAUGGUGGGUCCAAUCUUGUUGAUGUUCAUCAUCUUCCGGAGGAGCUAAUCGAGGAGGUCUCAACAUCUUCAAAUCAUGAAGAUCUCCAUAUUGCUUCUUCCUCCGUGUACUUGGACAUUUCAACUUCUUCCGCCUCACCAUCAUGUGGCAUGUCCCAAGGUAAUGACAUGGUGAGUGAAAAUAUCAUUUGUGAUGAUUGUGAUGAUGUGCUCAAAAUUGAUGAUCUUACAUGUAUACAUGGUAGUGUUGUAGAUUCUAUGGAGUUGAGCAUAUCUAGCAAAAAUGACUUACAUUCUUGUGCUGAUAGUCCAUGCAUAUCAUUUGGAGAUUCCUUGAAUACCUUUUGUGAUGAUAUGCUUGAUACUCCUUGUUUCCAUGAUCUAUGUGCUUCUAUUUCCUCUAGUUGUUGUUUGACUAACCAUGUAGAGGAAACAAGAGAAAAUAGUGCACACAUCAUUAAUGAGGAAAUUGCUAGAGGAGCAAAGAAGGACAUCACCUUGUUGGAGAGGAAAAGCUAUGAGUGUCAAGAGCAUGGACAUGGAUAUCCUACUCUUGAUGAUAAAGAAACUCCCUCUCCAAAAGAAUCAUCAUCAACCUCCGAUGUUCACAUGUGCCUCAUGGCAAGAGGUAAUACUGAGGUAUCAUCUACUCUUUGUAAUGAUAUUGAUGAGAGUAAUGAUGAAUGUGAUAGGGAUAUGAGUCAAGAAAUAUAUGAAAUUGGUAAUUCUCUUCGUGGGGUAAAUAAGAACACUUAUGAGAUGUUUAAAGAUCUUAUCACUCAUUUUGGAAAGUGUAAUGAUUUACUUCACGAAGAGCAAGAACAAAAUCAAAAACUUGAUUGUAACCUUCUUGAUGCUGUAGAAACUCUUAGAGACUUAGAGUCUUCUAAAGAAGAGAUUGAAGUUGCUCAUGAUCAACUUAAAGAGGAUUUUGGGCACCUUGACCUUGUCUACAAGAAUGUCAAAGGAGAGCUCACCAAACUCUCUAAGUCUUAUAAGGAACUUCAAGCUACUCAUGUGAAGUCUCUAGUUUCUUCUAGCUCCUCUCAUAUUGUCAAUGAUGCUUGUGCUACUAACUCUACUUCUUGUGAAGCAUAUAUCUUGAAGGAGAAUGUUGAGCUAAGGGCUCAACUUGUUUUGCUAACUAGCAAUUAUGGGAAAUUAGAAGAAAGUCAUGAAAAGCUCUCGGGCUCUCAUGAUGACCUUCUAAUCUCCCAUGAAAGGCUAAAGUUAGCUCAUGAGGCUAUUGUGACUAAGGUAACAUCUCGUGAGCCUCAUGUGGACAUUAGGAAUAUAUUUACUCAAAAUGAUUUAUUGACAUGUGCUAGUCCUAGUAAUUCAUUUAGACAUAUUAUAGCUGAUUCUUGUGAUGAAUUGCUCUCAUUGCCUUGUUGCUCUAAUAAUGAAGUUUCUACUUCCUCUAGUACUUUUGUUGAUACUAACCUUGUAGAGGAAAACAAAGAGCUCAAGGCUCAAGUCACUAUUUUGAAGAAAGACAUGGAAAUGUGACAUGAAGGAAAUUCCAAUCUCAACAAUAUUUUGAGUGGUCAAAAAUCCCCUCAUGACAAGGGUGGACUUGGUUUCAUCUCCAACAACAAGAAGUCCGAGAAAAGGAAUAAGGAACAAGACCAAGUCAAGAAUCCGGUCAACAUCACAUGCUUCAAGUGCAAGAAUGUUGGACACCAUGUGAGAUAUUGUCCAUUGAAGAAGAAGGCUUCAAAUGUGAAGCAACAAGGGAAGCGGCCUCAAGUUCAAUCUCAAGGUCAACCUCAAGUUCAAUCUCAAGGUCAACCUCAAGCUGAAGAAAGGCCACUACCAAUAAUGAACCAAGGAAAUGCUCCCCAAAUUGAGAAAGUAAAGAAGAAGAGAAGGGGGAGCACAUGUUGCUAUAUUUGUCGUGAGAAGGGACACAUAUCUUCAUCUUGUCCCAACGGUAACAUCCCUAAGCCUCCUCUAGUCAAUGAUCAUUAUUUUCUUAGGAAGGAUGUUGUUGGCAAUUUGUUUGCCAAGUUUGUUGGCGCCCAAAGUGGUUUGGAAAUGGAAAAGGCCAUUUGGGUUGCCAAGCCUAUUGUGUCUAACUUCUUAGGACCCAACUUGGUUGGGGACCAUCAAGCUCAACCUUGAUCAAUAGGUGUGUGGAGGACAUUGGAGAUUUGGCUAGUUCAUGAAGAAAAGAAUAUUCACCAUUUAUUUGUUCGAGCCAAGUCAUGUGGAUUAUCUUCAUAUUAUCUAUCCAGUGUUCCUCCUUGUGGUAACUUUUAUUUGUAUUGCUUACAUUGAAAGUUACUCGCCCCCUGCAUGCUUAGGUUUUGUAUCUAGCAUGUGCAUUUAUAUGUUGUACUUCCUAGUAUGCUUGAUUUGUGUUAUCUAGCAUGUGUAGGUUGCAUUGCACAUCAUAUAGUGUUGCUUGUUGUCUUGAGCCUUAUUUGUAUGUUGUUUGGCUCUUGCGAGAUAUUAGUGGAUCAUCACAUUAUGGGGGAGUGUUAUGUUUUGUGCGCAUCACAAACUCAAAAUGUGAAUAUGAGAAAUACCACAUAGUAUUGAUACUCAAUAUUAUCUAGUCACUAUGUGGUAUGUCAAGCUCAUUUGAAAUUCAGAUUCUCAGAGUAUCCAUUAAUUAUCUCUUUUAGGUGGUUAUUUGCCUCUGUUGUAUGCCUUCCGUGGUAUCAAGAAAGUUGCACCAGAAAAGUUCUGGAUACCCCGUGCGCACGGGGUCUUUUGACCCCCGUGCACAUGGGGUGUUCCGUAACUCUCUUGGUACCCCGUGCGCACGGGGUGUUUUAACCCCCGUGCGCACGGGGUACUGCGUAACUCCCUGGAUACCCCGUGUGCACGGGGUCUUUUGACCCCCGUGCACACGGGGUGUUUGUUGAUUAUGAUCUUGUGCUACUUCGGAUUCUACCACCGAGUGUUAAUUCCAAAUACCAAUUGGUAUUUCUUCUUGUGGUAGAAUUUUAUGAUCAUCUUCUUAUCGGCUUGUGCUUCAACUUACCUUAUCUCACUCCUUGUACUAUCUAUUAUCUACUUGAGUGAGAUAAGCCUUUGAGCAUGUGUGUAAUGUAUAUCCUAUAUGAUCUUUGGUUUGCUUAGUUCAUAUGUUGUAGUUUGUGUGCGGUCAUGUGUGGAUUCAUCACUUUGAUAUAAUUUGGACAACUUGAAUGUUGUAUGUCAUUAUUGGAGUAUUCAUAUAUCUUUUAAGUGUUCUUUUGCCCAAAUUAUAUCUCUUUGGAUCUUGGUAGGCAUGUGCAUGCAUAUUUAUUUAUAUACUUCUUCAUGCCUUGCUUGCUCUCUUGAUCCUCUAUAUAGGGUAAACUCCAUAAUAUCAUUAAUGGUUAAAGGUGUGCAUGAAAUUCAAGUUCAUAUCCUUUUGCACAUACUUAUUGUGGAGUUUGCCCUAUGUAUUGUGGUUGUGCUUACUACUUCGGACCCAAUAAGUUUGGGGACCAAAUUGUACCUUAAUGUGUUUUAGGUAUAUUGGAGAAGCAUUGGAUGAUUGGCUUAUUCAUGAGGAAGGUGGAGACACCAUGGAAAAUUAUUAGAGCCAAGCUUGGUUGAUUCAUUGAUUUGAGAGAGAAGAUAAAUGAAAACCCGGUUCGGUUGUAAGUGUUUCAUUCUCACCAUGUAAACCCGGUUAUACAAAAUUUGGGUCCUUUUGUUGGAUAUGCAUCAAACUCCCACACUUACUAUAUUCUCAAUAAAUCCACGGGAUGUGUUGAGGAAAUGGUGAAUGUGGAGUGUGAUGAGAAUAACGGCUUCCAUGCGGAGCAAUUUGUUUCAAGUGUUGUAGGUGAUGAGGCUCCUUCCCAAGCUACAAGUACAAUGGGGAUUGGUCAUAUUCUUCCACAAGAAACACCCCUUGUCCAUGUAGAAGAAGAAGGAGUAAGAGCCCCUCUUGUGGAUCGACCAUAAGGGAAGUCAUCACCCCCAACACAAGAGCAAGAUGUUAUGGGAGAUCAUAUACCUAUCCAAGAACAAGAUCAAGUCCCUCAUGUUCGCGUACUAGAUCAAGGGCCUCUUGAACCAAUGCUUUCUCUCUUGGUAACAAGUACUUACUUCAUGCAUUUAUUCAAGUUAGAGUCAACAUUGUAUGUGUUGCAUCAUGGCAUGAUUAGUACUUGUUGAGUGAGUGCUUGUAUGUUUUGCACAUAUGUUUGCACUCAUGAGUUGGUGGAUAUAUUUUGGACCCAUGCUUAGCAUGAUUAUCAUAUUGGAUAUCUCCAUUAUCCCUUGUCCAAAAUAUGUUCUUUGGAUCCUUUGAAUGUUUGAUUCUUUUGUCAUAUCAUUUUGGUGCAUUCUAUGGAUGCUCAAUAUAGUGUGAAUUUCUUCGUUUCUUCAUAACUGGAUAUGUGCAUUUGAUUCCACUCAUAAUAUGAGAAAUGCACAAAUUAAGGAGGAACUCAUACUAUAUUGGCCGUCUAGAUUUUUCUUCCAUUUUGGCACUUGUUGCUAAUGGGGGAGAAGUUUAGAGGGUUUAGGUGAAGUGGGUUGGUUCCUGUCAUUCAUGCUUAUCUACUUUUGUUGUGCUUGCUCAUUGCAUGGAUGUGUAUAUAGAGGAAACUCCUCCAAGUUAUUUCCUGUGCAUAUAUUGUGGGGGAGUUUGCUCUAUAUACUGUGGUUCUACUAGCAUCAAAUUCUUGUGUAGUAUUUCGAUGCUAGUACAACUGGUUUUGAUAACAUCAACUAUCUUUGUGAUGUUUGAAGCUAUCAAAACCACAUCAAGUAUACACUUUUGUUGUGCUUGCUCAUUGCAUGGAUGUGUAUAUAAAGGAAACUCCUCCAAGUUAUUUCCCGUGCAUAUAUUGUGGGGGAGUUUGCUCUAUAUAUUGUGGUUCUACUAGCAUCAAAUUCUUGUGUAGUAUUUCGAUGCUAGUACAACUGGUUUUGAUAACAUCAACUAUCUUUGUGAUGUUUGAAGCUAUCAAAACCACCUCAAGUAUACAAUUUAUUCUCGGAUAGAUUGCAUACUUGUUUUAAAUUCUUUAUAUAAACCCUCUUGUUGAGAUUGUCAUCAAUUAACAAAAUGGGGGAGAUUGAAAGGGCAUGUAGCCCCUAAGUGUGGUUUUGGUAAUUAAAUGACCAUCUCUAUGGACUAAUGUUUUCAAUGAGAUAUAUUUGAAGGUUUUGUCCAUUGAUAGUGCCUCAAGGAUAUUGGACGGAAUCAAGGAUGAAGUCCAUAUAUAUGAAGAUAGUGCCUCAAGGAUAUUGGACGGAAUCAAGGAUGAAGUCCAUAUAUAUAUAAAGAUAUAUUUUCCCUAUGCUUUGGUACUAAAUGACAAUUCCUAUGGAGCAUCAAGUGCAUUGAAUCUUAUAUGAAGAUAUGUUCCAUAGUGAUGCUUGAAGUGCAUUGGGCUGUUUUGUGAAGUCUGCCAUCAAAGCAUCCGAAGAAGUCCUCAUGGUAUCCUUCUCUGGAUACCCCGUACACACGGGCUUGUACCGUGCGCACGGGGUCGAGUGUCAACUCUCUGGAUACCCCAUGCUUACUUGGCCUAGGUGUUGGCUCUCGAGAUCCCAUAUCCAGUGAGGUUUCAUGUUGGUCUUCGGGUACUUCUAUUGAAGCCAUCAAGAUUGGUUUCAAUGCCUAAUCUAAUUAUGUUCAUGAUGGAGUGCAUUGGAGGAUCUCAAAGAUUGAUAUAUUUGGGCUUCUGAGGAUCAAGGCUUGAGAGAAUAAUCAAAGAGAAGAAUUCAAGUUAUGGUAUCAAGACAAGAUCAUGGUGAGCUCAUGUGUUGGAUUCCGGUUGAUCAAGUCUUGAAGCAAGCAACUAGAGUGACGAAUUCAUUAUGCCUCUCAAGAGAUUGUGAUGGAGUUUUUAGAAGGGCAAGUGGUGACCAAGAUGAUAUUCAUAGUGGAACUUGAUAUGGUCAUGCAAUAGUCUUUGGUGAUAUAGUCUUGAAGCAAUGAAGGGAAAUGAAGAGUUCAUUGUGGCUUUCAAUAAACCAAGAUGGAGCUUCGAGUAAAGAUGUUGGUUGACCAAGAUGAAGCUCGAAGAUUAUAUCUAAGUGGUCAACUCUCAAAGCACAAACAAUGUACCACGUGAGAUCAAGUGAUCUAGUGGUAUGGUAAGUAAUUGUGAAUUGUGCUUUGUUACCUAACCCAUGCUAUGUGUUUGGUAUGUCUAUGUGGGUUAGGUGUUUCUCAUGGGCUUGCAUCAAAAGGAAAGAUCUCAAGUAGCCUAUGUGUGGAUGACAUCAAGUGGUGAUGGUCAUCGGGUUCGAGGAGUUCAAGUGCAAGAUGAGAAGCCGGAGGUUAUAUGCUUUGAAGCUUGCGGUCCACAUCAUGAUAAUGCUCAUGUGAAGAUGGGCUUAAGUUAAGGCUUCCCUCAUUGCAAUAUGAGGAAUCAAUUCAAGCAUCUUCACCAAGUGGUUGUGGACAAGAAAGGGAUUCCAACUUGAGACAAGAAUUGGAGUCAUCACCAAGCUCAAGUUGAAUAUGCAAGGCAAAGGUAUACCUUAGCUAGGUUUUCCUAGUUUUGCCGGUCUCAUGGUGCUUGGAGGGAGACCGGAUUAUAGGUUUGAUAGUCGUACUAUCAAGAGGGACUCUCGGGCAAGUAGCUUGAUCAUGUCGCGUGUAGAGAGCUCAAACCUUUGCAUUACUUGUGUCAUUAUUUAUUGUUGAUCUUGGGUGGUUCUCUAUGUGAGGACCUUGGGCUUUUCCAUAGCUUCAAAGCGAGCCCAAGAUCAUCAAUUUCAGAGUCCGUAUGCCAAAGUUAUCAUUGUUUUAGUGGGCUGCUGCAGGCUGUUCUGGGUACCCCGUGGACACGGGGUUUUUGACCCCCAUGGGCACAGGGCCCCGUGCACACGGGCCUGUACCAUGUGCACGGGACCCCGUGGGCACGGGGUCUAAACCCCCGUUGGCACGGGGUGUCCAGGAAGUGUCCGUUGGAGCCCCAACGGCUAGUUUUGGAAGUUGGCUAUAAAAGAGCCCUUCCUCCCCACCGGUUUGGGGGCUGUUCAUUCACAUUCUAAACAUCAUUUUGAGCCUCUUACCACCUCUCCCAAACCCCUAUCUCCCUUCUAAGUGAAGGGUGAUUUGUGGAUGGAUCUUGGAGUCAUUUAUUGAUUUCCUCCAUUGCAUCCCCUCUCUUCAAUCUCCCACUUUCUUGAGUUGCAUCUUGUGAGAUUGAGAGAGUGAGUUGAGCAUUUGUUGCUUGACCUUGCAUUGCAUUUGUUGCAUCGGUUUGAGCUCCCCGCAUCGAUUUGUUCGAGUGAGAGCCUGUGAGUUUGUUACUCUUGGAGGCUUCGCCUCCUAGACGGUUUGGUGAUACAUUGAGAAGAUUGUGAAGAGGCCUAUGUGGCCAAGGUUCCCUCGGAAGCUUCCUUUUGUGGCGUGCUCCGGGGAAGGGUGUUGAAGUGGCCUAGGUGGUCAAGUUCCUCCGGAAGCUUCCGUGGUUGUGGUGUGCUCCGGAGAGGUUUGUAAAGGUGUGGUGGUCGCCUUCAAGACCAACCCUAGUGAAUCGAGGCUCAUCCGUUGGGGGUGACUCGAAAGGGAGAAUACGGUGAGUCACUUGGUGACGCCCCAGAGCUUUGGCUACGGCACCGCUCUAACGGAGAUUAGCACUCUCACGAGUGUGAACUUCGGGAUAAAUCCGCAUCCCCGACUCACUUGUGGUUAUCUCAUACCCACACCCUUUACUUUCCGCAAUUCAUACUUGCCCAUAUUGAUAUAUCUUGUGAUAGUUGAAUUGCUUAGUUGUUCCUUCAUUUCCAUAUCUUGUGAUAUAGUUUGUGCUUGCUAGUUUGCUUAAUUGCCUAUCUUGUUUAGCAUAGGUUGUUGGUGCACUUAGUUGAGCCUAGCAUAUUUAGGAUUUGUGCUUGAAAACUAUCCGUUAGUUUAAUUCCGCAUUAGGAUAAAGCCAAAUCCGUAAAAGUUUUAAAACUCCUAUUCACCCCCCCCCUCUAGUCAUCAUCUAGAUCAUUUCAACAAUGAAGAAGAAGAGGACGAUGACAGCUAUCCUGGCCAUGGGUUCCCUGAAUACGAUGAUACAACAAUGGGGGAAGAAGCUGAGCCGGCAAUGCGGGAAGAAGCUGAGCCGGCAAUGCGGGAAGAAGCUGAAGAAGAGGCAUCAGAUGAGCCCGUUGAUGAUCUAGGUCGGGCCAUUGCCGAUGCAAAGAGAAACUGCGCAAGUGAUUUGGAGAAGAAGAAUUUGCAGCGCAUGUUAGAGGAUCACAAAAAAAUGUUGUACCCGAAUUGCGUAGGUGACAAGAAAAAGCUGGGCACCACACUGGAAUUGCUGCAAUGGAAGGCAGAGAAUGGUGUAUCUGACAAGGGAUUUGGAAAGUUGCUGGUAAUGAUAAAGGAUAUGCUUCCAAAGGACAACGAAUUGCUCGAGAGUACGUACGAAGCAAAGAAGGUUGUCUGCCGUCUAGGGUUAGAGGUGCAGAAGAUACAUGCAUGCCCUAAUGAUUGCAUCCUCUACCGCGGUGAGUACGAUGAUUUGAACGCUUGCCCGGUAUGUGGUGCAUUGCGCUAUAAGAUCAGCCGCGAUGACCCUGGUGAUGUCGAGGGCGAGCGCCCCAGGAAGAAGAUUCCUGCCAAGGUGAUGUGGUAUUCUCCUAUAAUACCACGGUUGAAACGUUUUUUUCCAAAACAAAGAGCAUGCCAAGGCGAUGCGAUGGCAUAGAGAAGACCGUAAGAAAGACGGAAAGUCGAGAGUACCCGCUGACGGGUCGCAGUGGAGAAAAAUCGAAAGAAAGUACGGGAAGGAGUUUGCAGAUGACUCAAGGAGCGUAUGGUUUGGUCUAAGCGCAGAUAGCAUUAAUCCUUUUGGGGAGCAGAGCAGCAACCAUAGCACCUGGCCUGUGACUCUAUGUUUUUAUAAACUUCCUCCUUGGUUGUGCAUGAAGCGGAAGUUCAUUAUGAUGCCAGUGCUCAUCCAAGGCCCUAAGCAACCCGGCAACGACAUUGAUGUGUACCUAAUGCCAUUAGUUGAAGAACUCUUACAACUGUGGAAUGGAACAGGUGUACGUGCGUGGGAUGAGCACAUGGGGGAAGAAUUUGACCUAAAGGCGUUGUUGUUCGUGACCAUCAAUGAUUGGCCUGCUCUUAGUAACCUUUCAGGACAGACAAACAAGGGAUACCGCGGAUGCACGCACUGUUUGGAUGAUACCGACAGUAUAUAUUUGAAUAGUUGUAAGAAGAAUGUGUACCUGGGACAUCGUCGAUUUCUUCCGAGCAGGCAUCCCGUAAUAAAGAAAGGCAAGCAUUUCAAAGGUGAGGCGGAUCACCGGACGAAGCCUCGCCACCGUACUGGUGCUGAUGUACAUGAUAUGGUCAAGGAUUUGAAGGUGAUAUUUGGAAAGGGUCCUGGCAGACAACCUGUUCCGAAGGACGCUGACGAACGCGCACCCAUGUGGAAGAAGAAAUCUAUAUUUUGGGACCUGCCAUAUUGGAAAGACCUAGAGGUCCGCUCCGCAAUCGACGUGAUGCACGUGACGAAGAAUCUUAGCGUGACCCUGCUUGGCUUCUUGGGCGUGUAUGGGAAGACAAAAGAUACACCUGAGGCACGGGAGGACCAGCAACGUAUGCACGGAGAAGACGGCAUACAUCAGGGUCAUGCAAGCUACGCUCUUACCAAAGAAGAGAAGGAAAUCUUCUUUGAAUGCCUGCUUAGUAUUAAGGUACCGUCUGGCUUCUCGUCGAAUAUAAAGGGAAUAAUAAACAUGGCAGAGAAAAAGUUCCAGAACCUAAAGUCUCAUGACUGCCACGUGAUUAUGACACAACUGCUUCCGGUUGCAUUGAGGGGGCUUCUACCGGAAAACGUUCGAUUAGCCAUUGUGAAGCUAUGUGCAUUUCUCAAUGCAAUCUCUCAGAAGGUAAUCGAUCCAGAAAUCAUACCAAGGUUACAGAAUGAUUUGGUGCAAUGUCUUGUCAGUUUCGAGUUGGUGUUCCCACCAUCCUUCUUCAACAUCAUGACGCACAUCCUAGUUCACCUAUGCGAAGAGAUUAACGUUUUGGGUCCUGUAUUUCUACACAAUAUGUUCCCCUUUGAGAGGUUCAUGGGAGUCCUAAAGAAAUAUGUUCAUAACCGUGCUAGGCCAGAAGGAAGCAUCUCCAAGGGCCAUCAAAAUGAGGAGGUCAUUGAGUUUUGUAUUGACUUUAUUCCUGACCUUAAGCCGAUUGGUGUUCCUGAAUCGCGGCAUAAGGGCAGACUGGAUGGAAAAGGCAUGCUAGGAGGGGAACAAAUAAUAUGUAUGGACGGACAUUCUCUCACUGAAGCACACUACACAGUUCUACAGAAUUCCGCCUUGGUGGCUCCAUAUAUGGAUGAACACAAGAAUUUGCUACGCUCCAAACACCCAGAGCGGUCUGAUGACUGGAUUACACGUGAACAAACCAGGAGUUUCGCCAGCUGGUUGCAGACACGUACCAUGCAUGACACCUCUAUUGAAGAUGACCUGUACUUGCUGUCCCAGUUACCAUCUUCGAAUAUAAUGACUUUCAAAGGGUACGAGAUAAAUGGUAAUAUAUUUUACACGAUCGCUCAAGAUAAGAAGAGCACCGACCAAAACAGUGGUGUCCGCUUUGAUGCAGAAACCAAGAUGGGAAAGGAAACAUAUUAUGGUUAUAUACAGGACAUAUGGGAACUUGACUAUCGGUGUGGCUUAAAGGUCCCUUUGUUUCGGUGCAAAUGGGUCAAUAUGACACGAGGCAGGGUAACGGAAGACCCGUAGUACGGAAUGACAACAGUGGAUCUCAACAAUCUUGCGUAUGCAGACGAACCAUUCAUCCUAGCCAAUGAUGUGGCACAGGUUUUCUAUGUGAAGGACAUGUCUACCAAGCCAAGAAAAAGAAAAGAUAAGGAAGCGAAUGCAUCGUACAAUGAGCCAAAGCGGCACAUAGUUCUUUCUGGGAAGAGAAACAUCGUGGGAGUGGAUGACAAGACAGACAAGUCAGAAGAUUAUGAAAAGUUUGAUGAAAUUGCUCCAUUCACAGUGAAUAUUGACCCGAGCAUCCCGUUAAAUGAUGAAGAUUUUCCAUGGUUACGGCGCAAAGGAACACACGCGAAGAAAAAGUUUCACACUCAAAGAUGUGGGAUGUGAUCGGCUUCACUAUCAUCACUUUCUUCUGUGUUUCACACCCAGAGGGGAAUCUCUGUAAUAGUUAGGGUAGUUAUGUGUUUUGGCAUUUGAAACGCGAAGAAAUUUUCUGUGCAAACAAAUUCUUUCAUGCCUUUACUGAUUUUUAAAGUUAAGUUAUUCACAAACUAGUGAUUCACACUAAUUUCAAAUAAUUCAAAAUUUAAACUAUUCAAAUUUGAAAACUACGGGCACUAACAGAAAGUUUGUAAUUUUUUGUACCUAAAGCAAAAAUAUUCACAAAGAAACUCUAAAUACACAAAAAAAACAACACAAAAAUAAAUAAAGCAAAAAAUAAAUAAAAGCCCGCCUACUAGGCCAGAGCGGCCUGCAUACGACUAGAAACCCAACCUGUUGUUGGGCCAGGAUGCAGGCCCGCAAAGGCCAAGUGGGCCCACAGGGCAGCAAAGAACACGUAGGCCCAGUAGGCCUGCUUUGGAGAGGAGCUCGAGAGAGCGACCGCACGGGGGUUUAUAAACCAGUGCGGUCGCCCCUCGGCUAGCGAGGUGGGACUAAACUUGCCGCACCAUACCUGCGCCAGCGCACCCCCUUUAGUACCGGUUUGUGCCACCACCCGGUACUAAAGGGGGUCGCUUCCCGCCGCUUGGGCUGGCCAAAAUUGGCCUUUAGUACCGGUUGGUGGCACAAACCGGUACUAAAGGCCCUUCCUAUAUAAACAACACUUAUGAAAAAUUCAGUUUCUCAUCUGGCUUCUUCUCCUCUGCACCGUCGCCCGCCGCCCCCGUCGCCGCCCCGUCCCCGUCGUCCCCGUCCCCUCAUCCCCGUCGUCACCGCCGCCCCGUCCCGACCCGUCCCACGUCGUCCCNNNNNNNNNNNNNNNNNNNNNNNNNNNNNNNNNNNNNNNNNNNNNNNNNNNNNNNNNNNNNNNNNNNNNNNNNNNNNNNNNNNNNNNNNNNNNNNNNNNNNNNNNNNNNNNNNNNNNNNNNNNNNNNNNNNNNNNNNNNNNNNNNNNNNNNNNNNNNNNNNNNNNNNNNNNNNNNNNNNNNNNNNNNNNNNNNNNNNNNNNNNNNNNNNNNNNNNNNNGUCCCUCGCCUUGCCGGUGAGCGCGCGCACACACAUACAUUUUUUAGUUAGAAAUGUUAGAAUUGUUAGAAUAGUUAGAAAUGUUAGAAUUGUUAGAAUAGUUAGAAAUGUUAGAAUUGUUAGAAAUUUUUCUGUUUUUUAGUUAUAGAAAUAGUUAUAAAAAAAGUUAGAAUUGUUAGAAAUUUUUCUGUUUUUUAGAUAUAGAAAUAGUUAUAAAAAUGUUAGUUAUAUAUAUAGAAAUGUUAUAAUUAUUUCUGUUUUUAGUUAUAGAAAUAUUAGAAAUGUUAGUUAUAUAUAGCAUUGUUAGAAAUGUUAUAGAAAUGUUAGUUAUAUAGAAAUGUUAGAAAUUUUAGUUAUCAAAAUCCAAUCAUUAAAAAAUGUUACUUUUUGCGGGCAUAUAGCUAGUAUUUGUUCUCGACGAUGCCCGACCCGCAUCCUCGCCGUCGACAUGUCCGCGACGACGUCCGACUGACCCAUGUCCGGGACUGGGCUCCGCCGGGCUGGCACUGGGAGGUGCUGCCUGGAGGGGCGCGCCGCUUGAUGAGGAACCCGGCCCCGGGUCCCGUCGUCGACCCUGAUCUCGUUUGGUGGCGUUCGCGUGGGCCAGUUUCGGCGCGGAGGGAGCCGGCCCAGCCGGAGGUGGUAUGGCGCCGUGUCAGGGAGGAGGACGAUCACGUCCAUCGCUACAUGGUUGCGUUAGAGGGCGGUAGGUUCUCCAAUACAUGGCAGUUUCUUCAGGGAUCUCACUUCAGCUAUGAUCCUGUGAGGGUUCCUUCUCUUUGGGUGUCCACCGCCCGCGCCGCAGGAACCGCGAGUGUCCUAGAUUCUUCUGUAGUAUUCGAUCUUUAUUAGCUACCUAGCCAGUGAUAUAUUCGAUAUUAUAUCUAUUAUUCGAGACGAUGUAUUCGAGAUUAUAUCUAUUAUUCGAGACGAUGUUUUUGAGAUUAUAUCUAUUAUUCGAGACGAUGUAUUCGAGAUUAUAUCUAUUAUUUGAGACGAUGUAAUUUGAAUACUAAAUUGUUUUAUAUUUCUUUUGGAUUAGUUAAAUAAAAGCUAUGGCAGACAAUACCGGCAGAGAGGGAGAACAUGCCAUGUUCGAUAUGAUACGCCAUCCUCACGGGCCAGAUGAUGAUCAGAAUGAAGAAGAUUAUGACGGCUCCGAAUUUCUAAACAACACCGGAGAGGGUGAUAUGAUAUUCGAUCGCGACGACCGAAUUGAUGAGGUCAUGAACUAUGAUUAUGAAGAUGACAAAGAAAAUAUUGAUCUUGAAACAACAAAGACCGGCGAGGUAUAUAUAUUUAUAUAAGCAGGCAUCUGGUGAUCAUCACAUGUUUUAAAUGACUUGAAGAUAUAUUAACGAAUUGAUCUUUGUUCUUUCAGCCAUCCGGAUCGAGCACAUCUUCAGGCAAAAAGACGAAACGAGGCCCGAACAAAAAGUUGAAGGAGGGCGUAAAGUACAAUAUCGAGGCAAUCAGACCUAAUGGCGAACCAUUAGCGCCUAAGAAGAUUGCGGACAAGUUCGUUCGUCAGUGCAGAGUUCUUGUGAAGGACCAACUCCCGAUCUCCCUUCGAGAAUGGAGAGAGCCAGCAAAAGACAAAAGACAAAAAGACAAAAAGGAUGCUGCUCCACGUCCAGAUGUUACUUUUGUCGACAAAAAACACAAAGAUCUGCUUUGGGAUACUCUCAUGGAACAUUUCACCCUACCAGAUCAUUUCACAGAAGCAGAUGUGCAGAAAGUCAAGGACGCUGCUCUUAGGAAGAUGGCGGUUGCAUUCAAGAACCACAAGAAUCGUGAAUGGGACAAGUACGUCAAGGGAGGAAGGAAGACUCCAGUAUUCGAGGGAACACUAGAGAACCAACGUGCUCAUUGGGAUGAUUUCGUGAAAUUCAAGGAUUCGGAAUUAGCUAAGGAACGGUCGAGAAUAAACAAGAAGAAUGCCGAAAAAAAGAUAAGUUCCAUAAGCUGGGGCCAGGUGGCUAUGCGGUGGCAAUGCCUAAGUGGGAUAAGUCUGAGAAAGAGAUGGAGGAUGCAGGUGUCACUCCGGUUACUAAGAGCUGGCCCCCCAGGUGCAGGACUUGGUUCUAUGCGCAUGGGGGGGAGUUGGACCCAAAGACAGGCAAUGUUUCGACAAGGGCAAGUCUGAAGGGAGCCGACGAUGCGAUACUUGUUGCAAUAGAAGAGGCACGAUCGGGGGUGUUCCAGCCCAACAGAGAGAACGGUGAGCUUACGCGUGCCCUGGGAAAUCCUGAACACCCGGGAAGAACACGAGGCAAGGGCGCUAUUCCGUGGUAUGAGGGGUUUUCAGACUGGAACACCGACUACAGAACCCAUGCGAGAAAGAAGAUUGCGGAGGAGAAGAAGAGGAAGAUGGAGGAGGAGCAGAGGAAGCGGGACUAUGAACGCCUUCAAGGCCUAGAAGCAAGUCAAGCGGAAUUGGCAGUCAAAUUCCAGCGGCAGCAGGAGCAGAUCGACUCACUUACCCAACAAAGGGGGUCUCAGCAGCUAGUGAAUGAUCCAGCAUUGGAUAGCACUGCCCCAUCCAUGCCGAGAAGCAGCGUGGGUUCCGCCCCGGACGACGCAAUGCUGGAUAGAUACCCCGUGGAUGACAUCACGGAGAACACUAACUGCGAGCUACACGUCAAAAUGAAGAACAUAUCCAUGAAGGUGGCGGACGCCGUUGCUUUUACAAAUCCCCCCGAGGCAACCUUCCAUUGCAACCCGAUUCCGGCAGGCUAUGCUCGUGUCUUGGUUGAUGAGGUGGUGGACCCAUAUUCGGAGCUACAUCUUGACAUUCCUGGAGGUGACGACGAGCACUUUCUCGGAGAGGCCAAACAUCGUAUCAUCCUAUGGAAAAAGGAUUGCAUCAUCUUUCGAAGGCCGCCGACACCGCGUCAGCCGACUCCUCGUCGAAGUCCGCCACCGAGUCAGCAGACUCCCGCUCCUGCAAGUCCACCAAGUCCGGCAAAGUGUCAGGCCACUCCUCCUCCAAGUCCGGCAAAGUGUCAGGCUACUCCUCCUCCUCCAAGUCCGCCACAGCGUCAAACGUCCACUCCUCCUCCAAGUACGGCACAACCUCAAGCCACUCCUCCUCCAAGUCCGGCACAGCUUCAGGCCACUCCACCUCGUCCAACUCAGCCACGUCAGCCGUCUCCGCCGCCUCAGCAAUCGCAGAAGAGACACCCCGCAGCUAUGGUGCGUAGCGGUACGAGUCGAGGUAGUACAGGAAGUACAGGCGGAGGCAAGCGAUAUAAAUAUGGUCCAAGCCUCAUGCCUCUUCCGCAGAGGCCUUAUGAAAAGUCCGAGGAGGAAAACGCAGCCAUAUCGAAGGCCGAGGUGGAAGCCCAUUUUGCACCGAAACCGCCACGGCCGCCAAGGGAGAAAGUGCCUGAGGAAACGAUUGACCACUUCAUUCGUGUGGCUCAACCACCAGCUCCCAAGCCUGUUGACACAGACUAUGAGCGCCACAUCAGGAAGUUAAAUCGAGCACGUCUACGUAAGGAGGCGAGCUCAGGAUCGAGCAAACAACAAGCAGCUGUCAAAAAUGCGGGAAAACCAUUCCCCAGCUGGGAGAACAGGCGGCGCAAUCGAUCCCCUCGCUUGUUGUGCCAACAACACAUGACAGUACGCGCGCCCAAUAUUAUUAUGGGCAAACAAUUUACGUUUCCGAGGUGGGUAAUGUGGUAAUAACCAAGGACCAUAUAAUGCAGGCUGAAGUUCUCAACAUCACUGUUGGACAACUCCUCGAGAUCGAGCCCAUGUCUGUGCUUACAGAUGAUGAAAUAAAACGGAAAUAUGUCCGGGGCCAACCUUUGGUCGAGCCAGAAAAGGUCAAGAACCUCCCAACGAGAAUGUAUGAAUUGCAUCAAUGGUACAUGAACAUUACCAAGAUUUCAGAUCGAUUGUCCCUCAUGGUGAAUGUCAAGGAGGAGCAUUACUUUCAUGAGAAAGCUCUGUCCGUUGAGUAUUCUGAACUGUUUCAGUUAUACAAUCAAGACGCACUCGACAAAUCUAUUGUCAGUUGCUAUUGUCUGUAAGUGAUUUCUUUCUGUAAUUUAAGUCUCAAGCUAGCUGUAGUGAUCCUUUUGAUCAAUCAUUACCUGUAAUUAUUCUCACUAUAUUCUUUUCUGUGAUAUUAUGCAGGAUGAAGAUGUAUGAAAUGAGAAAAGGUGGACGCUUUGGCAUUGGGUUCAUUGACCCAAACACCGUUAAUGAAUACACAUGGCUAAUAAAUCCACAUCAUGAAAAGGACGUAGAGGACAACAUGCUAGAGUUCUUGAAGCGCCUCAAAUACAAUGAAGAUAUACUACUUCCUUACAACUUCCAAUGAGUCACACUGUCUUGUACUACAAAUUCUUUAUUUUUGCGUACUAGCUAGCUACAUGUUUUUUGCUUACAUAUGCCCGCUUAAUUAAUACAUGCAAACGUGUGUGCAUGCAGAUUUCACUGGAUCUUGUGUAUAAUUAAAGUUGACACCGGAACAAUUGAAAUACUGGACUCACUACUCAAAGCAAAUACUGACUAUAACAUCUUGUUUGGGAUAGUCAACAGGUAAUUUCAAUCAUUAUUAACUAUAUAUCUCGGCCUAUUUAGUUCGUCAUUUCAUGAUAUGAACUAUUUAAUAAUCCCUUUAUUUAUUUUCUUUGUCGACGGGCAGGGCUUGGGCAAGGUUCAUCAGCGUCACGGAAGGCGAAUGGAAAACAAAGGUUAAAUGGUUUCGAUCCAAGGCAAGUAAUUAAGUAGUACUAGCUAGCUAGCUAGCUGUCAUCUCUUUAAUUAUCAUGCUUGAUUAAUUAUUAUCUGAUCAAAUUCCAUUCUCGUAAAGGCCCUGAAGCAGGCGCAGGGGACUGAUCUGUGUGCAUUCUGCGUUUGCAAGAACAUUCGCAUGAUGGCGUCCGAAAGGAGCAGAUCUCAAAGACAGGAAUGGGUAUGCUUGUCAGAACACUAUUCACAAUUUUUACACCAUUAUCGAUAUCUAGUCACACAACUAAUACACAUGCAUAUUGAUCUCCUUCUUAACAGUUCAAAGAGGUGCGGGAGAAGCUCCUAGAAACGGAGCGCGUAGAAGCACUUCAAGAGGAAAUAGCGGGAUUUUUGCUCGACCAGGUCAUAAAUCCGAAGGGAGAAUACUAUUACCCGCUACCGCCCCCAUGAAAACCACUUCCAAUUGUCAUCGUGCUCCGAAGGCACCAAUUAGACUAAUGCCACUGGCUUCGGAGGCAACAUGCAUAUGUAGGAGAAAUUGUAUAUAGCUAUACACGUGUGUAUGUGUGAAUUAAUUAAUAUGGUGGUUUGUGAGACAUUGAUGAUAUAUAUAUGCAUGAUUGGUUCUACUAGAAAUUCUAUUUAUAUANNNNNNNNNNNNNNNNNNNNNNNNNNNNNNNNNNNNNNNNNNNNNNNNNNNNNNNNNNNNNNNNNNNNNNNNNNNNNNNNNNNNNNNNNNNNNNNNNNNNNNNNNNNNNNNNNNNNNNNNNNNNNNNNNNNNNNNNNNNNNNNNNNNNNNNNNNNNNNNNNNNNNNNNNNNNNNNNNNNNNNNNNNNNNNNNNNNNNNNNNNNNNNNNNNNNNNNNNNNNNNNNNNNNNNNNNNNNNNNNNNNNNNNNNNNNNNNNNNNNNNNNNNNNNNNNNNNNNNNNNNNNNNNNNNNNNNNNNNNNNNNNNNNNNNNNNNNNNNNNNNNNNNNNNNNNNNNNNNNNNNNNNNNNNNNNNNNNNNNNNNNNNNNNNNNNNNNACGUGUACAAUAUGUAGUAUCGUAAAAUACUAGCAAACGAAAAAGAAUUAAAAUGGAAACACAAAAUUAAAUGAAAAAGAAAUCAUAAAACUAAAAAAAACCCAAACCUUAUAGUACCGGUUGGUCUUACCAACCGGUACUAAAGGGCUCCAGGCCCACGGAGCUGGCUCGUGCCACGUGGUUGCCCUUUAGCACCGGUUCGUGCUGAACCGGUACUAAAGGGAGGGGGGGCUUUAGUGCCCACACUUUAAUGCCGGUUACCGGCACUAAAGGGCCUUACGAACCGGUGCUAUUGCCCGGUUCUACACUAGUGCAUGAUGCCCAAGAGUGGACGGCUCAUCCUAAUUACAUCCGUGUUAUGUUCCAUCCCAAUCCACUCGAUGUUUGCACUGGAUUUGCCACCGAAGACGCUAACGGCCCUUGUCAAAAUCUGUCGUGGAUUCUUGUGGUGUGGAAAACAAGAGUCGAACGGUGGAAACUGCGCAGUGGCAUGGGACUUGGUGUGUACGCCAAAGUGGGUAGGUGGCCUUGGCAUUCCAAACCUACAUUGGCUCAACAAAGCACUACGGUCGAGAUGGCCAUGGCUGCAAAGAUUGUAAAGGAUAUUGCUAUUACUUAAAUAAAAUCGGCAAAAAAAUUUAAAAAUCCCCUUCCUUUUGCUCUUCCCAGUCCCAAUACUCUCCGGUUGUUCUCUCCCAAAAAGAAAACUCACCAAUCGUACCGCGAAUUCGUGAUUAAAUCGCUUGGUUAUCUACAAGAACUACGUGAGUCAGUCUACACAGUCCAGAGUAUGCAUCAAAGGCUACAUAGUAAUCAUCGUGUGCACAUUUCGAUCGAAAUGAAAACCAAAGGAAACAUCACAGGCAAGCUAUCACCGGCCUUAUUAGUCAGCGAACAUCAGACAAUUACACGUUUCUAUGGGGAAUCAGUUCCAGGACCGGACAUCAUGGAUCGUCCAUGGCCAGCUAUACUACUGUACUGUACCUUCGAUACAUCGCCACAAGCCGGAUCGCUUAUCGACGUGGUGAUGCCGCGACGGUGGUAGCACAUACUGCGAGCUCUGCAAGCUCUGGUGCCGCUGAGACAGCGACAUCGCUGGCUGAGAGCUCUUGUGCUGCUGCCGCGGUGAUAGUGCGGGCUGCGAACUCUGGUGCUGAUGUAAGUUCGCGGGCUGAGAAUCUGGGUGUUGCCGCCUCAAGCACCGGCGCUGCUGCGGCGAUGCACCGCGGACUGCGAGUUCUGUUCCUGCUGCGACAACUCCUCCCUCAACUGGAGCCUCAGCUGCUGCUGAUGUUGCCGCAAGUCCUGGUGGUGUUGUAACGGCAGCAUCGUGGACUGCGAGCUCCGUUGCUGCUCGGACAAUGACUCCUUGGACUGGAAGCUCUGGUUCUGCUGUGACGGUGCCAACAAUAAGCUCGGGCGUUGCGGCAAGCUUUGGUGCUCCUGCAAGAGUGACGUCGCGGACUGCAAGCUCUAGUGCUGCUGUAACGAUGGCGGCGUCGUGGACUGUGAGCUCCGUCGAUGCUGGGACGGCGACUCCUCGGUCUGGAAGCUCUGGUUUUGCUGCAAUGAUGCCAGCAGUAAGCUCGGGCGUUGCGGCAAGCUUUGGUGCUCCUGCAACAGCNNNNNNNNNNNNNNNNNNNNNNNNNNNNNNNNNNNNNNNNNNNNNNNNNNNNNNNNNNNNNNNNNNNNNNNNNNNNNNNNNNNNNNNNNNNNNNNNNNNNNNNNNNNNNNNNNNNNNNNNNNNNNNNNNNNNNNNNNNNNNNNNNNNNNNNNNNNNNNNNNNNNNNNNNNNNNNNNNNNNNNNNNNNNNNNNNNNNNNNNNNNNNNNNNNNNNNNNNNNNNNNNNNNNNNNNNNNNNNNNNNNNNNNNNNNNNNNNNNNNNNNNNNNNNNNNNNNNNNNNNNNNNNNNNNNNNNNNNNNNNNNNNNNNNNNNNNNNNNNNNNNNNNNNNNNNNNNNNNNNNNNNNNNNNNNNNNNNNNNNNNNNNNNNNNNNNNNNNNNNNNNNNNNNNNNNNNNNNNNNNNNNNNNNNNNNNNNNNNNNNNNNNNNNNNNNNNNNNNNNNNNNNNNNNNNNNNNNNNNNNNNNNNNNNNNNNNNNNNNNNNNNNNNNNNNNNNNNNNNNNNNNNNNNNNNNNNNNNNNNNNNNNNNNNNNNNNNNNNNNNNNNNNNUCUGUUGCAAUGAUGCCAGCAGUAAGCUCGGGCGUUGCGGCAAGUUUUGGUGCUCCUGCAACAGCGACGUCGCAGGCUUCAAGCUCUGGUUCUGCUGCAACGAUGCUAGCUGUAAGCUCGGGCGUUGCGGCAAGCUUUGGUGCUCCUGCAAUAAGGACGUCGCAGGCUGGUUCUGCUGCAACGAUGCCAGCAGUAAGCUCGGGCGUUGCGGCAAGCUUUGGUGCUCCUGCAACAGCGACGUCGCAGGCUUCAAGCUCUGGUGGUGAUGCUCCAGGGCAAGGGAGGGUGCCGAGCCGGUGUUGGCGUCGCGGGCACGAUAGCUAGCGGCGAACUGCUUCGCCAGGCCGACGAUGCCGACCCAGGCGGCGAUCUUAUCCUCGACCUUCUGGAACCUGGCGGCCGUCGGGCCGCUUGUCAGCAGCUUCAUGAGCUCCGCGCCGAAGCCGCCUGGCUGCUGGGACUCGACAAGCUCGAGCGCUUCUUGGAGCGCAUCCUUCAGCAUCUCCAGCGGGGGCGUUCUCAGCCUCGCCGUGUAGCUGCUGGCGCUGCUGCUCGUGCUCGCAGUGGAGGAGUCGAGGAGGAGGAUGUCGCUGAUGGCGCUCGCGCGGUUGGCAAGGUCAAGGCACCUCUCACUGUUCUCCCGGGCCGUCGCAGCCGCCUUCACUAUCUCCUGCACCACGUGGGCGAUCACGCUCACCACCUCCAUGAUCGAUCUAGAUCAAGUGUCGAUCGACGUUGCUUGUGAGUUCUCGAUGGAUGAAUGAAGAGGUGGAAGGAGGACGGCUUACCUACUGGACGAAGGCUUGAGUCGAUUUGGGCGGCUUAUAAAAGCUUGUGAUAACUUAAUUAAUGAUCAACUUGCGUUAAAAAGGAGAGCUUUCUGCUUAGAGUUGGAAAAACGCGGUUGCUAGACAAGAGUCGUGGCGAAGAAGAUAGGUACCUGGGUCAAGCAAAGCAAGACGCCGUUGCAUGGUAUUGGCGAGACGGUGAAAGUGCCCUUCACGCCGUCCGUUUUUUAGUGUUGUGUGGCAGCGCCUUUUGACACUCUUUGCGUGCCCUUCAUGUCGUCCGUUCUUUAGUGUUGUGUCAUGGGGUCUUUUGACACUCUUCGUGUCAUCCAAUUUGCCCGAAGGCGCAGCCGGGUCACCCGCGCGAAAUCACUAGUUGAGGAGUACUCGUUGCAAAGAUCACUUCAACUCUCUAGUUUGCGAAAAGUGUCGCACAUGCAGUGCGUCACUUAUCGCAACAGUUUUCCCUUUUUCAUAGAUUCGUUUAUUCAAAACGUUUUAUCUCUUAAAUCGUGCGUUCAAAUCUCAAACCGCUUUCAUCAUUGGAUUCCUCGCGCCGAGAUCCUCAAAAAUAGAUCCUACAUUCAUAGGUUUUGACGAACUUUUUUUCACGAAAAACACUAGCCAGAAAAACCGGACAAAAAACUGAAUCGGGAGCACGGGUUUUCCCUUUACGAAAGAGGCACGCCCGUGCCUCUCACGAAAUCACAACCGUGCCUCUCGCGGAAGCAAAAUCGUGACUCUCGCGAAAGAAAAAAAAGAAAACUCAUUUUUUUGUUUCCGAGGAGGCACGGUCAUGACUCUCUCGAAAGCCCACCCGUGCCUCUCGUGGAAGCAAAACUGUGACUCUAGCGAAAGGAAGAAAAGAGAAAACAUGUUUUUUUUAUUUCCGAGGAGGCACGGCCAUGACUCUCACGAAAGCACACCCCUGCCUCUCGCGGAAAGCAAAACCGUGACUCUCGUGAAAGGAAAAAAAAGAGAAAACAAGUAUUUUUUNNNNNNNNNNNNNNNNNNNNNNNNNNNNNNNNNNNNNNNNNNNNNNNNNNNNNNNNNNNNNNNNNNNNNNNNNNNNNNNNNNNNNNNNNNNNNNNNNNNNNNNNNNNNNNNNNNNNNNNNNNNNNNNNNNNNNNNNNNNNNNNNNNNNNNNNNNNNNNNNNNNNNNNNNNNNNNNNNNNNNNNNNNNNNNNNNNNNNNNNNNNNNNNNNNNNNNNNNNNNNNNNNNNNNNNNNNNNNNNNNNNNNNNNNNNNNNNNNNNNNNNNNNNNNNNNNNNNNNNNNNNNNNNNNNNNNNNNNNNNNNNNNNNNNNNNNNNNNNNNNNNNNNNNNNNNNNNNNNNNNNNNNNNNNNNNNNNNNNNNNNNNNNNNNNNNNNNNNNNNNNNNNNNNNNNNNNNNNNNNNNNNNNNNNNNNNNNNNNNNNNNNNNNNNNNNNNNNNNNNNNNNNNNNNNNNNNNNNNNNNNNNNNNNNNNNNNNNNNNNNNNNNNNNNNNNNNNNNNNNNNNNNNNNNNNNNNNNNNNNNNNNNNNNNNNNNNNNNNNNNNNNNNNNNNNNNNNNNNNNNNNNNNNNNNNNNNNNNNNNNNNNNNNNNNNNNNNNNNNNNNNNNNNNNNNNNNNNNNNNNNNNNNNNNNNNNNNNNNNNNNNNNNNNNNNNNNNNNNNNNNNNNNNNNNNNNNNNNNNNNNNNNNNNNNNNNNNNNNNNNNNNNNNNNNNNNNNNNNNNNNNNNNNNNNNNNNNNNNNNNNNNNNNNNNNNNNNNNNNNNNNNNNNNNNNNNNNNNNNNNNNNNNNNNNNNNNNNNNNNNNNNNNNNNNNNNNNNNNNNNNNNNNNNNNNNNNNNNNNNNNNNNNNNNNNNNNNNNNNNNNNNNNNNNNNNNNNNNGAAAACAUGUUUUUUUUCAUUUCCGAGGAGGCACGGCCAUGACUCUCGCGAAAGCACACCCGUGCCUCUCACAGAAGCAAAACCGUGACUCUCGCGGAAGGAUAAAAAAGAGAAAACGCGUUUUUUUCAUUUUCAAGGAGGCAUGGACAGGACUCUCGCGAAAGCAAAAUCGUGACUCUCGCGAAAAAAAAAGAACGCAUUUUUUUCGUUUUCGAGGAGGCAUGGCCAUGACCCUCGCGAAAGCACACCCGUGCCUCUCGCGGAAGCAAAACCGUGACUCUCGCGAAAGGAAAAAAACAGAAAACGCGUUUUUUUUCGUUUCCGAGUAGGCACGGCCAUGACUCUCGCGAAAGUACACCCGUGCCUCUCGCGGAAGCAAAACGGUGACUUUCACGAAAGAAAAUAAAAAUAAAACACAUUUUUUCGGUUUCCGAGGAGGCACGACCAUGACUCUCGCGAAAGCACACCCGUGCCUCUCGCGGAAGCAAAACCGCGACUCUCGCGAAAGAAAAAAAAGAAAACGCGUUUUUUUUCAUUUCCGAGGAGGCACGACCAUGACUCUUAUGAACGCACACCGGUGCCUCUCGCGAAAACAAAACCGUGACUCUCGCGAAAGGAAAAAAAUGAAAAACACAUUUUUUUCCGUUUUCGAGAGGCAUGGCCGUGACUCUCGCAAAAGCAAAACCGUGCCUCUUGCAGAAGGAAAACCGUGACUCUCAUGAAAGGGGAAAAAAAGAAAACUCGUUUUUUCACGAUUUUUUUUAAAUUUUUUUGUCUAAAAGCUAAGGAGGACCGUGGAAAACCAAAACGUCGAAAAAAAUUAAAAAACCAUUUGAAUAGCCGAAAACACGUGCGAAAAAAUAAAAAUAAAAAAUAAAAUUUGAAGGGAGCGCCUAGAGCGCGAAACGUGGGGACUGACUGAUAGCGCGCCAAGUGACGCUGAUCAUUGCGAGGCUCCCGAAAGAGCGCUCGUUAACUAAUGAACAAGUGGGGUCCAUGACAAGUGGACUGCAGGCGUUGUCAGGGCUAGCGUCAUGUGGGGAUUUUGACCACGCACGCGUGUGCCCUCCCGUGCUCUGGGACGCGCCUGCGUGCGUCGUCCUGACCGGGCACUGAGUGGGCUUCCCAGCCCGUAUAUGAAGGAGGUUGUCUGCCCGUCACGAGGCCUGGACGGCUGACGUGGGAUAAGAAGUGUAAUGGCGGUUGCCCUGCCCGGUGCGGCAAAGGGCCGGCUAGCACAUCCGAACUCGGCCUCGGCCUGGUGGGCUGUCCGGUCCUUCUCUUACCGCAGUUGUGAUUUGCUAGAAGCUCGCUGUUUUACGUCAGCCACCGCGCAUAUUGCCCUGCCUCUCGCUUUGCUUCACAGCCCUUGUGCACGUUAAAUAGUAUGGCCACUCAUUUAUAAUACCUAAAUAGAUCAUUUUCAUAUGUUAUUCUUUUUGACAUGUAGCCUAUCCACAUAGCACAUCAUCUACGUCAUUGUUUCGCUACCGGCUUACAGGAGGGACGGAGCACAGGUUGACCAAAGUAGACUUGCAUGAUAAGGGCCACGUCAUCGGUCAGUUACCAGCCACAAGGAAGGACUAGAGGCUCACCACCGCUACAGACCUCUCCCUCGAUUCAGCCCACCCAGAACCGAUCGAGUUAUUUUUAUCCUAAAAAAGGACUGACUGUUAGCCUUUCCCAUAUCCAUCUUGUCCCCGAUCUUUCCCCACGCUGGCAGUCAGACCCAUAGGAUCUCGCUCACGACGAUGGUCUGCUCCGAACCCACCUCAAGCCGGAGAGUCGGACGAGCUCCACUAAUAGAAAGGGGGGCAAUGGUCCAGGCCGGUCCAGCCCAUUAGUCCCGGUUCAAUCCAGAACCGGGACCAAUGGGGGCAUUGGACCCGGUUCUUGAGCCCCGGGGGCAGGCCGGGCCACGUGGGCCAUUGGUCCCGGUUCGUCUAGACCUUUUGGUCCCGGUUGCGGGACGAACCGGGACCAAUGUGUCUUGCUCCUGACCCACCACCAUUGGUCCCAGUUGGGGGAAUGAACCGAAACCAAAGGCUUCCCUUUAGUCCCGGUUCAUGCCACGAACCGGGACCAAUUAAUUGCCUAUAGAUACCCCACGAGCAGAGCACUCUCAUUGCUCUGUUUUUCGUGGCCGGCGAGGAGAGAGCUUUGUGUUGCUCUAGCUCACCUUCUAUGCACACGAGGUGUUCGAUGGAAUGCCUGAGCCACACUACUUAAGCUUUCUCCUCUCCAAGCUCCACCUCCAAGCUCCAUUUUUCUCAAUAUUUGUCUAGGUUUAGCGGUCCGUCACGUCCCGUCCCCGUCUUCACCGCCGUCGAUCGCCCGCGCCGAUCUCGUCGCCGGCACCACCGUGGUGAGCCUCUUGUUCUUAUCUUCUUUCUGAAAGGAAAAAAAACUCUUACUUGUAUGUUUAUAUAGAUACUUGUAUAAUUUUUUUACUUUUAUUAUUGCAUCUUAUAUAGUGCGAUGGUUUUGAUAUCCGCCCCCGUCGGCCCUCGUCCUGUCUAUGAUUCAGAUGUGGUAUAUAUUAUCUUUUCGUAACUAUUGGUUCAUUUAUUGUUUAUGACAAUUAUGCCGACCAACAUGACAUAGAUUUUAUUUAUCUAGGAGGUUGUUGAACCGGUAAUUCCAACCGACCCUAUUGUCGAGAGGUUAAAUUUAGUUGAAGAAGAAAACAAUUUAUUGAAGGAAAAAAUUAGAAAAAUUGAGGAGGAGAAGAUGAUAUUGGAGUUGCAUGUUGCGGAUGUCGUCGAUGAUCACAAGAUCAAGAUGGAUGCAAUGCGCUUGAAGAUUAGAAAGAUUAGAAAAUAUGCCAUUCAUACCGAGGCUUGGUAUCAUUAUGCCGUUGGAUCAGUUGUUACAUUGGUUGCGAUUAUGAUCGCAUUUGUUUUUGCAUUGAAAUGUUUUACAUAGUUUCAGUGUAUGGUUUAAUUAAUUUAGAUGCUCUGCAGAGCUUUAUGUUGUUAGAUGAGAACUAUGUAUGUACUUUGGUUUUAAUGUGAUGAUGAACUUCUAUUAAUUUGGUCACUUAAUUAUAUAAUGCACGCAGAUGAACCGGCAAUGGAUGUACGGUUCAAGACACACCUCCGAGUACAUUAAGGGCGUGCAUGAUUUUCUCGAAGUGGCUGAGGCAAACAAGCAAAAUGGUUUUAUGUGUUGUCCAUGCCUUGUAUGUGGGAAUACGAAGUCUUACUCUGACCGAAAAAUCCUCCACACCCACCUGCUUUACAAGGGUUUUAUGCCACACUAUAAUGUUUGGACGAGGCACGGAGAAAUAGGGGUUAUGAUGAAAGAUGGCGAAGAAGAAGAGUACAAUGACAACUAUGUGCCCCCUGAAUACGGUGGUGCUCCUGAAGAUCAAGAGGAACCAGACGAUGUGCACGAUGAUGCUGCAACGGGCGAAGCUGCUGAAGAUCAAGAGGAACCAGACGAUGUGCCCGAUGAUGAUGAUCUCCGCCGGGUCAUUGUCGAUGCAAGGACGCAAUGCGAAAGUCAAAAGGAGAAGCUGAAGUUCGAUCGCAUGCUAGAGGACCACAAAAAAGGGUUGUACCCCAAUUGCGAAGAUGGCAACACAAAGCUGGGUACCGUACUGGAAUUGCUGCAGUGGAAGACAGAGAAUGUUGUGCCUGAUAAAGGAUUUGAGAAGCUACUUAAAAUAUUGAAGAAGAAGCUUCCAAAGGAUAACGAAUUGCCCGACAGUACAUACGCAGCAAAGAAGGUCGUAUGCCCUCUAGGAUUGGAGGUGCAAAAGAUACAUGCAUGCCCUAAUGACUGCAUCCUCUACCGCGGUGCGUACAAGGAUCUGAAUGCAUGCCCGGUAUGCGGUGCAUUACGGUAUAAGAUCAGACGAGAUGACCCUGGUGAUGUUGAUGGCGAGCCCCCCAGGAAGAGGGUUCCUGCGAAGGUGAUGUGGUAUGCUCCUAUAAUACCACGGUUGAAACGUCUGUUCAGAAACGGAGAGCAUGCCAAGUUCAUGCGAUGGCACAGUGAGGACCGUAAGAAAGACGGGAAGUUGAGAGCACCCGCUGACGGGUCACAGUGGAGAAAAAUCGAGAGAAAGUACUGGGAUGAGUUUGCAAGUGAGCCAAGGAAAGUAUGGUUUGCGUUAAGCGCGGAUGGCAUUAAUCCUUUCGGGGAGCAGAGCAGCAAUCACAGCACCUGGCCCGUGACUCUAUGUAUGUAUAAUCUUCCUCCUUGGAUGUGCAUGAAGUGGAAGUUCAUUAUGAUGCCAGUUCUCAUCCAAGGCCCUAAGCAACCUGGCAAUGACAUUGAUGUGUACCUAAGGCCAUUAGUUGAAGAACUUUUAGAGUUGUGGAAUGGAAACGGUGUACGUACGUGGGAUGAGCACAAACAGAAGGAAUUUAACCUAAAGGCGUUGCUGUUCGUGACCAUCAAUGAUUGGCCCGCUCUCAGUAACCUUUCAGGACAGACAAAUAAGGGAUACCACGCAUGCGCGCACUGUUUACUUGACACCGAUAGCAUAUACCUGGCAAGCUGCAGGAAGAAUGUGUACCUGGGCCAUUGUCGAUUUCUUCCGACCAACCAUCAAUGUCGAAAGAAAGGCAAGCAUUUCAAAGGCGAGGCAGAUCACUGGAAGAAGCCCGCCAUGCGUACCGGUGAUCACGUACUUGCUAUGGUCAAUGAUUUACACGUAAUCUUUGGAAAGGGUCCCGGCGGACUAGCUGUUCCGAGUGACGCUGGGGGACACGCACCCAUGUGGAAGAAGAAAUCUAUAUUUUGGGACCUACCCUACUGGAAAGACCUAGAGGUCCGCUCUUCGAUCGACGUGAUGCAUGUGACGAAGAACCUUUGCGUGAACCUUCUAGGCUUCUUGGACGUGUAUGGGAAGACAAAAGAUAUAGCUGAGGCACGGGAGGACCUGCAACGUUUGCACGGAAAAGACGGCAUGCCUCCAAAGCAGUAUGAAGGUCCUGCCAGCUAUGCUCUUACCAAAGAAGAGAAGGAAAUCUUCUUUGAAUGCCUGCUUAGUAUGAAUGUCCCGACUGGCUUCUCGUCGAAUAUAAAAGGAAUAAUAAAUAUGGCAGAGAAAAAGUUUCAGAACCUAAAGUCUCAUGACUGCCACGUGAUUAUGACGCAACUGCUUCCGGUUGCAUUGAGGGGGCUUCUACCGGAAAACGUCCGAUUAGCCAUUGUGAAGCUAUGUGCAUUCCUCAAUGCAAUAUCUCAAAAGGUGAUCGAUCCAGAAAUCAUACCAAGGCUAAGGAGAGAUGUGGUGCAAUGUCUUGUCAGUUUCAAGCUGGUGUUCCCACCAUCCUUCUUCAAUAUCAUGAUGCACGUCCUGGUUCAUCUAGUUGACGAGAUUGUCAUUCUGGGCCCCGUAUUUCUACACAAUAUGUACCCCUUUGAGAGGUUCAUGGGAGUCCUAAAGAAAUAUGUCCGUAACCGUGCUAGGCCAGAAGGAAGCAUCUCCAUGGGCCAUCAAACAGAGGAUGUCAUCGGGUUUUGUGUUGACUUCAUUCCUGGCCUUAAGAAGAUAGGUCUCCCUAAAUCGCGGUAUGAGGGGAGACUGACUGGAAAAGGCACGCUUGGAAGGGACUCAAUAAUAUGCAGGGACGGAUAUUCUUGGUCUCAAGCACACUACACAGUUCUACAGAACUCUACCUUGGUGAGCCCGUAUGUCGAUGAACACAAGAAUAGUCUGCGCUCCAAACACCCGGAGCAGUGCAACGACUGGAUUAUAUGUGAACAGAUCAAGACUUUCAGCAGUUGGUUGGAAGCACGUAUCAGAGGUGACAACACUGUUUGUGAUGAGCUGUACUUGUUAUCCAGGGGACCAUCUUUGACUGUAUUGAUUUGGAAAGGAUACGAGAUAAAUGGGAAUACAUUUUACACGAUUGACCAAGAUCAAAAGAGCACCAACCAAAACAGCGGUGUCCGCUUUGAUGCAACAACCGAGAGAGGAAAUGACACAUAUUAUGGUUACAUAGUGGACAUAUGGGAACUUGACUACGGACAUGAUUUUAAGGUCCCUUUGUUUAAGUGCAAAUGGGUCAAUGUGUCAGGAGGCGGGGUACAGGUAGACCCACAGUACGGAAUGACAACAGUGGAUCUGAAAAAUCUUGGGUACACUGACGAACCGUUCGUCCUAGCCAAUGAUGUGGCACAGGUUAUCUAUGUGAAGGACAUGUCUACUAGACCGAGAAAGAGAAAAGAUAAGGAAGCGAAUACAUAAUACGAUGAGCCAAAGCGCCACAUAGUUCUUUCAGGAAAAAGGGACAUCGUGGAAGUGGAGGACAAGACAGACAUGUCUGAAGAUUAUGAAAAGUUUCAUGAAAUUCCUCCCUUUAAAGUCAAGGCUGACCCCAGCAUCCUGAUAAACAAUGAAGAUUAUCCAUGGUUACGGCGCAAUAAGCAAAUGACACAAGCGAAGAAAAAGUGAAGACUUUCUCCCGCAACUAUUAUGAUGAUACCAUGCCAACUUUGUAACUGACGAGUAUGAUACCAUUGUCCGUUUUGUACAUGCACAUGCUAUGUGUGGGUCAAUUUAUGAUACCAUGCCAACUUUCAACUUUUUCAGAGUUCAUUUGAAAUGCUUUAAUGUCUUAUGGUUCGGCCCUCGUAAUAAUUAAAAAUAGUAACAAUAAGUACUUUGUUGUAAGUAGAAACAAAAUAAAAUAAAUAAAGCAAGAAAGAAAACAAAAAAACAAAAAAAAUGGAAAGUUUAUAAUUUUCCUAAAACUAAAAGCAAAAAGAAUUAAAAAAUAAAGCAAAAAACAAAAAAAAAUAAUGCAGNNNNNNNNNNNNNNNNNNNNNNNNNNNNNNNNNNNNNNNNNNNNNNNNNNNNNNNNNNNNNNNNNNNNNNNNNNNNNNNNNNNNNNNNNNNNNNNNNNNNNNNNNNNNNNNNNNNNNNNNNNNNNNNNNNNNNNNNNNNNNNNNNNNNNNNNNNNNNNNNNNNNNNNNNNNNNNNNNNNNNNNNNNNNNNNNNNNNNNNNNNNNNNNNNNNNNNNNNNNNNNNNNNNNNNNNNNNNNNNNNNNNNNNNNNNNNNNNNNNNNNNNNNNNNNNNNNNNNNNNNNNNNNNNNNNNNNNNNNNNNNNNNNNNNNNNNNNNNNNNNNNNNNNNNNNNNNNNNNNNNNNNNNNNNNNNNNNAAACAAAACAAAAAAACAACAAUAAGUAUUUUGUUGUAAGUAGAAACAAAAUAAAAUAAAGCAAGAAAGAAAACAAAAAAACAAAAAAAGUGGAAAGUUUAUAAUUUUCCUCAAACUAAAAACAAAAAGAAUUUAAAAAUAAAGCAAAAAACAAAAGAAAAUAAAUAAUGCAGAAAACAAAACAGAAAAACUGGAAAAAAAUAAAAAUAGCAACAAUAAGUAAAGAAAACAAAAAACAAAAAAAAUGCCCCCUACUGGCCCCCCACGGCCUGAAUACGACUUGAAUCCCUACUUUGGGCCAGGAUUCAGGCCCGCAGUAUGCCCAGAAGGCCCAUCAGGCAAAGCAGUCGCAAGUAGGCCCAUAAGCCUGCAGUAGAGAGGAGUUCGAGAGGGGUGCGGUAGUGGGGCUUAUAAACCACUGCGCGCCCCUCUCAACUAGCGAGGUGGGACGAAACUUUGGCCCCGAUGCGGGCAACACAGGGGCCUUUGGUCCCGGUUGGUGGCUCCAACCGGGACUAAAGGGGGGGGGGCAUUGGUCCCGGUUGGUGCCACCAACCGGGACUAAAGGCCGCAGCUUCCCGCCCUUUGGGCUGCCGAAAAAGAGGCCUUUGGUCCCGGUUGGUAGCACCAACCGGGACUAAAGGGUGCAUUAGUCCCGGUUUGUGCCACCAACCGGGACCAAUGCUCCUUGUAUAUAAGUAGCACUUCGCAGUUUUGCAGAGUUCAUCGCCACCAGUUGCCCCCCGAUGAUGCCGAGCACAUCUACGCUGCCAGGCUGCCNNNNNNNNNNNNNNNNNNNNNNNNNNNNNNNNNNNNNNNNNNNNNNNNNNNNNNNNNNNNNNNNNNNNNNNNNNNNNNNNNNNNNNNNNNNNNNNNNNNNNNNNNNNNNNNNNNNNNNNNNNNNNNNNNNNNNNNNNNNNNNNNNNNNNNNNNNNNNNNNNNNNNNNNNNNNNNNNNNNNNNNNNNNNNNNNNNNNNNNNNNNNNNNNNNNNNNNNNNNNNNNNNNNNNNNNNNNNNNNNNNNNNNNNNNNNNNNNNNNNNNNNNNNNNNNNNNNNNNNNNNNNNNNNNNNNNNNNNNNNNNNNNNNNNNNNNNNNNNNNNNNNNNNNNNNNNNNNNNNNNNNNNNNNNNNNNNNNNNNNNNNNNNNNNNNNNNNNNNNNNNNNNNNNNNNNNNNNNNNNNNNNNNNNNNNNNNNNNNNNNNNNNNNNNNNNNNNNNNNNNNNNNNNNNNNNNNNNNNNNNNNNNNNNNNNNNNNNNNNNNNNNNNNNNNNNNNNNNNNNNNNNNNNNNNNNNNNNNNNNNNNNNNNNNNNNNNNNNNNUUGUUCAUAUGUGUAUUUAUUGUUCAUGUUUUUUUUCUGUUCAUAGAUUUUUUGUAUCUAUUGGCUCUUCGUCGCUCUGUAUUUAUUGUAUCUAUUGGUGAUAUUAAUUAUUGUAUAAUAUGCAAAUGUUUGUAUAUUCAUAUGAACAAUGCAUUAGGCAAAACCUUUGUUUUUUUUCGAAAUUUUCUAUUUGAACAUUUUUUUUAAAACAAGCAAUACUAAAAGAAUGAGAGGAAAAAGGAAAAUAAGAAGAGGAAGAAAGGAGAAAAAGAGGAGAGGAAGAAGAGGAGAAAUAAAUAAGAAGAGGAAAAAAGAAGAAAAAGAAGAGGAGAAGAAGAAAGGAAUAGAGGAGAAAGAAGAAAUCUUCUUCUUUCUCCUCUAUUCCUUUCUGAAGAAGAAAGGAAUAGAGGAGAAAGGUUCUUCUUUCUCCUCUAUUCCUUUCUUCUUCUCCUCUUUUUUUUCUUCUUCUUCUUCCUUCUUCCUUUUUCUUUUUUCUUCAUUUUCCUUAAUUAUUUUCCUUUCUCAAGGGAGAAGAAGAAAAAGAAGAGGAGAAGAAGAAAGAAGGAAUAGAGGACAAAGAAGAAACUUCAACACGAGCUAGGGGGUGGUACCGAUACCCCAUCCCCGAUAACAUUAUUUUCCCAUGUAUAUGUAUGUCGCGUCGUUGUCGAUAUAACCCCCUCUAGAUAACUUCGACAUGAGGGGCGGUCGAUAUAUAUAUAUAUAUACCCCCUCUCGACCGUGAUAACUUAUACAACUGCAGCACCCCCCUCGGCCCUCUCGCUCGACCAAAACUCUCGAGGACACCCAAACCCUAGAGAGAAAACGAUGUUGGUCUCCUACCCCCUCCCGCCGCGCCCCUACCCGACAAAUUAACUCUCUCAAGGCCACCCAAAUUUAUCAAGUUAAAAGAGAGUUAUCGUCGAGGCCACCCCAAACCCUUGAAGCGUUGUGUCGAGGCCACCCCAAACCCUUGAAGNNNNNNNNNNNNNNNNNNNNNNNNNNNNNNNNNNNNNNNNNNNNNNNNNNNNNNNNNNNNNCAAAUUUACCAAGUUAAAAGUGUGUUGUCAUCGAGUCCACCCCAAACCCUUGAAGCGUUGUGUCGAGGCGACCCCAAACCCUAGAGAAGCAGCGUCGAGGCCACUAAAAUGAUUCCUUAUUGUGAUUAGCUAGCUAGUUAGACAUUUGCCACUAAUAUAUAUAUAUAUAUAUAUAUAUAUAUAUAUAUAUAUACAUCCAUCUGUACCAUGUUUGAAUAAUAAUUGACAUGUUGUAAAUAUUUGCAGAAACUAUGGAGCACUCCCGAGACGAAGCAACAGAAGCGAUGUUGGGGGAUAUAAUCGCACAAGGAAGUGAUGAAGUUGCGUCAUUUCUCAACGACACCGUUNNNNNNNNNNNNNNNNNNNNNNNNNNNNNNNNNNNNNNNNNNNNNNNNNNNNNNNNNNNNNNNNNNNNNNNNNNNNNNNNNNNNNNNNNNNNNNNNNNNNNNNNNNNNNNNNNNNNNNNNNNNNNNNNNNNNNNNNNNNNNNNNNNNNNNNNNNNNNNNNNNNNNNNNNNNNNNNNNNNNNAUCCAUCUGUACCAUGUUUGAAUAAUAAUUGACAUGUUGUAAAUAUUUGCAGAAACUAUGGAGCACUCCCGAGACGAAGAAACAGAAGCGAUGUUGGGGGACAUAAUCGCAAAUGGAUCAAGUGAUGAUGUUGCGUCAUUUCUCCUCGACACCGUUGGUCAGCUAGAUGAAGAAGAGGGCUAUGUUUAUGAUGGUGGCUUCGACCCAUUAAUGCCGGUACAAGAGGAGGACUAUGUUCAUGAUGGCUCCGGUGGCACAAUGGAGGUACAAGACGAAGGAGACCGUGCUGACUGCUCCGGUCACCGAACCGAGUCCUGCCAGGUAUAUAUAUAUUAGUUAAGCCCGUGCUGACUAGUUAAUUGAUGCAUCCAUUGUUUUGGUAUAUGUACAUAUAUUAAUUACUGUCGUCUUUCUUCCUUAUAAUUUCUAGCCCUCCGGAUCGAGCACAACUUAGGUAAGGAGACGAGGCCCGAAGAAAAAGUUGAGCUCGGAUGAAAAGUUUGAGAUCAUAGAAAUCGCGUCCGACGGCGAACCGAUUGAACCCAUCUGGACAAGGAAGGCAUUUUCUGCUCAGUGCGGGGUUCUUGUUAGGGACAGGAUCUCGAUCAGCAUCCAGCAAUGGUAUAAGCCUGCUAAGGAUGAAGACGCUGAGGUGUCUUAUGUCAAUGAUAUGCAGAAAGAAGAUCUUUGGACUGAGCUGAAGGCAAAUUUCACCCUACCGCCAGAGGAGGAUCCGGAGAAGCCAGUUAAAGAGCAAUUAAUCAAGUCUUGUGGUCUUAAGAAGAUGGCAGGCCUAAUGAGGAGGUGGAGGAAAGAGCUGAACCAGUUUGUCAAGGAAAAAAAGACACUAGAAUUCAUCGGCAAAUAUGAGAAGAUCAAAGAUCACUGGCCCGCAUUUGUGGCCCACAAGACAUCGGAAAAGAGUAAGAAGAUGUCGGAGACAAACAAGAAAAAUGCUGCGAAGAAGAAGCUUCACCAUCGCACGGGGUCAAGUGGCUACCUCAAAGCCCGACUUAAGUGGUCCAAGGCUGAGCAUGAUCUGCUUGAAAAAGGGACCAUACCAGAGACAAUGUGCUGGCCAGACCGUUGCCGGACUUGGUUCUUCGGGGCUGGCGGAACCUUGGACCCUGUAACAGGGAAGUGUCAGUGGACGGACGAGCAACUGCAAACACCAGUCAAGAACAUUCGACACUAUAUCAAUGCAGCGCAGCGAGAGACGUUCCUUCCAAACAGGGAGAAGGACGAGCUCACAAUGGCCCUUGGGAAUCCCGAGCACCCUGGACGGACACGAGGCACGCCAGGCUCCAUUCCGUGGAAGGUUGGUUUUCCGGACGCAGGGGGUUACAAAACCCACGAGAGGAGGAAGAAACUGGAGCAGGACCAAAUGCAGGCACUGCUUGGAAGGGUAAUGGGGCUAGAGGAUCAAGAAGAGGAACGAGAAGCAGCAGAUCACAACAAACGACAUGCCGAAGCUUCCCCCGAAGCUACCCCGCCAUCUCAGCGGAGAAGCAGCGUGGCUUCCACCGAGCUGCUUCAACUGGAGCAUGUCUUGACGGCUCCUGCCAGCUAUCCCGUGGAUGGUAUCACGGAGUCUCAAAAUUGCCACAUGAUGGCGCGAUGGAUGAAUUUGAAGGUCAAGGCGGCUGUUGGCCAAGUUUAUCCUAGUGGACCCGGCACAACUUAUCACUGCUAGCCAAUUCCAAAAGGAUAUGCUAAGGUGAUGGUGGAUGAAAUAACAGAGGGAUUUGAGGACCUCGUGCUUGACCACCCUACCGGUGAAGGGGAGACUAGGCUGGGUUCUGCUCUGAAGACUCCAUGACUAUGGAAGAAGGAGCUCAUCAACCUUCUGAACUGGACGCCUCCGCCUCCUCCUCCUGCUCCGGCGAGUCAGGGCACUCCGCCUCCUCCUCCGGCGAGUGACGAUCAGGGCACGCGUGGUGGCACUCCGCCUCCUUCUCCGGCGCAUGGCAGCACUCCGCCUCCUUCUCCGCCUGCGCCGGUGCUCCCGAGCAGCCAGUAGCAUCCUCCUUCUCCGCCUCGCCAGCAAGGGCGGAAGAGACCCACCGCCGCCCCGGCUGCUCCGGCGCGUGGUACUCCUUCUCCUCCGCCUCGUAAGCAAGCACGAAAGAAGACAGACGCCGCAGCCGCUCCGUCUGCUCCGGCGUCUAGCAGCACAACCAGAGGCGGGAGGCAAUACAAAUACGGUCCAUCAUCUCUCAAGCCUCUAGAGAAGUUACCGUACGAGAGGUCCGAGGAGGAAAACGAUACGAUUGUGCAGGCCCACGUGAAGGAGUUCUUUGAAGGGGUGAAAGCAAAGAGACAUCCACCUCCGGAGGAGAAGGUAGAUCCGGUGAAAGCAAAGCGCACUAUCGAUGCCCUGAGGAAACCACCAAAGUCUCCGCCGAGAACCAACUAUGAGCGCAUUACUGAACAGACAUAUCUCCAAGCCCAGCGGUCGGGAACUAUUGUCAGUGCUAAAAUGUCAAAACAACAAGCAAAGGGGAAAAAAUUGCCCAGCUCGGCGAACAAGCACAGCAAUCGUGCCCCCCGCUCAAUGUGUCUAAUGCUCCGGGGACGAUGGUCGGUUAUGGCAAUCUUGACGAUUACCUGCCUGAUGAUGCACUUCCUGAUUUCUCCGGGGACACAGAUACGAGUACGGGAAGCCUCUCGUCAAAGAUGAAAAAUCUCUGACAACAAUGAUGCGAAGAUUCCAUAAUUGGUACAUGGAAACCUGCAGAGAGUCUGAUGGUAAGAAUGCUUUGUAUCUGCAUAUUAAAGAGGAGCACGAUCUCGUUGCAAAUGAUCUGUUGACUGUUCCAUUUGAGGAGUUCUUCGAGUUCUUCAAUCAAAAGGCCCUCGAUAAAUUAAUGGUCUUUUGCUACUGCCUGUAAAUACUAUUUCUGUCAUUAAGUCUCUAUAUAUAGCUCGGCUCUUUCAUUGCAUGCAUGUAUUUAUAAUUAAUUAUCCUCAAUAUAUUAUGCAGAUUGAAGAUCGUCGAGUGCAAAAAACAAGAAAUUUAUGAUAUUGGGUUCAUUAACACAAAUAUCAUAGAUGUAUUUCUGGUUGAAAAGAACGUCAAAGAGGUCGAGGACAACUUGCUACGAUCGUUGAUAAAAAACCAAAACAAAGAUACCAUAGUCUUUCCUUACAACGGCCCGUGAGUGUUACUGUCGUGUGCAUAUUCGGUUUCCCUUAUUACUCAAGCGAGGUUAUAGUAAUGUAAUUAAUGAGUUAUGCAUGCGUGCGCAGGUACCACUAUAUUCUUCUGAAGAUUAAGCUUGAGCGUGGACUAGUAACCGUCUUAGACUCGAGACGGAAAGAUCCCAAAACUUAUGCGGACAUGACUGAAAUGCCCAGCAAGUAAGUUCAAUCGAUCAUAAUUAUCGCACCAUAUCGGUAACUUUUUGUUCAUUUCCUGAUAUCUCAAGUAAUAAUAAUUAUUUUCUUUGUCUUGCAGGGUUUGGAAACAGUUCACCGCAGAAGCUCCGGGACUGCCGAAGGAGCUGCGAUAUACAUACCCGAAAGUAAGUACUACUGGCUAGCUAGUUGCGCGCAUCUCCCGUUGAUUCUAUAUAUAGCUAUACUUUCAUCAAUGCCAUUUAUAAUGCUUCAUUAUCAGUUUGAUUGACCUCUAUUUCUCGUAAAGUGCUUGUGGCAGGAGGAAGUGAAUGAUUUCUGUGGAUACUACGUGUGCAAGUUCAUCCACACCGCGACUUUGAAAAACAAGCGGGGCUACUCUCAAAGACAAUAUGAAGUGCGUAAGCAAUAAUAUUCACAAUUUUAUUUUAUUACACCAUCAUUUCUGUUGAGUUUCAUUCAUAUAUAUGUAUUAAUUAACCCCCUUCUUCAAAUUAGAUGUGGCAGAUGCGGAAUGAACUCCUAGAACCAGAUCGCAUGAAAGCAAUUCAAGAGGAAUUGGCGGGAUUCUUUCUUGACCACGUCAUCAGUAAAACCGGAGAAUACCAUGUGGAAAUUGAUUUCAAAUGCUAGCUAGGGGUUUGUAAUUAAGAGAUCUUAUGCAUAUUGUACAUGUAUGUAGCCAGUAGCGUCGGAUACAUGAUACGAAAACUUGUUGUUCGACCAACCUCUCGGAGAAGGAGAGGUCGAUCGAUCACUUCUCUCGGUAUGCAUGACGAACUUCUGUACUAAAUGGUUCUCUCGAUCACUUAUGUAUAUAUAGUACGUAGCGUCCAAGCACGGACAUAAGAGAGGACACUUCUCUCUAUUAAUUAGCUAGCUAACACAAUAUAUGAAACACCUAAUUAAAUUAACCCUCCAAAACCCCCAACCUCCCUUCCUUUCAAAAAAAAAACACAAAAACCCCAGCAACUGGAAUGCUGACGCGUGGAUGCAUUUUGGUAUCGGUUGGUGCCACCAAUCGGGACCAAAGGCCCCCUGACUGGGGUGGGCGCACAGAGCCACGUGGAGGCACAUUGGUCCCGUUUCUGGAUUGAACCGGGACUAAUGGGUGGAGGUAUUAGUAACGACCCAUUAGUCCCGGUUCAUGAACCGGGACUAAAGGCCCUUACGAACUGGGACUGAUGGGUGGUUUUCUACUAGUGCUCCCUCAUGUCCUUGCUCGCUCCAUACCGUCCUCGUGCCGCCGGCCUCGAACGGACAGGACAUGGCCAUCCCCUGCGCGGCCCCUGUGAUAGAGUUUACCUUGUUGUCUAGGUAUUCAUCAUGUUUAUUUCGUCGCAUUAGUUUCGGUCAUGCAUUUAGUCUAAGCUCCGGCAGGUUGUGUACGUCAAGUUGUGAUCAUGUACACGGUGCAAAGCUGGUUGAUAGAGUGAGUUAGUUAGUUGAAGUCAGUAGAUAAUGGAUGCAUGUGCGGGCGUCCAUCAGGUUAGUAGCGCACGUACGCGUAUUUCCGUUGCAUGAACGUGCUGUAUAGCCGAUAGUGGCUUAGAUGUGGACCGAGUAAUUAGGAGAUAAGCGUGAAGCCGGCUGAAUCGUGUGGCCGUGUCAAAGAGGUUGUUACUUAUGGCCAUGUUACCGGCUAGUGAAGAGAAAAUAGCGGAUCAGGCAGUACGUAGCAGGGAGUAGUACGUGUGUGUGUUUCUACUAAAAGACUUUAUAAUCAGCUAUGUGUGUGUUGAGAAGAAACAGAGAAAAGGCACAAGUGUGUGCGGUGCCGCAAAACUCCCUGUGCGCUCUUCUUCUACCUCAAGAUCUUGUGUGUGUCCUUUCUUCUUCCUCCUCGGGCUGUUCCAACACCCUGUUCCAGCAGAAUCGGGAAGGAGAAGCUCACUGGCCUCCUCGCCGCCGCCAUCAAAUCAGAUCAACAAUUAAGUUCCUUUUUAUCCAAUUCGAUCCUCUAUCUCUUUGUCUCCUACUACUACUGUUCCACUCACGGAUCAAACUAAUAGACAUUGACAUUGAUGAUUGUUCUGCCUCUUCAUGUUCUUCAACCAGAGUAACCGAUGGAUGCGUGCGUUAUAGCUACUGCUAUUAUCUUUAAGCGUGGUUGCUCCAAUACAUCGUCCUCUCUGCCAUAGUUGGUUGUCUGCGCCUUGCUCCAAGCACAAAUCAGAAAUCACCUCAUCACAUCAAUCCGUGGUUUGCCUGCACGAACUCAAGUGUUCACCAGCGUCAACGUUGGUGAAGCACUAGCGACGAUAGCACACUCCAAGGCUCCAAACUGUAUGCGUACCCUGUUCAUUGUGCAUCUCCAAGUACACAAUAGAGAAGUACCUUCGUUUCUCUUCCUCCUCUGUGCGCGUGUUUGAUCAAAUAUUUAUUUUGUCUUCUUUCUACUUUGAAACUCACACAUGCCGAUGCCUAUCAAUCUGAUGACCAGCAAUCUGUUUAUUGGUGACGCUCCUCAUGCCCUGCGGGUAUUUCACUAAAUGAUGCGGCGUAAAUCCACCUAUAGCUAAUUUUUCUAUGAAGCAAUUUGAUGCUUGGUAUAUGCCCCCCUCUAUUUCUUCAACUGAAGGUUUACAUCAGUUUUCUGGCUUAUUUUUUGUUUGCCGUCCUCUUAGAGGAAUCCUCACUUUUGUUCUAUGUUGACUACCAUCGUCUGGCCAACACUGUCACUAACUAGCUCACAUAUAUUGUUGUCAAUGUUGAAAGACAAACCUUUUUGACACUAUCUUAUAUAUCAAAAAAUAAAUACACAGGCUGCCUUCCAAUAAUUUUGAAUCUGUGUACUUCUGCGGUUCUGCUUGCUUCUGCUUGCAUGAAGAAAUCUUUUGUUAUAUGCCUGAAUAUCACAUAUGCUUGGUGAUUGAAAUUCUAUGAGAACUGCAAUUUGUAUGUGUCAUUUAUUUUAGUGAUGGUACAUGCAUUCUCAGUUUUUGAGAAUUAUGUAUGCAAUCAUCUCUAGAUUAUUCAUGCUAUUCAAUGGUGUCUGAAGACUACAUUUUCUAAUUAACAGGACAAACUAUUAUAGAUACAUAUUUUCAGAACAGAUACAAUUUUAUUUGACACACUGGCCACAUCUUUUUUUUCUUCCAAUGACUAUCUACUAUAACCAAGUAAUUUCUCCAAAGUGUUUCAUAUCACGUAGUUAAGAAUCCCGCAGCAAAGCGCGGGGUAAUCAUCUAGUUUACAGAGUAUGUCCGUUCAUUUACAGAGUACCACAUACACCAAAAAUCAACUGGAGCCUGAGCAAACCUUGUAAAACUACCUCCUAUUGAGCUCCAGAGUGGAGUCCACUUCUUUCUACUACGAGUGUACACUAGAAGUCCCUUGAAAUCAUCGUGCACGUUGUUUAUGUAGCACUUCUCUACCCAAGUUUUGGACAGAAGGUUGAUGUAAUGGACCAAUUUGAGGAUGCUGCCGUGUUCUUCAUAGCAACGGUGUAAUCUAUUUUGUCAGCUUAGCCAUAAUUAUAUGCAAGUACGAGUUACCACUACUAGAAAAAUUGUGGUUACUGACUAUUUUCAUGUUUGCCGAGUACCAGAAUGCGCGCGGGAUUGUUUUGGAACGGAGGGAGUAUGUGCAUCUUUUGUUCUCUUCGAGUCCGAGGCAGCCAUAUGGAACCCUGUUAUGGUGCUAACAAGGAGCAGUGCUAGAAGCUACUCCCUCCUUAAACUAAUAUUAGAGCGUUUAGAUACUAUCUUAGUGAUCUAAACGCUCUUAUAUUAAUUUACAGAGGGAGUACAAGAUUUGUCUCUAUCGCACCAUCCUUCAACCUCUUCUAGCUCAUUUGACGAGGCAAAACGGGCUUCGCCUUCAGUUACUAGAUUCAUAAUUAUUUUGGUGAAAUGCGUUACGCUUUCGGAAUAAUUGCCCACUUGCCAAAACAAGAAAUACACGCACAACCUGCGGUGCCGGCUCAUUUUUAGAGAUGUCUUAGAACGGAUCGGCAAAGAGCAUGCGCAUAAUUUAGAUUUCCUUCCAUUUUUGGGGAAUAUAAUAAAAAAAGACAGGCAUAUCAAGUAGACAGCCUAUAGAGAUGGAUCAUCUAUGUGUUGUGAUGUGAACUUCAAGCUUCAUUCCGCUCUCACAGUCUCCAGGUUUGCUGCUGAUGGCGUACAUCGGGCCUUGGCUACUGAGCUCGAGCUUGUCGUAGCCAGAGGUAUAUGUAUCGUCCCCGACAGCACCAGCCCUGCAGAAGAACUCCUCAUCUUUAUUCACUAUCACCACGUUAUGCAUCUUCGGAUUAUACUUGAACACUGCAUCAAUGGAAACAUGGUCAGUUCCAUACACUCCUUAUUGCUUAGCAUUAAACCAGGGCCUACUAAUUAAAGAACAAGUUUACGGAUCUUAUAAGAUAUGUGUGAAUGAUGUAAGUAGUGUUAUAAUUGCAAUGCAUGUUAUUAACACAAUGUUUAGUCAAAGAAAAAUAAAUGUGCGAUAUGCUGGCCUUGAUUAGUGUGUCAUGUGCGAUAUGGCAUCAUUCCUCUAACAAUUUCUCAUGUAACUAAAAUUUCAAUUACGCAAUGAUAUAGAACAAGAUCGAUAUCAUGGCUAGGACUCCAGAUGCUAUGGUGAUAAAAAUUAUUUCCAUCACCUGCGACAUAUAAUAUAACAUUUUAUACUUUGAAACAAACAUUCAUGUGCAUCACAAUUAACGAUUAUCUACCAUACUCACCAAGCACGUCACCAGGGUAGAAGGUCUUGUUCCUCUCCCAGCCAUGAACACCAAAGGUCCAUCCCUUUUGACCUCCGACUAUCCACUCCGUCUUGCUAAAACCACUGGUUGCGAAGCACAGGUUAGCACCAACCCAAGAGCAACGGCGCCAGUGCUGCUCAUGCUUCUACCUAGUGCCAUUGCCGCUUUUUUCACUACUAAAGCUCACAACUGAAUUUGAUUUGCGUUGGUGGGGAAGGGAAAC
rnacentral:lncRNA from 1 species